rnacentral:lncRNA from 1 species
GCGAAAAAACAAAUAUAAGAAACUGAAGUUUCAACAGCUGAGAAUGAGAUAGGCAUUAGAAAUUAAUUAAUUAAUUAAUUAAUAGAGUCCUCCUUUGCUAAAUAAUGCGAGCCCAUUGUUCUUUUUAUUUCGAAAACCCAUUAAUCACCAACACAUAAUACACGCCCAAUUUAAAAAAAAAAAAACUACUAAUAAAAUAUUUCAGUCGUCCUCUGUUGAGUCGUCCUCUGUUGGGUCGUCAUAAAAAACCCAUUUACCAGCUAUGACAGCAAGAGGUAUAUGGGUUAACAAGUCCCAAUAUUGUCCUCCAUCCUUUCUGCACUUCUUUUCUAUCAACGGACAAUCCACGAUUUUUAAAUGCAAAAGUGAGGAAGGCAGGCCCUUCUCCGGAAAGUAUUUGAGCUUGGGACAAUGAUAGAGACCCAAUUCAGUGAGGUUUUGAAGAUCAACAAUUGAAGAAGAUAGGCGUUCCAGAUUUGGAAAAUUAUAAAUCCACAGAGAUGUUAGAGAGGCAGGAAGAGGAAGCGCGGUCCCUAAUCUUUUGUCCUCUAGUGGAAAUGACACCAUGUCGUCAUCGCAUCCACUGAUUGUAAGAUGUCGCAGAGAGGAGAAUCUGUGAAAUCCCCGUCCCCGCUCAAUCAUUGACUUCCAAAUCUCCAUAUUACCCCAAAUAUGAAGUGACUGAAGGUUGGUGGGAAGGCCAUCUUCUUCAAGGCUUGGAAGCUCACCUCCUAUUCUUAAUUGUUGAAGAGAGGUCAGAUUGUGCAAUCCCUUGGGUAAGGCCUCGAGAAAGGACACCAGAUUUCCACACCUCUCAAUACUAAUCCCUCGAAGCUGUCGGAGAUUAUGUAAACCACUCGGUAAAAUUUUCAGAUUUUCACAAUUAGAAAUCUCGAUUUCUUCAAGAGAUGUGUUGUUGUCCAACCUUUCUGCUAUUGACUCCAGCUUUGAACAACUCCGAACAUUAAGUAUCUUAAGAGACGGAGGUAGAUUGCCAACUUCAAAGGACUCAAGCGUGGCAGGUAACUCUUUUUUUGAAAAUAUACAUGUCAGAGAUGGACAAUCGAGAAUAUCUAAAUGCUCGAGAAGAUAUGAGGUGUACCUUCUGCUGCUGCUACUGCUCUGGAUGCCCUCUUCCACUGUCAAAGUCCUUAUAUUAUUGCACAUCUUGAUGUCCAACCUCUUAAGGCUCAGUGGUAGUUGGACUCCAGCAAUAUAUGUCAACGAAUGGCAAUGCCAAAUAGUCAACAUCUCGAGAGAUGAAUUGGUGCCGCACAUCCAUGCCUCUGGUAACGAUUUCAGUGCAUCACAUUUUUUAAUCUCAAUUUUCUUCAACUUGGAAGGCAGAGCAACCUCAGGAAAGGAAACAAGGGAACUGCAGUUGUAGAUUUCUAUAUCUCUCAAGGAACUGAGGCUGAACGAUGAUUGUGGCAACUUCACAAGGCCUUCGCAUCCGCUCAAUGCUAGAUAUUCAAGUCUGGAUGACAACUCGCAGAGCUGCUGUUGUUGGUCUUUCUCUUCCUCCGCCACCAAGGAUUGAAGUUUGGGACACCCUCUUAUCGUCAGUCUUCUGAGAGAGCAAAUGUCUUGCAGUAAUUCGUUAUGACUCUUCCAUAUAAAUGAUUGCUCUUUCAUAUCAUUUAUCUUCAAUUCUUCCAAUUUUGGCAGUCGCGGCUUUAAUGGCCCUGCGAGAAACACUUGAUUUGAUCUAUCUCUACAAACCACUGAAUUCUGUGAACCGAGAUGAUCAGUUGCACUUCUCCACACAACCUUUUUACAUCCACCAAUCUUUAAUUUGCAAAGAGCUGGAAGACUCGAAACUGAAACUGACAAUUCUUCACAUCCUUUAAUAACAAGCUUCUCCAAUGCAGGAAGGUGCUCUGGAAAUGUUCCUUGCAGCUUAGAACAUCUUAAAAUGUGAAGCUUUCUCAAUUUAGGAAACCGUUCAACUCCCUGACUGGAUCCAUGAGGAAUCCAGUCUUCCCAUCCUUGCAUGUCUUCAAAAUGAAGAGUCUCCAAGCAUGGAAAAGGAAUUGGAGUAUCAUUCCCAUAGAACUCUGAACCCAACCUCUUUACACUAGUCAUUCCACAUACUGCAAGAUGCUUUAGAGAGGGUAGUUGCCCGACUGACGGCAGGGUAGGACACAUGCCACAAUAUUCAAAUUUUAAGGUCACCAACUUUGAGAAUGAGGAAUCUCCGAACCAAGUUGGAAAUUUUGCACCUCUAUAGCCGCUGAUACAAAAUUGUUCCAAAAUUUUAUUGGGUUCUAGCAUGUCAAGCACGUCCUUUUCAGUUUCCGCCUCCCUUGAAGACGAGCCAUCAGUACUGAGUGUCCAUCGAAGCAAUAAUUCUCUAAGAUUCUUCUUUCCAUCCAAUUGAGCCUCCUUUGCAUCACCAACGUCUUUUACAUUCUCCAAUUUUGAAAUGUUAAGUGUCCCAUGAAGGUGCGUCAACAACUUUAGCUCUCGUAAACCGGAACCACUGCCUUUUCCCACAACAAAAUUACACAACGUCUGAAGACUAGUCAACCUACCAAUUCCUACUGGCAUUUCCUCCAACGACUUCGUAUUUGAAUUCUUAAGAUGAUGCAAUUUGGCGAGGUUUCCCAUGUCUGCACACAACUUCUUCAGCCGAUCACAAUCUUCCAACAAAAGACUAUGCAAAUUGUAAAGCUUGUUGACUGAUUCAGGCAGAGUUCUAAUCUCAGUUCUAGACAGGUUAAGGUACCUUAAAUACCUCAAAUCACCAAUUGAAUCCGGCAGCUCAGGGAUGCGGUAUCCACGCAAAGAGAAGACCCUCAAGCGUCGGAGUUUGAGCAACUUAGGAAGAAUGCUAGGAGCCAAGAAGCCAGGCGAACUUUUUGUCAACAUUACUGGUAAAAAAGUUCUCAAAUGCUGGAUAUCAUACAAGUCCCCAAACCUUUUACCGCCAUCAAAAUAUUCAGGAAUGUAUGAUAGAUGACGAAGAUUUUCGGAAAAACCUUGCUGCUUGUAAAUUUCUGAGGUAUACUCCAUUGUGAAGUAUAUCUCCCCCGCAGCCCAACGGGCAAGGUCAUUGAUAAGAUCGUGCAUCACAAAUCGUGAUGUAUUGUUGCUUAAUUGCUGGAAAAAAGAUCUUGAACGUAGCUCUUGAAAGAACUUUCGACCUAGAACUUCGUUAGGAUUCCCACUCUCUUUAUGAACCAAGAAACCCGAAGCACUCCAUAAUAAAAUUAUCUCCUCCUCUUCAAAUUCAUAAUCCUUCGGAAACAACGAGCAGUAUGCAAAGCAUUGUUUCAAAAUUGGAGGAAGAUAAUAAUAGCUCACUGCAAGAGCUGGUAUAAUGGGACAUCUAUCUUCUGGUAAUUCCCAUAUCUUGCUACUGAGCACAUCUUCCCACACACCUCUGUCAUGUUCUCCACAUAAAAGUCCUCCCAGUGUUUUUGCUGCCAAGGGCAAGCCAUUGCAUUUGAUCACUAUCUUCUUGCCAAUGUCCUCCAAUGACUUGUGUGAACUGAAAUCUCUUGUCCCCAAAGAGUGCUGAGCAAACACGGACAGACAAUCCUCAGUUGACAAGUUUGUCAAUUCAUAAGCUUGAUCCGGCCUCAUGAUUUUUGCAACCUGUUGAUUGCGAGUAGUGACAACAAUCUUACUUCCCUGCGCGCCAGCUUCAAACGGACGGCUCAUGUCAACCCAGUCAUUGUAAUUCUCAUUCCAAACGUCGUCUAAAACGAGCAAAAAUUUCUUUUGAGAUAACUUCUUCUUCAGCUUCUCUUGAAGCAAAUUUAAAUCACUGUCAUCAAUAGUCUGCUUGGUAACGGAUCUUAGAAUUGUUUUUGUUAGCCCCUUAACGUCGAAAUCCUCAGAGACACAAGUCCAUGCCUUGAGAUCAAAAUGAUCCUGCACUCGCUUAUCAUUGUAGACAAGCUGAGCAAGAGUGGUUUUGCCCAGGCCGCCCAUACCUAUAAUAGGAAUAACAGAGAAUCCACCAUCGUUGCUUAAAUCAUCCCUCAACAGCAGUUCAACAACAUCCUUCUUUUCUGUUUCCCUGCCAUAUACUUUGGCUUCAGUCACUAAAGAGGUUGUCUCUAGCCUUUGACUGGCUUUUUUGGACCCUCCAGCUGAACUUUCUUUCAAAUCUAGCAAGUUUUUCUGUGUCACAAUUUCUUGAAAUCUGCUGUUGAUCUCUUUGAUUUUGGACAUCAAGCCAUAAUCGAACUGAAUCGAUUGUGGAGUAAAAGUGGUGCAGCAAGCAGGAAUGAGCUUCCGAAACUUACUUGUUCUGGCACGACUGCUACUGGGUUGAUCAUGAGCAGCAGCUGGUUCUCCAUUUCCAAGCAGCAACAUCCUCCGGAAAGCCUCAGUUUGAAACUCAUCCAACAAGUCUUCAACAUCAUAAGCCAAGUUCUGAAGCUUGCCAAGCCACUUCUUCACAGACCGAUUAGUUGUCUUCUUCUCCUCAGCAUCAUCAAGCACCGCCUUGAUCAUCUCCAACAUAUUCUCCCACUUCAUUAGAUAGUCUUGGAUCUUCUCUUGGCGUGCAAAAAACAGAAUCCCCUCUGAAGCUAACUUAUUGACCAGCAAAUCAACGGACGCCGUAAGGAUUGCCUCUCCGAUGAUCGACAUUUUUUUUCUUUUUUUUUGGGCAAAGGAAGAAAGGAGCAGAAUUAUGGGUUAUGGAAAGCAGAAUGAGAAUAUUGAACGGGUGAGAAAAUGGAUAAUUAAGCGGAAUGAGUUUGUGAUUGUGAAGGGUCUGGUCCAGCAAGCUUAGUAGAAAUCACGCGUUUGUACUUUAUUGACCAAUGACUAAUAAUUUGGCAAUGCACCCACCACCACCACUUGGUAAGCAAAAUGAAAAAGUUUAAUAAGUGCAGGGGUCCAGCAAAAUACGACGUAAAAUGUGGCAAGUCUCCCCACUUGUUGUUCCUUGCAGCUAAGAAAAGAAAAAACAGAGCCCACCACCCAUUAAUAAUUUAGCAAUUCACCAAUCACCACAAAAUUCCAUUAGAUAUUCGUCGAUCAAGUAGUUAAUCCAGUGUCUGCUACGUAGAGCCUUCACUUUACAAAUCUUCAACUCAUAAACCAAGUUAAAUCAAGACGUUUCUCUCUCUGUAUAUAUAUUUUUUAACUCCUAAAACGUUUCUUUUUAGAAAUAUUUUACUUUAUUCAUCUAAUAUGUUAUCUAACAAAUAGACACAGAUGAAAUCACUCUAAAGUGAAGAUGAAAGGGAAAAAAAAAACAUUCCAACCACCAAUAAUUUAGCAAGCUUCACUUUUAUUCCACCAAAGUGUAAAUAAAGCCAGCCCCCACCACCAUCAAUAAUUUAGCAAGCUUCACACGCUUGUUGUCUUCUCCUUGACGAACUGGACGGGGUGGACCAAGAAUCAAUGAAAGAAUUUUAAAAAUAAUAAUAAAAGAAAAACAUAAACAUUUUGGACUCAGAGUAGAACCGUAAUUAAUGCUAAAAUUUAUUCCGCUAACGUUUUCAAAAUAUUGUUCUUUAUAAUUGUACAGCAAAUAAGACUAAGUUUUGGACAUUUUCAUAUUCACUUACUUUCAAAAGCAGUAUUUCGAAACAUUUUACAGAAUCAAGUAACAGUUAUAUAACGAGAAAAGUGCAAAGUUGUGUAAUUCCAAUGUUUUUUUUAUCACUGACACUCAGAUCAUUUUUUAUUUGGGUCGCCAACUCGCCAAUGAACCCAUGAUUGAAUGAGUGUUUAGAAAGAAAAUCAAUAAAAAACAAUGGUUCUGUUUUUUUGUUAAUUAGGUUAGUAUUUAUGAUUGAGUGACUCAGAACUAUAUUUUAGAUUGAGAAUCAAUGGUUCUCCCACACUGAGAGGCUGUAAGUUUAAGAUUGUCGUUUGCUAUUUUAUCGACAAGAGAGCACUCGAUUUUAUUAAAAGGAGAAAGUCAUAAGAUUUCCUUUAUGAGAAAAUGUAUCUGAUCAUUCCUUUUUACUUGAAAAAUUAAUAUACAAAAACUUACUAAUAAAUGACAUAAUAUACAUAAAUUAUUAAUUCAUUUGAUAGUUGAUUAUCGAAUGACAUUUGACCCAUGGGAGCAUGCAGUCUAUAAAAUAAUUCUUCUUUUUUUUUUUAAACAAAAAAUCGGUGAUGUUGAAAAGCAUUUCUGUAUAUUAUUAUUACUCUAAUUGGAGUGAACAUUUCAUAAAAAUAAUGCCGUAUGAAACUAAAUUAUUAAUUCAUUUGAUAGUUGGUUAUCGAAUGACAUGUGACCCACAAUAAAUAGUUAAAUUUGGCGGCAACAAUAAUUACAAGACGAACUUAAAGCAGCGCAUAGGUUUUUCUUAAAAAUACAUAAACAAUUCGAUAUUUGAAAUUCUAAUAUCUCAAUAAUAUUGAUCAUGAUUCAGUUACCAAUUAGAUCCACUUACAAUUUCUUUUUUUCUUUUUCUGAUUUCCAAUCUUUACCAAAAGAAAAUAUUUAGUGAUCCCUUUUAUCAACUUGGUUUUAUUGACUUUCUUCCUAUCAUAGAAGUGAAAAGAGAAACAGAGGCCAGCACCAAUUAGUGUUACCAGAUUCUGUAAAGGCAAAAUCAGUGCCCAGCAAAAAGAAGCUAUGUUUUCGUUAUAUGCUGCUUCCUAUUUAGUACAUGCAUAUAAAGAUAUACACGUGCACAUGCAGCACAUCUAUCUAAAACUUAAAAAACCGAAUUAGAAAUACAGGAUUUAUGGUAGAAAUACAACAGGAAUAAGAGUGAAAUUCCAAUUUUAAAAAUUGGGAGAAAUGAAAUGCGAUAUUUUUUUAUUAAUAAAAUAAUUUAAUUUUUUUUAAUUCUACCAGCAAAAACCAUUAACUUAUCAAGUUAUUGGUUUCAUUCACAGUUUACAGUCGGUUUCUUAGUUUCAUUCCUUAAUUCUACAAGAAAAAAACAGAAUACUUGACAUUUUUUAUUUGACAGUUUUUAAGAAAUGUCAAACAUAUAUGACAUUUUGUGAAAAACUGAGUAAUUGUGAAAUAUAAAUGACAAUUUAUUUAAACGUCAAAUAAUUGUGACGUUUUAUCAAAUAAAUGAUAAAUAUAUUACAUAUUUAUUGAAUAAUUAUCAUUUACCUUUUCCUUUUAUUGACUUGAGAAAAAAAACAAAAACAUUGACUAUACUGCUUUUGUUUUCGUUCUUAGAACAGAUUUUAGUUUCUUUUGAGAAAAUUCAAACUAUUCCCAUUACUUUCUUUUCAAUAAUCACCUCUCAGUUUUUCAUCAAUCACUCAAUUCCGAAUUUCAUCUCCAUUCUCUUUCGAAGAAGAACGCACGAAGAAUUUUAGCUUGCUUUCGCUGCUUCUCGAAUAUUGGGUAUUGUUUCCUUUAAUUUAGAUAAUUUUUUUUAUAUCUCUCUUUCAAGUUUGAUAAUUUAGGGUUAUACUUGAAUUAAUUGUAUUUUUAAUCAACCAAGGUUGAUUUAAUUGAUUCCAAGUCUCAAUUUCCUGUUCAACAAACAGAGAACGCACAAAUAAUUUUCAUUUUCAUACUCAAUUUUGAAAGAAUCAAUUUAUUUUAUCUUUGGUUAGUACACUUCUGUUCAAUUUUUGUUUAUUUAACUUAAGAUAUCUUUUUCUUUCUUUUCUUCAAGCAGAUUAUAGAUUAUAUUGAGAACAGAGCUUUCUCCUUAAUUCCGCCAAGAGCAACAUUGAUUUCAGGUGAUAAUUGAAUGUGUAAUAUUUUCAAUUGAAAUUAAUUGAGUCUCGUAAUAAUAAUAGGGAUUUGAGAUUUACAUCCUGUUGAAAUGAUUUUAGAGUGUUCUGCUAUUUGAAUGCGCAUUAAUUGUUCCUCUGUUUCAAAUCCAAAUCCACUGGUCUACUAUUCAUUAUGACAAUGCAUAUGCCGAUAUUGUCUUCCAUCCUUUUUGUACCUUUCAAUUUAGUGAGGUUUAGACAGGGGUUCCAGAUUUGGUAAAUCAACAAUCACCAGAUAUGUAGAGCGGCCGGAAGAGGAAGCAUGGUUCCUAAUCCUAAUCUUGAUUUAGAGCAGAUUAGGUAACAUGUGGCAUUCUACAUUCUUGCAAUGCCAUUUCUUGUUAUGGCAGCAGCAUUCUUGGUCAUGGCAUCACAAGCAAAUGCUUUGAUUUGAAGACUUGCUUGGCUAUGAAAAAUAAGGAGAGCAAAGGUAAUUAAUCUUGGUGUGAUCAACAUUUUUAUGGGGUUACUAAGAAAAAUAAAGAUAAUAUAAAGAAUGUUGUUGAGGGGUAUUUUCAUAUUUACACAAGUGUUCAAAGUAAAAAUUGAUUUCUUAAAACCCAUUAGCUAGCGCACAUAAUAAUGGGGAGAAAAUUUUAGACUACGAAUGGUCCCACCCAUUUAAUAAUAUUCUUCAAUCAAUUAUGUUUACUUAAAAAAAACAAACCCAUCUCUUUAUUACUUUCUAACUAUUCAUAUUAAUGUGUUAAUAAUUAUGAAGAACCGGUGUAAUUUAUAUGAUGUAGGAAGCACUUUAGGCAAAAUCAUUUGAAUCUAAAAAUUUCAUGAUAUUGUGCCAAAUAUCCAAAACAGAGCUUCCUACAUUUCAUUGCGCUAGCUAAUUUCUUGUACCAAAAUUAGGAAUCACUAAAGAGUAGAGUUACGUGACUGAAUAGUAUCAUAUCACAGAAACUCAAAACUCAAAAGUGCAAUAACAUUGAACAUUCAGCUGGCUAGCUUAUAUUAAUUAAUUAAUACUACUACUAGUUCUUUAUGAUUAAUUAAAAGAUAAAAUAUUUUACAAUCACAAAACAUUAUUCCAUCACUCAAGAGUAGAGCUUCCUACAUUGUUACCCAAGCUCUUUUAUAUCUCCCAAACAUUAUUAGAGUCCCACGUUUGUGGCACAUCAUGAAGUAAAAUGUGCCAAUUAGUAAGAGCUUCUUUGUUUUGUUUUCUUGGAUGUGUUGCAAUUUUCAAGUAUCAUUCAAAAUUUUACGCCAUCAACACAGGAAAAUUAUAUAUAUUCUGUCAGCACUUGCAUAUGUUGCAAGUGCUGACAGAACUUUUCAUUUGAUUUGAUAAUUGGCUAAGGGUGAUUUCGAUAACGUUUCCAAAGAAGAUAUAGAACAUAGAUCAAAAAGAAAAAUAAGUAAUUUGAUCAGUCGAUGCAAAAAAUGAGCGAGCUUCGUAGUCUGACUAACAGGACAUGGCUUGGAGCAAGGAUCAAUGGACAAGUUUGAGGUUUAUGAAAUAUUGGGAAAAGAGACAAAUAAUAAAGCCACUACAAGUUAAGCAGAUCAAAUAAACAGAACAGAGGAAAUAAGUGAUCAAUUUAUUACUUUGUGCAAUGGCCACAGCAACAGCGAAAAUAUGUCUACAUGACUACAUUAUCCGACUGGCAUGGUACUAUCACCAUGCAGCAUUACACUAACAUUUCCUUAUCAAUCAAUUUUGAUGGUAUGAUAUUAAAAACAUCGACUUCAUAAUUUUAUGUAAUUCAAAGAAAAGAUAUAAUUGAUUUGAGUUAGUUUAAAAUAUAAGGAAAGAGUAAUGGGGGAUGAUGUCGAUGUGGAAUGUGAUGAGUAAAGAUAGACAACAAAUAUUGAUAAUGUAAUAAUGAAAUAUGUAUUUAUUGAAAAUAAAUUGACAGUUAAAAUUAAUAGAUAUAUAUCCAAUGCAUCGAGUUUAUUUUAUCACUUCGCUAACUAUUUUGUAACUACAUGUUAAUUAGAAGUUCAAUUAAUUUUGACCAAAGACUCUAGAGAAUGUCAAAAAGAGAUUUGAUUUUUGUCUUAAAAAAAUAAGAAAUGAAAUAAGUCAAAAUCAAUCACAAGAACAACAAUAAGAGCAUAUUUUUAUAAAACCACAAAUACAUAUAAAUUUAGUUUCGAAUUAGAUAAUUAUUAAUUUGUAUAGUACGAGAGCUUUAUAGAAAAAGAGGAAUUUUUUAAAAGGAGAUUUGCUUAAGGAACAACUUUAGUUUGGUUUAAUUUGUGAAGGCUCAAGUAAUUGAAAGCAACGCAAUGGAAGGAAAUACAAGCUUUUGAUUUUGACAAAGUAAUCACUAAAAUAUUUGACAAGUUUGAGAUGUUAAAAAAACUGGAAAAAUAGACAAAUAAUGAAGACCCGACAAGUUGGCAAAGCAAAUAAACAAAGGAAAACAGAGCAAAUAUUUACCGUUAUACAUAUAUUUUUUUAUUUUUUCCGAAAAAGAAUGUUGCGAUAUUUUUUCCCAAUAAGAAGCACGGUUUGAUAUUACUACCAUAGACCUUUAGCUACCAUAUAUAAGCACGUGUCUAAUUACCAAAUGAAUUCCGCUAUAACAAAGAAUAAAAGCUAAUUUCAUUGAUGGCAUAUGUUGUGCUUUCUUUUAGUUGCAUAUAAGUAGAGCACUAGAUCAACAAAUAAUUGAAGACUUGUUUGGCUAUUGAACCAUAGGAAGGCAAGUCGUGAACAGUCUUGAUAUAAAGUCGUGAACAGCCUUGAUUUAAAGCGAUCAUUGUGAAUAUCCCUGCCCAGUCUGAAGUGGGCUUUGAUACUUGUGACAAUACUCGAUCGAGGCUGUAAAGAAGCCGUGGGUGUACAUUUCUGGUCCAACAAUCAAUCUAACUGGCUUACUUUACAGCAACAAAGAGAUAGAGAAUAUAUUAACUGCUUGUGCAGAAUAUGGAGCAAGAGCUUAUUUAGUGUCGUGUCAAAAUAAAUAUAACAAAGUUUAAGCUGAAUAUAAAUUGUUAAUUACAGGCAGAGCAAGUUGAGUUUAAAAAAUGCGAAGCACCCAGUCCCAAAACAGAGAAGCUUGACGUUGGCCGGCAGGAUUAAUAUUAUUUUUUUUUUAACAACAAUCAAAGCCAGUUGGGAAUUUAUUAAGAGGUUAAUUAGUUGAAGUAUAAAAAAGGAAUUAGCAGGAUUCACGCCCGACCAAAUCCACAUGGCCAAAGCAAAGGAUUAAGUUUGAGAGAUUAUAAUGAAAUAUAAGUAAGCUUCGCACAUGCAUGCGUCUGACUGACAGAACAAAUGAAGGAAACAUAAACUUAUCAUUUUUAAGAUGUAAGCAUCAAAACAUUCGACAAGUUUGAGGUUCGUGAGAUAUUGGGAAAAUAUACAAAUAAUAAAGCCACUACAAGUUAAGCAGAGCAAAUAAACGGAGGAAAUAACUGAUCUAUUUUGUUCUUUGUGCAAUGGCCACAGCAACAGAGAAACUAUGCCUACACGACUACAUUAAUCCUACUGGCGUGGUACUAUCACCAUGCAAAUUAACAUUAACAUUUCAUGAUCAAUCAGUUCUGAUGACAUGAUAUCAAAAACAUUGAUUUCAUAACUUUAUGCAAUUUCAUAUAAAAGAUAUAUAUAGUUGAUUUGAGUUAGUUUAACAUAUGAAGAAAGAGUAAUGGGGAAUGAUAUCACUGUAGCGGGUGAUGAGUAAUGAUAGACACCAAAUAUGGAUCAUGUAAUAAUGAAAUAUGUAUUUACUGAACAAUAUUUGGCAAUAAAAUGAUGCUUUAAAAAUUUAAUAUUGUUUGCUAGAAAAUAAUUUGACAAUGAUGCUUUAAAAAUUUAAUAUUGUUUGCUUGAAAAUAAUUUGACAAUUAAAAGUAAAAGAUGUAUAUGCAAAACUUUGACCUUAUUUUAUCACUUCACUAACCAUUUUGUAAGUACAUCUUAAAUCGAAGUUCAAUUAAUGCUGACGAAAGACUCCAGAGAAUGUCGAGAAGAGAUUUGAUUUUUGUAUACCAAAAAAUUACAGAUGAGAAAAGUUAAAAUCAAAUUGCAAGAACAACAAAAAGAAUAUAUUUUAUAAAAGCCACAAAUACAUAUAAUAUAUAAUCAGUUUCGAAUUAAGUAAUUAUUAGCUUAUAUAGUGAGAGAGUGUUAUAGGAAAGUUGGAAUUUUUUAAAAGAGAUUUGCAAAGGAAAAAGUUUAGUUUAGUUUAGUUUGUGAAGGUUCAAGUAAUUCAAAGCAAUUAGCAAUGCAAUUGAAGGAAAUAUAAACUUCUAAUUUUUACAAAGUAAUCGCUAAAAUAUUUGACAAGUUUGAGAUUUUCAAAAAGCUGAAAAAAAUAGACAAAUAAUGGAGACCCUACAGAUUGGUAGCGCAAAUAAACGGAGGAAAAUAGGGCAAACAUUUAUUUUUUUCCAAAAAGAAUAAAAGCACGUGUCUAAUUACCAAAUAACUUCCACUUUAAAAAAGAAUAAAUGCUAUUAUCAUUGUUAGCACAUGUUGUGCAUUUUUCAUUUAUUUAUUUGCUUUUACUUAUUGAAGUUACUUUGCAAACUGCUCCAAGCAAACUACAAAAUUUCUUAUAACUCUAGGAUCUUUGCAAUGGUCCUGCAAUUUGCUUUCCUUUCUAUUAGGUUAGCUGUUUAUUCAAAAGAAAAAAAAAAUGGGGAAAUGGAAACGUCACCCUCUAAAUACAGAUUUUGAAUUUUAUUAUUAUUAUUCAAAAUUAGAUAACUAUGCAAAUAAUGGGCGGUUAUAACCAGUGAAACUGUGUCCAGCUACGAUGCAGGUUUAUUUUUCACUUGAUUAAAUAUAUACAAAACUAAAUCACCUGAGCCUCUGGUUUCACUAUUUUUCAACUUCAAAUUAAAACGCAAAAAUUGAUGGUAUUGGAGUUCGUUGUUUAGUUUUUCUGUAGGUCAUGGGGAAUCAAAUAGCCAUCCAUUUUUAUGUCUAUUUUAUGUACUAGUGGUCACUGAGUAUUGGGAUGUCAUAGGCCCGAAAAGAUACAGCUGAAAAUCAAUCCCCUAUCUAAAGUGGAAAACAGUAGCUAGAACAGAAUCGAUGGUUUGAUGUCUUAGUUUAUUGGCUUAAACAAUUAAUAGUACAGAAAAUGCAUGAUAGAACUCAUAUUUUAGCAAUAAUCCUCAGCUCACUGGCCGUUAGUUCAGAGUGACAAUUCUUAUUAGUCAAAGAAUCAAGAUGAUUUUUAGUUGUAUAUGAAUAGAGCACUAGAUCAACAAAUAAUUGAAGACUUGCUUGGCUGUUGAACCAUGCCGAUGGCUAUUCAAAGACUACAGCUUAGCUCUGCCAUUCAAAGUUAGCAACUCAGCUGCCAAAGACUGCCAAGCCAUCAAGAUAAUACCAAGAUACAACGUCAAGAAUUACAUACAGGCCGUCACAUAUUACGUUUCUCCUCUGUUUUAAGAGAGAUUUACGAGCCCAUGCAGUAGAAGUAAUUAAUUAAUUUAUACAGUUCAGUACUCAUUCCUCCUCUGUUUCAAAUCUAAAUCCACUGCUCUGCCAUUUAUUAUGACGCAGGGUAUAUGGGUUAGCAAGUGUCGAUAUUGUCCUUCAUCCUCUGUGUACCUUUCUUCUAACAAGGGACAACACGAGAUCUCUAACCGCAAAAGAAAGGCAGGCAGGCCCUUCUCUGGAAAGUACUUGAGCUUGGGACAAUUACAGAGUUUCAAUCAAAUGAGGUUUUGAUGAUCAACAAUUGAGGAAGACAGGCGUUCCAAAUUUGGUAAAUCAACGAUCACCAAAUAUGCUAGAGUGGCGGGAAGAGGAAGCGUGGCUCCUAAUCCUAAUCUUGAUUUAAAAUUGGCUAUGUAACAUGUGGCAUUCUACAUUCUUGCAAUGCCAUUUCUUGUUAAAGCAGCAGCGUUCUUUCAUCAUGGCAUCGCAAGCAAAUGUUUGAUUUGAAGACUUGCUUAGCUGAGAAAAUUAAGGAGAGCAAACGAAAUUAAUUUUGGUGUGAUGAAUAUUUUUAUGGGUGUACUAAGAAAAGUAAAGAUAAUAGAAGUAAUGUUAUCGAGGAGUAUUUUGAUAUUUACAAAAGUGUUCAAAGAAAAAAGUGAUUUUUUGAAAUCUAUUUGCUGGUGAACAUAAUAAAACGGCAUUCUGACUUCUGAGUAAAUUUAAAACUACAAAUAGUCUUACUCUUUUAAUAAUAUUCUUCAAUUAAUUCUGUUUCUUUCACAAUAUAAAAUCCAUCUCUUUAGUACUUUCUAACUAGUCAUACUAAUGUGUUAAGGCUAAACCUAUGUUACGUGCAACGUAACAUACAUUCAACAUGUAAAAUAUCAGCUAGUACCCAAAAAUUUUAUGGAAACUACAUUAAGAGAAUUAAAAGAAAUACUUUUAAGUCUUCAAGAAGAAAUAUAAGAGAUAAAACAAGAAAUAGGAAAAAUAAAAAUUGAAAUGUCUGUAAUACAAAAAAGCCAAAAGAAAAAUAAAAAGGUAGAAAGACUCGAUAUAAUAAAAACAGGAAUAAUUGGAGCAAGCUUUAAAAAACCCACUCAAAAACCCCAGAAAGGUAGUUAUGAUUAUUGGUUUAUGGAAACACAAUAUCCGAAAAUAUUGCGAGAAUCUGAAGAACUAAAAGCAGAAAUAAAAAAGAAAGAUAAGGGAAAAGAAAAACUAGAAAUAAAAGAACAAACUCCAUCUGAGUCAAACUCUGAGUAAUGGACGAUACACUAGAAAGUUUAACUGAAAAAUUCAGUGACAUAAACCUUAGUGAUUUAGAAGAUUUUGAAAAAGAAUACCAAAUAAAAAUGAAUGUAGCAGGAGGACCAGAAAUGAAACCUAAUAUAACAGAACCAAGUCAUAGAUAUAUGACGAAGAAAAAAAAUAAUAAACCUUUUUAUGAAUAUAUCCCUACAGUUAAAAAUACACCUUGGAAAAAAGAGUUUGCACCCAAUCAGGAUACAUUAAAUCCUAUAAGCAAUACAGGAACAUUUUUAAACUUAGACUGUAAAAUAGAUCCUCGUAAAACAUUAGCAGAAUGGGGAAUACAAAUGAAACUGUUCUUUACAUACAAUGGGGCUAAUGAUGAUUGGAAUGUAACUACAAAUGAAGAAAAAAUAGAUAUAUUUGUAGAUAUCAUAUUAACCAGUUUUACAGGAAAUAUAUUUAAUUGGUGGAGAGGAUUAAGUGAUGACACUCAAAUGCUCAUAAAAGAUUCAACCAAAAUAGCUUUUAGAAGAAGUAAUGCUUUAGGGAUUGAAAGAAUAAUUGAAUAUAUUGCAAGUGAAUUUUUAGGAGAAGAUUGGCUAGAAAAUUCAGAAAGAGAAGAUAAUACUGAAAAACAAAGAGCAAGGUUAAAAUUAAUGAAUUUAACAAUUUGCAAUAUGUGUUUUAUUAAAGAAUAUACUUGUGAAUUUACCAAAUACUACUAUGAGCAAUAUCUAAGUUUAGAGGACCAAGAAGUUUAUAAAAAUCUCUAUUACUCUAAAUUACCGUACCCUUGGAAUAGUUAUUUUAUUAAUGAAUAUGAAAAAGAUAGUACUUCAACUAGACUCCCAGAUACUCUAGGAGCUAGAAUAAGAUUUCUAAAUACAAGAUUUAGUGAUAUAUGUAUCCAAAGAAAUCUAAUAAAAAAGAGUAAAAAUAUAACAACAAUAUGUUGUGAGAAAACAGAGAUGCCAACCCAAUGGGGUUGCUCUAUGCCGUAUAAAAGAAAAAGGAAGUUAUAUAUGAAAGAGAAAAGAUAUAAAAAGUAUACUAACUUCAAAAGGAAAUAUAGAAAACCUGGACGAAAAUAUUAUAAGAGAAAGUAUAAAAGUCAAAAGAAACAAUUAGAUAAAACGAAAUGUAAAUGUUGGAAUUGUGGAGAAAUAGGACAUAUUAGCACAGAUUGUAAGAAGAAGAAAGUUAGAAUUUUACAAAAGGACUUUAAUACAAUACAAGAAGAAUUAGAAGAAAUAAGCAAUAUAUCAGAUUAUGAAGGAGAGGAAAUAUAUAUAGUAAAAGAUUCUGAAAAUGAAUCAGAAUAAAAAGGAUAUAAUUGAAACGGAAGAAAUCGAAGAUAUUGAAGAAAUAGAAAGAGAAGAAAAUAAAAGCGGAUAUAGUCUUGUAGCAACUUUUAAUAAAGAAAAAUAUAACAAACUUUUGAAAUUGAAUGUAGAAAAACCAGAAUAUGGAAUAUUACAAAAAUUGAGAGAUCUGUUCAAAAGAAAAAGAAUAGUAUUACAUGAAUAUUAUGAACAAGAAAAAGCUGUAACCAUUACACAAGCUGAAGGAAAUAUUAGGUUCAGCUUAAUAAAUAAAAGAACCAUAGAUUUAGCACUAAGAAAGGUAAAAAAUGAAUCAACAAGAGAAAAAAUACAAUAAGUGUAUCUCGCUGAAAUUCAAAUAUUAAUAAAAUCACUCUUUAAAGAAGGAGUAGAUAGUCCCAUAGUGUUGUCAAUACAUGACCAACGAUUCCAUGAUCCUAGUAUAGGACAUUUAGGAACAGUAGAAGGAAAUUUAUGCUAUACUAAAUUAUUAUUUACAUGCCAUCCUAGAUACUAUGUGCAUAUAAAAUAUAGGAAUAUAGAUGAAACACUUAGCCUACAUUUUAAAUUACUUAAAAAGAAUCUGAUGAAAGAAGGAAAUAGAUUAAUGACCAUAAAUUAUUCAGCCCUAUACAGUUUUUGUAAUUCAAAUUAUGGAGAAGUUUAUGGAAAUAAACCAUAUAUAGAAAUAAACAAGGAAUGUGAAGAUAUAGCAACUCUUAUAGAACCCAUUAUGCAAGAUUAUAAAAUCCCGAUAACUUAUGAAUUAAACAUAGAUGAUAAGAAACAAUUUUUAAACGAUAGUAAUGAAAAUUCUAUAAUAAGCUUUGCUGGAAGAACCCUUUUAAGAGGGAGUUCAUCUAGAAGAUUAAGCACUGAUAAACAGAUAGCUAAUAACCUAACAUUAGCCAGACCCAUAAUAAGUAGUAAUGUAGUAAGAAUAUUUGGACAAUAUUUCAAUGGAAUAGAAUAUACCAUACCAUUACCUAUUUUAAUAGAUACUGGAACAAGCCAUAAUUAUAUGAAUCACACAAAAAAUAAAGGACUGUUAAUUAAAGAAAAGGAAAUUCCAAAUGAAUAUACUGAUUUCAAUGGAAAUAAACAUAUAUGUAAACAAGAAGUAAAAGUUCCUUUAAUCAUUGAAGGAAUUAGAAUAAUUGUAUCUUGUUACAUAGAUUCUUUUAUGACUACAGACCCUGAAAAACAUAUAGUAUUAGGAAAUAGUUUCUUAAACAGUUUAGAAUAUUAUAAGAUUGAGAAACACCAAAUCACCUUACAAAUAGAAGGUCAAAAGAUAGUAUGUGAAACAUGUUAAAUCAAGCUUAUAUCAAAUAUCCUAUGUCCGUAUAUAUACAAAUCAAUAUAGUCGAAAAAGACCUAGAUACGUGUGCCUUAAUAGAUACAGGUAGCGAAAUAACAAUUAUGAAAACUUUCUUAUCUAACCAAUGGCAAGUCAAUGGAAAAAUAAAACUUAUUAGUAUAACAGGAGAUAAACAACAUAUUAAUCAAAGUUUAUUGAACUGCGAAAUACUCUUAGGAAGUAAAAUUGUCCGUAUAAACCAGGUAUUUCAAUAUAACCAAAUGGAUUGUGAUAUCCUUUUAGGUAAUGAUUUCAUACAACAAUUUCAGUAUUACCAGCAAACUCCUUACAUGAUUACCCUUAAAACACCCUGUAAUCAUAUCCUUCGUAUCCCUCGAGAGUUUAAACCUUACAGAGUUCAGCCAGCCCAGCGUGGUGAUAAGGUUAUUUAUGAAAAACAUUAUUUAAUUUCUAAAGGACAGAGUUAUAAUAUACAACUUGAAACAAUAAAAUCACAGCUUGAAAAAGUGUAUAAAGAAAAUCCAUUAGCAUUAUGGAAAGCAGAUCAUCCUAGAGCAAAGAUAGAAUUAAUAGAAAAUAGGAUUAUAAGACUUAAACCUAUGAUGUAUACAGAGGAAGACAGAGAAGAAUUCAAAAUCCAGAUAAAAGAAUUAUUAAAUCUAAACUUAAUUAGAAACAGUAAUAGUCCACACAACAGCCCAGCGUUUAUGGUUAGAAAACGAUCAGAACAAGUUAGAGGAAAAGCUAGAAUGGUAAUAAAUUAUAAGGAAUUAAAUAAAUACACGAAGUUUGAUGGAUAUUUUUUACCAAAUAAAGAAGUGCUGAUAAAUCUAGUGAAAAAUAAAACUUAUUACUCAAAAUUCGAUUGUAAAUCAGGAUUUUGGCAAAUAAAAAUGGAAGAAGAUAGUAUCCCUUAUACAACAUUUAGUACCCCACAAGGUCAUUAUGAAUGGUUAGUAAUGCCUUUUGGAUUAAAAAAUGCCCCUCAGAUAUUUCAAAAUAGAAUGGAUAAAGUCUUUAAGGACUAUAGAUAUAUAAUUGUAUAUGUAGAUGAUAUAUUAAUAGCAUCAGAAACAUUAGAAGACCAUAGAAGACAUUUAAAAGAGUUUGUAAAUAUCUGUAUUAAAGAAGGUAUAGUACUGUCAGAAAGAAAAGCAGUAAUAGAACAUAAGAAAAUAGAAUUUUUGGGAAUGAUUCUUGACAAACAGGGAAUCAGACUUCAGAGCCACAUAGGCAAAAAGAUUAGUGAAUUCCCUGAUAAAUUAGAAAAUAAACAACAAAUCCAAAAAUUCUUAGGUUGUUUAAAUUAUGCUGAAGGUUUUAUAAAAGACUUAGCAAAAAAGAGGAAUACACUCCAAAAAUUACUUAGAAAAAAUAAUACUAGAGGAUGGAAUAUGGAACAUACAGAAACCGUAAAAACUUUAAAAGAGGAAUGUAAGGAUCUCCCUUCACUCAGAUUACCAGAGGAAACUGAUAAACUAGUAAUACAAACUGAUGCAUCUGAUUUGCAUUGGGGAGCUAUACUCAAAACUGAUAUAAAUGAAAUUUGUAGAUACACCAGUGGUACAUUUAACCAAGCACAGGUUAAUUAUCCAGUACAUGAAAAAGAACUCCUUGCAAUAUAUAAAGGAAUUAAAAAAUUUUCCUUAUUUUUGUUACAAAAACCAUUUAUUGUAGAAACAGAUAACUCUCAGGUAAGCUCAUUAAUUAACAGAAUUUUACCAAACGAACCACAAUAUAGAAGGUUACAUAGAUGGCAUGCAUAUUUGUCAUAUUAUAAUUUCAAGAUUAUACACAUCAAAGGUACUAAUAAUUUUCUUGCAGAUUUCUUAAGCAGGAACAUAGAAUUUGGAAAUGGAUCCUGAAAUAGAUAAGAUCCUAUCUGGAAUAGACGCUGAACUGCAUAGACUGGCAACAGAAGCAUCAGAUAUAAUCGAUGCAAUAAAUUACAUAAAAGAGGCUUAAGAGGCCCAUGAAAAAGGAGUACAUUUGUUAGUGUCACAAAUAAACGACCUGACAAAAGCACUCUUAAUAAACAAAGGCCCAACAGACAUCGCGCCAAUAAACACCAGCCCGAAAGGUGAAGGAAGCAGUAGUGGACCCAUCAGAGAAAAUAAACCUAUCUCUGACCCGGUGAUAAACCCAUCAAAUAUAAUAUCCAUAGAGGUUGAACCGCUAAAAUCAAGUCCUUCAAAAAAGUUCAUCCAAAUAAACAAUCUCCAGAUAGAAGAGGAGAAGGAACCCUUAAAUCCAAAAGAAGAAGAGUAUAAACAGUUCUCUACUUAGAUUUACUCUACCUGUUCCCAUAACAAUAAUAUCCACAAAGCACCUAGAAAAAAUAUGUACCCUAGGAUGAUAGCUACUAAAGGAGCAGAUCCACUCCUUGUAGGAAAAAUAGCCCGUUAUGGUUAUUUAGACUUGGUAUAUUCAGACAUAGACCUUCGAGAAAUAGCCAGUUUGGACGAGUUACUAGUUAAAGAAAUAUCCAAGUUUGCCCAAAAAAGACCUAUAUACCUCAAAUUCUACACCAUAAGUCCAGAAUACCAUCAAAAUGUAGAAUACCAGGCAUUUUACAUGAUCUCAGUAGGGCAUAUAACAAAAAAUUUCCAAUUAGAAGUAGGAACCGAAUAUACUAAUGUUCCUCAUAUUACAAAAAGCUGGAUCCAAACCAGAAGAGCUCGAGGUAUAAAAGCAAUAUGGAGCAUAGCAAAAGAUUUGUAUAAGAGAAAUUUCAGAACCAUCAUUAGAUUUCAAAAUUGCAUCCUUGUUACAGCAGAAGACAGUCAUACACAGUCAAACAUCCUACUGGAGCUAAUCAAUGAGAUAAGCACGAUGCGAUUUCCCAGUAGCAAUAAAACUAUGCAGCAGGCUUAUCAGCUUAUGGAAGCAAGCAAUCAGCCAAGAUAAAGAAGUGGCAGACAGAAUAAAAAGAGAUGGCCGACAAGAUAAAAGAUAAAGCAGAGAUGGCCGACAAGAUAAAAGCAGAAGCUAAAAUUGUCAAAGAUGUCCGACAUAAAGAAGACACGUGUUUGUCAGAAAUAAGGAAGAAAACGUUGUAAUAAUGUAGAAACGUAAGCAAUGAUGUAAAAGCCCAAUAAUUAAAGGGCAGUAAGGUAACUUUGUAAAGAAAAAAGUUUUGAUAUAAAAGAAAGAAAAGGAAGAGAAAGCUCUCAGAGCUUAUCAUUCAGCAAGAAUUUAAUCAUCUUGAAGAGUUUUUUUCCAAAAAUGGAUAGCUAAACCUUUUCUUGCUCUAAAUCCUAAAUCGAGACAUCACUAAUCAAACACCAGAGAAAGGAAAGAGAAACCUAAACUCAUUCAAGAUUUCUAAGCUUAACGAUCGGAUUCCAUACAGUAAGGCCGCUCGAGUCCGCUGAUCCCGUUGAGGCAAGGAGGCCGUUGAGGGAAUAAGGACAACCAGGCUGCAGGUCACUGGAAAAGGAUUGAAAAGCAGAGAAAUAAGGAUAAUUUAGGUAAUAAUUCUCAACCCUUAUCUGUUGGUGGAAGUUUGUUGCUGAUUAAUGAUGUGGAGAUUUAUGGAGGAAGAGCUAAUCUCCAGAAGUGAUAAGAAAUCUUUUAGCAUUCAAUGAACAACAAUAUCUUGUUAGGAAAUUCUAAAGAAUAUAUAAUAAACUCAACAACCAAGAUAACAUACAAUGAUUAUAUGAUGAUAAUAGAUUUUAAUCUAGGAUCAUUUAAGCAAAGUUCUUAUCUUUUGAGUAAAGAAGAGCUUGUUAGAACAGAAGAUCUACAAGCAGUAUGCACGCUUGACUUACCAAAAGAAAUAAAAAGAAAAAUUAUAAACCAUAUUGAAAUGGAUAAUUUAAAGCAUAAUAUAAUUAUGUUAACAAUAGAACAAGGAAUUGACGUAGCCUUGGCAUAUAUAGAACAUGAAAGUCGAGAAAUUGGACCAUCAUACAUAAACUACAUAGAAAAUUCAGAUAAUGAAGAACUUGAACUGUAAAAAAUAAUAUAGAGAAGCAACCUAUAAUAUAAAUCGGAUAUCUUUUAGGCGUUAUUUUAUAACAACCCACGUAACUAUAACCAGAACAAUUUAUAAACAUAAAAUGGAAACUGGAUUUUAUAUUAGUAUUCUAAAUAAUAUUUAUAUUUUAGUAAAAAUAGAGAUAUUCUAUUAUUCAGAAAAUACUACACAUAAUCCAGAAAUUUCAAAUUUAAAUAAUCCUACUUAUAUUUUAGAAACUAAUAACAAUUAUUACGAUUUUAUUUCCCUACUCCUCCUAAUAUUAUACCUAGGAUACUUGAAGGAGAACAGGUUAUAGCCUUAUAUUUAAGGAAUAAUAGUAGCACAGGAUACGAUAGAUAUACCCUAUAAUAUAAUAAUAAAACAUUCAUUAGAAUUAAAACCAACUAUUUACUCUUAUAUUUUGUUUUCUAUAAUUAUUUUAUUGUCAUCCAAUUUAACUUUGUUUUUUUUUUUUUGCUUAGUUUAUAAAUUUUAGUUUAUUUAGUUUUAUUCAGUUUACAUAUUUUAUUCAGUUUAUAUUUAGUUUAUUCAGUUUACAUUUAGGACACAAACCAAAUGGUAUCAGAGCCAUACAAUCAAAAAGGUUUAAUAAGAUUCAGUAACACUGUACCUAAUUCUAUAAUAUAAUAUCUUGCAUCUAUACAAAUAUGAAUCCAGUAGAAAGUAUAGUUAAUAGUUUAUAUACACUAAAGGUCUUUGAAAAAGAAGAGAUAAAAAAUUUAAUAAUAUCUCUUAAGACAGAAAAGAACAACAUAAGGAAUAUAGAAAUCGAACUAAUACAAGAUUUAUUGGAAAGAUCAAUAGAUACAUUAGGGGGUGAAAUUAUAAUAGAAAAGAAGAUGAAAUUCAUAAAAUUUUUAGUAUGUUGGUAUAAAAAAGAAGCAUUACCAUGAAUCAACAAGCUUUUAACACAAUACAUCAAAUGACAGAAGCUCUAGACCAAAUGAAUUUAGGAUGGGAAAAUGUGAUAACAAUUUAUAUAAAUCUAAUAACCCAAAAAAUAGAAUUAUUAGAACAAGAAAGAAUAGGAAUAAUACAUUUAGGACCAAAGAUUUAUUCUGAAUUUAUAGAUUUAUAUGAAUUUGAUAACCAUGUGUUAUUAUAUAGAGAAAUAAAAAGAACACUAGAAAGAAUAAAAAAUAGGUGUAUAAGUGAUCAAAGGAGACAAAUACACCCGUAAAAUGAAAAAACAUAAAGAACAAGGACUAAAAUGAUAUUUGCCAGAAAGGAAAAGACAAAGAACGUACGUUACACUUAACGUAACUUAGAGAAACCCAUGUGUUAAUAAUGAAGAACCAGCAUAAUUUAUACGAUAUAAGAAGCCCUUUAGCACAUUAACCCGAAUUUAGCUAAUGCAUGUGCCUAAUAUAGCGAAAUCAACAUUCAGCUCAUUAGAAUGCCAUUAUACAAAAAAACUGAAUAUUAAUAGACACUGGAUCAUGUUGGAUUGUUAGUUGUUAAUUAUGAUGGGAAUACAAUUUUCAUAACUAAUGCAUGUGCACUUUCAUUUGUGUCUAAAUAUACAAAAACUUGUAUCCGAUGGUUUACAUUUGUUUAAUCUAACGGCUAUAACAUGUAUACAGACAAACGCUACCGCUGCCAUCUUUCUUUGUCCUCGUUGUAUCCUUGAUCUUAUAUUAUCCUGGUGAUUCUUGAAAGAUCUUCCCAUUCUCACAUGCUGAGUCGCUUGCUGGGAUGAUUAAUACUCGAAGGUCCUUCAUUGGGACAUUUCAGCAAACACCUGAUUCAUUCUAUCAAACAUCUGCAUCACUAAUCGCUAAAUGAUAUAAAAUAGUUCUUUUUUGAAAAAUUGAUAUAAAUCAGUCACCUUAGAUUUUCUUAGUCUCAGAGCACAACGGGUGAUGAUUCCAUGAGAAAUAUUAAUAUGCAUGCAUCCGCUGCAUUAGUUAGAGCUGCUUGUCAUUUUCUUCGUUCUUUUGGAUACUAUUUUAAAUUUUUAAUCAGUCUAAUUCAGCUGCAUGUUUGCUUUCAGUCCAAAUCGAAAUCAGAUAUUAAGUACUUCUACUGGUAUGGACGCACCCAAAAAUCUAUGGGAUCCGUAGUUCUUGCAGAAGCGGCAGAAUGCUGCCAGCAAUUCAGGCAGAUAGAAGCUUGGUUGAGUGGUUGUUCUUCAAUGUGAAAUUCUACAUAAUGGCGAUCCUUUUAAUGGGGUUUAAAUUCUUUUUUUUUUUUUGAGUUGUUGAUUUAGAGCAGAUUAAGUAACAUGUGGCAUUCUAUAUUAAUUCUUGCAAUGCCAUUUCAUGUUAUGGCAUCAACAUUCUUGACCAUGGUUUUAUUUGCUUAAUUUUGCUUUCUGUUUUUGAUAUUUUCUUCGCAUUGUUGUUGUGGGAUUUGUUAUUUGUAGAUAGUGUAUAUGUAUGAAGAUAACGUAAUAAAGUGCUUUUGAUAAAUUCCCCUGGUCUGUUUACUUCACUAAUUCAUUAAUGAGCAAGUCCUCUAUAGAGCUGUGUUGUGCGUUCAAGUUUUGCUACAUGAAAUCGUUAGGUGAGGAGAAUUUUUAAAAGCAUACAUCGAAGUAAUGAUUAAAGGGACAAAAUCAACAUAAAUAUUGAUUAUCUUGAGUUAGAUUAUACAAAGAUCAAAUAAUGAUAAUCUAGUAAAUUUAUCAUAAUACACUACUAAAAAAUGCAUUUUAAUGACACAAAUUUUAUGACAUACAUCUUUAUGUCAUGAAAAUAUUAUGAAAAUACUUGCAUGAUGUAUAAUGCUUCUGUGAUUAUUUGAUGAUAAAUUCAUAAUUGAUGCUGAUAUGAAAUGAAGUGAUGAUAGGUAAAUAUCAUGCGAUUUUUUUUAUGGGUAAGAAUAUUUGAACCCACCAAAUUACUCUUUAAACUUACUUUUUUAUUGAUAAUUUUAUUACAAAAUUACCGAUAAUUUGAAUUACUAUUACAGAAAAACAAUAAUUAUAUAAAAUUAUUUUACUUUUACUCAUUGUUUAAACCUACCGCAAAACUCAAUCAAAGUAUGCUUAUUUUCUUCUUCUGCACAAGUGUAGUAAAGUUUUUAAUAAGUUCCUCCUUCAUCCACAGUUGAGAACUUUCUAACUUUUGUUUCUUGUUCUAGUAAUUUGGAUAUGCUGUGUUAGAUACUGAAUUUAUUAAAUUUCUUCUUCUCUUUUGAAUAAAAUCUCUUUAAAAUUCAAUUCAUAAAAAAAUAAAAAAUUAAUCUCCUUAUAAUUUAAUAUGUUUCAGCUGUCUUAGUGGACUGAUGCAAUUUGUUUCAAUCAAAGUUUUGAAGCAUCCUAAAUUAUUAUUAUUUUUGUUUAAUUUGUUUAGAGUUCAAUUGUUUAGGUCUUGGCUAAUUUUUAAUGAUAAUAUUUAUGAUUAAAUUAUAUGAGUAUGGUUAAUUUUUUUUUCCUUCAAAUUUAUUUUCUGAUGUUGCAUUUGGUUAGCAAAAAGAUAAAAAUAGUAGAAAAUGUCAGAAUUAUUGUAAUGAAAAUGUUGUUUUAGUCUGAUAUUGGGAAAAUAUCCUUAUACAUAUUGGCAUGAUAUUCAUGGGAGACCAAAUUGAGAAUGAUGGCAGACUAUGCAGUACUCACAAUUAAUUUAAAACUCACUAUUUCUAUUGUUUGUGUUUUAGUAACUUUGGGGGAAUUCCAACUAUAGUUACUAAGCUAUAAACUUGUUUAGGAUUACUAAUCAACUUGCUAGAAAGAGUUGCAAACUAAUUAGCUUUCUCUUAUAACUUUUACAGAUCAUCUGUGGAGGAGAACUGCAAGGAGUUGAAGACUCUAGACCCUAAACUUCAUAUCUUGAUUUAUAAGUGUAAUGGGCAUAAGUCCGAAUUAUGGGCUGGAGAUGGUAUAUGUAAUCAUUCUGCUCUUGGUGUUUUUUUUUUCCUCUAGUUAUUUUUGUUCUCUACUCCAUUGUAUAUUUGCAUUCAAAAGUAUUUUUUCUUUGUUUUAAGCUUUUAAAUUUAUGGAGAUGAUCUUAUUAGGCGUUAAAAAAAUAGUUGUAGAGCUUUACUAAAACUAUGUAAACUCUUAUUGAGAUUUGGGUUUGAUUUUGUAAGAUUGCUAAAAAUUUCAUAUUUUAUACUUGUUUUAUACUUUUCUAGUCGAAUUUCUUGCUUGUGGAAGAUAAAAUAAAAGUCCAAUUCAUGUUGUAAAAUUUUUUUCCUCCCUUUUUUCUUCCCUUAUAAUCAGGCUCUGGCUUUGGUGCUAUGCUUGGUGCAGUUUAUGGUUUCAAUGCAGGGAACCAAUUUCAUCAGAAUCAUCUUAAAGGAUCAAAGUGGCUUCCUUUUGUAACUGGGUAAGUCAAUGCUACUUCCUGAAUUCGAUUUGGAGUUCUUUCGGAAUAGAUUUCCUUCCCUUACAUCACUUGGCUUCUAGUUGCAUCUUCUUGGCUUUCUCCAGCGGACUUUUUUAUUGGCAAAUUCCUUUGUUUCUAUUGUUAUCAAGUGCUAGUGCUGGAUUUGGAGGUAUGAAUGGUGCCUUCAUUUUUAUUUUUUUAAUUUUAUUUUGGGUGUAUAGUAUUGUAAUAUACUUCUUUGUAUAUGUUAGAGUGCAAUUUAAGCACUAGUUUUGCAUUGUUUACUUCCCUUAAUAUCGAUGUUUUGCACUUAAUAAUAGUGAUUUACUUUUGUAGGUGCAAUUCUAUUGAUUGGUAAUAAAAUUAAGCUACAAGAUGAUAUUUAAUGAUGAUUGUUCUCUUGGAGAAAUUAUGAGCGUCAGAAGAACUUUGUUGAUAAGGCGUGGGCGCGUGCUGUCAACUACGGACCUGCAGUUUUUAGUUUAAACGUGUUUUGUAUUUUUGGUUAUUUUUGUAAUUACGAAUUUAAUAUUUCAGAUAUUAGCAUUUUAUUUUAAAUAGAAUUCUAGAGGAGAAGAGAGGGAGAGUAUUUAAGGGAGGAAUCUAUUGUGAAAGAGGGUAGAUUGGAGAAAAGAAAGAAACCCUAGAUCUAAAUUUUUCUCUUCUCACUAUGAAGAACUAAACCUAUUAUUCUGGUUGAAGGUUAAUGAAGCUUUGAUUCAUCACUACUGUGAGAUCUUUCUUAUGCUUUAAUUGUUUUAUUGCUUUUUGGGUAUUUGUUUAAUCUCUGAAUUAUUUUCAUGAUUAUGUUUGUUAAUUAGAUAACUGGCCACUAUUUAAUUAUCAACUUAAUCUAUUGUCGAUUAAAGGAUUCAUCGUAUGAAGAUUUUAAUGUUUGUGACAAAUAACAUAGUAGAGAGUUGUGUUGUGAGAAUAAACAAUCUAAUUUAAAUGAACCAUCGUAUGCGUUUGUUGAUUAGGAUUUGGGUCUCUCUGGUUUUUCAAGCUGCCAAUUGAUUAAAUCCUAUGAUCGUAUCUAGGGUUGUCUAUUGAUUAGGGAAAUAACCAACGGUCGUACCUUGGUUAUCGACUAGUUAAGGAAAGAUUGGCUAUUAGAGGGUCUCAGUAGCUAUAACCAGUCUAUUCAUAAGUAGUAAUAAUUUAUAUUUGAAUCAAUGAUCAGUAGUCGAAUCAAGCUGAGUUAAUUCCUUUAACCAGAGCUUUCUCCAAUUUGAAUUACAACUUUAAUUUGCAUUUUUGUUAUUUUAAUUUGAUUUUUAUUAUUGUCAACAAAACCCCCAUUUUAUGUUUUCCGUUUUAAAAGGAUUUAAAUAAUUACCGAUCUCUGUGGACACGACCCUGCUCAAUCACUAUACACAAUUUAUUUAGAGUAGAUAUUUAUUUUUGUUGGCUUCGACAACCAUCAGUAUAGCUAGUACAAAAUAGUUCUUCAACUUCUUACUUUUGGCUUUAAUGGGUUCGACAUAUGAUAGCGGAGCUCUAUCACCAUUUGAUGUCGGACAACAAAUAGGGGACAUAUGGGAUUAGAAAAAUAAGAAACAUGACCAAAAUAAAAAUCUAAUCUACUCAUAUAAGCAACUCAUCAAAUAAGUGUAUCACAUACUUAAGUGAAUAAGAUUCCGUGAUUUCUAGGAAUCCAAGUAAAAUUAUAACAUUCUUUAAAUAAGACUCACAAGCUUAUUAGGUGUUAUAUUGAAUCAUCUAAGUUGAAUAAUCUUUUGGGUUGAAUAUGUUAAUUUCUUAUUCCAUAUGUUUCAGCCUCUCAGUAGUUGAAUUAGCAAUGGAAAUUUGAAAAUGGAAAAACUCAAUGCAAUUAUUUUAGGUGCUUAUCAUAGAUAAGAAUUUCACUUUUUACACUUCAGUGUCUGUUGUCAAAUUUAUUAAGUAUGAACCUGGAUUAGGUUUGUGCUCUCGAGGAUUUAUAAAUAAGUGCUACUUGACUUAGAUGUAAGAAAAUUGAAAAGCAGAGUUGCUUGAUUGAAUAGCUUCAUAUUUUACAUCACAGAAACUCAAUUUUCAUUGCCAUAUGUAGCUCAAAAGAGCAUGGACAUUGAACAUUCAGCUAAUUUAUACUAACUAAUUAACAUGACUAUCAGUUCUUACUUCUUGGUACCCGACAACAUCCAUCCAUAAGAGUGAAACCCCCAUUGAUUUCAUAUAUACAAAAUAAAUAACUUACAAAGACAAUAUUUUGUAUCAAAUAGUUGAUUUCUUCAUGUGAAAUUCUACCUAAUGGCUAUCCUUUUAUCUGGUUUAAAUUCUUCUUUUUUCUUUGAAUUGUUGAUUUCUAAUGUUCUUGUCAUUUGCACAUGUGGCGUUCUGCACUCUUGCAAUGCCAUUUCUUGUUAUGGCAGCAGCAUUCUUGGUCAUGGCAUCACAAGCAAAUGCUUUUGAAUUGCUUUGUUUGUUUUUUGUUUCUGAUAUUUUUUUUUUUUGGCAUUGUGGGAUACUGUUUCUCUUUUGAUUUUCUGUCUUUGUUGUUAUGGGAUUCUGGUAUAGUAUGCAUCAGUACACGUAUGAAGAUGAUGUGAUAAAGUGCUUUUGAUAAAUUGCCCCAGUCAGUUUACUUCACAAACCAACCAUUAAUGAGCAAAUCCUUCUAAUGACCCUUGUACACAUUAGAAUGAAUGCAAUUAUAUAUAUACACAAAAAUAAAUAAUUCUCAAGUAUAUUAUUUGAUAAUCGCAAAAGCAACAAGUCACUCCAAUAAAUCUCAUAACACACUUGUGGUCUAUAUUGCAAGUCUUUGUAGAGAAAAUAUGAAGGACACACAAUUGAAUUUUUUCUAUGAUAAAGAACUCUAAACAAAUUCAUAUACAUAUCGCAGUACCGCUUACAAAUUCAUUUGUUUCUUCUUUUCCUUUGAUCAAGUGCUAAUUACAGCCUUGAUAUUUCAUUUGGUUUUAGUUAAUUUUCUAUAGGGUUGUGUUGUAUGAAAUUAAUUACAAAACAAUCUUUAACGAAGUCUUAUGAAAAUACCAUAUUAUAACUACAAAGUUAGGCUUCCUAAUCAAGCUACUGUUCAUCAGAUUGUGUAUUGUGUUACUGGUGAGCUCUUAUGUCAAUUAUGACCAGACGGCGCCUUGGCUAACUGUGAGUUAUGUGCGAACAUAAGAGCUGCAAAUGAGUUAUGUACUAUUUUUAUGUGACAAGGUAUGUGCUCUGUUUUUAUGGUCUUUCUCUCUGUAGUUCCCUCUGUAGUUUUUUUUUUGGGAUACAUUGAUAAUAAAAUUAGAAGUCUACUAAUAUGUACAAUCAGAAACCUAUUGGGGACUUUUUGUCUUUUGAUGCAGUUGUAGGGCACAGCUCAAAUAUUCUUUCCUCAUUUAAUAUUGGAGAAAUCCGACUCCCAAGCGAUUCUGUUUGCGGUUGUUGGACAAACUGUAAUGUGAAUUUAUAUCUAAUGGGUGUGAUAAUCCUUGUAGUCAGUUUGGGAUUGUUGAUAUAGAUAUGAUGUUUAGUCUCCAAAAUUCAGAUGAUGAUAAUCUUGUGAGAACUUUUUGUCAUAUUUUCUUUUGUGUUGGUGUUGGGAUCUUAAUUUUGUAACCAAUGUUACGGACAAUAUGAACCCAUUUUAAGUGAUAUGAUGCAAGUUCAUGUUCAAGAAUCCCUUUAAUGAAACAUUCCAGUGUUUAAUAAUGAUGAGUAAUUGAUUUAAAUUAAUACCAAAUAUUUUAAAUAACAUGUGGCGUAUUCUAGUGGGAUCCUCCAACUCAGAUUUCUAACUCAAAUGGAAACGUUUCGAAUUUCUUCAUAACAUUCUGUAGAACGGUUCUUCUCGUCUUUACACUUCCUUUUGUGAAUUUCUCCCAGUUUCUUUUGUGAGGACUUCUGAAUAAGCUUCCAGGUAUUGAGAUACAAUCCAAUCUAAGCCCAUAAGUAUAUCCGCCUCACAUUUGUCCAUUUCCCCAGAAAAUCAAAAAGCACUUUGCUUCGAAACAAUCACUCUCAAAAAAACCAUCUAGCUACCCAGAUGGCGAAAUCAAGAAUCUUGCAAUGGCAAUGCCAUUUCUUGUCAUGGCAGCAGCAUUGAUGAUCAUGGCAUCACAAGCAAAUGCUCUGAAGCUGUACGUACGAUCACCUUUCUUUGACAUGAUGUUCCCAAUGACAGAAGAUCCUUUCAGGGUUCUUGAACAAGCCCCUCUAACAAUCCCAAAAGGUGCUGAUCAUCAUCAAACUCUAACCCAGGCGAGAGCAGACUGUAUGGAGACACCAACAGCACACGUGAUCACGCUCGACAUUCCAGGGAUGAAGAAAGAUAAUGUGAAUAUUGAAGUUGAAGAGAACAGGGUCCUGAGAGUGAGUGGGGAGAGGAAGAGUGACGAUCACUAGAAGGAGGGAGUUGAAGGAGAGAAAUAGCACAGAGCUGAGAGAACAUUUGGCAAGUUUUGGAGGCAGUUCAUGAUGCCCAUGAGUGCUGCCUUGGAUCAUGUUAAGGCUCAUUUGGAAAAUGGUGUUCUGAGGAUCACAGUGCCAAAGCUUAGUGAGGAGAAGAAGAGGCAGCCCAAGGUUAUUAACAUUGAUGAAGAGCCUGGUAAUUCUUCCGGUGAAGAUAUUAAGACCGCCAAGGCUCAAAUGUGAUUUGAUUAAAGAAAGAAGUGCUUGAUGUGCUAUUUGUUUUGUGAUCUUUUCUUGGUUUUGUUGUGGGAUGUUUUUCUUUGGAUGUUCUGUUUAUUGUAUUUUGAUGGAUUUUUAAAGAUGGCUUGUAUGUAUUAACAACAAUAAAGUGUUUUCUAUAAAUCCGGGUCCUAAAUUUGUAAAAGAAAUUAAUAAAACGCUUGGUUUAUUGUUAAUAAAAAUAAAAAAGAAGUCUCUUUUUCUUUAGCAUAUAUUAUGCAUUUUAAGGAAAAAAAAAUUAUCACAUUCUAAUUCAUAAAGAUAUUCCUCUUCUGUCAUAUUAAUGUGUUAAUACGACGGUCUAUUGGAGUUAUAAUAGUUUAGAUGAAUCCAAAAUAUUCAACAAUUGAUAAAUAGUAUAUAUAAAUAUUAAUAGCAAUGGCACAUAAUCAAGUAAUUCAAGAACUUGCCCAUAGUGCAUUAAGUUAAAAGAGUAAAAAUAACAUUACAAAACAUGCCAGACCUUACGUGUUAAAUUAGCAAUUGAAAACUACUUUACCGUACAACACCAUUAAGAGAUAUUUAUAACACUGUUGCUGAUGAGGCAGCUGUUAAUUCUUUUGGUGAAGAUGUUAAGGCCACUAAAGCUGGAACGUAAUCAGGGAAAUAUAAUGUAUUCACUUAGUUUGCUAUUUGUGUUUUUAUAUUUGUUUGGCUAAUUCUUUGAUCAGAUUGCUUUUUGUUUUUGAGAUUUUAUUGGCUUAGUCGUGGGAUAUUAUUUAAUCUUUUAAUUUUGUGUUUUUAUUGUUAUGGGAUUUGAUGAUGGCAUACAUAUAGGAAAAUUAUGUAAGAAAGCGCUUUUAAUAAAUUAUGGCCGGUUUACUAUUAAUUAACUAAAUUUAAUUUACUCAAAUUACUCCUAUACACGAUCAAAAUAAUUUCAAUUCCAUGAUAUAAAUACGCGCGUGCGGACACACAAAAUGUAAAUAACUUUCAAAUACAAAAUAUUUAAAAUAAUCAUCAUACUAACAAUUCACAAGUUAGAUUAUAAUAAGGCCCCCAAGGCUUAAAUGUAAUUGAUUAAAGAAAGAAGUGCUUGCUUUCCUUGAUGUGCCAUUUGUCUAUGAUGUUUUCUUGGUUUUGUUGUGUGAUGCUUCUCUUUAGAUGUGCUGUUUAUUGUAUUUUGAUGGGUUUUUGAGGAUGGUUGUAUGUAUUAGCAACAACAAGGUGCUUUUUAUAAAUCCGGGUUCUAAUUUUGUAAAAGAAAUUAAUACUCUUGGUUUAUUGUUAAUAAAAAAGAAAAAAGAAAAAACCUUUUUUCUGUGGCAUAUAUUUUGCAUUUUAAGAAAAAAAAAAUCACAUUCCAAUUCAUGAAAGACAUUCCUUCUGUCAUAUUGAUGUGUUAAUAGAAAGAUUUAUGUGAAUUAUAACAAUUUUGAUGAAUCUAAAUAUUUAAUAACUGAUAAAUUGUAUUUAUAAAUAUUAAUGCCGGUGGCACAUAAGCACUUAAUUCAAGAACUCCCCUAUGGUGCAUUAAUUUAAAGAGUAGAAAUAUUUAAUAAAUCAUGCUCGGUUUACUAUUAAUUAAUCAAAUUUAAUUUACUCAAAUUACUCCUCUACAUGAUCAAAGUAAUUUCAAAUAUACAACACACAAAAUGUAAAUGACUUUGAAAUAUAAAAUAUUUAAAAUAAUCACCCCACUAACAAUUCACCAGCAAGAUUGUAAAUAGUCGAAAUAAUGAUAAUCUAGGGGGUCCAGUCAUAAUAAUUUGAUUUUUAUUUAUAUUAAUUAUAUCAGAAAGAGUACGCGAGAUUAUAUAUAUAUAUAUAUCCAACAGCUAAAAUUUCAAAACAAUAUUUGCCCAAGUCUGAUGAAGAGAAUACAUAUAUAUAACAUGCACUCGCACACAUUCUAUUGUUUAAUUAAAAAAUUCGAAAGCCCAUUAUAUACAUGAUAAAGACUCACCGACACCGAACCAUAUUCAUUUAAAGGAAUUGUUUUCAACUGAGAUUUGAAAUUAUAUACACAAACACACCCGAUUUUUUUUUUUUAAAAAAAUUACUAAUAAUAAAAUAUUUAAGACGUCCUCUGUUCAAUAAUCAAAAACCCAUUUAAAAUCUAUUUCAACUUUAGGUAUAUGGGUUAACAAGUCCCAAUAUUGUCCUCCAUCCUUUCUGCACUUCUCUUCCAUCAACGGACAUGCCGAGAUCCAUAAUUGCAAAAGUGAGGAAGGCAGGCCCUUCUCCGGAAAGUAUUUGAGCUUGGGACAAUAGAAGAGUUGCAAUUCAGUGAGGUUUUGAAGAUCAACAAUUGAAGAAGAUAGGCGUUCCAGAUUUGGAAAAUUAUCAAUCCAAAGAGAUGUUAGAGAGGCAGGAAGAGGAAGCGUGGUCCCCAAUCUUAUGUCCUCCGAUGGGAAUGACACCAUGUCGUCAUCACAUCCUCUGAUUGUGAGUUCACGCAGAGAGGAGAAUCUGUGAAAUCCCCGGCCCCGCUCAAUCAUUGACUUCCAAAUCUUCAUAUUAUUAUCAAUCAUAAGAGAAUGAAGGUUGGGGGGAAGGCCAUCAUCUUCAAGGCUUGGAAGCUCACCUCCUAUUCCUAUUGUUAAUUCUUGAAGAGAGUUCAGAUUGUGCAAUCCCUUGGGUAUGGCCUCUAGUCUGUUACAACCAGAUAUCUCCAGCCUCGUGAGUUUCGCACAAGGCAAUCCCCCUUCGGGAAAGGACUCCAGAUUUCCACAAUUUAAUAUCUUAAUCUCUUGAAGCUGGCGGAGAUUAUGUAAACCACUCGAUAAAUUUUUCAGACUUUCACACCCAAAAAUACUGAUUGUUUCAAGAGAUGUGUUGUUGUCCAACCUUUCUGCUAUUGACUCCAGCUUUGAACAUCCCCAAACAAAAAGGGACUUAAGAGACGGAGGUAGAUUGCCAACUUCAAGGGACUCAAGCGUGGCAGGUAACUCAUUUUUUGAAAAUAUACAUGUCAGAGAUGGACACCUGUCAAUUAAUAAGUGCUCAAGAAGAUAUGAGGUGUACCUUCUGCUGCUGCUGCUGCUCUGGAUGCCCUCUUCCACUGUCAAAGUCCUUAUGUUACUGCAACUCCGGAUCUCCAACCUCUUAAGGCUCAGUGGUAGCUGGACUCCAGCAAUAUAUGUCAACGAAUGGCACCACAAAAUCUCCAAGAUCUCGAGAGAUGAAUUGGUGUCGCACAUCCAUGCCUCUGGUAACGAUUUCAGUGCAUCACAAAUCGAAAUGGAUAUUCUCCUCAACUUGGAAGACAGAGCAACCUCAGGAAAGGAAACAAGGGACCUGCAGCCGUAGAUUUCUAUCUCUCUCAAGGAGCUAAGGCUGAGCCAUGAUUGUGGCAACUUCACAAGGUCUUGGCAAUCUCUCAAUUCUAUAUAUUCGAGUCCGCACGACAAAUCGCAGAGCUGCUGUUGUUGGUCUUUCUCUUCCUCCGCCACCAAGGAUUGAAGUUUGGGACAGCUUCUUAUCUCCAGACAUUUGAGAGAGCAAAUGUCUUGUUGUAAUCCGUCAUGACUCUUCCAUAUAUAUGUUUGCUCUCUUGUCGACAAAAUUAAUACUUCCAAUUUCGGUAGUCGUGGCUUUAAUGGCCCUGCGAGAAACACUUGAUUUGAUGUAUCUCUACAAACCACUGAAUUCUGUGAGCCGAGAUGAUCAGUUACACUUCUCCACAACCUUUUUACAUCCACCAAUUUCCAAUUUGCAAAGAGCUGGAAGACUCGAAACUGAAACUGACAAUUCUUCACAUCCUUUAAUAACAAGCUUCUCCAAUGCAGGAAGGUGCUCUGGAAAUGUUCCUUGCAGCUUAGAACAUCUUAAAAUGUGAAGCUCUCUCAAUUUAGGAAACCGUUCAACUCCUUGACUGGAUCCAUGAGGAAUCCAGUCUUCCCAUCCUUGCAUGUCUUCAAAAUGAAGAGUCUCCAAGCAUGGAAAAGGAAUUGGAGUAUCAUUCCCAUAGAACUCUGAACCCAACCUCUUUACACUAGUCAUUCCACAUACUGCAAGAUGCUUUAGAGAGGGUAGUUGGCCGACUGACGGCAGGGUAGGACACAUGCCACAAUAUUCAAAUUUUAAGGUCACCAAAUUUGAGAAUGAGGAAUCUCCGAACCAAGUUGGAAAUUUUGCACCUCUAUAGCCGCUGAUACAAAAUUGUUCCAAAUUUUUAUGGGGUUCUAGCAUGUCAAGCACGUCCUUUUCAAUUUCCGCCUCCCUUGAAGACGAGCCAUCGGUACUGAGUGUCCAUCGAAGCAAUAAUUCUCUAAGAUUCUUCUUUCCAUCCAAUUGAGCCUCCUUUGCAUCACCAAUGUCUUUUACAUUCUCCAAUUUUGAAAUGUUAAGUGUCCCAUGAAGGUGCGUCAACAACUUUAGCUCUCGUAACCCCGAACCACUACCUUUUCCCACAACAAAAUUACACAACGUCUGAAGACUAGUCAACCUACCAAUUCCUACUGGCAUUUCCUCCAACGACUUCGUAUUUGAAUUCUUAAGAUGAUGCAAUUUGGCGAGGUUUCCCAUGUGUGCACACAACUUCUUCAGCCGAUCACAAUCUUCCAACAAAAGACAAUGCAAAUUGUAAAGCUUGUUGACUGAUUCAGGCAAAGUUCUAAUCUCAGUUCCAGACAGGUUAAGGUACCUUAAAUACCUCAAAUCACCAAUUGAAUUCGGCAGCUCAGGGAUGCGGUAUCCACGCAAAGAGAAUCAAAAUGAUUUUUAGUUGUUCAUAAGCAGAUCACUAGAUCAACAAAUAAUUGAAGACUGGCUUGGCUAUUGAACCAUACGCGGAAAUUCGAAGACUGAAACUUAACUCUGCCGUUCGAAGUAAGCAACUAAGGUGCCCAAAGCCUGUCAAGCCAUCAAGACAAUAUGAAGAUACAACAUCAAUAAUAAUAACAUCAAAAAAUACAUAGAGGCCAUUACAUAUUACACCUACCCCAAUUAGAAAUUAGUUAAUACAGUCCUAGCUCCUCUGUUUUAAAAGAAAUUCACAAACCCAUGCAGUAGGAAUAAUUAAUUAAUUUAUACAGUUCGGUACUCAUUCCUCUUCUGUUUCAAAUCCAUAUCCACUGCUCUGCCAUUUAUUACUACGCAAGGUAUAUGGGUUAGCAAGUGCCGACAUUGUCCUCCAUCCUUUGUGUACCUUUCUUCUAUCAAGGGACAACCCAAGAUCUCUAAUCGCAAGAAAAAUAUUUCAAAGUAAAAAAUGAUUUCUUAAAAUCUAUUAGCUAGUGCACAUAAUAAAAGGGCAUUCGUGGUAAAUUUUAGAUUACAAGUAGUCCCACCUUUUUAAUAAUAUUCUACAAUCAAUUCCGUUUGUUUUAAAAUAAAAGGAAUCUAUCUCUUUAUUACUUUCUAAUUAGUCAUAUUAAUGUGUUAAUAAUGAUGAAGAACCAGCGUAAUUUAUAUGAUGUAGGAAACCCUUUAGGCAAAAUAACCUGAAUUUUUUAGAGUAGCGGCUAGACAUAUUGGGCAUAACCUCAGUUUCUGUUACUUCUUUGACCCUGCCUAAGCUCUUUUAAGGGCUAAUAUCAAAAUUUCGUGAUAUUGUGCCUAAAGAGCUUCCAAUUCAAGGAGCUCCCCUGUUUUUGACUGAAACAUAUGUAAUCCGAAAAAUUUAUAAUUAGAUAAAUCAUUCAAAAUCUCCCUGAAUCUAACCCACAUUUCUAUGGUUUAAUAACAUAUCACAAAGGUGCCUAAUAUAAUGAAAUUAGCAUUAGUUCACGAGAUUGCCAUUAUAUAUAUUGAAAAAGAAAUUAAUACAAGAAACUGAAAAUUAAUUGACACUGGAUCACGUCGUGUUAUUAGUUUGAUUAUGAUGGGAAUAUAAUCUUGGUCUUUUAAUUAUCAUCUGUUAGGAAAUUGGUGGGUGAAGCAGACACGCAACUAAAGUAAAAUUGUAAGAAAAUAAAGAACAAGCACAAAAAUGGACACUAGAAUUUACGUGGUUCGGCUUUUAACCUACAUCCACGGGCGAAAACAGAAGGAAAUAUUUUACUAGUGAAAAGGAGUUACAAGUAUUGUAGUAUUUUAGCUCACUUCCCAAAACCCCAAUACACCCAAACUCUCAUAACACUAAUCACUCAAGAGUUUAUUAAACUCUUAAUACUCUCAACUCUUAAGGAAGGAAAUGCUUCUCUCUCAAAAUGAAAUAAAUUUGCUCAUUCUCUUCGUUUCUAUUUAUAGAGAAAGCUUUGGCACUAUUCAUCAAUUAUAUAUUUUUUUUUUCUUCUUUCUUUUGUCAAAGCCGUGUGCCUCUUAUUUCUUCUUCAAACAUUUACAGCUUCUAGAUUGCGGCUUCUCAUUCUCCAUUCUUCUUUUGUUUUCUUUUCCAACGAAAGAUGGUGUUGACCAUCUAGAUAGCCAUUUUUUUUUGACAUUUCUCCCACUUGGAGAUUAGAUUGAGGACCAAUCAAUCUCCACAUCAUCUAGCUACCGCAUGUGCACUAGUUUCAUUUGUGUCUAUCAUUGAAGAGUAGAGUUGCUUGAUUUGAAUAGUAUCAUAUCAUAGAAACUCAAAACUCAAUUUCGUUGCCCGAGCAUACCAUGCCAUAUGUAGCUCAAAAGUGCAAUAACAUUGAACAGUCAGCUAGCUAGCUUUUACUAAUUAAUUAAUACGACUAUCAGUUAUUUUUGAUUAAUUAAAAGAGAAAAUAUUUGACAAUCAUGAAAACAACAACAAUUCACUCCAAUAAACAACAUAAUAAAUACAUGAUAUUUAUUAAAAGUCUUUUUAUGAUGUAGAUUAGAAGGGAAAAUACGAAGGACAUAUUAUAUAUUAUAUAUGAUUGAAUUUAAUCCAUGAUAAUUAGACAAAAUAACACUAAUCUAGCUAACUAAUCCAACCAUCAUAAUAAUUUGAUUUUCAUUAUUUUAUUGUGUCCAAUCAUGCUAAUUUAAUAAGAAAAACACAGAACACUUGAGGAUUUAGAUAUUCAACAACUUUGGCCAAGUUUGAAAAAGAUUAGGGCUUCCUUCAUGCUUUGUGUUCUUAUGUUACACAUGAUCAUAUUAUGUGACAUUUGACAGAAAACUGAAAAUUAUUCAAAAAAAAAAUCUUAGUUAGCACAUGAUCAAAAUGAGAGAAUAAUGCACACACAUCACAACAAUGUUUCAUUCAUUUUGAAUCUAUAUUUACAAAACUUGUCCGAUGGUUUACAUUUGUUUAAUCUAACGGCUAUGACAUGUGUACUGUCAAAACGCUACAGCUGCCAUCUCUGUUUGUCCUUGUUGCAACCUUGAUCUUAUAUUAUCCUGGAGAUUAUUGAAUGUUCUUCUCAUUCUCAUGUGCUCGAGGGUCCUUUCUUGAGACAUUUCAGCAAACACCUGAUUCAUCCUAUUAAACAUCAGCAUCAUUAAUCAGUAAAUGAUGUAAGGUAGCCCUGUUUUGAGAAGUCAACAUAAAUCAGUCACCUUAGAUUUUCUGAGUCUCAGAGCACAAUGGGUGAUGAUUUGAUGAGAAAUAUUAAUAUGCAUGCAUCCCCUGAAUUAGCUAGUGCUGGUUGUCAUUUUCUUCUUUCUUUUGGUACGGUUUUAGAUUAUUAAUCAAUCAGAUUCAGCUGCAUGUUUGCUUUUAGUCCAAACCAAAAUAAGAUAUUAAGUACUUUUGCCAGAACAGACGCAACCAAAAUUCUAUGGGAUCUGUAGUUCCUAGUUCAUGCAGAAGCGGCCGAAUGCUUCCGGCAAUCAGGCAGAUAGAACCUUGGUUGAUUCGUUUUUCUUCAUCUGAAAUUCUACCUAAUGCCUAUCCUCUUAAUUGGUUUAAAUUCUUCUUUUUUUUCUUUGAAUUGUUGAUUUAUAAUGUCUUGUAUGCAAAAAUUUAUAAUUUCGGAUGAUGAUAAUCUUGUUUAAGAAGAGAUUUCUAGUUACGGCAGCAGCAUUCUUGAUCAUGGCAUCACAAGCACGUGCUCUGGUUUGCUUAGUUUCCUUUUUGUCCCUGAUAUUUUCUUGGUAUUGUGGGAUAUUGUUUCUCUUUUGAUUUUCUGUUUUUGUUUGCUUAGUUUCCUUUUUGUCUCUGAUAUUUUCUUGGCAUUCUUGUUCUCUCUUAUAAUAAAGUGCUAUUGAUAAAUUCGCCAGGUCGGUUUACUUCACUGACCAUUAAUGAGCAAAUCCUCCCAGUGACCCUCAAACUCUUCUACACAAUUAUAAUAAUUUCAGUUUUAUAUAUACAAAAAUGAACAGCUCUCCAAUAUAUUAUUUGAUAAUGACAAAUACAACAACUCACUCCAAUAAAUCUCAUAAUAAAUAAAUGGUCUAUAUUGCAAGUCCUUUUAGGACACAUUAAAAAAGAAAACGUAAGGAAUGGCAUUGCAAGAAUAUGGAAUCAGAAUAACAGUGAUACAAAGAGAAAAAAAAGGGGAUGGUCGGGUUGGGUUGCUUGCAAAAUUAUUGGUGCGGGGGUCUACUUGUUUUUGUUUCACUUUAUUAAUUAAUUACCGAAGCAAACACGUCAUCAUUUGAAAAAGAAUCACUAGCACCAGCUUAUGAAAAAUAAAUUUGUAAGACAUAUUAAUUUCAAUGAAAAUGUAGCGUGAUUAUGUUAUGAAUUCAUUAACUUACUUCAUUAAUAUUCUUCAUCAUUAUGGUUAAUGGCUUAGCAAAUGCAGGAGCAGGGGUCACCCAAAGUAAAACACUUUCUCUUGUAUUAACCUUUGCUAGCCGUCGAAGUUAAAUUUUUUUUUGAACAAGUUAAAACAGUUCCAACUCAGAAUUAGUAGUGCCCAAUUGGGUUGUUAUAAAUAUUUCGGAAUUUCAGUCUAAGUUGAAUUGUUUAAUUGUGUAUGCACAAACAAGCUUGACCACUUCUUUCAUAUUGAUACCUAUAAAUUGCAACCUUAUUUUACGUUGAUGCACAAUCUAAUUUAACAAAAAGAAUAUUCAAAUUGUCACAAAAUGUUUUCUUCUUAAUAUAUAUAUAUAUAUACAAUAGUUAAUUUUUCUUAUUCUUCACUCCAGGAUCCAGCUCCAUACCCCUCUCUUUGUCGUUAUGCUGCUCAGCCGUUAGAUUUUAAUUACAUUAAUCUAACAGUUGAGAUUUGUAAAUGAAUAAUGAUGUGGUGUUUGGCUACUAUCUGAGCCCACUGCAUCUAUUUGGUUUUGUGAUUUUUCGAUUGACUAGUUCUGAAAAUAUCGGCAGCCAUCGACGGCAAAUCUGAACAAAGGCAAUAGGAGGUGAUCGUGGUGAAAUUGUUUUUUGUCAUGCGAAUCUAACGACUUUCGAAUACGUUCAUUCAAAUAUUAAAUGCAAUUCAGGAAAAUAGAAGCUUGGUUGAUUGAUUGCUCUUCAUGUGAAAUUCUACCUAAUGGUUGUCCUUUUAAUGGUUUAUACUGUCUUAUAUGCAAAUUAAAUUCGGAAUUCGGAUGAUAAUAAUCUUGAUUUAGAACAGAUUAGGUAACACGUGGCAUUCUACAUUCUUGCAAUGCCAUUUCUUGUUAUGGCAGCAGCAUUUUUUAUCAUCGUUUCUAGAGAGAAUGAAGAGAGAGAGAAAGUAUCAUCUUAUUCCUUGUUAGUUUCUCCGUGUGAGCUCUGUAAAAUACUUUGAUUCAUAAAUAAAACUCAUUUUAGUCGAUUCUCCCUUGGAUGUAUGUUCUGCCUCAUUGCACAGCCGAACCACGUAAACAGUGCUGGUUUCUGUUUUUUUUCAUUUGUGUCUAUCACUAAAUUAUAAUUGCAAUAGGCAGAGGCUAUAGCUUUUAAAUAUUUGUUAGAUCCAUUGAGAAUAAUUAUAUUGGGCUAAUUUUCAAACACAAUAGGCAGAGGCUAUAGCUUUUAAAUAUUUGUUAGAUCCAUAGUAUUAUCGUCAUCGUUAUCAUUUAAACAAAGAAACAAAAUAAAUUUCAUUAAACUGUAGUAGUGGAUUAAAAGUUAGUCCAUAGUAGACAUUAAGAUUGAUAGUUAGUUCAUAGUAGACGUUAAGAUUGAUACUUUCAAUUAGCAUAUUCAUCAAAGGUAUCCAUGAUGUAUAUACUCGAGCUCCACUUGGGAUGUAUAAAUAACUCGACACAAACAUUCAAAUCAAAAGUUUAAAAUUGACAAAAGAUAUCUUUAUUAAAUGAGUUAGAUCUUUGUUAUCGACUCACUUUCGGUGAAUAAAUGAGUGCUUUCACACCAAGGGAAACGGCAUUUAAUAUUUUCAGCUACCUAGCGUUGACUUCUCCAAAGAAGCAUGUGAGUGUUCAUAUUCGGGCAACUAGUAUAUUAUUUCAUUACAACAUAGUUAAAUAUAGCGUAAUAUAAUAUUUAUAAUGGAAUUAUAAUAUAAUGUGUGUAAUAGUAUCAUAUUACAUCACAUAAACUCUCUCAAUUAUUGAAAAAGAAAAUCUUAAAAGAUCCCUACUCUGUACUUAAAAAAUCUUCAAAGUUUGCAAUUAUUGAUAACUGAAAAUUAUUGAAAAAAAAAAUCUUAAAAGAGAUGUGUUGAAUUGUGAAAUUAAAACUGAGUUUCAGACAUUUCUGACAUGUCGGUUUAUAUCCUUGAUUGUGCAUGCCCUGUCGGUUGCUUGAUGAAACAGGAGAAUAUUGACAUCUGUGUAUUAUCGUUUACUUCCUGCAAUUAAAUCACAUGUUGUUCACGUGAUUCCAUUUACUCUAUACGGCACAUUUGGCAGUCGUUUUGGUCACUUACCGAAGCACGGGUUAAGUACUUGAUUCAAGGUUGUUAACUGACCUUUACAAGGCGGGAAAAACAAACCCGGAAUGCAGCUAGUGAGUGGGGGACUUUUCUGGACUCUUCAUGAUAUGUAUAUAUAGUCUUAGAGGCUAUAGUUGAGACAUAUGAAAAGCUUGGAACUUCUUCUUAAUGUUUGUAGUUUGAUCUCGGUGAUGGAGAUAAGAUUGCUGCCCUGUUCUCCAGGCCGAACCACUUAAAUUGUGCCUCUGUUUUGCUUGAUGACUGCCAGUGGUGAGAAAACAGCUACAGAACAAAUCAAGCUUGAUGACUCAAAUAUUAGGGAAGCCAUAGUCAAGGCAUCUGGUUUAUGCAUCAACAGUGGUUCGUGGACUAGAAUUCCUAGCUAUUGCGGCUUCACAAUUGCACUGGAAGAAAGCGAAUUUGAUCGAGCUUUGGAUCGCAUAGCUAAAUUCAAAAGCAUCGUACAAAUAGUUAACUAAAAAACGGUAUUGUCAUUUGUCAUGAUUUAUUUCUAUUGCCUGAUGAUGAUACCCAUCACGCCUUAGUUGUCGUGAAUAAAUCUAAAAUCAAAUUGAACUGGUUCUUACUGGUUUUAGCAACAUUUGUGACGUUUUGAGAUUAUAAUAUAUGACAACACUGAUUAGUGUUGUCUCCCAUGUGAAUUGAGACAAAAAUUAUUUUCCCAAUUGCACUUUCAUUUGAACAAUUCCACUGUAGAUUUAUAAAAUAAUGAUGAAAUUGUGUUUUAUAUUAAGUUAUGAGUAAUUGGUUAAAUAUUAAUACAAAACUAUUUUAAGUAACAUGUGGCAUAUUCUAAUUCUAGCCAAGCUUCCAACUAAGAUUCCCAAAUCAAAAGAAUUUCAAUCUUCAGAACAUUCUGCAAAACGUUUGGCCUCUACGCAGUGCUAGAAUUUUCCCUAAGUUUCUAUCGCAAAGACUUCUAAAGAACUAUUCAGAUGUCGAGCUAUAAUCCAGUCUAAAGUGUAUAUAUCUCUCUAAUUCACCUCCCUCCAUUUCACCAGAAAAUCAACAAACACUUAGCUUCAAACAAACACUCUCAAAAAGCUAGCUAGCUACACAGAUGGCAAAACCAAGAAUUCUUGCAAUGACAAUGUUGUUUCUUGUUAUGCUAGCAAUAUUGAUGAACAUGGCAUCUCAAGCAAACGCUCUGAUGCCGUACACACAAUCACCUUUCUUUGACAUGAUGUUCCCAAUGACGGAAGAGCCUUUCAGGGUUCUUGAACAAACCCCUUUAACAAUCGCAAAAGGAGCUGAUCAUCAUCAAACUCUAGCCCUGGCGAGAGCAGACUGGAUGGAGACACCAACAGCCCACGUGAUCACGCUCUACAUUCCAGGGAUGAAGAAAGAUAAUGUGAAGAUUGAAGUUGAAGAGAACAGAGUACUGAGAGUGAGUGGGGAGAGGAAGAGUAAUGAUUAUUAUAAGGAGGGAGUUGAAGGAGAGAAAUGGCACAGAGCUGAGAGGACAUUUGGCAAGUUUUGGAGGCAGAUUAGGAUGCAUAUGAGUGCUGACUUGGAUCAUAUUAAAGCUCACAUGGAAAAUGGGAUUCUGAGGGUCACAGUGCCAAAGCUUGCUGAGGAGAAGAAGAGGCAACCUAAGGUUAUUAACAUUGAUGAAGGGUCUGGUAAUUCUUCCAAUGAAGAUAUUAAGGCUACCAAGGCUCAAAUGUAAUUGAUUAAAGAAAGAAGUGAUUGCUUUGCUUGAUGUGCUAUUUGUUUAUGAUCUUUUCUUGGUUUUGUUGUGAGAUGUUUCUAUUUGGAUGCUCUAUUUAAUGUAUUUUGAUGGGUUUUUGAGGAAGGCUUGUAUGUAUUGACAACAAUAAAGUGCUUUUUAUAAAUCCUAGUCCUACAACACUAAAAGAAAUUAAUACGCUUGGUUUAUAGUUAAUAAUUUUUUUUUUUUUUAAAAGUCUUUUUCUUUGGCAUAUAGUAUGCGUUUUGAGGGGAAAAAAAUUUAUCCCACUCCUAAUUCGUGCUCUUCUGUGAUAUUAAUGUGUUAACACGAAGAUUCAUUGUAAUUGCAACAAUUUUGACAAAUCCAAACGUUCAAGAACUGUUAAAUUGCAUUGAUAAAUGCUAAUAGCAAAGGAACAGAAACGAUUAAUUCAAGAAGUUGCUUAAAGUGAAUUAAAUUAGAGAGUAUAAAUAAUUGUGUAAUACAGUCCAGUCUGCAUGUGUUUAAUUAGCAAUCAAAAACCACUUUGCAACACCAUUAAAAAAACAUUUUAACAUUAUUGCUGAGGGAAGAGGCAGCUUAGGCUUAUUAACUCGUAUUAUUAAUGCUGAUGACGCAACUGGUAAUCCUUUUGGUGAAUAUAUUAAGGCAGCUGAAGCUUAAAAUUAAUUAAGCCCACUAAAGCUUAAAAGUAAUUCUUCUAGUGACGAUGCUUUGCUUAGUUCGAUUUUCUGUUUUUAAUUUUUUUGGGGCUAACGUUUUGCUUAUUUUGCUUUUAAAACUCUUGUGCACCGUCAAAACAAUUUGACUCUUGAUAUAUAUGUAUAUAUAUAUAUAUAUAUAAAUGAGGUUUCAACAGCUGAGAAAGAGAUAGCCACUAUACAUUACACAUUUACACCCAGUAAGAAAUUAAUUCAUUAAUAUAGCCAUUAAGAUGCUUGGUUUAUUGUUAAUGAAAAUUAAAAAAGAAAAUAAAAGGUCUUUUUCUUUGGCCUUUAUUAUGCAUUUUAAGAGGAAAAAAAUUUAUCCCACUCCAAUUCAUGAAGAUAUUCUCGUUUCUGUCAUAUUGAUGUGUUAAUAUGAAGAUCCAUUGCAGUUGGUGAAUUCAAAUAUUCAGUAACUGAUGAAAUGGUAUUUAUUUAUAAAUUCAUACUAAUAGCGAUUGAAGAUUAUAAUUAAUUUUGUAAUAUGGUCAAGCCCUCGUGUGUUUAAUUAGCACUCAAAAACCGCAUUACAAUUAGGCAUUAAAAGAACAUUAUAACGUCAUUGCUGAUGAGUUCUGGUGAAGAUAUUAAGUUAAGGCCACAAAAAUCGAAAUGUACGUAGCUUCAUUUGUUUUUUGUUUUUGAUUUUUUUUGGGGCAAAUGCUUGGCUUCGUUUGCUUUUUCGUUUUUGAUAUUUUUUGUUUUCUUUUGAUUUUCUGUUUUGGUUGUUACGGGAUUUGAUGACGAUGUACAUGUACGAAGAUUAUGUAAUAAAAUGCUUCUGAUAAAUUAUGGUCGGUUUAGUAUUAAUUAACCAAAUUUAAUUUGCUUGAUCAAUUGAUAUUUGUUAGGAUUGUUGUUAUACAAACACAACAAAAGAAGAACACUAACGUACUAAUUAAUUACUAAGAAGAACAUUAACAAUUUUUGCCGAAGUCUGAUGAAGAGAAAUAUUACACAUACGUAACGGUACCACGGAAGGAAAAAAUAAAAGAAACUAAAGUUUAUUUCAACAGACAACAGCUAAGAAUGAAAUAGGCAUAAGAAAUUAAUCCAUUAAUUAAUUAAUUAAUACAGUCCCCCGCUACUAAAUAAAGCGAGCGUCUUACUCUACCUAACAUUUUUCUUUUUAUUAAUUUAAAACAGUUUUCAACUGAGAUUUGAAUUUUAAAAUUACAUACACAAACACACCUAAUUUUAAAGAAAAAAAAUUAUAAUAAUAAAAUAUUUUACAUAUGUAACCAUACGACGGAAGAACAAAUAUAAGAAACUGAAGUUUCAACAGCUGAGAAUGAGAUAGGCAUAAGAAAUUAAUUAAUAGAGUCCUCCUCCUUUGCUAAAUAAUGCGAGCCCAUUGUUCCUUUUAUUUCGAAAACCCAUUAAUCACCAACACAUACACGCCCAAUUUUUUUUUUAAAAAAAACUAAUAAUAAAAUAUUUAAGUCGUCCUAUGUGUUAUCGCUAAAAACAGAUUUACCAUCUAUAGCAACAUGCGGUAUAUGGGUUAACAAGUCCCAAUAUUGUCCUCCAUCCUUUCUGCACUUCUCUGUUAUCAACGGACAACCAUAGAUAAUUAAUUGCAAAAGUGAGGAAGGCAGGCCCUUCUCCGGAAAGUAUUUGAGCUUGGGACAAUGAUAGAGACCCAAGUCAGUGAGGUUCUGAAGAUCAACAAUUGAAGAAGAUAGGCGUUCCACAUUUGGAAAACUGUAAAUCCACAGAGACGUUAGAGAGGCAGGAAGAGGAAGCGUGGUCCCCAAUCUUAUGUCCUUCGGUGGGAAUGACACCAUGUCGUCAUCACAUCCUCUGAUUGUGAGUUCUCGCAGAGAGGAGAAUCUGUGAAAUCCCCGGCCCCACUCCAUCAUUGACUUCCACAUCAUCUUAUUGCCAGCAAUCCAAAGUGAAUGAAGGUUGGUGGGAAGGCCAUCUUCUUCAAGGCUUGGAAGCUCACCUCCUUUUCCUAUUUUUAAUGUUUGAAGAGAGGUCAGAUUGUGCAAUCCCUUGAGCUGGCGGAGAUUAUGUAAACCACUCGGUAAAAAUUUCAGAUUUUCACACCCCAAAAUACUGAUUGUUUCAAGAGAUGUGUUGUUGUCCAACCUUUCUGCUAUUGACUCCAGCUUUGAGCAUCCAUAAACACGAAGGAACUUAAGAGAUGGAGGUAGAUUGCCAAUUUCAAGGGACUCAAGCGUGGCAGGUAACUCGUUUUUUGAAAAUAUACAUGUCAGUGAUGGACAAUCCUUAAUUUCCAACUCCUCGAGAAGAGAUGAUGUGUAACUUCUGCUGUUGCUGCUGCUGCCACUCUGGAUGCCCUCUUCCACUGUCAAAGUCCUUAUAUUAUCACAAUUAUGGACGUCCAAGCUCUUAAGGCUCGGUGGUAGCUGGACUUCAGCAAUAUAUCUCAACGAAUGGCAGUACAAAAUCCUCAAGAUCUCGAGAGAUGAAUUGGUGUCGCACAUCCAUGCCUCUGGUAACGAUUUCAGUGCAACACAUUCUCCAAUCUCAAUUUUCCUCAACUUGGAAGGCAGAGCAACCUCAGGAAAGGAAACAAGGGAACUGCAGCCAAAGAUUGUUAUCUCUCUCAAGGAACUGUGGCUGAGCGAUGAUUGUGGCAGCUUUACAAGGCCUUGGCAGCCGCUCAAUCUUAGAUAUUCAAGUCUGCAUGACAACUCGCAGAGCUGCUGUUGUUGGUCUUUCUCUUCCUCCGCCACCAAGGAUUGAAGUUUGGGACAACUGUCAAUCGUCAAUCUUUUGAGAGAGCAAAUGUCUUGUAGUAAACCGUCAUGACUCUUCCAUAUAUAUGUUUGCUCUUUUGUCGACAAAAUUAAUUCUUCCAAUUUCUGUAGUCGCGGCUUUAAUGGCCCUGCAAGAAACACUUGAUUUGAUGUAUCUCUACAAACCACUGAAUUCUGUGAUCCGAGAUGACCAGUUGCACUUUCCCACAUAACCUUUUUGCAUCCACCACUUAUGAAUUUGCAAAGAGCUGGAAGACUCAAAACUGAAACUAACAAUUCUUCACAUCCUUCAAUAACAAGUAUCUCCAAUGCAGGAAGGUGCUCUGGAAAUGUUCCUUUCAGUUUAGAACAUCUUAAAAUGUGAAGCUCUCUCAAUUUAGGAAACCCUUCAACUCCUUGACUGGAUCCUUGAGGAAUCCAGUCUUCCCAUUCUCUCAUGUUUUCAAAACGAAGAGUCUCCAAGCAUGGAAAAGGAAUUGGAGCAUCAUUCCCAUAGAACUCUGUACCCAACCUCUUUACUCUGCUCAUUCCACAUACUGCAAGAUGCUUUAGAGAGGGUAGUUGCCCAACUGACGGCAGGGCAAUACACAUGUCACAAUUUUCAAAUUCUAGGGUCACCAAAUUUGAGAAUGAGGAAUCUGCUAACCAAGUUGGAAAUUUUGUACCUCCAUAGCCACUGAUACAAAAUUGUUCCAUAUUUUCAUGAGGUUUUAGCAUGUUGAGCACAUCCUUUUCAGUUUCUGCCUCCCUUGAAGACGAGCCAUCGGUACUGAGUGUCCAUCGAAGCAAUAAUUCUCUAAGAUUCUUCUUUCCAUCCAAUUGAGCCUCCUUUGCAUCACCAACGCAUUUUACAUUCUCCAAUUUUGAAAUGUUAAGUGUCCCAUGAAGGUGCGUCAACAACUUUAGCUCUUGUAACCCGGAACCACUGCUUUUUCCCACAACAAAAUUACACAACGUCUGAAGACUAGUCAACCUACCAAUUCCUACUGGCAUUUCCUCCAACGACUUCGUAUUUGAAUUCUUAAGAUGAUGCAAUUUGGCGAGGUUUCCCAUGUCUGCACACAACUUCUUCAGCCGAUCACAAUCUUCCAACAAAAGACUAUGCAAAUUGUAAAGCUUGUUGACUGAUUCAGGUAGAGUUCUAAUCUCAGUUCGAGACAGGUUAAGGUACCUUAAAUACCUCAGAUCACCAAUUGAAUCCGGCAGCUCAGGGAUGCGGUAUCCACGCAAAGAGAAGACCCUCAAGCGUCGGAGUUUGAGCAACUUAGGAAGAAUGCUAGGAGCCAAGUGGCCAGGCGAACUUUUUGUCAACAUUACUGGUAAAAAAGUUCUCAAAUGUUGGAUAUCAUACAAGUCCCCAAACCUUUUACCGCCAUCAAAAUAUUCAGGAAUGUAUGAUAGAUGACGAAGAUUUUCAGAAAAACUUUGCUGCUUGUUAACCUCUGAGGCAUACUCCAUUGUGAAGUACAUCUCCCCCGCAGCCCAACGAGCAAGGUCAUUGAUAAGAUCGUGCAUCACAAAUCGUGAUGUAUUGUUGCUUGAUUGCUGCAAAAAAGAUCUUGAACGUAGCUCUUGAAAGAACUUUCGACCUAGAUCUUCGUUAGGAUUCUCACUCUCUUUAUGAUCCAAGAAACCCGAAGCACUCCAUAAUAAAAUUAUCUCCUCCUCUUCAAAUUCAUAAUCCUUCGGAAACAACGAGCAGUAUGCAAAGCAUUGUUUCAAAAUUGGAGGAAGAUAAUAAUAGGUCACUGCAAGAGCUGGUAUAAUGGGACAUCUAUCUUCUGGUAAUUCCCAUAUCUUGCUACUGAGCACACCUUUCCACUCACGUUUGUAAGGUUUUCCAUGUAAGAGUCCUCCCAGUGUUUUUGCAGCCAAGGGCAAGCCGUUGCAUUUGAUCACUAUCUUCUUGCCAAUUUCCUCCAAUGACUUAUUUGAACUGAAAUCUCUUGUCCCCAAAGAGUGUUGAGCGAACACGGACAAACAAUCAUCAAUUGACAACUUUUCCAAUUGAUAAGCUGGAGCAGUCCCCAUGAUGGCUGCAACCUCUUGAUUACGGGCUGUGACAAUAAUCUUACUUCCCGGUGCGCCAGCUUCAAACGGACGGCUCAUGUCAACCCAAUCAUUGUAAUUCUCAUUCCAAACGUCAUCUAAAACAAGCAAAAAUUUCUUUCCAAAUAGUUGUUUCUUCAAUUUCUCUUGAAGCUUAUUCAAGUCGUUAUUAUCCACAUUCUGGUCACUAGCAAUUGAAAGUAGGAUUGAUUUUGUUAGCCUCUUAACGUCGAAAUCAUCAGAGAAAUAAGUCCAUCCCUUGAGAUCAAAAUGAUCCUGCACUUGCUUAUCAUUGUAGACAAGCUGAGCAAGAGUAGUUUUGCCCAGGCCGCCCAUACCUAUAAUAGGAAUAACAGAGAAUCCACCAUCGUUGCUUAAAUCAUCCCUCAACAGCAGUUCAACAACAUCCUUCUUUUCUGUUUCCCUGCCAUAUACUUUGGCUUCAGUCACUAAAGAGGUUGUCUCUCGCCUUUGACUGGCUUUUUUGGACCCUCCAGCUGAACUUUCUUUCAAAUCUAGCAAGUCUUUCUCUGUUAGAAUUUCUUGAAAUCUGUCGUUGAUCCCUUUGAUUUUGGACAUCAUGGCGUAAUCGAACUGAAUCGAUUGUGGAGUAAAAGUGGUGCAGCAAGUAGGAAUGAGCUUCCGAAACUUACUUGAUCUUGUACGACUGCUGCUGGGUUGAUCAUGAGCAGCAGCUGGUUCUCCAUUUCCAAGCAGCAACUUCCUCCGGAAAGCCUCAGUUUGGAACUCAUCCAACAAGUCUUCAACAUCAAAAGCCAAGUUCUGAAGCUCGCCAAGCCACAACUUCACAGACUCAUCAGUCUUCUUCUCGUCAGCAUCAUCAAGCACCGCCUUGAUCCUCACCAACAUCUUCUUCCACUUCACUAGAUUUGCUUGGAUUCGACCUUGGCGUGCAAAUAAACGAAGCCCCUCUGAAGGUAACUUAUUGAUCAGCAUCUCAACGGACGCCAUCAGGAUUGCCUCUCCGAUGAUCGACAUUUUUUCUUUUUUUGGGUUUUUAUGGACAGAGAAUGAAACUGAAUUAUGAGCUUGUGGAAAGCAGAAUGAGAAAAGUGAAUAAGCGGAGUGAGUUUGUGAUUGUGUCUAGCAAGCCUAGAAAUCAAGAAAAACCCACCGUAAAAGUGAAAAGUAAAACGGAGCCCACCACAAAUAUAAAAUCAGAGGAGCACAGAAAUUAUAAAAAAAAAAAAAUCAAACAUGGAAUGAUUUGUGAAGUUAUUAGCGAUUUGUAAAAGAGAUGGUGGGGUUGUGUUGUUUGCAAAGUUAAUAGCGUGGGUCUUUGUGUUGUUUGCAAAGUUAAUAGCGUGGGUCUAUUUGUUUUUGUUUUAACUUUUAUUAAUCAAUUAGUGAAGCAAAUAUGUAAUGAUUUGUAAAGAUCACGGGCAUCAUAUUAUUGGGAGGUAUUGUGUAUAGUAUUCACAAUUUCUUGUAAGACUUAUUAAUUUCGUUGAAAAUGUAUCGUUAUUAAGUUAUUAUUUAAUUCAUUAACUUGAGGUAUUAAUAUUCAUUAAUUGUGGUGCGGGUGAAUUUACUUAUCUUGUCAUUAUUUGUAAUUAAGAAUGAGGUUCAAUUAAUUUAUUGGAGAAAAAUUGAUUUUAAUUCUUAGGAUUUGAUUUUACUCUCUUUUACUUUUUGACGUUGCUAAAGAGGCAGUAAAAAACUUGCUAAAUGUCAUCAAAUACUUGUAUCUCAUCUCACAAAUUGGCAAUAUUUGUUUGGUAUUUCAUCUCAACGGGAUGCCGUAAGGAUUGCCUCUCCAGUGAUUGUCAUUUUUUUUUCUUUUUUCCCGCACAGAAAGAAACAGAAUUUUGAGUUUUAAAGCAAAAUGAGAAAAUUGAGCAAAAUGCAUGUAGCAAGUCUUCCGCUUGUUUAUUCCAGUAAAGUGAAAAUAAAAACAGAGCCCACCACCCAUUGAUAAUUGAAAAAUGAUAAACGAACGAAGGCGCGACGAAGGGACGACAGAAAACGCGUUUCCUCGUCCAAUUUUGUUCUUGUGGACCGACAAUAAAAUAUUUUUUAUGGGACCGACUAUAAAUAGUAAAAUAAAGAAUAAAAAAAAGAUAGUGUAAACGAACGAAAGCGCCACGAAGGAACGACAGAAAACGCGUUCCCUCAUCAAAAUAAUAUUCUUUUGUGAGAUCAAUAAUAAAUAAUAAAAUAUUUUUUUGUGGGACCGACUAUAAAUAGUAAAAUAAAGAAUCUAUCUAUAUAUAUAUAUAUAUAUAAAGUUAGGACUUGAGCAGGUGAUGUGGCAUCACCAUUUCUCAUCAUCUCAUAUUCUUUAUUAUCUAAUAAAUUUGUUGAAAUUAAAAAAUAAUUACAUUACAAAAUAUUAAAAUAGAAAAUAAUUAUUAGAUUAUAAAUGAUUACAUGUCUUUUCAUAUUUCUAUUUAAAUUUAACAAUAUGUAACCAUUAAUAAUAAUUAAUUAUAAGUCUUAAAACAUUUAUUUAUUUUAUUAUGCCAACAAUUAAAUUUUAGUUGCUUAAAAUACAUCAAUUAAUUAAUAUUAAUAUAUGAAGGAAGGUUCCUUCAUCUUCCCUCAACAAUACCAUUAGAGCCUAAUUUUAAUGUCAUAACCCAUAUUUAAUUAUUCAAUCUUUUGUUUAAUGCAUUUUGGCUUCUUCAAACUCCAUAAACGUUAAAUAUUUAAGAUUUAUGGCAUCAUUAUUUCUCAUCUUUUUAUAUUCUCUAUUAUCUAAUAUAUUGGUUGAGAUUAAAAAAUAAUUACAUUACAAAAUAUUAAAAAUCUAUAUAUAUAUAUAUAUAUAGUUGGGACUAGAGGAGGUGAUGUGGCAUUAUUAUUUCUCAUCUUCUUGUAUUCUCUAUUAUCUAAUAAAUUGGUUGAUAUUAAAAAAGUAAUUACAUUACAAAAUAUUAAAAAUAAAAAAUAAUUAUUAGAUUAUAAAAGAUUAUAUGUCUCUUCCUCUUUCCAUUGAAAUUCAAUAAUAUGUAACCAUUAAUAAUAAUUAAUUAUAAGUCUUCAAACAUUAAUUUAUUUUAUUAUGCCAACAAUUAAACUUUAGUGGCUUAAAUAUAUCAAUUAAUUAAUAUAGGAAAGAAUGUUCCUUCAUCUUCCCUCAAUAAUGCCAUUAGGGUCUAAUUUUAAUGCUAUAAUCUCAUAUUUAAUUAUGCAACCUUUUGUUUAGUGCCUUUCGGCUUCUUCAAACUCGAUAAAUAUUAAGUAAUUAAGAUUUGUGGCAUUAUUAUUUCUCAUUUUUUAUAUUCUCUAGAAUCUAAUAUAUUGGUUGAGAUUAAAAAAUAAUUACAUUACAAAAUAUUAAAAAUAGAAAAUAAUUAGUAGAUUAUAAAAGAUUACAUGUCUCUUCUUCUUUCUAUCUAAAUUCAACAAUAUGUAACCAUUAAUAAUAAAUUAAUUAUAGUUUUGAAACAUUCAUUUAUUUUAUUAAGCCAACAACUAAACUUUAGUGGUUUAAAAUAUAUCAACUAAUUAAUAUAGGAAGGAAUGUUCUUUCAUCUUCCCUCACCAAUACCACUAGGACCUAAUUUUAAUGUCAUAAUUUCAUAUUUAAUUAUGCAACCUUUUAUUUAGUGUCUUUGGCUUCUUCAAACUAUAUAAAUAUUAAGUAUUUAAGAUUUGUUAUGUUUGAAUUUUUUUAUUAUUUAAACAACAUCCUCUUUAGAAAUGUUCUUGUGUUUUUAUUUUUUUGACUUAUUUAAAUUUUUUGUAUUGUGUGCUUCAUGGAGUAUUCUUUUCUUCAUGAGUUAAACAAUAAUAAAGAUAGUUGGAUGAUAAGGGUUAGGUUUUGUAAAAUGUGAGAGUCUAUUAAUACUGAGAAGAAUGGAGAGUUGAUUAGUGUGGACAUAAUUUUUAUUGAUGAAAAGUUUGUGUACACUUAACUAUACACAUUAAUAUAUAUUUUUAAAGUUAACAAAAAAAUAAUUAACUUUCAUAAAUAACAUUAGUUUUAUAAGACUGCGUCAUCUUUUAAAAAAAAAUCAAUUCAUAUUUUUUAUCUGUUUUGUUAAGUGUAAAGAAAUAAAAAAAAUAAUACUAAAUUCUUUUUUUAAAACCGCACGAAGUGCGGUUCUAUUUCCUAGUAAAAAAUAAAAAAAUAGGAUAGUGAAAACUGAAAACGAACGAAAGCCGACGAAGGGACGACAGAAAACGCGUUCCCUCAUCCAAUUUUUCUUUUGUGGGACCGAUAACAAAUAAUAAAAUAUUUUUUGUGGGACCGACAAAAAUAGUAAAAUAAAGAAUAAAAAAUGAAAAAAAAGGAAAAUGGAAUGCAUCCACCUUCGCUUUGGAAGUCUUCUACUUAUAAAAGCAAGCUAAAUUAAAAAGAUUUUAAUCUCUCUUUUUAAUACUAUAAGUGCACUGCAUUUUUUUUAAAUAAUUACCUAUGCAAAUUUGUAAUGUAAUGAAUAUUCAUAUUCCUGUCGUGUCGAAAUGAGAUAAAAUGAAAUUUUAAAUAACACAAAUUCGACUCGUUUGUUAGAGGUAUAUCCUUAAUAAGCUAAUAACAUAAUUAACAUAACGCUAUUAUUACACUAAAUGAAAUAAAAAGACGGUAGCCACCAAUAAUUACACUAGCAAGCUUCGCAUGCUCGUGUUUAAGGAGUUGGACAUUGGUGAAUUAAUCAAGGACAAGAAACAAUUUCAAAAAACAAAAUGGAUACUAUACAUUGUCUUUUUUUUAAUUGUACAGAAAAUGGGACUAAUUUUCAAAUAUUUUCAAAUUCACUUAUUAACAAAAGCUAUGCAAAACGAUUUCCUUUUUAUUUUGAAACAUUAUACGGAAUCAAAUAACAGUGAUUCAAAGAGUGUAAAGUGGUAAUUCUCUUAUUGUAUUUUCUCUCCUUUUUAAAAGGAGAUGGUGGGGUUUGGUUGUUUGCAAAAUUAUUGGUGUGAGGGUCUAUUUGUUUUUGUUUUCACUUUAUUAAUUAAUUACGAACCAAACAUGUAAUCAUUUGUAAAGGGGUCACUAGCAUUGGAUUAUGUAAGAUGAAUUCGUAAGACUUAUUAAUUUCAAUGAAAAUGUAGCGUUAUUAAGUUGUCAAUUCAUUAACUUGAGGUACUAAUAUUUACUAAUUGUGGUGUUUAAUUUAUUUAACUUUUUCAUAAUUUUCAAUUGAGAAUGAAGUUCAAUCAAUGUAUGAAAAUUUUUAUUUUUAGAUUUUUAAUUCCUAUGAUUUAAUUUCAUUCUGUUUCGAUUAUUGACGUGUUAAAAGCUUGUAGACUAUCAUGAAAUGCUUGUAUCUCACCUCACAAAUUGACAAAUAUUGGUUGGUUUCUCCAAAGGCUGCCAUGACGAAUUGAAAGUAAAAACAACCACCAUUGAAAAUUAAUUUUAAAAAUCUUUUUUACUUGAAAUUUUUUAAUCGUGUGAUAGACACAAAUAAAUAUCUCGUAAAACUGUGUUGCGAUCCCGAAGGUACUCAUCCACUACUUGGACACGAGAAGUGCCAGGAACAUAAGUAACCAAGUGAGGUGGAGGAAUACCAUAGACAGCUUCAAAUGGGGUCAUUUUGGUGGCAGAAUGGAUGGACGUAUUAUAGUUGAAUUCAGCCCAUGGAAUCCAUUCAACCCAUUUUCGUGGCUGAUCUCUGGCAAAACAUCGCAAGUAUUGCUCUAAAGUACGGUUCACUACCUCAGAUUGGUCGUCCGUCUGAGGAUGGUAACUAGAACUCAUGCUAAGUUUAGUUCCUUGUAAUUGAAAUAAUGCUUGCCAAAAUGAACUUACAAAUACUUUAUCCCGAUCACUUACAAUGGAUGUUGGAAUGCCAUGGAGGCGAACCACAUUAGCUACAAACGCUUUAGCAAUCGUGACUGCCGUGUAUGGAUGUUUGAGAGCCACAAAAUGAGCAUACUUGGAUAAGCGAUCAACAAUUACCAUGAUGACAGUAUAACCAUUUGACGACGGAAGUCCCUCGAUAAAAUCCAUUGAUACUUCAGUCCAUAUCUGAAGAGGAAUAGGUAGUGGUUGUAGCAAAUCGGCCGGACGCAUAGAAUCAGAUUUGUACCUUUGGCAGAUGGUACAACGCUGUAUAAAUUCCUUCACAGUUUUACGCAAGUUUGGCCACCAAAAGCUGAGUUUAAUUCGAGAUAGUGUCUUAUGGAACCUAAAAUUCCCACCAACUAGAGACGAAUGACAAUCAGUCAUGACUUGUGGAAUUAAAGUGGAAGUGGGAUUCAAAUAAAUUCUGCCCCUUUUAAACCACACUCCAUCUCGUUGUGUCUGUUGUGCAAAUUUUAAUGUACUCGCAAGCGCACGAAUCUAUUGUAGUAUAGAUCAAUGGUGACGAGUGUCGAUCCCACGAGGAGGUGGAUUUUAAUUAUGUAUAGAAUUAAUUUUGGAAAUGGAUGAUUGGAUUUGUGGUAGAAAUGAUUUGGAAUAUGCUAAAACUUAAAUUAAAAUGGCGAGAAUAAAUUCUGAAAUUAGAAUCGAAAUGACGAGAAUAAAUUGUAGAGGAAUCUAUUGAAAUAACGUACUUGGGUAUCUGGAUCCGUAUCAACAUGCAUCAUGGGCUAAAUAAUCCGUAUUAAUGCCAAUUAAAUCAUGAGGGGGGAAUCCACACCUCAUGAACCACGCUCUAAUCAAUAUGGUGCUAAGGGCUUAUCGUGCCAAAUAAUAAUAACCUUAUACUAGAGAGCCGGUGUAACCAAGGCGGUAUCUAGACAAGAUCAGUAUUAUUUGUCGACGAGAAGUCAAAACAUCCACAAAAACUAGAGGGGAAGAGAAAAUAAAUUUACCAAAUAAAGCCCAUGACACAUGUUGAGACUUCACCUUCAACCCAAGCUUGAAAGAAAAUUAGCUACUCAUAAUUGAACUAAGGGCAAAAUGGGAAUUUAUUAAAAUACGAAGAAAAUACAAGAUGGAGAGAGAAUUACAAAAAAUGGAUCCCAAAAAUGGAUUCAGAGAUAUCAAAUUAGGGGGGAGAGGCCCCCUUUUUAUAGAUACAUGGAGUAAAUCAUGGCCAUCGGAUUAAAAACAGUUUGGACGCUCAGGAUUGCGCCACGUCAUCAGUCAACAGUCCACGGUUUGACCACGCGGAUGAACAGUAACACGGUUUGACCCGACUUUGAACAGUAACGCGGUUUGACCCGGAUGAACAGUAACGCGGUUUGGUUGAAACUAAUCCUGUGUGAUGCAUGCACCGUACGCGAGAUUUUUCGUCCACUGAUAUACUGCCACGUCACCAUCAACAGUACAUAAGAAUUUUAGCCCAACAGGAUCGUGACACCUCAUCAGUCAAUGCCACAUCAUCGGUCAAUGCCACGUCAUCGAUCCGUCUAUGUGAACAGUGCCGUGAACAGUAACGUAUACAGUACCGUGUACGUGAAUAGUACCGUACAUGUGAAUAGUGUCAUUUUUCCUUUUAUGCUCCUCCUAAGGUUUUCGACCGUCCUGAGUUCAAAAGUGAUGUCCGUUUUGUCGUCUGAUCUCUCCUUUAUUGUGAAAUGACUAUAAUGCCCCUAAAAUACAUAAAUUACUUAAUUAAAAUAAAACACACGUAAUUAAAUCACAAGAAUGUUAAAUACAUAAAAGUAAGGGUUGUUAGUAAGACUUGAAAUGUAAAAUGACGGUUUUCUCCUUUAUAAAUAUGCAUUUUCUAACACUCAACACACCCCCCAACCAGCUUAUUGCUAGUCCCUAGCAAAUAAAGCGAAAACAAAAUUCAAAUUCAAAAUGAUUUUUUUUUUUUUUUUUAGAAACACUCGUGUUUAUUCAAUCAGAUUAAUGAUAGCAAUCAAAUAAAAGUAUAAGCAUUAUCUCCAGUCUAAAGCAACAUCACACCCACAUCAACCAUCCACAUGAAUUAGCCCAGUAGACUUUGUUAUAGCUACUUUCAAGAAUGACAUGUCAAACCCCAAAAUCUCACUUGAAGUAGUGACACUCUCACAAAGAAAUUAAAACCCAAUAAACAUAGUCACUCCAAUGAAUGGUAAUUGAGAGAGAAAAUAAUAAAGAAAUGAUAUCACAUGCUCUCACCAAGAUGAAAUAAAUAUGCUCUCAGCUUAGAAAUAAUACGAUCUCAAGUCAAAUAAAAUGUUAGUCAACCCACUUUAUUUAUCUUUUUUUUUUUUUAUUAUGCAUCACUACAUCUUUUUAGCCCAUAUAACUAGCUUCUACUUCAAAAUAUAGUUCCCUAAAAUCAAGAAGGACUUUUAUUAGGACAUAACGUAGGCUAGGGAUAUGGCUAACAAAGAAAGGAAAUAAGGAAAACAAAGUGUAUGUUUGAGAAAAAUGCAGAAUUUUUUUUUUUUUUUGGAAGUUGCAAGGUGGAUUUCACUUAUUAUUGUUAUUUUUAUUCUUUUGAAACAACAACUUUUGUUUUUGUUUUUUUUUUCUUUUUACUUUUAUUUGGCAUAACUUCACUGAACAACAUAAUUAUUUACAUUUUCUCAAACAUAAAUAGGUGAUGGAACUUAAAAGACAUUGGGUAAUACUCCAAAUCGGAGUGGGUCAAGAUGAUAAGUUGACAAAGAAAAGGUUUUUGUUCUUUUUUUUUUUUUUUUAAAGGCUCAAAAGGGGUAACUAUGGAUAUUUAAUAAAAUGGAUGGCUAGAAAGGCUCAAACGGAUCAAAGAUGGCCUUUCCAUCGUCUUUUAGGGCUCUAAAUAAUCAUCCAUAUCUACUAGUUAGAUGGGCCUCCCAAUGUAGCAACACAUAAUUUUUUUUCUUUUUUUUUUAUUUUACAAUUUUUUUUUUUUUUAAGGGUUAACUCAAAAGAAAUCUAGAGAUCGUAUAUACAAUAAUAAACUGCUAAGCUGUAUAAAGAAUGGGCAAAAGGGUUACUCUCCAAGAAAAAUGAUAGGCUCAAAAGCUCACUUGGUACUUCUUAUGACAUGUUCAUUCCUUCAAGCAACUCAUAUUUGUCUCUGACAUUAACAUAUAAAGUAGCAAACAUAGUGUAACAUCACUUCAGACUAAAGAUAAUACAAAUACUAAAAUUUGAAAUUCAUCAUGUCAUCCAAUGUUAACACAAAUCACAAUUUUUUUUUUUUUAAAUUUGAAACAACAUUCUACCCCCCAACCUAUUCUAAACAUGAAAGGAAAAUAUGCAUGCAGAAAUGUGAAAAUGAUGUAGAAAAAUUUAUUAGAAAAAGAAAUUUUUUUUUUUUUUUUAACUAAGAAGAUGCGUUUCUAGAGGCACGACACUCCAUAUUCAGCCAUCUUCGACUCAAAAAUUGGAAAAUAUAUAUUUAUAAAGGAGAAAGAGGAAGAAAACAGUUUUUUUUUUUUUUUAAACGAUGAAGAUGCGUUUCUAGAGUAACUACACUCCAUAUUCAGCCAUCUUCAACACAAAACGUUAGCAACAGUUAGUUUCUACAACAAAAAAUCAGUAAAAACUUAACCAAGAUUCCACAAUUGUCGACUAUUCCCUCCCCCCAACCAGAACGAAACAUUGUCCUCAAUGUUUGAAAGGAAAGAAGUAGAGUUUAGAAGACAUCACCUGGGUGGUGCAACACAGAAGAAAAUAUUUACAGGCGGAGAGUUAAAUCUAAUUUGUACUUCUUACUGCGGCUACUGUUACCAUCAUUAUUUGGUCGCUCCAACACAAAGGUCCAGGGAUCUGGCUCCGGUUUAUAAGCUUGUAACAUAUCAAGUAGCUCAUUAGCAGUGUGAGCACAAAUAAAGAGUUUUUUCACAUUAGAAGGAAUGAAAUAGUUUUUUAUUGCAUGGUUAAGAAAUUCGAUAAAGCCAUCAUAAAAGUUAUUCACAUUUAACAAACCGAUGGGUUUCUGGUGGAUGUGUAGAUGGGCCCAAGAUGCUAGUGUCAUAAGUGCCUCUAGUGUUGCAAGAUCUCCUGGAAGGAAAAUAAAAGCAUCAGCAUGAUUAAGCAUUUCAGUUAUUCUUUCUUGCAUACCUGAGACGACUAACUCUUCUCCAGUUGAUGAGUCAGACGAACUGCCCAAUGGUUUUAGGACUCUUGGGAUGAUGCCUAACACUUGACUUCCUCUGAUAAAAGCUGCUUCUGAGACCAUUUUUGAUAACCCUCGGUUACCUCCUCCAUACACCAAAUGUAAUUUUCUCGCUGCUAUGCUUCGACCAAGAUCUAUGGUUGCCUCAACGAACUCUUUAUGUUUGCCAUAGGUAAAUCCAGAAAGCACACAAAUGUUCUUGAAUUGUCUAUUGGGAGUAGCUGCCAUUGGAAUAUUUCUCAAAAACAAUUUGUGAGUGUUUGACAAAAGAAAUCACAUUUAAGAGUCUUGGUGACAGUGGGUCACAACUGUGUAUGAAGUGGCAUGUUAGUGUCAAAUAAAGUGUAAAGCACAUGGCUCGCGAGUAAAAAAGGAAACAGUAAAAAGAAAAAAGCAAACAAUAAAGAAAAUUAUUAAAGACAAUAAUGCAAACAAUAAAACAACAGUGAAAUGGAAUAAAAUAACAAUAAAGUAAAAGGAUAUUUACACGUAGUUGCGACUGUGGCUCACAUCUUCCUCUGGUUUUACGUCCAGAAACGGCUUGAACGCCCUCUAUGGGUCGAGGAUAGGCUUCCCAUCCAGUUUUCUUAUAAACUGGCAAACAGGGUCGUUUAUAGUCAGAUUCUCGAGACUAUAUCGUGCAUGCUCUUUCUGGAAUAAUGGCCAUAACUGGAGAAUCGCUCCUUGCACAUAUCCACUGGGAUGCGUUUCAAGAGACAGAAGGAUAUCAUCCAAUGACUCCUUAUUCAAGCCAUCCCUAAUGAAUUGAAUCUUAUCUUCUCUGUUAUCAGACAUCAUUCCUAAAGAACAUGGGUUUCUAUCGCAACUCAUUCUGGCACACUUGUGACAAGCAACAGAAAUUCUUCGAGCUCGUCGUUUUCUUGCAUAAUUUCCUUUACCACAAUCAGGCAUGUAUGCAAUAAAUUUAGGAGGUAACUCACCUGCUAAUCGUACUUUAGCCUCGAUUAACCAACGGAUGUCUGCAGGUAUGUUAUUCCUCAUGAGUAAUCGCAUGCGUUCAGAUCGGGCUUUAUAGAUCGUAAGAAGGGCAUUCUGAGGAAGUGAAGGGAAACGCUUGUGAAGCUUCGCUAGAAUCUCGUUUCUGUCCAUACCUUUGCCUCAGAAUAUCAGUUAUUAUGGGAAACUGAAGUAACCGACUUGAUUGUCACGGAGUACCGUUAUCCGCCACUUCACCGGGGUAACAAACUAAAGCACACAAACAGAAAAACAAAUUAAAACACACAAGAAAAUUAAAAUCGUCCUCUUAUUGAAUUUACCUCAAGCUCCAACUGGAUGUCGUAAACACUUCUCUCAAUGUCUCUGAGUUGGUUUUCUAAACCCUCAACAUAAGCUACUAACUCUGGUGGUUGUAGAGCCCAAAUGCGAUGUGUUUUACAAAAUUGAAUCUGCCUUUUGAGAUGAGUUUUGACACGUUGAAGUGGUUUAAGAAUGUUCAGGAGGAACGGUCUAAGUAUGGUACUCAUGAUUAAAAAUGAUAAGAGAAAACUUAAUGGUAAAAUAAACACACUUAUGCAAAAAUAAUUUCAAUUAGCAAAAGAAUAAUAAAAAGAAAGAAAGAAAAAUCAAAUCAACGAAAAGAAAAAAACAAAUCAAUUCAAAUCUGGUGGGUCACUCAAAUUUAUUUCGGUGUCUUCUCCAUGUGGUUGGUAUUCUAGAUAUGGCUUUAAUCUUUGACCAUUAACUUUAAACGUGACACCGUUCUUUGGGUCUUUAAUUUCAAUUGCCCCAUGUGGAAAAACAGUAUGAACAAUAAAUGGACCAGACCAACGAGAGCGUAACUUACCUGGGAAUAGGUGCAAGCGAGAAUUGAAUAAAAGCACUUUCUGACCUGGAGUGAAAGAUUUUCUCAUAAUGUGCUUGUCAUGAAAGACUUUCAUCCGUUGCUUGUAGAUCUUGGCAUUUUCGUAUGCAUCAUUGCGAAUUUCUUCAAGUUCUGCCAGUUGUAAUCUUCUUUCUGAGCUGGCUUGCUGCAUGUCAAAGUUGAAUUUCUUGAUGGCCCAAUAUGCACGAUGCUCGAGUUCCACAGGUAGGUGGUAAGCUUUUCCAUACACUAGCCUGUAGGGUGACAUCCCAAUCGGGGUCUUGAAAGCCGUUCUAUAUGCCCAUAAUGCAUCAUCAAGUCUUAAUGACCAAUCUUUCCUGUCUGGCCUCACCGUCUUUUCUAAUAUGUGCUUUAUUUCUCGAUUGGAUAUCUCAACUUGGCCACUGGUUUGCAGAUGAUAUGGAGUCGCCACUUUGUGUGUGAUUGAAUACUUUGUCAAAAGAGCUUUGAAUGCUUUGUUACAAAAGUGGGCACCACCAUCACUGAUUAUUGCUCGAGGGAAUCCAAAGCGUGAGACAAUAUUGCUUUUCAAAAAUCCUAUCACCACCUUGUGAUCAUUGGUUCUACAUGGAAUUGCUUCUACCCAUUUUGAGACGUAGUCAACACCAACCAAUAUGUAUUGAUGGCCAAAAGAAGGGGGAAAGGGUCCCAUGAAGUCGAUACCCCAUACAUCAAAAAUCUCAACCACUAAAAUUGGAUUUAGUGGCAUCAUGUUCCUUCGCGUAAUGCUCCCCAUUCGUUGACACCUAUCACAUGAAGAACAGAAAGUGUAAGCGUCUCGAAAUAUAGUUGGCCAAUAAAAACCACAUUGUAAAACUUUAGUUGCCGUUUUCUUAGCACUGAAAUGGCCUCCACAAGCUUGUUCAUGGCAGAAUGAAAGAAUAUUCUGAAUUUCAUUUUCAGGGACACAUCGUCUAACAAUUUGGUCUGCACAAUACUUGAACAAAUAUGGGUCAUCCCAAAAGAAAUUCUUUAUCUCUGCAAAGAAUUUAGCCUUGUCUUGCUUGGUCCAAUGCUCUGGAAGUUUACCUGUAACAAGAUAAUUAACUAUAUCAGCAUACCAAGGUAAUACUUCCACACUCAUUAAUUGUUCAUCUGGGAAUGACUCAUUCAAUAUUAAUGGCUCUGUUAUUGUGUCAAAAUGGAGACGAGAGAGGGGGUCCGCCACAACAUUUUCUGUCCCUUUCUUAUCUUUGAAUUCCAAGUCAAAUUCCUGCAAAAGUAACACCCAACGAAUUAGUCUAGCUUUUGCAUCUUUCUUUGUGAGAAGAUAUUUAAGAGCAGCAUGAUCUGUGAACACAAUUAUUUUACAACCAAUGAGAUAAGAUCGAAAUUUUUCCAAUGCAAACACUACUGCUAGCAUUUCUUUUUCAGUAGUUGAAUAGUUCAACUGUGCAUCAUUCAAUGUCAUACUAGCAUAGUCAAUAACGUGAGGAAUUCGAUCAACUCUUUGUCCUAAUACUGCUCUUACUGCAUAAUCAGAUGCAUCACACAUGAGCUCAAAUGGUAAGCUCCAGUUUGGGGGCUGAAUGAUGGGUGAUGAUGUCAACAAAUGCUUUAAUUUUUCAAACGCAACAAAACAUGAAUCAUUAAAGAUAAAAGGUACAUCCUUAGCAAGUAAAUUGCAUAAGGGUCUAGAAACUUUGCUAAAAUCUUUAAUGAAACGUCUAUAGAAACCAGCAUGCCCAAGGAAAGAUCUUACUUCUCUGACUGUUUUGGGUGGAGGAAGAUUAGAAAUGAGAUCCACCUUGGCUUUGUCAACCUCAAUACCUUUACUUGAAAUGAUGUGACCGAGGACAAUACCUUGUUUGACCAUAAAAUGGCACUUCUCCCAAUUUAAGACCAAGUUCUUCUCGAUACAUCUCUGCAGAACUAGUGUUAGAUGAUGUAAACAUUGAUCAAACGAGUUACCAAAAACAGAAAAGUCAUCCAUAAAGACUUCAAGGAAUCGUUCAACCAUAUCAGAAAAAAUGCUUAGCAUGCAUCGUUGAAAUGUAGCAGGUGCAUUGCAUAAUCCAAAUGGCAUUCUCCUAUAUGCAAAUGUGCCAAAAGGGCAAGUGAAAGUAGUUUUCUCCUGAUCUUUUGGUGCUAUGGGGAUCUGAUUGUAUCCUGAGUAACCAUCUAGAAAGCAAUAAAAUUCGUGGUCUGCUAAUCUAUCAAGCAUUUGAUCGAUAAAUGGUAAAGGAAAAUGAUCUUUACGUGUGACAGAAUUCAAUUUUCUAUAAUCAAUGCAUACACGCCACCCUGUAGUUACUCUAGUUGGUAUCAAUUCAUUAUUAGCAUUGGUAACUACUGUGACUCCUGACUUUUUGGGGACAACUUGUACAGGACUGACCCAUGAACUAUCAGAAAUUGGGUAAAUGAUACCUGCAUCUAAUAGCUUAAGGACUUCAGUUCUAACCACUUCUUUCAUAUUAGGAUUUAACCGACGUUGCAUUUCCCUAGUAGAUUUAGCAUUUUCAUCGAGGUGAAUGUAAUGCAUGCAGUCUACAGGGUUUAUACCUUUUAUGUCCGCUAUGGUCCAUCCUAAUGCCCCUUUGUACUCUUUUAAAACAUCCAACAACUUACCUUUUUGUUCGUCGUUUAGGGAUAAUGAGAUGAUUACCGGUAGAGUGCUUUCUUCUCCCAAAAACGCAUAUUCCAAUGUGUUGGGUAAUGGUUUGAGCUCGAGUUUCGGUGGUGAUUCUGAUGAUGGGAUGAGUUUCUUCUCUGAUGGUGCUAGUUGUUCAACUCUUGACUUCCAUUUAUUAGUGUCCAUAGAUGGUGCUGAGUUAAGUAGGGCAUUGACCUCUUCGACCGAUCUGUCAAUAUCAAAAUCCAAACCAAAGUGAGUUAAACAUGUUUGUAAAGGAUCAUCACUAAGGUUUGAAACAAAAGUAUCAUCAACUAAUGCUUCAAUUAAAUCCACAUCAACAAGUCCAUCAUCUGUAUUGUGAGGUUGUUUGGCAAUGUUGAAGAUGUUCAGCUCCAUAGUCAUGUUGCCAAAGGACAACUGCAUAUUUCCAGUCCUGUAUUGAAUGUGAGCAUCCGCAGUUGCCAAGAAAGGUCGGCCUAGAAUAAUGGGGAUGUGCUUCCUUGAAUCCUGUAUUGGUUGAGUGUCAAUUACAAUGAAAUCAACAGGAAAAUAAAACUUGUCUACCUGGAUAAGCACGUCCUCCACAAUACCACGAGGUAUUUUUGUGGACCGAUCUGCAAGCUGUAACACCAUUGGAGUUGGGUGUAAUUCUCCAAGUCCAAGUUUCACAAACACAGAGUAAGGCAACAAAUUUACACUAGCUCCUAAAUCCAACAAAGCAUUCUCAAUUGUGUGGUUCCCUAUACUACAUGAGAUAGUGGGGGAGCCUGGGUCUUUGCAUUUUAGAGGAAUUUUAUGUUGGAGUAUAGAACUAACGUUUUCUGUUAAAAAUGCCUUCUUUUGAACAUGCAUAUUUCUCUUUUUAGUACAAAGGUCUUUAAGAAACUUGGCAUAAGAUGGAACUUGCUUUAUAGCAUCAAGCAAAGGGAUGUUAACACUUACCUGUUUGAAGAUUUCAAGAAUCUCACCUGUGGAUUUUCCCUUCUUUCCUUUUGCUAACCUUUGAGGAAAUGGAGCUUUCGGAACAUAUUCUCGUGGGUUGGUUUCUUCUCUGUCCUCCGGUGGUGAGUCCUCAACACUCACAGGUACAAUUUGAUUUUCUUUUGUCACCGGCAUCUCCACUUUGUUGUCGACUUCUUUUCCUUUUCGUAAGGUCAUUACUGCUUUGACCUCUCCAUGCUGUUGUGGUGAACUGGUACUUGCUUCAUGUACUCCUUUAGGGUUAGGCACUGGUUGACUUGGAAACUUGCCUUUCUCAACAGUCAUUGCCAAGGUCUGAACUGAAGAAGCGAGUUGUCCCACCAUCUUCUCCAGGCUUGAAACUGAUUGAGCCUGUGAGUUGAAGCCUGCUCUUAACUCAUUUCGUAGUCCAUCAAUGGUGCGGUUCUGUUGCUCAAUCGUGGAAUGAGUAAGAUUCUUGAGAUUCUGGAAUGAAUCCUCCCAUGGUCUGGGUUGAGAGUAAUUCUGGUUCUGAUUGUAUGGUCUGAAUGGUGGCUGAGAGGCUUGAGGAUUUUGAGGAAUUUGUUGCAUUGGUGGAGCUGGAGCCGCUGGUCCAUUCUGUUGGAAUCCUUGAGACCAUGAAAAAUUGGGGUGAUCUCUCCAUCCAGGGUUAUAUGUGUUGGAGUAUGGGUUAUAAUUCGAUGGUUUUCUCAUUACACCUAUGGCAUUGGCUUGAUCUGAGUAUGAGUCAUGGUCAUGUGGUUCUGUUGAUUUAGCAGUCGAUAACGAUGCUAUUUGUCGAGCAAGACCCUCAACCAUCUCCUUGACUUCUUUGAUUCCCGAAGUUGACUCGCCAAUUUGAACCUCAUUUACUCCCUUAAUUCUUCUAGUAUUCCUGAGUGAUCGACUCCGUUGUUGGGAAUUAUCCGCUUGUCGCUGGAAGAAUUCCUAAAUCUCUGAUGCACUUUUUGACAUUAGCUCUCCUCCACUUGUUGCCAUUAGCCAUUCUUGCACAUUCGGCAAUAAUCCCUCCAAAAAGUAUUGGCAUUGGUGCCAUUUCUCGUACCCAUGAUGUGGACACUUCAAGAGUAGCCCAUUGAAUCGCUCCCAUGUUUCGAAAAACUGCUCGUCUUCUCUUUGGGUAAAUUCCGAGAUUUCCCUGCGAAUAGCAUUGGUUUUAUGCACUGGGAAAUAUUUAUUCAAAAAUUUUGUAACCAUUUGUUCCCAUGAUGAAAUGCUAUUAGCAGGUAAUGUAUUAAGCCAUGAACGAGCUCUAUCCUUUAAAGAAAAUGAGAAUAAUCUGAGUUUAACAUCAUCGUCUGAAAAAUUUUCAUAUUUAAAAGUUUGACAAAUGGCAUGAAAAUCAUUCAGAUGAUUAUAUGGGUCCUCAUUUUCUAGGCCAUAGAAUGUUGGGAGACAAUUUAGCACACUAGGUUUUAGUUCAAAACUCCUAGCAGCUACAUUUGGGUACCUUAUGCAUGAUGUGCUCAAAUUAGCUAAGGGACUAAAAUAGUCCUUAAAUGGCCUCUCCUGUGGUGCUUGUAAAUCCAUUCCAAAUUUAUUUUUAAUGUGCUUUUGUGUGCGAAGUGUUUUUUCUAAUUCAAGAUCUAUAGGUUCAAGAUUAGGUAAUAAUGACCUACGACCAUGCAUGCAAAAUAAAUAAAAUGAAAAUGAAGAUGGAACAAAACAAAUACAAAUAAAAAUAAAGAAGAGAGAGAAAUUACAAUACUAACCUUAUUGCGCUAUUACAACCUUUCUAUAAAAAUACACAAAAAAUACGUGAAAUAAAUUAACUAAAAAUUGAAUUAAUAAAAUAAAAAAUUACAAAGAAAAAAAAAUAAAUUGAAAAUUAAAUUACAGAAUUUUAAAGAAGAGAAAAAGAAAAGAAAUACUAACCUUUAAAUGUAGAUUCACUUUUUUUUUUUAAAUACAAGAAAACAAUUAAAUGGAAAUAUUCACAAAAAUUAAUUCUAUGAAUUAAAAUUACUUACCUCCCCGGCAACGGCGCCAAAAACUUGUUGUGCAAAUUUUAAUGUACUCGCAAGCGCACGAAUCUAUUGUAGUAUAGAUCAAUGGUGACGAGUGUCGAUCCCACGAGGAGGUGGAUUUUAAUUAUGUAUAGAAUUAAUUUUGGAAAUGGAUGAUUGGAUUUGUGGUAGAAAUGGUUUGGAAUAUGCUAAAACUUAAAUUAAAAUGGCGAGAAUAAAUUCUGAAAUUAGAAUCGAAAUGACGAGAAUAAAUUGUAGAGGAAUCUAUUGAAAUAACGUACUUGGGUAUCUAGAUCCGUAUCAACAUGCAUCAUGGGCUAAAUAAUCCGUAUUAAUGCCAAUUAAAUCAUGAGGGGGGAAUCCACACCUCAUGAACCACGCUCUAAUCAAUAUGGUGCUAAGGGCUUAUCGUGCCAAAUAAUAAUAACCUUAUACUAGAGAGCCGGUGUAACCAAGGCGGUAUCUAGACAAGAUCAGUAUUAUUUGUCGACGAGAAGUCAAAACAUCCACAAAAACUAGAGGGGAAGAGAAAAUAAAUUUACCAAAUAAAGCCCAUGACACAUGUUGAGACUUCACCUUCAACCCAAGCUUGAAAGAAAAUUAGCUACUCAUAAUUGAACUAAGGGCAAAAUGGGAAUUUAUUAAAAUAUGAAGAAAAUACAAGAUGGAGAGAGAAUUACAGAAAAUGGAUCCCAAAAAUGGAUUCAGAGAUAUCAAAUUAGGGGGGAGAGGCCCCCUUUUUAUAGAUACAUGGAGUAAAUCAUGGCCAUCGGAUUAAAAACAGUUUGGACGCUCAGGAUUGCGCCACGUCAUCAGUCAACAGUCCACGGUUUGACCACGCGGAUGAACAGUAACACGGUUUGACCCGACUUUGAACAGUAACGCGGUUUGACCCGGAUGAACAGUAACGCGGUUUGGUUGAAACUAAUCCUGUGUGAUGCAUGCACCGUACGCGAGAUUUUUCGUCCACUGAUAUACUGCCACGUCACCAUCAACAGUACAUAAGAAUUUUAGCCCAACAGGAUCGUGACACCUCAUCAGUCAAUGCCACAUCAUCGGUCAAUGCCACGUCAUCGAUCCGUCUAUGUGAACAGUGCCGUGAACAGUAACGUAUACAGUACCGUGUACGUGAAUAGUACCGUACAUGUGAAUAGUGUCAUUUUUCCUUUUAUGCUCCUCCUAAGGUUUUCGACCGUCCUGAGUUCAAAAGUGAUGUCCGUUUUGUCGUCUGAUCUCUCCUUUAUUGUGAAAUGACUAUAAUGCCCCUAAAAUACAUAAAUUACUUAUUAAAAUAAAACACACGUAAUUAAAUCACAAGAAUGUUAAAUACAUAAAAGUAAGGGUUGUUAGUAAGACUUGAAAUGUAAAAUUACGGUUUUCUCCUUUAUAAAUAUGCAUUUUCUAACACUCAACAGUGUCAACUAUUGUGAUGAAUGAGAAUGACUCAGUUUCUUAUAAAAAGAGUCUUGUUGUACCUCUCCUUGCAAUUUUUGCCACCAAUCUGCAUGUGGUCCCGAAAUAGACAUGAACUGAAAUUCAACAACACGAGAGAGUGUGUCAACAGCUUGAUUUUCAGGUCCGCGUUUAUACUCAAUUUUGUAGUCAUAACCAAGGAUCUUUGGAAGCCAUCGAGCCUGUGCAGGAGUGGUAAUUCGCUGCUCAAGUAAAUUCUUGAGGUUUUUUUUAUCGGUGUGGACAGUAAAUGGUUUCCCGAGGAGAUAUGGGCGCCAUUUCCAAAUUGAUUUGACAACAGCCAACAUUUCUUUCUCAUAGGUAGAUAGUAAUAAUGUCGUCCCCCUCAAAGCUUCACUGUAGUAUGCUAUUGGCUGGUUAUUCUGAGUGAGUACUGCUCCAAUUCCAAUCCCGCUAGCAUCACAUUCGAUUACGAAUUGUUGAGAAAAAUCUGGAAGGCCUAGGACUGGUGGAGACAUUAGUGCUUCUUUUAGCUUGGUAAAAGCUAACUCGGCUGCCUCGUUCCACUUGAAUCCUUCCUUUGAUAACAACUGAUAUAAAGGGGCUGCUAUACAUCCGAAGUGGCGGAUAAAUUUUUGGUAAUAGCCUACUAGGCUGAGGAACCCUCGUACUUCUCUGACAGUGGUUGGCGUUGGCCAUUCAAGAACAGCUUGUAUUUUGGAGGGACUUACUGCUACUCUUUGUUCUGAAAUGACGUGACCCAAAUAACCCACCUGAGAAACACCAAACCUGCAUUUUGUUUCCUUAACAAAUAGUUUGUUAGUAUGCAAAAUAGAGAGGACAAUCCGGAGACGUGCAAGGUGAUCAUUCCAUGUCUUUGAGUACAUGAGGAUGUCAUCAAAGAAGACCAAGAUAAACUUCCUUAGAUAAGGGCGGAAAAUGUCAUUCAUGAGGCAUUGGAAGGUGGAUGGGGCGUUGGUCAAGCCAAACGGCAUUACGAGAUAUUCGUAGUGCCCUUCGUGUGUUCUAAAGGCUGUUUCUGGUAUAUCCGCAUCGUGUACUCGGAUUUGGUGAUACCCAGCCCUUAAAUCUAACUUGGAGAAGAAUUUAGCUCCAUGGAGCUCAUCCAGAAGUUCAUCAAUUACAGGAAUCAGGUAUUUAUCUUUGAUCGUGAUGUUGUUCAUUGCACAAUAAUCCACACAGAAUCGCCAAUCACCAUCUGUUUUUUUAACUAAGAGGACUGGUGAUGAAAAUGGGCUUUUACUCGGUCUUACCAGCCCUGAUUGCAAAAGUUCUCUCACCAUCUUCUCUAUUUGUGUUUUCUGGUAAUAAGGGUAACAGUAGGGUCUUAUGUUGACAGGGUGUGUAUUUGGUUGUAGUGGGAUGUAGUGAACAUGUGGUCUCUUUGGUGGCAGGCUAGUAGGUGGCUUAAAAACAUUGGAGAAUUCGGUUAAAAUCUGAAUUAUGUCACCUAGGUAAAGAUUCGGCUGGAAAUUAUUGGGAGAGAGAGAGAUUUGGAAUAGGAAUCCACUACCUUGAAUAAAGUUGAAUUCUUUAUCAGAUAAGGCUGCUAAAGGGGUGUGUUUAAGACCUUGGAAUGUAUAGGUCUCUUCUCCAACUUUGUAGGUCAUCGUCAACUGCUUGUAAUCCAUCUCUAUUGGUCCAAUAGUCUCUAGCCAUUGUACGCCCAAAAUCAAGUGACAGGCUGCCACAGUAAGCACAAAAAAAUCAGCAGUAAUUGAUUUACGUUGAAUGGAGAUCGUGAGUGCUUGGCACAGGCCUUUGCAUUCGAUUUGUUCUUGGUUGGCGACCGUCACUUGGAACCUUUUAUUCUGAAGAACAGGUAGCCCGUAUUUAGUGACUACAGUUUGAUCAAUGAAAUUGUGCGUGCUGCCGCCAUCUAUGAGCACCGUUACCGGUUUGUUCUUCAGUUUACCCAUCACACGGAAUGUUUGCGGAUGACUGGCUCCUGAAAUGGCAUAGGCAGAAACUUCAGGCGUGACUUCAUGGUCCUUAGAUUCAGGUUCGGCAGGUUCCUUAGCAAGGUUUAUUUGAUUCGAAUCCUCUAUCAUGAAUAAUUGCGGCCUUUGGCAGCGGUGACCGGGAACAAAUUUUUCGUCACAAUAAUAACAUAGUCCAUUUGCCCGUCAUUCUCGUGCCUCUUGAUUUGUGAUGCGUCGAAAUGGAAUUGUUGAAUUGCUGGCAUUUUGGUUUACUUUGGAAGUUGACGGGGGGCCUAAUACGCCACUGGAAUGGUGUGGUAUGAUUCUUUGUGCUCUUGUAAUUGCGGAUGGACGAAAGGAAGUGCUCAUUUUCUUUUGCAGGUUAUUUCGUUCCUCAACUAGUCGAGCAACACCAAUAGCAUCAGUUAAUGUUCGCGGCUGCUUGAUCUUGACAUCCAAAUGAAUUUCAUCUUUGAGACCUGCAAUAAAACAACCCACCAAAAAAUUUUCAGGUAAUCCAUCAAUACAGUGGGAUAAUUUUUCGAAAGCCUCCUGGUAGGCCUCUAAAGUUGAGGUCUAUUUUAAUCGUGUGAGAGCUUCAGAGGGAUCUUCAUAGUCUGUUGGGCCAAACCUUUGAAGCAUGGCUUUUGUGAAUUCUUGCCAAGAUAAUGGUCCCUUAAAUUUUGUUAACCACCGAUGCCACUGUAAGGCAAUACCUUCAAGAUGGAAAGAGGCAAGUUGAACUUGUAGGCCUGGUGCAAUGUUUUUAAAUUCAAAGUAUUGUUCCGCCUUGUAAAUCCAACCGCUUGGAUCUUCUCCGUUAAAUCGUGGGAAGUGAAGUUUGAGGUGGUGAUAUUGGUCAUUUGGUGUGUGGGGUGUGUUAGUGUUUGUGGUAUGUGAGGUUUCUCUGGGGUAAAAAGGGUUGAUUUCAGGCUGGAUGGUUGGUUGAGGUCGAGAGACUUGCAAAGCUUGUAACUCAGUUAACACCUUAUGCAAGGAAUCAUUGAUCUGAUCAAAAUUGGAUUCAUGUCGAGCUAAGGCUUCGUUGACAUCAUUGCGGAAUUCGGCAUUAGAUUUAUCGCGAGUGUCCAUUGACAAACCGGCUCUGAUACCAAAAUGAUAUGGUAUAAUUUAGAAUAAGAGUUAAGAAGAAGAAGGAAGCAAAGAGAUAAAAGAGAGGAAAAAUGUUUCUGUAAUUCUCCCUUUAUUCAACUCAGAACUCUUAUAGCUGGAACUAAACAAAUAAUGCAAACAAAAUAGGAAAAGAAUCAAGACCAGAUCACCUGGUAUUAUAACAGAAAACUCAAAACAGAAUGCUAAAGACUAGCUCCACUAGUUUAUUAAUAGAACUGAUGACCAAGUCUUACAAAGCACAUGUAUCACUGUUGUAGUUAAAAUAAUUUUAAAACAAGUUACAACAGUUCCAACUCAAAAUCAGUAGGCUGCAAUUGGGUUGUUACACAUAUUUCUAAAUUUCAGUCUAAUUUAAUUGUGUAUGGACAAACUAACUUUAUCACUUCUUUCAUAUUAUUACUCAUAAAUUUCAACCUUAUUAUGAUGAUGCACAAUCUAACUUAACAAAAAUAAUGUUCAAAUUGUCAAAAAUGUUCUUUUCUUAAAAAAGAAAAGAAAAUCAUAUACAGUAGUUAAUUUUUCUUCUUCUUUACUCCAGGAUCCAACUCUGUACUCCACUUUUUUGUUGUUAUUGUACCCAGCCGUUAGAUUUUAAUUACAUUGAUUUAACGGUUUGGAUUUGUAAAUGAAUAACGACAUAGUGUUUGGCUACCAUCUGAACCCACUGCAUCUAAUUGGUUUUGUGAUUUUUUGCCUUCUUCUCUGUAACGCUUGACUAGUUCUGGAAAUAUCAACCGCCAUUGACAACAAAUCUGAACCAUGUAUUAUUUCUUAGUAGUGGGCAAAUAAAGUUUGCCCACUACUAAGAAAUAAAGUUUCCACCACCGAACCAGUAUGUUGAUUUGCGAAUACAUUCAUUCAAAUAUUAAACGUUCAGAGAAGAAAGCAAACCAUGGUAGGAUAGCAAAAACUGCGAAUGGUCAUUCCCAACACGAACCCCUAUGGCGGUUUUCCUUUUAAUUUUCUUCUUUGAAUUCUCCUUUUAUUAAUCAUUAGAAAAACUCCCUUUUUUUUAAAUCGUGUGUUAGUAACAUUUACAUGGUUAAUGUCAUCCAAAUCAAAUGGUUGUUAUCUACGAAAAGAGAAUUGCUAGAAAUUUUGUUAGUCCCAUUGCAACAAUAUACAUGUUAUAAAUUGCAUUGUUUUCCAUAUAACAAAUAUAAUAAAAUCUCAAAAAAUUAAUAGUUUUCGGGAUCAUAAAAAAAUUUAUUAAAAUUUAACAAAUAUCAAUUAAUCAGUAAAUUAAUAAAUUAUUAAUUUAUGAAAAUAUUCAUUAUUUUGGAAAAACAUGAUCACGUUUUUAAUAUUGAUUUACCUUGAGUUAGUAUCUAUUAUGUUUUAUUUGUCUAUUAGUUUUCUCUUGGGAAGAUUUUUUAAGAGUUAGCUACUUUAUUUUAACAGUAAUAAAAUUAUUAUUUUACGGUUUUGUUUUUCCAUGUUAAAGACCGAUUAGUCGUCUUCUUCUCCUCAGCAUCAUCAAGCACCGCCUUGAUCAUCUCCAACAUAUUCUCCCACUUCAUCAGAUCGUCUUGGAUCUUUUCUUGGCGUGCAAACCACCCAAUCCCCUCCGAAGCUAACUUUUUUACAAGCAACUCUACGGACGCCGUUAGGAUCGCCUCUCUGAUGAUUGACAUUUUUUUCCCCUUUUUUGGGGGCCAAGAAAGAAAGGAGUAGAAUUAUGGGUUUUGGAAAGUAGAAUAAGAAAAUUGAACAGGUGAGAAAAUGGAUAAUUAAGCAGAAUGAAUCUGUGCUAGUGAAGGGUCUGGUCCAGCAAAGCUUAGUAGAAAUCACGCGUUUAUACUUUAUUGACCGAUGGCUAAUAAUUUGGCAGUUCACCCAUCACCGCCACUUGGUAAGAAAAAUGAAAAGGAAAAUGAGAUUCUUACCACAGUGAGAACCACAGUGAGCAUAGAACGCUGCGUUUUGUGCUAACUAUAAAUUCUCACAGUGGCACGCAUAUCACAUGACACACACAGAGCUCAGACAACACGCUCAACUGCCACAACACUCACCAAAUCUUCACCCAACUCAUGCAUCUCACCUCUCUGUGCUCUCUCUGUGGGCUCUCUCUCCCUCUCUCUCCCCCCGUCGCUCACGCAUCUCACCAUGCUCUCUUUUCACCGUCGACUUUCUCUCUCUCUCUCCCCAUGGGUCUUUCCACAGCUGGCGCGGGUCUCCAUCGAGAAUGCUUCGAACUCAUCAAGGGUGGUGGUAAAAGCAAUAUUUUCAAUCGAGAACGGCGUCGUCUCGGCUUGGAAGAAGUAAUAACACUAGUAUUUGGCGGGGGUUUUGGGUACUUUUUGUUCCUGUUUGUCCAUUAAUUAAUUAAUUUGGAAAAAAAAACGGUGUAUUUGACAAAUGAAUAAUGGGGACGGUUGGAUGUAAUUAAGGGGAUGGUGAACAUAAUAAUGGUUUAAGAAGACCAGGGUUUUGAUCGACAAAGUGGAUUGGAAAAAUCUAGAGCAAAGGCGUUGAUGAAGGGGGCCCAAAUUUGUUUUUUGGGUUUUAAAGAGUGGCAUUUUGAUAACCGACUUUUAUUAUCAGUUAGGUUGUUUUCUGGCAAUUACGCCGGUUGAAAAAGGUGCCGUAAUACUUCCUAAAAUAAUUAACCCUAAAUAAUUUGUCCUGCAUCACCGAACUCCAAAUCUUAUAAAGUGUAACAGACUAAUUUGAGUUUUUUUUUUCAAUUAAAAAAAGGAUGGGCAAAAUAGACAAAUAAUGAAGACAGAAGUUAAGCAGACAGAGGAAAAUGAAUUACAUACUGUCCUUGAGAACUCAAUUCUUUAAUAAACUCAAUUUUUAAUUUUUUAUUUUUUGGGGUAAACUCAUGUCAUAUACUAUAGUCUUUAAUUCGGGCUUUGUUGUAUCAAUUUUUUGGUGGUUAUCUUGUUUUAUUUAUUUUUUAUGCAAGAUUUUUGUAGAAAUACAUCAGGAAUAAGAGUGAAAUCCCAAUUUUAAAAUUUGGGAGAAAUGAAAUGCGAUAUAUUUUUUUAUAAAUAAAAAAAUUUAAUUUUUUUUUAAUUCUAUUAGCAAAAACCAUUAAUUAAUCAACCCAUCAAGUUAUUGGUUUCAUUUACAACUGACAGUCGGUUUCUUAGUUUCAUUCCUUAUCUUUUAAAAGAUAUUACAAUGCUCUGGUUAUUUAGUAAUUACAAAUUAGAAAAGUCAAAUAUUUCUAACCAAAGACACUAGUGGAAAAGAUUUUGAUUCAUUUUUGUGUACACGCAUGACACAAAAUUAAAUUAUAUGGCAAUGUUAAUAGUGAGUCGUUUUUGGGAAUCCAUUAAGUUCGCAUGCGCGUAGACAUCUGUUGCCAGCCCUUUUAUUUUUAUUUUUAUAUCUCCCAAACAUUGUUAGAGUCCCACAUUUUUGACACAUUUUUCUGUUUUCUUGCAUAUGUUGCGAUUUUUAAGUAUCACUCAAAAUUUAACACCGUCAACACCUGCAGGAAAAUUACAUUUUUUAUGUCAGCACACUACAAGAAAAAAACAGAAUACUUGACAUUUUUUAUUUGAUAAUUUUUAAGAAAUAUCAAAUAUAUAUGACAUUUUGUGAAAAACUAAGUAAUUGUGAAAUGUAAAACGUCAAAUUUCAUCUCCAUUCUCUUUCCAAGAAGAACGCACGAAGAAUUUUAGCUUGCUUCAACUGCUUCUCGAAUUUCAGGUAUUGUUUACUUUAAUUUCGAUAAUUUUUUUUUUUACCUCUCUCUUUCUAGUUUGAUAAUUUAGGGUUAUACUUGAAUUAAUUGUAUUUUUAAUCAACCUAGGUUGAUUUAAUUGAUUCCAAGUAUCAAUUUCCUGUUCAACAAACAAGGAACGCACAAAUAAAUUUCAUUUUCAUACUCAAUUUUGAAAGAAUCAAUCAAUUUAUUUUAUCUUUGGUUAGUACACUUCUGUUCAAUUUUUGUUUAUUUAACUUAAGAUAUCUUUUUCUUUCUUUUCUUCAAGCAGAUUAUAGAUUAUAUUGAGAACAGAGCUUUCUCAACGUUGAUUUCAGGUGAUAAUUGAAUGUGUAAUAUUUUCAAUUGAAAUUAAUUGAGUCUCGUAAUUAUAAUAGGGAUUUGAGAUUUACAUCCUGUUGAAAUGAUUUUAGAGUGUUCUGCUAUUUAAAUGUGCUAUUUGAAUGUGCAUUAAUUGUUUGAUUAAAUGUCUCGUAAUAGUAUUACCGUAAUGCACUUUGCUUCAAUUUGGUCUGUUUACACAUUUUAACAAGGGAAAAUUACAGAACUGCAACAGUUUUCAAAUUGAUUGCAUAUUAGAAGUAAUGUUAAUUUAUGCUGCAACAGUUCAAUGGGCUGGGCACAAGUUUAGGACUUUAGUGUUGGGAAAAUAUGCUCUUUAAAAGCAUAUGUGUUUAUUUAAUUGUAAUAAACAUUUUUUCUUAUUAAUAAAAUAAAUGAGGUAUUUUAUUCAAAUAUCUUAAUUGCAUUAAUAUUUGUAUUAAAGUCCAUUUAAUCAUAUUAUAUGUAUUUAUGUGAUCACCAUGUGGAUUCACAGAAGACAUAAAUACAAGUUAUCUUAUGAUUAAAUAAAUUUAGUUCGCAGUUGAUAAAUAAAGUUGGGCACUUUAUUUAGGUAUAGACUGUAAUAAAUUCAUUAAAUGAUUUGUCUUAAUCAUGUAUGAAUUCAUUGAUGUAGUACGACUACAUUGAACAGGAUCACAUAUGAGAUUUAAUUAACUUUGUAAUAACUGUCAGACUUAUUAAAUCUCAUAGGCAUUGAUUUUACUGUAAUCUUAAUCUUGAGUUAAUUAUGAUUUCAUGAUUGUAAUUGUUAUUCCAUUUGAGUUACCAAUGGGCAUGACACAUACUUGUAGUCUAGAUUACCCGGUAUCUUGGUGGGAGCAAUUAUGAGUAUUGGAGUUAUGGAUUAACAAUAUAGAAUUUGUACAACACAUCUCUUGAUGGGUUUUCGGUACUUGAUCAUAGAAUUCUCUGGCCAGAGUGUGUCAACAUAUUUAGUAUGUUGAAAAUGAUCAUUAGAGAAAACCAGUAAGGAUCAAGGAAUAAGAUGUUAUUAAAUUGAUUGGACAGUUGAGAUAUCAAUUUAAUUAACGAUGUGGUACAAAGGAUUGUGCAGUAAAGAAAUCAAUGUGGCUUGGGACGAAUUAUUACUCGAGCAUACAAUUAUGGAAGUCAGUUCCAAUCUUUUAGUGGAGUAGAUUUGGAAUUAAAUAAUUGGGCUAGUUUAAUUACAUGCCUAAUUAUUGUAGCCACUAUUGUAUGUUCCCAAAUGAUCCCCGAGUUAGCUCAUUUAAUUGACUGCACCACUACUGGACUAAUAAGUAAGAUAAUUAGCUAUUUGGGUCAAAAGCCUAAAUAUAUCAUUUAGUGGGAGGCUCCAUUUAAUUAGCUUUUGUAUAAGGGGCCUUAUGUUAUUUUACAAGGUGGGUCCCUUAUUGAAAAAAGAAAAUAACGUGAGUUUUAUUUAGGGCAUUUUUUGGAGCCUAGGGUUUUCACUAAAGGGAGAUAUAUAAGGCUUAUUUUCUCAAAAGAAAAGUGAGAAGCCACUAUAUACAGAUCAGAGAAAAAUAUUUUUCUCUCCAUUGUUGAGAGAAAAAUUUUCUCGUGCUAGUUGCUUUGGUAGUGAUAAAGGCACCCACACGUCAAGUGCAGAUCGAACCUGAGUCAUAACCUGGAAGAUCAUUGGAGACAGUUCGUGAUCUAACAAGCGUGGUGGUGACGGAUCGUGAUCUAAUAGGAGUGGUAGUGACAGAUCGUGAUCUAGGAGCUUAAAUCACUUCAGUGGAAAAAGCCAACUCAGAUUUUCAAGGUACGAUUUCUAGAAUACAAAUUCUUAUAUAUUAUAUGAGAGCGAUCUUCAAAAGGUUUUAUAAAAAUUUAAAAACCUGAUUUUUCUCCAACAUUUAGUUGCUCAAUUAAUGAAUCCACCACUCAUCAGACUUAGAACUUAUAUCUACUGAAUCAAUAAAAAUAGUUGAUCGAAUCAAUACCGAAAGCUUCAUUUGAUUAAUAAUGAACUACAGAUAUUUAUUUAUAACAUCUGUUAGAUUCUGGACAAUCACAAAGAUAUAGUAGCAGAAACUAUGUUCGAGACACUGUAGUUGCUUAAUUAGUGAAAUUGUGAUCUCAUUGCCCCCUUUUUUUGGUUGAUUCUAUAAUUUUAUUAGUCGUUCUUGUGGUUGUAAACAAUAUCAAUUUCUAAUAUUAAUAAAACUGAAUGAAUAAAAUGCGAUGCAUUUGCAGGAAAGUUAAUAGUUUAAAUAUGGAUAAAUCUUGGAUGUUGAUGGAUAGAAGGUCUAUAGAAUAUGAGAACGCGGUAAAUGAGUUUCUCAAGUUUGCAGUACUUCAUGCUAGUCAUCCUGAGCUUUUGAGAUGUCCAUGCCAAGCAUGUCUUAGUUUAUAGGCUCAAACAAUUAAGAGUAUAGAAAAUGCAUGAUAGAACACACAACUCAUAUUUUAGCAACAAUCCUCAGCUCACUGGCCCUUAGUUCAGAAUGACAAUUCUUAUUAGCCAAAGAUUCAAAAUGAUUUUUAGUUGUUUAUAAGUAGAGCACUAGAUCAACAAAUAAUUGAAGUCCUGCAGCUUGGCUAUUGAACUAUACGAUGGUGGCAAUUCGAAGACUACAACUUGGCUCUGCCAUUCGAAGUAAGCAACGCAGCUGCCCAAAGUCUGCCAAGCCAUCAAGACUCCAAGUAUACUUCAAAGCUACAUCAAGACAAUACUAAGAUACAACAUCAACAAUAUUAACAUCAAGAAAUGCAUGGAGGCCAUUGCAUGUUACACCCACCCCAAUAAGAAAAAUACAGUCCUAGAAAUUUACAAACCCGUGCAGUAGGAAUACUAAUUAAUUUAUACAGUUCAAUACUCGUUCCUCUGUUUCAAAUCCAAAUCCACUGGUCUACUAUUCAUUAUGACAAUGCAUAUGCCGAUAUUGUCUUCCAUCCUUUUUGUACCUUUCAAUUUAGUGAGGUUUAGACAGGGGUUCCAGAUUUGGUAAAUCAACAAUCACCAAAUAUGUAGAGCGGCCGGAAGAGGAAGCAUGGUUCCUAAUCCUAAUCUUGAUUUAGAGCAGAUUAGGUAGCAUGUGGCAUUCUACAUUCUUGCAAUGCCAUUUCUUGUUAUGGCAGCGGCAUUCUUGGUCAUGGCCUCACAAGCAAAUGCUUUGAUUUGAAGACUUGCUUGGCUAUGAAAAAUAAGGAGAGCAAAGGUAAUUAAUCUUGGUGUGAUCAACAUUUUUAUGGGGUACUAAGAAAAAUAAAGAUAAUAUAAGGAAUGUUGUUGAGGAGUAUUUUCAUAUUUACACAAGUGUUCAAGUAAAAAUUGAUUUCUUAAAACCCAUUAGCUAGCGCACAUAAUAAUGGGGAGAAAAUUUUAGACUACGAAUGGUCCCACCCAUUUAAUAAUAUUCUUCAAUCAAUUAUGUUUACAUCAAAAAAAAAACCCAACUCUUUAUUACUUUCUAACUAUUCAUAUUAAUGUGUUAAUAAUUAUGAAGAACCGGUGUAAUUUAUAUGAUGUAGGAAGUACUUUAGGCAAAAUCAUCUGAAUCUCAAAAUUUCGUGAUAUUGUGCCAAAUGGGAAGUCAAACCAAUUCGAGGAACUCUCCUGUUUUUGACUGAACAUACAUAAUCCGAACAAUUUGCAAUUAAAUAAAUCGUUCAAAAUCUCCUUUAGUCGAACCCCCAUUUCCAUGGUUUAAUAGAAUAUCAUAAAGGUGCCCAAUAUAGUGAAAUUAACGUUCAGCUCAUGAAGUUGCCGUUAUAAAAAGAAAUUAGUAAAAGAAACUGAAAACCAAUUGACACUGGAUCACGUAAGAUUGUUUGUUAUUAACUAUGAUGGGAAUAUAUACUUGGUCUAUUAAUUAUCAUCUAGCUAAUGCAUGUGCACUUUCAUUUGUGUCUAUCACUGAAGAGUAGAGUUAUUUGAUUGAAUAGUAUCAUAUCACAUAAACUCAAAACUUAAUUUCAUUGCACGAGCAUACCAGGCCAUAUGUGCAAAUCAUUUUCAGCUUACACUAACAUUUCCUUAAUGCAUGUGCACUUUCAUUUGUGUCUAUCACUGAAGAGUAGAGUUAUUUGAUUGAAUAGUAUCAUAUCACAUAAACUCAAAACUUAAUUUCAUUGCACGAGCAUACCAGGCCAUAUGUGCAAAUCAUUUUCAGCUUACACUAACAUUUCCUUAUCAAUCAAUUUUGAUGGUAUGAUAUUAAAAACAUCGAUUUCAUAAUUUUAUGUAAUUCAAAGAAAAGAUAUAAUUGAUUUGAGUUAGUUUAACAUAUAAGGAAAGAGUAAUGGGGAAUGAUGUCGAUGUGGCAUGUGAUGAGUAAAGAUAGACAACAAAUAUUGAUCAUGUAAUAAUGAAAUAUGUAUUUAUUGAAAAUAAAUUGACAGUUAAAAUUAAUAGAUAUAUAUCCAAUGCAUCGAGUUUAUUUUAUCACUUUGCUAACCAUUUUGUAACUACAUGUUAAUUAGAAGUUCAAUUAAUUUUGACCAAAGACUCUAGAGAAUGUCGAAAAGAGAUUUGAUUUUUGUCUUAAAAAAAAUUACAAAUGAAAUAAGUCAAAAUCAAUCACAAGAACAACAAUAAGAGCAUAUUUUAUAAAACCACAAAUACAUAAUAUAAAUUUAGUUUCGAAUUAGAUAAUUAUUAAUUUGUAUUGUAAGAGAGUCUUAUAGAAAAAAGAGGAAUUUUUUAAAAGGAGAUUUGCUUAAGGAACAACUUUAGUUUGGUUUAAUUUGUGAAGGCUCGAGUAAUUGAAAGCAACGCAAUUGAAGGAAAUACAAGCAUUUGAUUUUGACAAAGUAAUCACUACAAUAUUUGACAAGUUUGAGAUGUUAAAAAAACUGGAAAAAUAGACAAAUAAUGAAGACCCUACAAGUUGGCAGAGCAAAUAAACAGAGGAAAACAAAGCAAAUAUUUACCGUUAUGCAUAUAUUUUUUUUAUUUUUUCCGAAAAAAAAUGUUGUGAUAAUUUUUCCCAAAAAGAAGCACAGUUUGAUAUUACUACCAUAGAACUUUAGCUACCAUAUAUAAGCAUGUGUCUAAUUACCAAAUGAAUUCCGCUAUAACAAAGAAUAAAAGCUAAUUUCAUUGAUGGCAUAUGUUGUGCUUUCUUUUCUUUUCUUUUAUUUUAUUUUAUUGAAGUUACUUUGCAAACUGCUCCAUGCUACAUACAUAAUUUACGCUUACACUAGGAUCUUUGCAAUGGUCCAGCAAUUUGUAUUUCCUUUCGGUGAGGUUGGUUUUUUUCUUUAACUAAAAUUUCAGGGAUUAGAAAUCUUAUCCAUUGAACAUCAACUUUGAAUUUUAUUAAUAUUCAAACUUAGAAAAUACUGCAGGAACAAAGUGCAUUCAUAGCCGGUUAAACUAUGUCCAGCUACAAUGCAAGUUUCACUUUUACUUAAUUAAAUAUACAAAAUUAAAUCACAUGAGCCUCUCGUUUCAUUAUACUUCAACUCAAAAUUAAAACACAGAAUUGACGGUAUUGGAGUUUCAUAUUUAAUUUUGCUGUAGUCAUGGGGAAUCAGAUGGCCAUCCAUUUUUACGUCUAUUUUUGUGUGUGCGUGUGUGUAUGUGUGUAUUGGGAUGUCACAGGCCCUAAAAGAUAAAGCUGAACAUCAAUCCCAAAUCUAAAGUGAAAAACAGUAGCAAGAACAGAAUCUUUGUUUUGAUGUCUUAGUUUAUAAGCUCAAACAAUUCAUAGUAUAGAAAAUGCAUGAUAGAACACAGAACUCAUAUUUUAGCAAUAAUCCUAAGCUCACUGGCCCUUAGUUCAGGGUGGCAGUUCUUAUUAGUCAAAGAAUCAAAUUGACUUUUAGUUGUAUCUAAGUAGAGCACUAGAUCAACAAAUAAUUGAAGACUUGCUUGGCUGUGGAACCAUAGGAAGGCAAUUCGUGAACAGCCUUGAUAUUUCAUUUGGUUUUAUUUAAUUCUUUGUAAAGUUGUCUUGUGUGUAAAAUUUUUGUUACAUGAAAUCGGUCGGUGAAGAGAAUUUUUAAAAGCAAACAUCAAAGUCACGAUCAAAGGGACGAAAUCAGUAUAAAUAUUGAUUGUCUCAAGUUAGAUUAUACAAAGAUGAAAUAAUGCUAAUCUAAAAAAUUCGAUGAUUAUAAUUUGAUUUCCAUUAUAUUAAUUAUAUUCAAUCAUGCUCUUUAAAUGAAGAACACUCUAGCAUUUAUAUACACUCAGCUUAUGAAAUUAAUUACAAAACGAUCUUUGACAAAGUCUGAUGAAAAAAGUACAAAGUUAGACUUCCCGAUCAUGCAACCACCCAUCGAAUUGUGUAUUGUGUCAUCGUUGAGCUCUUAGAAGGAUUCAGCUGCUGAGGAGAAGAUAUAAUCUGCUUUUGUGUGAGAAGCUAUGUACUAUGCUUUUAUGGUGUUUCUCUUGGUAGUUGUCGGACAAACUGUAAUGUGAAUUUCUAUCUAAUGGGUAUCCUUUUAGUUACUUUGGGAUUGUUGAUUUAUAUAUGAUGUUUGGUAUCUAAAAUUCAGAUGAUGAUAAUCUUGGCAGUACUUUUGUCAAAUUUUCUUGUGUUGUUGUUGGUUUAAUAAAUAUCACAAAGGUGCAAAAUACAGUAAAAUUAACAUUGAGCUCAUGAGAUUGCCAUUAGAUAUAUUGAAAAAGAAAUUGACACAAGAAACUGAAAAUUAGUUGUUAAUUAUGAUGGGAAUAUAAUCUUGGUAUUUCAAUUAUAUCAUUUGUACUAAUCUCAUUUGUGUCUAUCACAAAAGCAGAGUGGCUUGAUUGAAUAGUGUCAUAUUACGUCACAGCAAUCACAUAAACUCAACCAAAAAUGCAUGAGCAUUGAACAUUCAGCUAAUUUAUACUAAUUAAUUAAUAAUACUAACAAGAGAAGUUGGAUCUCGUCUUCUCUUGGAUAUAUCCGAUGACUUUGAGCUCUCCAGCCUCCCAGCCGGAAAUGUUCUUCCUUCACAUUCGGUGAUUGUUUUUCAUUAUUGCGGCUACUUGACUCAAAUAUGCUAUUGCAAGAGGAGAUUUCUAUUUUGUCUGAUUUAAGCCAUAAGACGCGUUUCAAAUUUCAUUCUGAUUGGUUAUCUGUUAGCUUUUUUGUUUUAAGAACUUCUUAUUUACGGAAGCAAAAUUCUCCUUUCCAGGAUGAUCUAGAUUUAGAAGUUGCUUUUGUCAUAUCAGACGAAGAGGCCAUCUUUAAGGCCUUGUCUAAGAUUGUUGAAUUUACUAGAAGGGACUACUGCUCUGAUUGGUCAAAACUACUAUGGCUGUCUUUUUCAUGAGCUUCUAAGAUCGAAUCAGUUUUAAUGGUAUGAUAUUAAAAACAUCGAUUUCAUAAUUUUAUGUAAUUUCAUAGAAAAUAUAUAAUUGAUUUGAGUUAGUUUAACGUAUAAAGAAAGAGAGAUGGGGAAUGAUGUCGAUUUGGCAUGUGAUGCGUAAUAAUAGACACCAAAUAUUAAUCAUGUAAUAGUGAAAUAUAUAUUUGCUGAAAAAUAUUUGGCAAUAAAAUAAUACUUUAAAAAUUUAAUAUUAUUUGCAAGAAAGUAAUUCGACAAUUAAAAGUAAAAGAUGUAUAUGUGACUCUUCGAGCUUAUUUUAUCACUUCAUUAGCCAUUUUGUAACAACAACUUUAAUAGAAGUUCAAUUAAUUCUGACCAAAGACUCUAGAGAAUGUCGAGAAGAGAUUUGAUUUUUGCAUUCCAAAAAAUUAGAGAUGAGAUAAGUUAAAAUCAAUUACAAGAACAACAAUAAGAAUAUAUUUUUUAAAACCCACAAAUAUAUAUAAUAUAAAUUUAAUUUCGAAUUAAGUAAUUACUAAUUUAUAUAGUAAGAGAGUCUUAUAGGAAAGCAGGAAUUUUUUAAAAGAGAUUUGCUUAUGGAAAAAGUUUAGUUUGGUUUAGUUUGUGAAGGCUCAAGUAAUUGAAAGCAAUGCAAUUGAAGGAAAUAUAAGAUUCUAAUUUUUUUUAAAGUAAUCGCUAAAAUAUUUGACGAAUAGUGAAGACCCUACAAGUUGGCAAUGCAAAUAAACGGAGGAAAACAGGGCAAAUAUUUACUUUCUUCCAAAAAUAAUAAAUGCACAAUCUGCUAUUACUACUAUAGAAUGUUAGCUACUAUAUAUGAGCACGUGUCCAGUUACCAAAUAAUUUCCACUUUAAAAAGGAAUAAAAGCUAAUAUCAUUGUUAGCAAAUUUUAUUUAUUUAUUAUUAUUUUCUAUUAUCCUUUUUUUUUUUGGCGCUUUUAGUUAUAGGCCUAAAAAGAUAAAGAUAAAGAUAAAAAUCAAUCCCAAAUCUAAAGUGAAAAAUUGUGUCUAGAAUAGAAUCUAUGUUUUGAUGUCUUUGUUUACAAGCUUAAACAAUUCAUAGUAUACAAAAUGCAUGAUAGAGAACAUAACUCAUAUUUUAGCAAUAAUCCUCAGCAUCACUGGCCGUUAGUUCAGAAUGACAAUUCUUAUUAGUCAAAGAGUCAAAAUUAUUUUGAGUUGUAUAUAAAUAGGGCACUAUGUUGCGGACCUCCCAAUUCGCUAGCCCAAUUGCCCACAAUUUUGGGCUAGAGAGCCAACACAAGGCCAAGAGUGCUAGCUUGGCCCAAUUCCGGAACAUUCUAGGCAACUCUAGCACAUUGAUCUCGUAAAUACUCUAGAAUUCUCCUUACAAUUCCAGCACAUGUAAAUAGCUAGGAAGUGGUAGAAUUCUCUAGAAUCUCUAGAGCUUGGCAAGCCUCCCCUAUAAAUAUGGGAUGGCAUUAGGCAUUUGCAUCCAACAAACACUACAACAAGCAUUGUAAGCAACUCAAGCAUUGUAAUCUCUCUUCGUGCAAUAAAAGUUUCUUAUUCGGCUCCAUUGCUCUCUUCUCUAGUUCGAGAAGCUCUAGGCUUACUUAGCAACAUUCGGCAAGGUUGUCUAAGUGCCGCACGGGUUAGCUGCACAAAAUACUCAUCCCGUGACAAGUGGUAUCAGAGCUAAGGUUUGCACGCAUGCAAGUUAGCUCACGAAGCAAUGGCCAACCCUUCGAAUGUAGCACAAGAGGGUGUUGUUGGUGUGGAUGCUCCACCGGAACCAAGCCGCGGUCGAGAGGGAGAACGCGUCCAAGGCAAGACUCGCGGCAAGUCCAAGGCCCCAUCCGUGGAUGCGUUGGAGCCUCGUGUGACUACUCUCGAAAUCACAUUGUCCGCCGCUCAAGAAAGCCUCGAGGGAUUGGAGGAACGAGUGGACGGUCUCGAGGGAGAAUACGCCGAGUUCACGGUGGCAACCAAAGCUCUCAUCCAAGAGCAAGCGAACACUCUCCGAGGUGAGUUUCGUUCUUUCCAUGAUGAGUUGCUAAAACUUCAUAGUUUUGUUCAGGACGAACUACGCGCUGUCCGUGCGGAAGUGGAUGAAGUCCGCUCGGAUUAGGCAUGGCACAAGCGCACACUCUCCGCUAGUCCAGCUUCUGCAAACUCGAGUGAUGUGCACCGCAUUGAUGUGCCAAAGCCCGACACCUACGAUGGCACACGCAACGCCACAAUCGUGGACAACUUCCUAUUCGGGCUGGAUCAAUACUUCGAUGCCAUGGGUGUCCGAGAUGAGGCAUCGAAAGUGGGCACUGCACCCACCUAUCUUCGAGGCGCUGCACAACUAUGGUGGCGUCGCAAGCAUGGCGAGAUGGGUAAGGGCAUUUGCACCAUCGACACUUGGGCCAACUUCAAGAAAGAACUCCGAAAGCAGUUCGCCCCAAGCAAUGCGGAGAAGGAAGCGCGAGCGCUCUUACGUCGCCUCAAGCAAUCGGGUAGCAUUCGGGACUACAUCAACGAGUUCACUACCCUUAUGUUAGAGAUAACCGACAUGUCCGACAAGGAUUCACUCUUCUACUUCCAAGAUGGCCUCAAGGAUUGGGCCAAGACCGAGCUUGAUAGGCGUGGUGUUCAAACACUUGACGACGCCAUCGCCGUUGCGGAAUCGCUCACCGAAUACUCUACCCAAUCCAAGGACAAAAAGGCCAACCAAGGCAAAGGUGGGGGAGAGAGUCGUAAGGACAAGGGCAACAACCGCAAAGAUUGGGGGCAGAAAAAGCCGCCUAGCAACAUGAGCGGGCAAGGAAAAUCGGAGGGCAAGAAGGAGGCGCCAAAGCCACAAAGCCCAUGCUUCAUAUGCAAUGGUCCUCAUUGGGUACGCGACUGUCCGGAGAACAGGUCGCUUAACGAUCUUACUACCUAACUCAAGAGCAACCCCGCAAUGUCCACAGAGGAACCCCAACUCAGCAUGGGUUCUCUCCAACGCCUUGGUGCACUCAAUCGCCAACAGCCCGCACUCGUCAAGAAAGGGCUCAUGUAUGCAAGCGCAAAGGUAAACGGUCAGUCCGUUCGCACGCUGCUAAACACGAGAGCAACACACAAUUUCGUGUCCGUAGAUGAGGCCAAGCGCUUAGGCCUCAAGGCCACCAAGGAAUGAGGCACAAUGAAGGCAGUAAACUCACCUGCCAAGCCAAUUGCGGGAAUCGCACAAGGCAUGCACAUCACACUCGGUACGUGGAGCGGAAAGCUUGACUUCUUCAUUGUGCCCAUGGACGACUUCAAGAUGAUCCUCGGCAUGGAAUUCUUCGACCAAGUCCAUGCCUUCCCGCUGCCCGCUACGAACUCCCUAAGCAUCCUCGACGGGAGCAAGGCAUGCAUGGUUCCCACGGAACUAGGCAAGUCCGAGGAGAAGACACUCUCCACCAUGCAAUUCAAAAGGGCUUUCAAGAAGGACCCAAGCCAAGUCCCUCCGCGAAUUCAAGCCAUCCUCAAUGAAUACAAGGACGUGAUGCCUCCAGAACUUCCGAAGAAGCUCCCACCUCGACUAGAGGUAGAUCAUGCAAUCGAGCUGGAACAAGGUGCGAAGCCACUAGCCUUGACGCCCUACCGCAUGGCGCCACCCGAAUUAGAGGAGUUGCGGAGACAACUCAAAGACUUGCUGGACGCAGGCUACAUUCGCCCCUCAAAGGCCCCAUUCAGUGCGCCCGUGCUCUUCCAAAAGAAAAAGGAUGGAUCGCUGUGGAUGUGCAUCAACUAUAGAGCGCUCAACAAAAUCACUAUCAAGAUCAAGUAUCUGAUUCCCUUGAUCGCGGACUUGUUCAACCAGCUUGGCAAAGCGCGGUACUUCACCAAACUUGACUUGCGCUCCGGGUACUAUCAAGUACGCAUCGACAAGGGAGACGAACCGAAGACGGCGUGCACAACAAGGUACGGGUCUUUCGAAUUCCUUGUGAUGCCUUUUGGCCUUACUAAUGCACCCGCCACAUUUGCACACUCAUGAACAAGGUGCUCCAACCAUUCCUCGACCGAUUCGUGGUCGUGUACUUGGACGACAUAGUGGUGUAUAGCACCACGCUCGAGGAUCAUGCCCAACACUUGCGACAAGUCCUCCAAGUACUCCGAGACAACGAGCUCUUCCUCAAGUUGGAAAAGUGCUCGUUUGCCCAACAAGAAGUGGAGUUCCUUGACCACAAGAUUGCGGGUGGGAAGAUCAUGAUGGAGAAUGCCAAAGUAAAGGCCAUCCUCGAUUGGGAGCCUCCCUCGAAAGUGCCCGAACUUUGGUCAUUCCUUGGAUUGGUGAAUUACUACCGCCGCUUCAUCAAGGGCUAUUCGGCCAAGGCGGCACCCUUGCCUGAUAUGCUCAAGAAAAACAGAGCGUGGCAUUAGACCGAAGAGUGCCAACGCACAUUCGAGGAAUUGAAAAGAGCAAUUUCAGAGGAACCCGUCCUCGCUCUUCCGGACCACACAAAGCCCUUCGAAGUCCAAACGGAUGCCUCGGAUUUCACCAUAGGUGAAGUCCUUAUGCAAGAAAGCCACCCCAUAGCAUUCGACAGUCGAAAGCUAAAUGAUACGGAACGCCGCUACACGGUGCAAGAGAAGGAGAUGACCGUAAUCAUACAUUGCUUGCGGGUGCGGCGACAUUACUUGCUCGGCUUACACUUCACGAUCAUGACGGACAACGUGGCGACAAGCUACUUCCAAACUCAAAAGAAGUUGAGUCCGAAGCAAGCACGGUGGCAAGAUUUCCUGGCGGAAUUCGACUAUCGGCUCGAGUACAAACCGGGUAAAGCCAAUGUCGUUGCGGACGCUCUAAGCCGCAAGGCCGAAUUGGCGACACUUAGCAUGAGCCAACCGAAGUCCGACCUUGUCUCACGCAUCAAGGAAGGCCUCCAACAAGAUCCGCUAGCAAAGGAUUUGCUGGAGAAGGUGCUCGAGGGAAAGACAAGGCGUUUUUGGCAAGAGGAAGGCAUCCUCCUCACCAAGGGAGAUCGGCUGUUCGUGCCAAGGUGGGGAAAUUUGCAGAAGGAAGUUAUCAAGGAGUGCCACGACUCCAAGUGGGUUGGUCAUCCAGGAAUUGAGCGCACCAUCGCACUAGUUCAAGUCUCGUAUUUUUAGCCGCACAUGAGGGACGGCAUCGAGGUAUAUGUGCGAACUUUGUCUUGUGUGCCAACAAGAUAAGGUGGAUCAUCAACUUCCAGUGGGAUUGUUGGAGCCGCUGUUGAGUGUUAGAAAAUGCAUAUUUAUAUAGGAGAAAACCGUCAUUUUACAUUUCAAGUCUUACUAACAACCCUUACUUUUAUGUAUUUAACAUUCUUGUGAUUUAAUUACGUGUGUUUUAUUUUAAUUAAGUAAUUUAUGUAUUUUAAGGGCAUUAUAGUCAUUUCACAAUAAAGGAGAGAUCAGACGGCAAAACGGACAUCACUUUUGAACUCAGGACGGUCGAAAACCUUAGGAGGAGCAUAAAAGGAAAAAUGGCACUAUUCACAGGUACGGUACUAUUCACGGGUACGGUACUGUCUACGUUACUGUUCACGACACUGUUCACAUAGACGGAUCGAUGACGUGGCAUUGACCGAUGAUGUGGCAUUGACUGAUGAGGUGUCACAAUCCUGUUGGACUAAAAUUCUUAUAUACCGUUGAUAGUGACGUGGCAGCAUAUUAGUGGACGAAAAAUCUCGCGUACGGUGCAUGCAUCACACAGGAUUAUUUUCAACCAAACCGUGUUACUGUUCAUCCGGGUCAAACCGUGUUACUGUUCAUCCACGUGGUCAAACCGUGGACUGUUGACUGAUGACGUGGCGCAAUCCUGAGCGUCCAAACUGUUUUUAAUCUGAUGGCCAUGAUUUACUCCAUGUAUCUAUAAAAAGGGGGCCUCUCCCCCCUAAUUUGAUAUCUCUGAAUCCAUUUUUGGGAUCCAUUUUCUGUAAUUCCCUCUCCAUCUUGUAUUUUCUUCGUAUUUUAAUAAAUUCUCAUUUUGCCCCUAGUUCAAUUAUGAGUGGCUAAUUUUCUUUCAAGCUUGGGUUGAAGGUGAAGUCUCAACAUGUGUCAUGGGCUUAAUUUGGUAAAUUUAUUUUCUCUUCCCCUCUAGUUUUUGUGGAUGUUUUGACUUCUCGUCGACAAAUAAUAAUAAUCUUGUCUAGAUACCGCCUUGGUUACACCGGCUCUCUAGUAUAAGGUUAUUAUUAUUUGGCACGAUAAGCCCUUAGCACCAUAUUGAUUAGAGCGUGGUUCAUGAGGUGUGGAUUCCCCUCUCAUGAUUUAAUUGACAUUAAUAAGGAUUAUUUAGCCCAUGAUGCAUAUUGAUACGAAUCCGAAUACCCAAGUACGUCAUUUCAAUAGAAUUAUCUUCAAUUUAUUCUCGCCAUUUCAAUUCCAAUUUUAGAAUUUAUUCUCGCCAUUUUAAUUUAAGUUUUAGCAUAUACCAAAUCAUUUCCACCAUAAAUCCAACCACCCAUUUACAAAAUUAAUUCUACAUAUAAUUAAAAUCCACCUCCUCGUGGGAUCGACACUCGUCACCAUUGAUCUACACUACAAUAGAUUCGUGCGCUUGCGAGUACAUUAAAAUUUGCACAACAAGUUUUUGGCGCCGUUGCCGGGGAGGUAAGUAAUUUUAAUUCAUAGAAUUAAUUUUUGUGAAUAAUUUCUUUUAAUUGUUUUCUUGUAAUUUUUUAUUAAAAAAAAGAAAGAAAAAAAAGAGUGAAUUUAUAUUUUGAGUUAAGAAUUUUUAUUUAUUUAUUUUCUCUCUUCUUUACAAUUCUGUAAUUUAAUUUCCAAUUUAUUUUUCUUUGUAAUUUUUUUUUAUCUUAUUAAUUUAUUGUUAGUUAAUUAAUUUCACAAAUUUGUUUUAGUGUGUUUUUAUAGAAAGGUUGUAACAGCGCAAUAAGGUUAGUAUCGUAAUUUCUCCCUCUUCUUUAUUUUUAUUUGUUUUGUUCCCAUAUUUAUUUUUAUUUUAUUUGUUUUGCAUGCAUGGUCGUAGGUCAUUAUUACCUAAUCUUGAACCUAUAGACCUUGAACUUGAGAAAACACUUCGCACACAAAAGCACAUUAAAAAUAAAUUUGAAAUGGAUUUACAAGCACCACAGGAGAGGCCAUUUAAGGACUAUUUUAGUCCCUUAGCUAAUUUGAGCACAUCAUGUAUAAGGUACCCAAAUGUAGCUGCUAGGAGUUUUGAAUUAAAACCUAGUGUGCUAAAUUGUCUCCCCACAUUCUAUGGCUUAGAAAAUGAGGACCCAUAUAAUCAUCUGAAUGAUUUUCAUGCCAUUUGUCAAACUUUUAAGUAUGAAAAUUUUUCAGACGAUGAUGUUAAACUCAGAUUAUUCCCAUUUUCUUUAAAGGAUAGAGCUCGUUCAUGGUUAAAUACUUUACCUGCUAAUAGCAUUACAUCAUGGGAACAAAUGGUAACAAAAUUUUUGAAUAAAUAUUUCCCAGUGCAUAAAACCAAUGCUAUUCGCAGGGAAAUCUCAGAGUUUACUCAGAGAGAAGACGAGCAAUUUUUCAAAACAUGGGAGCGAUUCAAUGGGCUACUCUUGAAGUGUCCACAUCAUGGGUACGAAAAAUGGCACCAAUGUCAAUACUUUUUGGAGGGAUUACUACCGAAUGUGCAAGAAUGGCUAAUGGCAACAAGUGGAGGAGAGCUAAUAUCAAAAAGUGCAUCAGAGAUUUGGGAAUUCUUCCAGCGACAAGCGGAUAAUUCCCAACAACGGAGUCGAUCACUCAGGAAUACUAGAAGAAUUAAGGGAGUAAAUGAGGUUCAAAUUGGCGAGUCAACUUCGGGAAUCAAAGAAGUCAAGGAGAUGGUUGAAGGUCUCUCUCGACAAAUAGCAUCGUUAUCAACUGCUAAAUCAACAGAGGCACAUGACCAUGACUCAUACUCAGAUCAAGCCAAUGCCAUAGGUGUAAUAAGAAAGCCAUCAAAUUACAGCCCAUACUCCAACACAUAUAAUCCUGGAUGGAGAGACCACCCCAAUUUUUCAUGGUCUCAAGGACUCCAACAGAAUGGACCAGCAGCUCCAGCUCCACCAAUGCAACAAAUUCCUCAAGUUCCUCAAGCCUCUCAGCCACCAUUUAGACCAUACAAUCAGAACCAGAACUACUCUCAACCCAGACCAUGGGAGGAUGCAUUCCAAAAUUUCAAGAAUGUUACUCACUCCACGAUUGAGCAACAGAACCGCACUAUUGAUGGACUACGAAAUGAAUUGAGAGUGGGCUUCAACUCACAAGCCCAAUCAGUUUCAAGCCUCGAGAAGAUGGUGGGACAACUUGCUUCUUCAGUUCAGACCUUGGCAAUGACUGUUGAGAAAGGCAAGUUUCCAAGUCAACCAGUGCCUAACCCUAAAGGAGUACAUGAAGCAAGUACCAGUUCACCACAGCAGCAUGGAGAGAUCAAAGCAGUCAUGACCUUGCGAAAAGGAAAAGAAGUCGACAACAAAGUGGAGAUGCCGGUGACAAAAGAAAAUUAAAUUGUACCUGUGAAUGUUGAAGACUCACCACCGGAGGAGAAAGAAGAAACCAACCCACGAGAAUACGUUCCAAAAGCUCCAUUUCCUCAGAGGUUAGCGAAAGGAAAGAAGGGAAAGUCUACAGGUGAGAUUCUUGAAAUCUUCAAACAGAUAAGUGUUAACAUCCCUUUACUUGAUGCGAUUAAACAAGUUCCAUCUUAUGCCAAGUUUCUUAAAGACCUUUGUACUAAAAAGAGAAAUAUGCAUGUCCAAAAGAAUGCAUUUUUAACAGAAAACGUUAGUUCUAUACUCCAACAUAAAAUUCCUUUAAAAUGCAAAGACCCAGGCUCCCCCACUAUCUCGUGUAGUAUAGGGAACCACACAAUUGAGAAUGCUUUGUUGGAUUUAGGAGCUAGUGUAAAUUUGUUGCCUUAUUCUGUAUUUGUGAAACUUGGACUGGGAGAAUUACACCCAACUCCAGUGGUGUUACAGCUUGCAGAUCGGUCCACGAAAAUACCUCGUGGUAUUGUGGAGGAUGUGCUUAUCCAGGUAGACAAGUUUUAUUUUCCUGUUGAUUUCAUUGUAAUUGACACUCAACCAAUACAGGAUUCAAGGAAGCACAUCCCCAUUAUUCUAGGCCGACCUUUCUUGGCAACUGCAGAUGCUCACAUUCAAUGCAGAACUGGAAAUAUGCAGUUGUCCUUCGGCAACAUGACUAUGGAACUAAACAUCUUCAACAUUGCCAAACAACCUCACAAUGCAGAUGAUGGAAUUGUUGAUGUGGAUUUAAUUGAAACAAUAGUUGAUAAUACUUUUCUUUCAAACCUUAGUGAUGAUCCUUUACAAACAUGUUUAACUCACUUUGGUUUGGAUUUUGAUAUUGACAGAUCGGUCGAUGAGGUCAACGCCUUACUUGACUCAGCACCAUCUAUGGACACUAAUCAAUGGAAGUCAAGAGUUGAACAACUAGCACCAUCAGAGAAGAAACUCAUCCCAUCAUCAGAAUCACCACCGAAACUUGAGCUUAAACCAUUGCCCAACACAUUGGAAUAUGCAUUUUUGGGGGAAGAAAGUACUUUGCCGGUAAUCAUUUCAGCAUCCCUCAAUGACGAACAAAAAGGUAAGUUGUUGGAUGUUUUAAAAGAGCAUAAAGGAGCAUUAGGAUGGACCAUAGCAGACAUAAAAGGUAUAAACCCAGUAGACUGCAUGCAUUACAUUCACCUUGAUGAAAAUGCUAAAUCUACUAGGGAAAUGCAACGUCGGUUAAAUCCUAAUAUGAAAGAAGUUGUUAGAACAGAAGUCCUUAAGCUAUUAGACGCAGGUAUCAUUUACCCAAUUUCUGAUAGUUCAUGGGUCAGUCCUGUACAAGUUGUCCCCAAAAAGUCAGGAGUCACAGUAGUUACCAAUGCUGAUAAUGAAUUGAUACCAACUAGAGUAACUACAGGAUGGCGUGUAUGCAUUGAUUAUAGAAAGUUGAAUUCUGUCACACGUAAAGACCAUUUUCCUUUACCAUUUAUCGAUCAAAUGCUUGAUAGAUUAGCAGGCCAUGAAUUUUAUUGCUUUCUAGAUGGCUACUCAGGAUAUAAUCAGAUUCCCAUAGCACCAAAAGAUCAAGAGAAAACCACUUUCACUUGCCCUUUUGGUACAUUUCCAUAUAGGAGAAUGUCAUUUGGAUUAUGUAAUGCACCUGCUACAUUUCAAUGAUGCAUGUUAAGCAUUUUUUCUGAUAUGGUUGAACGAUUCCUUGAAGUCUUUAUGGAUGACUUUUCUGUCUUUGGUGAUUCAUUUGAUCAGUGUUUACAUCAUCUAACACUAGUUAUGCAGAGAUGUAUCGAGAAGAACUUGGUCUUAAAUUGGGAGAAGUGUCAUUUUAUGGUAAAACAAGGUAUUGUCCUCGGUCACAUCAUUUCGAGCAAAGGUAUUGAGGUUGACAAAGCCAAGGUGGAUCUCAUUUCUAAUCUUCCUCCACCCAAAACAGUCAGAGAAGUAAGAUCUUUCCUUGGGCAUGCUGGUUUUUAUAGACGUUUCAUUAAAGAUUUUAGCAAAGUUUCUAGACCCUUAUGCAAUCUACUUGCUAAGGAUGUACCUUUUUUCUUUGAUGAUUCAUGUCUUGUGGCAUUCGGAAAAUUAAAGAAGUUGUUGACAUCAUCACCCAUCAUUCAGCCCCCAAACUGGAGCUUACCAUUUGAGCUCAUGUGUGAUGCAUCUGAUUAUGCAGUAGGAGCAGUAUUAGGACAAAGAGUUGAUCGAAUUCCCCACGUUAUUUACUAUGCUAGUAUGACAUUGAAUGAUGCACAGUUGAACUAUUCAACUACUGAAAAAGAAAUACUAGCAGUAGUGUUUGCAUUGGAAAAAUUUCGAUCUUAUCUCAUUGGUUGUAAAAUAAUUAUAUUCACAGAUCAUGCUGCUCUUAAAUAUCUUCUCACGAAAAAAGAUGCAAAAGCUAGACUAAUUCGUUGGGUGUUGCUUUUGCAGGAGUUUGACUUGGAAUUCAAAGAUAAGAAAGGCACAGAAAAUGUCGUGGCGGACCAUCUCUCUCGUCUCCAUUUUGACACAAUUACAGAAUCAUUACCAUUGAAUGAGUCAUUUCCAGAUGAACAAUUGAUGAGUGUGGAAGUAUUACCAUGGUAUGCUGAUAUCGUUAAUUAUCUUGUUACAGGUCAACUUCCAGAGCAUUGGACCAAGCAAGACAAGGCUAAAUUCUUUGCAGAAAUAAAGAAUUUCUUUUGGGAUGACCCGUAUUUGUUCAAGUAUUGUGUAGACCAAAUUGUUAGACGAUGUGUCCCAGAAAGUGAAAUUCAAAAUAUCCUUUCAUUCUGCCAUGAACAAGCUUGUGGAGGCCAUUUCAGCGCUAAGAAAACAGCGACUAAAGUUUUACAAUGUGGUUUUUAUUGGCCAACUAUAUUUCGAGAUGCUUACACUUUCUGUUCUUCAUGUGAUAGGUGUCAACGAAUGGGGAGCAUUACACGAAGGAACAUGAUGCCACUAAAUCCAAUUUUAGUGGUUGAGAUUUUUGACGUAUGGGGUAUCGACUUCAUGGGACCCUUUCCCCCGUCUUUUGGUCAUCAAUACAUAUUGGUUGCUGUUGACUACGUAUCAAAAUGAGUAGAAGCAAUUCCAUGCAGAACCAAUGAUCACAAGGUGGUGAUAGGAUUUUUUAAAAGCAACAUUGUUUCACGCUUUGGAUUCCCUCGAGCAAUAAUCAGUGAUGGUGGUGCCCACUUUUGUAACAAAGCAUUCAAAGCUCUUUUGACAAAGUAUUCAAUCACACACAAAGUGGCGACUCCGUAUCAUCCACAAACCAGUGGCCAAGUUGAGAUCUCCAAUCGAGAAAUAAAGCACAUAUUAGAAAAAACGGUGAGGCCAGACAGAAAAGAUUGGUCAUUAAGACUUGAUGAUGCAUUAUGGGCAUAUAGAACGGCUUUCAAGACCCCGAUUGGGAUGUCACCCUACAGGCUAGUGUAUGGAAAAGCUUGCCACCUACCUGUGGAACUCGAGCAUCGUGCGUAUUGGGCCAUCAAGAAAUUCAACUUUGACAUGCAGCAAGCCAGCUCAGAAAGAAGAUUACAACUGGCAGAACUUGAAGAAAUUCGCAAUGACGCAUACGAAAAUGCCAAGAUUUACAAGCAACGGAUGAAAGUCUUUCAUGACAAGCAAAUUAUGAGAAAAUCGUUCACUCCAGGUCAGAAAGUGCUUUUAUUCAAUUCUCGCUUGCACCUAUUCCCAGGUAAGUUACGCUCUCGUUGGUCUGGUCCCUUUAUUGUUCAUACUGUUUUUCCACAUGGGGCAAUUGAAAUUAAGGACCCAAAGAACGGUGUCACGUUUAAAGUUAAUGGUCAAAGAUUAAAGCCAUAUCUAGAGUACUAACCACAUGGAGAAGACACCGAAAUAAAUUUGAGUGACCCACCAGAUUUGAAUUGAUUUUUUUUCUUUCUUUUCGUUGAUUUGAUUUUUCUUUCUUUCUUUAUAUUAUUCUUUUGCUAAUUGAAAUUAUUUUUGCAUAAGUGUGUUUGUUUAACUAUUAAGUUUUCUCUUAUCAUUGUUAAUCAUGAGUCUCAUACUUAGACCAUUCCUCCUGAACAUUCUUAAACCACUUCAACGUGUCAAAACUCAUCUCAAAAGACAGAUUCAAUUUUGUAAAACACAUCGUAUUUGGGCUCUACAACCACCAGAGUUAGUAGCCUAUGUUGAGGGUUUAGAAAGCCAACUCAGAGACAUUGAGAGAAGUGUUUACGACAUCCAGUUGGAGCUUGAGGUAAAUUCAAUAAGAGGACGAUUUUAAUUUUCAUUGUGUGUUUUAAUUUGUUUUUCUGUUUGUGUGCUUUAGUUUGUUACCCCAGUGAAGUGGCGGAUAACGGUACUCCGUGACAAUCCAGUCGGUUACUUCAGUUUCCCAUAAUAACUGAUAUUCUGAGGCGAAGGUAUGGACAGAAACGAGAUUCUAGCGAAACUUCACAAGCGAUUCCCUUCACUUCCUCAGAAUGCCCUCCUUACGAUCUAUAAAGCUCGGUCUGAACGCAUGCGAUUACUCAUGAGGAAUAAAAUACCUGCUGACAUUCGUUGGUUAAUCGAAGCUAAAGUACGAUCGGCAGGUGAGUUACCUCCAAAAUUUAUUGCAUACAUGCCUGGUUGUGGUAAAGGAAAUUAUGCAAGAAAACGACGAGCUCGAAGAAUUUUUGUUGCUUGUCAUAAGUGCGCCAGAAUGAGUUGCAAUAAAAACCCAUGUUCUUUAGGAAUGGUGUCUGAUAACAGGGAAGAUAAGAUUCAAUUCAUUAGGGAUGGCUUGAAUAAGGAGUCAUUGGAUGAUAUCCUUUUGUCUCUUGAAACACAUCCCAGUGGAUAUGUGCAAGGAGCGAUUCUCCAGUUAUGGCCAUUAUUCCAGAAAGAGCAUGCACGAUACAGUCUCGGGAAUCUGACUAUAAACGACCCUGUUUGCCAGUUUGUAAGAAAACUGGAUAGGAAGCCUAUCCUCGACCCAUAGAGGGCGUUCAAGCCGUUUCUGGACGUAAAACCAGAAGAAGAUGUGAGCCACAGUCGCAACUACCUGUAAAUAUCCUUUUACUUUAUUGUUAUUUUAUUUCACUAUUGUCUUAUUGUUUGCAUUAUUGUCUUUAAUAAUUUUAUUACUGUUUGCUUUUUCCUUUUUACUGUUUUCUUUUUGACUUGCGAGCCACGUGCUUUACGCGUUAUUUGACACUGACAUAUUACCUCAUACACAACCAUGACCCACUAUCACCAAGACUCUUAAAUGUGAUAUCUUUUGUCCAGCACUCACAAAUUAUUUUUUUGAGAAGUAUCACAAUGGCAGCUACUCCAAAUAGCCAAUUCAAGAACAUUUGUGUGCUUUCUGGAUUUACCUAUGGCAAACAUAAAGAGUUCGUUGAGGCAGCCAUAGAUCUUGGUCGAAGCAUAGCAGAGAGAAAAUUACACUUGGUGUAUGGAGGAGGUAACCGAGGGUUAUCAAAAAUGGUCUCAGAAGCAGCUUUUAUCAGAGGAAGUCAAGUGUUAGGCAUCAUCCCAAGAGUCCUAAAACCAUUGGGCAGUUCGUCUGAUUCAUCAACUGGAGAAGAGUUAGUCGUCUCAGGUAUGCAAGAAAGAAUAACUGAAAUGCUUAAUCAUGCUGAUGCUUUUAUUUUCCUUCCAGGAGAUCUUGCAACACUAGCGGCACUUAUCACACUAGCAUCUUGGGCCCAUCUGCACAUCCACCAGAAACCCAUCGGUUUGUUCAAUGUCAAUAACUUUUAUGAUGGCUUUAUCGCAUUUCUUAACCAUGCAAUAAAAAACUACUUCAUUCCUUCCCAUGUGAAAAAACUUUUUAUUUGUGCUCACACUGCUAAUGAGCUACUUGAUCUGUUACAAGCUUUUAGACCGGAGCCAAACCCCUGGACCUUUGUGUUGGAGCGACCAAAUACUGAUGGUAACAGUAGCAGCAGUAAGAAGUACAAAUUAGAUUUAACUCUCCGCCUGUAAAUAUUUUCUUCUGUGUUGCACCACCCAGGUGAUGUCUUCUAAACUCUACUUCUUUCCUUUUAAACAUUGAGGACAAUGUUUCGUUCUGGUUGGGGGGAGGGAAUAGUCGACAAUUGUGGAAUCUUGGUUAAGUUUUUACUAAUUUUUUGUUGUAGAAACUAACUGUUGCUAACUUUUUGUGUUGAAGAUGGCUGAAUAUAGAGUGUAGUUACUCUAGAAACGCAUCUUCAUUGAUUAAAAAAAAUAAUAAAAUAAAAAAAUAAAAAAAACAAAAAAAAUAAAAAAUUUCUUUUUCUUUAUUAAGUUUUGAUGUUCAUUUUUCUUCUUCUUUUUAAUUUCUCCUCUAUAAAUAUACAUUUUCCAACUUUUGAGUCGAAGAUGGCUGAAUAUAGAGUGUAGUGCCUCUAGAAACGCAUCUUCUAAGUUAAAAAAAAAAAAUUCAUUUUCGUUUUCUAUCAUUUUAAGUGUAACUUUUCUAAUUAGUUUUUAUGCAUCAUUUUCACAUUUCUGCAUGCAUAUUUUCCUUUCAUGUUUAGAAUAGGUUGGGGGGUAGAAUGUUGUUUAAAAAAAAAAAAAAUUGUGUGAUUUGUUUUAACAUUGGAUGACAUGAUUAAUUUUAAAUUUUAGUAUUUGUAUUAUCUUUGGUCUUAAGUGAUGUUACAUUAUGUUUGCUACUCUACAUGUUGAUGUCGGAGACAUAUAUGAGUUGCUUGAAGGAAUGAACAUGUCAUAAUAAGUACCAAGUGAGUUUUUGAGCCUAUCAUUUUUCUUGGAGAGUAACCCUUUUGCCCAUUCUUUAUACAGCUUAGCAGUUUAUUAUUGUAUACACGAUCUCUAGAUUUCUUUUGAGUUAACCCUUAAAAAAAAAAAAAAAUGUGUGUGUUGCUACAUUGGGAGGCCCAUCUAACUAGUAGAUAUGGAUGAUUAUUUAGAGCCCUAAAAGACGAUGGAAAGGCCAUCUUUGAUCCGUUUGAGACUUUCUAGCCAUCCCUUUUAUUAAAUAUCCAUAGUUAACCCUUUUGAGCCUUUUAAAAAAAAAAAAAACAUUUUCUUUGUCAACUUAUCAUCUUGACCCACUCCGAUUUGGAGUAUUACCCGAUAUCUUAUAAGUUCCAUCACCUAUUUAUGUUUGAGAAAAUGUAAAUAAUUAUGUUGAUCAGUGAAGUUAUACCAAAAAAAAAAAGCAAAAAAAAAAACAACAAAACAAAAGUUGUUGUUUCAAAAGAAUAAAAAUAACAAUAAUAUGUGAAAUCCACCUUGCAACUUCCACAAAAAAAAAAAAAAAAAUUUCUCUGCAUUUUUCUCAAACAUACACUUUGUUUUCUUUAUUUCCUUUCUUUGUUAACCAUGUCCCUAGCCUACGUUACAUCCUAAUAAAAGUCCUUCCUGAUUUUAGAGAAUUAUAAUCUGAAGUAGAAGCUGGUUAUAUGGGCUAAAAAGAUGUAGUGGUGCAUAUAAAAAAAAUAAAUAAAUAAAUUGGGUUGACUAACAGUUUUUAUUUGACUUGAGAUCGUAUUAUUUUUAAGCUGAGGGCAUAUUUAUUUUAUCUUGGUGAGAGCAUGUGAUAUCACUUCUUCAUUAUUUUCUCUCAAUUACCAUUCAUUGGAGUGACUAUUUUUAUUUGGUUUAAUUUCUUUGUGAGAGUGUCACUACUUCCAGUGAGAUUUUGGGGUUUGACAUGUCAUUCUUGAAAGUAGCUAUAACAAAGUCUACUGGGCUGAUUCAUGUGGAUGGUUGAUGUGGGUGUGAUGUUGCUUUAGACUGGAGAUAAUGCUUAUACUUUUAUUUGAUUGUUAUCAUUAAUCUGAUUGAAUAAACACUCGUGUUUCUAUAAAAAAAAAUCAUUUUGAAUUUGAAUUUUGUUUUCGCUUUAUUUGCUAGGGACUAGCAAUAAGUUGGUUGGGGGGUGUGUUGAGUGUUAGAAAAUGCAUAUUUAUAAAGGAGAAAACCGUCAUUUUACAUUUCAAGUCUUACUAACAACCCUUACUUUUAUGUAUUUAACAUUCUUGUGAUUUAAUUACGUGUGUUUUAUUUUAAUUAAGUAAUUUAUGUAUUUUAAGGGCAUUAUAGUCAUUUCACAAUAAAGGAGAGAUCAGACGGCAAAACGGACAUCACUUUUGAACUCAGGACGGUCGAAAACCUUAGGAGGAGCAUAAAAGGAAAAAUGGCACUAUUCACAGGUACGGUACUAUUCACGGGUACGGUACUGUCUACGUUACUGUUCACGACACUGUUCACAUAGACGGAUCGAUGACGUGGCAUUGACUGAUGAGGUGUCACGAUCCUGUUGGACUAAAAUUCUUAUAUACUGUUGAUGGUGACGUGGCAGCAUAUUAGUGGACGAAAAAUCUCGCGUACGGUGCAUGCAUCACACAGGAUUAUUUUCAACCAAACCGUGUUACUGUUCAUCCGGGUCAAACCGUGUUACUGUUCAUCCGGGUCAAACCGUGUUACUGUUCAUCCACGUGGUCAAACCGUGGACUGUUGACUGAUGACGUGGCGCAAUCCUGAGCGUCCAAACUGUUUUUAAUCCGAUGGCCAUGAUUUACUCCAUGUAUCUAUAAAAAGGGGGCCUCUCCCCCCUAAUUUGAUAUCUCUGAAUCCAUUUUUGGGAUCCAUUUUCUGUAAUUCCCUCUCCAUCUUGUAUUUUCUUCAUAUUUUAAUAAAUUCCCAUUUUGCCCCUAGUUCAAUUAUGAGUGGCUAAUUUUCUUUCAAGCUUGGGUUGAAGGUGAAGUCUCAACAUGUGUCAUGGGCUUAAUUUGGUAAAUUUAUUUUCUCUUCCCCUCUAGUUUUUGUGGAUGUUUUGACUUCUCGUCGACAAAUAAUAAUAAUCUUGUCUAGAUACCGCCUUGGUUACACCGGCUCUCUAGUAUAAGGUUAUUAUUAUUUGGCACGAUAAGCCCUUAGCACCAUAUUGAUUAGAGCGUGGUUCAUGAGGUGUAGAUUCCCCUCUCAUGAUUUAAUUGACAUUAAUAAGGAUUAUUUAGCCCAUGAUGCAUGUUGAUACGGAUCCGAAUACCCAAGUACGUCAUUUCAAUAGAAUUAUCUUCAAUUUAUUCUCGCCAUUUCAAUUCCAAUUUUAGAAUUUAUUCUCGCCAUUUUAAUUUAAGUUUUAGCAUAUACCAAAUCAUUUCCACCAUAAAUCCAACCACCCAUUUACAAAAUUAAUUUUACAUAUAAUUAAAAUCCACCUCCUCGUGGGAUCGACACUCGUCACCAUUGAUCUACACUACAAUAGAUUCGUGCGCUUGCGAGUACAUUAAAAUUUGCACAACAGCCGCUACCACUAGCAACAAGGCCAUGGGAAAGUGUCUCCAUGGACUUUAUUACUUCGCUGCCCAAGUCCGAAAGUUACGGAAGCAUCAUGGUCGUUGUCGACUGAUACAGCAAGUACGCCACAUUCAUUGCCGCACUAAUUGAUUGCAAAGCGGACGAGGCAGCCCGCCUAUUCGUCAAGCACAUUGUGAAGCUUUGGAGAGUUCCAAAGAGCAUUGUGAGCGACCGAGACCCUCGGUUCACUGGAUGCUUUUGGACGGAGCUCUUCAAGAUGUUGGGGAUCGAUCUUAAGUUCUCGACAAGCUUCCACCCACAAACGGAUGGGCAGACCGAGCGCAUCAAUGGCCUCCUCGAGAUGUACUUGAGGCAUUAUGUGAGUGCUCAUCAGCGGGAUUGGGCGAAGCUACUCGACAUCGCCCAAUUUUCUUAUAACUUGCAGCGAAGUGAGGCUACGGGCAAGAGUCCGUUCGAGAUCAUCAUGGGAUUCCAGCCAAUGACUCCCAACGCCAUAGCCUCGACUUACGGAGGGAAAAGCCCCGCGGCACACAAGCUCACCCGCGAAUGGCAUGAGGAAGCGGACAUCACGCGAGCCUACCUCGACAAAGCCGCGAGGAAGAUGAAAAAAUGGGCGGAUACGAGGAGACGGCAUGUUGAGUACAAGGAAGGUGAUCAAGUCAUGAUCAAGCUCCUACCCCAACAAUUCAAGACUUUGCGGAAAGUUCCCAAGGGGUUAGUGAGGCGCUACGAGGGACCCUUCCGAGUUGUUCGACGUGUGGGCAACGUCUCGUAUCAACCCCAACUUCCGCCAAGACUCAAGAUCCAUCCGGUCUUCCAUUUGAGCCUUCUCAAGCCAUAUCACGAAGACAUAGGAGGUGCGCGCCAACUGCCGUUGUCACCGCGUUCGACAAAGAUGUAGACUACAUCAUUGCGGACCGCACGGUUUCGAGGAGGGGCGUGCCAGCACAUAGCGAGUACUUGAUGAAGUGGAAAAACCUCCCCGAGAGCGAAGCCACUUGGGAACGUGAAGAUGAUUUGUGGCAAUUCGCUGAGCACAUCCAGCACUUCAAGCACGAGAGCGCGACGAGGACGCCGCGAGCUUAGGUAGGGGAGGAUGUUGCGGACCACCCAAUUCGCUAGCCCAAUUGCCCACAAUUUCGGGCUAGAGAGCCAACACAAGGCCAAGAGUGCUAGCUUGGCCCAAUUCCGGAACAUUCUAGGCAACUCUAGCACAUUGAGCUUGUAAAUACUCUAGAACUCUCCUUACAAUUCCAGCACAUGUAAAUAGCUAGGAAGUGGUAGAAUUCUCUAGAAUCUCUAGAGCUUGGCAAGCCUCCCCUAUAAAUAUGGGAUGGCAUUAGGCAUUUGCAUCCAACAAACACUACAACAAGCAUUGUAAGCAACUCAAGCAUUGUAAUCUCUCUUCGUGCAAUAAAAGUUUCUUAUUCGGCUCCAUUGCUCUCUUCUCUAUUUCGAGAAGCUCUAGGCUUACUAGCAACAUUCGGCAAAGUUGUCUAAGUGUCGCAUGGGUUAGCUGCGCAAAAUACUCAUCCCGUGACAACUAGAUCAACAAAGAAUUGAAGACUUGCUUUUGCUAUUUAACCAUGCGAUGGCAAUUCGAAGACUACAGCUUAGCUCUGCCAUUCGAAGUAAGCAAUUCAGCUGCCCAAAUACUGCCAAGCCAUCAAGACAAUAACAAGAUAUAUGGGUUAAUCGCAAAAGAGACAACCCGAGAUCUCUAAUCGCAAAAGAGAGGCAAGCAGGCCCUUCUCUGGAAAGUACUUGAGCUUGGGACAAUUACAGAGUUUAAUGAAAUAAGGUUUUGAUGAUCAACAAUUGAAGAAGACAGGCAGUCCAAAUUUAGUAAAUUAACAAUCACCAAAUAUGGUAGGGUGGCAGGCAAAGGAAGCGUGGUUCCUAAUCCUAAUCUUGAUUGAUAACUGGCUAUGUAACAUGUGGCAUUCUACAUUCUUGCAAUGCCAUUAAUUUCUUGUUAUGGCAGCAGCGUUCUUUCAUCAUGGCAUCACAAGCAAAUGUUUGAUUUGAAGACUUGCUUAGCUGAGAAAAAUAAGGAGAGCAAAGGUAAUUAAUUUUGGGGUGAUGAAUAUCUUUAUGGGUGUACUAAGAAAAAUAAAGAUAAUAGAAGUAAUGUUAUUGAGAAGCAUUUUGAUAUUUACAAAAGUGUUGUUAGAGUGCAAUUUAUGCACUAGUUUUGCAUUGUUUACUUCCCUUAAUAUCAAUGUUUUGCACUUAAUAAUAGUAAUUUACUUGUGUUUUACCUUUGUAGGUGUAAUUCUAUUGAUUGGUGAUAAAAUUGAGCUAUAAGAUGAUGUUUAAGGAUGAUUGGUCUCUUAGAGAAAUUAUGAGCGUCAGAAGAACUUUGUUGAUAAGGCGUGGGCGCGUGCUGUCAACUGCGGACCUGCAGUUUUUAGUUUAACGUGUUUUGUAUUUUUGGUUAUUUUUGUAAUUACGAAUUUAAUAUUUCAGAUAUUAGUAUUUUAUUUUAAAUAGAAUUCUAAAAGAGAAGAGAGAGAGAGUAUUUAAAGGAGGAAUCUAUUGUGAAAGGGGGGAUGGGGAUUGGAGAAAAAGAAAAGAAACCCUAGAUCUUAAUUUUUCUCUUCUCUCUAUGAAGAACUAAACCUAUUUUUUCUGGUUGAAGGAUAAUGAAGCUUUGAUUCAUCACUACUGUGAGAUCUUUCUUAUGCUUUAAUUGUUUUAUUACUUUUUGGGUAUUUGUUUAUUCUCUGAAUUAGUUUCAUGAUUAUGUUUGUUAAUUAGGUAAUUGGCCACUAUUUAAUUAUCAACUUAAUCUAUUGUCAAUUAAAGGAUUCAUCGUAUGAAGAAUUUAAUGUUUGUGACAAAUAACAUAGCAGAGAGUUGUGUUGUGAGAAUAAACAAUCUAAUUUAAAUGAAUCAUCAUAUGUGUUGAUUAUGAUUUGGGUCUCUCUGGUUUUUCAGGCUGUCAAUUGAUUAAAUCCUAUGAUCGUAUCUAGGGUUGUCUAUUGAUUAGGGAAAUAUCCAACGAUCGUACCUUGGUUAUCGACUAGUUAAGGAGAGAUUGGCUAUUAGAGGGUCUCAAUAGCUAUAACCGGUCUAUUCAUAAGUAAUAAUAAUCUAUAUUUGAAUCAAUGAUCAGUAGUCGAAUCAAGUUUAGUUAAUUCCUUCAACCAGAGCUUUCUCCAAUUUGAAUUACAACUUUAAUUUACAUUCUUGUUAUUUUAAUUUGAUUUUUAUUAUUGUCAACAAAACCCCCAUUUUAUGUUUUAUGUUUUAAAAGGAUUUAAAUAAUUACCAAUCUCUGUGGACACGACCCUGCUCAAUCACUAUACACAAUUUAUUUAGAGUAGGAAUUUAUUUUUGUUGGCUUCGACACCCAUCAAGUGUUCAAAGAAAAAAGUUUUUUUUCUAUAUCUAUUUGCUGGUGCACAUAACAAAAGGGCAUUCUGAGUAAAUUUAAAACUACAAAUAGUCUCACUCUUUUAAUAAUAUUCUUCAAUUAAUUCUGUUUAUUUCAAAAUAAAUAUUCUAUCUCUUAUUACUUUCUAACUAGUCAUGCUAAUGUGCCAAUAAUUAUGAAGAACUAGUGUAAUUUAUAUGAUAUAAGAACCCCUUUAGCACAUUAACCCGAAUUUAGCUAAUACAUGUGCCUAAUAUAGCGAAAUCAACAUUCAGCGCAUUAGAGUGCUAUUAUAUAUAUUGAGAAAGAAAUUAACACAAAAAACUGAAUAUUAAUUGACACAGGAUCAUGUUGGAUUGUCAGUUGUUAAUUAUGAUGGGAAUACAAUCUUCAUCAUUGCGACUACUUGACUCAAUUAUGCUAUUGCAAGAGGAGAUUUAUAUUUUGUCUGGUUUAAGCCGUAAGAUGGAUUUCAAGAUUCAUUCUGAUUGGUUAUCUGUUAGCUUUUUGUUUUAAGAACUUCUUAUUUACGGAAGCCAAAUUCUUCUUUCCAGGUUGAUUCAGAUUCAGAAGUUGCUUCUGUCCUAUCAGAAGAAGAGGCCAUCUUUAAGGCCUUGUCUAACACUGUGGAAGUACUAGAAGGGACUACUGCGCUGAUUGACUUUUUCAUGAGCUUCUCUUCCAUUUGAACAUGAGAGUAAUCAGAUAGUUGACAUAUAUGUUACAAAAGUUGGAAGCAACUUAAGCAAUUCAGUAUCAUGUGAGGACUAUAAUAAUAAGCCGAUUCUUUUGCUUGGAUUUUUUUGUUAAUUCACUCGCUGCAUGCUUAUCCCACCUCUGAUUUUUCUUAAUAUUUCUCUGUAGUUCACUUCACAGCACUUUAGCCGCUACAUUGGCAUUUUCUGCUAUUUGUUAUUGUUCAUUGAAGCAAGUUAGCUUAUGAGAUUGCUUUUUGGUAAAUGUUCUUCAGGGGGGUUGUGAAAGGCCAAAUCAACUGAGAUGACCGGGUUUUCUAGAUCAGCCAUCUCUGUCCUCAACAACUGUCAAUUACUGAGACACCAAACUCUAACCUGAUUCAUAUGGAUUUAGACUAAAGCUUCUUGCCGAUACCGUCCCCAGUCAAAGCUGCUAUCCUUGAAAGUUUUGCAAGAGAAAACAUGUCUGAGUCAGACAUUGACGUCCCCCCAAGCAUCAAACAGUAUAUCAAGAGCAAUGUUGGUUUCCCAGUCGAUACAAAUGCAGAAUUCAUAUAUGCAAAUUGCUCUCAAUCUCUGUUUAAUAAGCUAGUCCUCUGCUGUAUCCUACAAAGUGGAACAAUACAUUAUGCUUCCCAGCAGACUCCAAUGGGAAGUAUGUUUCUGCUGCCAAAUUUUUGAAAGCUAUCAUUGUGAAUAUCCCUCCCCAGUCUGAAGUGGGCUUUGAUACUUGUGACAAUACUCGAUCGAGACUGUAAAGAAGCCGUGGGUGUACAUUUCUGGUCCAACAAUCAAUCCAACUGGCUUGCUUUUACAGCAGGAAAGAGAUAGAGAAUAUAUUAACUGUUUGUGCAGAAUAUGGGGCAGGAGCUUGCUUAGUGUCGUGUCAAAAUAAAUAUAACAAAGUUUUAGCUGAAUAUAAAUUCGACUUAGUUAUUAUAGAUAUUUAAUAAAAUAAUAACACGAUUAAUAUGAUACUUCAUGAAAAAAAGAUUUAAUUUAUUAUUUCUACUAGUAAAAACUAUUAAUUCAUCAACCCAUCAAGAUUUUUUUUCUUUUUUUUUUUUUUUUUUUUUUAAUUCAACCCAUCAAUCUUUGUUUGUAACUGCCAGACCGUCAGUUUCUUAAGGCUCACGCAGUGCAAGGGUAGUGUAUCGUUUCUUUCUAACUGAAAUGGGAACUCGGAUGCUGAGAAAAUAUGCCUGCAUGACUUCAUUAAUCCUGCAGGCGUGGUACUAUCACUAUGCAACAUUACAUUAACAUUUCCUCAUCAAUCAAUUUUGAUGGUCUGAUAUUGAAAACGUCGAUUUCAUAAUUUUGUGUAAUUUCAUAGAAAAUAUAUAAUUGAUUUGAGUUAGUUUAACAUAUAAUGAAAGAGUAAUGGGGAAUGAUAUUACUGUGGCGUUUGAUGAGUAAUGAUAGACAACAAAUAUGGAUCAUGUAAUAAUGAAAUAUGUAUUUACUGAAAAAAAUUUGGCAACAAAAUGAUGCUUUAAAAAUUUAAGAUUAUUUGCUAGAAAUAAUUUGACAAUUAAAAGUAAAAGAUAUAUUUGCAAUGCUUCGAGUUUAUUUUAUCACUUCACAGACCAUUUUGUAACCACAUGUUAAAUAGAAGUUCAAUUAAUUCUGACAAAGGACUCUAGAAGAGAUUUGAUUUUUGUAUACCAAAAAAAUUAGAGAUAAGAUAAGUUAAAAUCAAUUAGAAGAACAACAAUAAGGAUAUAUUUUAUAAAAGCCACAAAUACAUAUAAUAUAAAUUUAGUUUUGAAUUAGUAAUUAUUAAUUUAUAUAAUAAGAGAGUCUUAUAGGAAAGUAUAAGAGUCUUAUAGUAAGAGAGUCUUAUAGUAAUUAUUAAUCUGUGAAAUCCCCGGCCCCGCUCAAUCAUUGACUUCCAAAUCUCCAUAUUACCCAAAAUAUAAACUGACUGAAGGUUGGUGGGAAGGCCAUCUUCUUCAAGGCUUGGAAGCUCACCUCCUAUUGUUAAUUCUUGAAGAGAGGUCAGAUUGUGCAAUCCCUUGGGUAAGGCCUCUAGUCUCUUACAAUCAAGUAUCGUCAGCCUCGUGAGUUUCGCACAAGGCAAUCCCCCUUGGGGAAAGGACACUAGAUUUCCACAAUACGCUAUGCUAAUCUCUUGAAGCUGGCGGAGAUUAUGUAAACCACUCGGUAAAAUUUUCAGAUUUCCACAAUUAGAAAUGUCGAUUGUUUCAAGAGAUGUGUUGUUGUCCAACCUUUCUGCUAUUGACUCCAGCUUUGAACAACUCUCAACACGAAGGGACUUAAGAGACGGAGGUAGAUUGCCAACUUCAAGGGACUCAAGCGUGGCAGGUAACUCAUUUUUUGAAAAUAUACAUGUCAGUGAUGGACAGCUGUUAAUACGCAACUGCUCAAGAAGAGAUGAGGUGUACCUUCUAUUGCUGCUGCUGCUGCUACUCUGGACGCCCUCUUCCACUGUCAAAGUCCUUAUAUUAUCGCAAUCGCUGAUUCUCAGCUGCUUGAGGCUCGGUGGUAGCUGGACUCCAGCAAUAUAUGUCAACGAAUGGCAAACCCAAAUCUCCAAGAUCUCGAGAGAUGAAUUGGUGUCGCACAUCCAUACCUCUGGUAAUGAUUUCAGUGCAUCACAUUCCCUAAUCUCAAUUGUCUUCAACUUGGAAGGCAGAGCAACCUCAGGAAAGGAAACAAGGGAACUGCACUUGUAGAUUUCUAUCUCUCUCAAGGAACUGAGGCUGAGAGAUGAUUGUGGCAGCUUCACAAGGCCUUCGCAAUAUCUCAAUCUUAGAUAUUCGAGUCUGCAUGACAACUCGCAGACCUGCUGUUGUUGGCCUUUCUCUUCCUCCGCCACCAAGGAUUGAAGUUUGGGACACCGUCUAAUCGUCAGUCUUCUGAGAGAGCAAAUGUCUUGCAGUAAUUCGUUAUGACUCUUCCAUAUAUAUGUCUGCUCUUUCAUUUCAUUUAUCUUCAAUUCUUCCAAUUUUGGCGGUCGCGGCUUUAAUGGCCCUGCGAGAAACACUUGAUUUGAUGUAUCUCUACAAACCACUGAAUUCUGUGAGCCGAGAUGAUCAGUUGCACUUCUCCACACAACCUUUUUACAUCCACCAAUCUGUAAUUUGCAAAGAGCUGGAAGACUCGAAACUGAAACUGACAAUUCUUCACAUCCUUUAAUAACAAGCUUCUCCAAUGCAGGAAGGCGUUCUGGAAAUGUUCCUUGCAGCUUAGAACAUCUUAAAAUGUGAAGCUCUCUCAAUUUAGGAAACCCUUCAACUCCCUGACUGGAUCCAUGAGGAAUUCAGUCUUCCCAUCCUUGCAUGUCUUCAAAAUGAAGAGUCUCCAAGCAUGGAAAAGGAAUUGGAGUAUCAUUCCCAUAGAACUCUGAACCCAACCUCUUUACACUAGUCAUUCCACAUACUGCAAGAUGCUUUAGAGAGGGUAGUUGCCCGACUGACGGCAGGGUAGGACACAUGCCACAAUAUUCAAAUUUUAAGGUCACCAACUUUGAGAAUGAGGAAUCUCCGAACCAAGUUGGAAAUUUUGCACCUCUAUAGCCGCUGAUACUAAAUUGUUCCAAAUUUUUAUUGGGUUCUAGCAUGUCCAGCACGUCCUUUUCAAUUUCCGCCUCACUUGAAGACGAGCCAUCGGUACUGUGUGUCCAUCGAAGCAAUAAUUCUCUAAGAUUCUUCUUUCCAUCCAAUUGAGCCUCCUUUGCAUCACCAACGUCUUUUACAUUCUCCAAUUUUGAAAUGUUAAGUGUCCCAUGAAGGUGCGUCAACAACUUUAGCUCUCGUAAACCGGAACCACUGCCUUUUCCCACAACAAAAUUACACAACGUCUGAAGACUAGUCAACCUACCAAUUCCUACUGGCAUUUCCUCCAACGACUUCGUAUUUGAAUUCUUAAGAUGAUGCAAUUUGGCGAGGUUUCCCAUGUCUGCACACAACUUCUUCAGCCGAUCACAAUCUUCCAACAAAAGACUAUGCAAAUUGUAAAGCUUGUUGACUGAUUCAGGCAGAGUUCUAAUCUCAGUUCUAGACAGGUUAAGGUACCUUAAAUACCUCAAAUCACCAAUUGAAUCCGGCAGCUCAGGGAUGCAGUAUCCACGCAAAGAGAAGACCCUCAAGCGUCGGAGUUUGAGCAACUUAGGAAGAAUGCUAGGAGCCAAGAAGCCAGGCAAACUUUUUGUCAACAUUACUGGUAAAAAAGUUCUCAAAUGCUGGAUAUCAUACAAGUCCCCAAACCUUUUACCGCCAUCAAAAUAUUCAGGAAUGUAUGAUAGAUGACGAAGAUUUUCGGAAAAACUUUGCUGGUUGUAAAUUUCUGAGGUAUACUCCAUUGUGAAGUAUAUCUCCCCCGCAGCCCAACGGGCAAGGUCAUUGAUAAGAUCGUGCAUCACAAAUCGUGAUGUAUUGUUGCUUAAUUGCUGGAAAAAAGAUCUUGAACGUAGCUCUUGAAAGAACUUUCGACCUAGAACUUCGUUAGGAUUCCCAUUCUCUUUAUGAACCAAGAAACCUGAAGCACUCCAUAAUAAAAUUAUCUCCUCCUCUUCAAAUUCAUAAUCCUUCGGAAACAACGAGCAGUGUGCAAAGCAUUGUUUCAAAAUUGGAGGAAGAUAAUAGUAGCUCACUGCAAGAGCUGGUAUAAUGCCACAUCUCUUUUGUGGUAAUUCCCAUAUCUUGCUACUGAGCACAUCUUCCCACACACCUCUGUCAUGUUCUCCACAUAAAAGUCCUCCCAGUGUUUUUGCUGCCAAGGGCAAGCCAUUGCAUUUGAUCACUAUCUUCUUGCCAAUGUCCUCCAAUGACUUGUGUGAACUGAAAUCUCUUGUCCCCAAAGAGUGCUGAGCAAACACAGACAGACAAUCCUCAGUUGACCCUGCAAGUUGGCAGAGCAACUAAACAGAGGAAAACAAUUGAAAUUAAAACGCAAAAAUUGAUGGUAUUGGAGUUCCUUAUUUAGUUUUGCUGUAGGUCAUGGGAAUUAGAUGGCCAUAAUCCUCAGCUCAUGGCCGUUAGUUCAGAAUGACAAUUCUUAUUAGUCAAAGAAUCAACGGAUAAUUGAAGCUUGCUGGGCUAUUGAACCAUGCGAUGGCAAUUCGAAGACAACAGCAAGAUACAGCCAUUCGAAGUACAAAGACUGCAGUAGGAGUAAUUAAUUAAUACAAAGAUACAACAUCAAGACAAUACCAAAGACUGCCAAGCCAUCAAGACAAUACCAAGAUACAACAUCGAGAAUUACAUGCAGGCCCUAACGCAUUUUAUCCCUUCUCUGUUUUAAAAGAGAUUUACGAACCCAUGCAGUAGGCGUAAUUAAAUAAUUUAUGCAGUUCAGUACUCAUUCCUCCUCUGUUUCAAAUCCAAAUCCACUGCUCUACCAUUUAUUAUGACGCAAGGUAUAUGGGUUAGCAAGUGCUGUCAUUGUCCUCCAUCCUUUGAGUACGUUUCUUCCAUCAAGGGACAACCCGAGAUCUCUAAUCGCAAGUUGAGCCAAUUCAAGGAAAUCCCCUGUUUUUGACUGAAACAUACAUAAUCCGAACAAUUUAUAAUUAAAUAAAUCGUUCAAAAUCUCCUUUAGUCGAAUUCCCAUUUCCAUGGUUUAAUAAAAUAUCACAAAGUUGCCUAAUACAGUGAAAUUAGCAAAUUCAGCUCAUGAGAUUGCCAUUAUGUAUAGUGAAAAAGAAAUUAAUACAAUAAACUGAAAAUUAUGAGAAUAUAAUCUUGGUCUUUUAAGUAUCAUCCAGCUAAUGCAUGUGCACUUUCAUUUGUGUCCAUUACUGAAAAGUAAAGUGGCUUGAUUGAACAGUAUCAUAUGACAGAAACUCAAAACUCUAUUUCAUUGCCCGAGCAUACCAUGCCAUAUGUAAGCUCAAAAGUGCAAUAACAUUGAACAUUCAGCUAGCUAGCUCACACUAAUUAAUUUAUAGGACUGUUAGUUCUUUAUGAUUCACUAGAAGAGAAAAAAUUUGACAAUCAUGAAAACAACAAUAAUUCACUCCCAUAAACAACAUAACAAAUGCAUGGUCUAUUGCAAGUCUUUUUAUGAUUCUAAUUAAAAGAGAAAAUACAAAGGACAUAUUAUAUAUAUUUGAAUGUUCUCCUUGAUAAUAGACAAAAUAACACAAGUCUGGCUAACUAAUCCAAUCAUCAUUAUAGUCUGAUUUUCAUUAUUUAAUUAUGUCCAAUCAUGCUAAUUUAACAAAUAACACUGAACAUUUGAGUAUUUAUAUGUUAAACAGCCUUGGCUAAGUUAGAAAAACAUUAGAGCUGCAUUUACGCUUUGUGUUAUUAAGUAGGACAUGAAGAUAUUAUGUUGCAUUUGUCAGAAAACAGAAAAUUAUUGAAAAAAAUCUUAAAAGAGGUGUGUUGAAUUGUGAGCUUAAAACUGGGUUUUAGAUGUUUCUGCCAUGUCAGUUUAUAGCCCUGAUUGUGCAUGCUCUUUUGUUUGGAUGAAACAGGAGAAUAUUGACAUCUGUGCAUUGUCGUUUACUUCCUGUAAGUGAAUAUCAUGUUCUUCACGUGAUUUCACCUACUCCAUACGGCACAUUCGACAGUCGUUUUGGUCACUUACUGAAGCACGAGUGAAACACCUGAUUCAAGGUUGUGAGCCAUCUUUGUUUAUCCUCGUAGCAUCCUUGAUCUUAUAGUAUCCUUGUGGUUCUUGAAAGUUCUUCUCAUUCCCAUGUGCUGAGUCGCUUGCUGAGAUGAUGAAUAUUUGAUGGUCCUUCCUUGAGACAUUUGAUGGAUGAGAAAUGAUGUAACCAAUAUAGUUCUGUUUUGAAAAAUCACCAAAUGAUGUCAGAUAGUUCUGUUUUCUGUUUUGAAAAAUCAAUAUAAAUCAAUCACCUUAGAUUCUCUUUGUCUCAAAGCACUAUGGGUGAUGAUUUGAUGAGAAAUAUGGGUGAAAGAGAAGUAGGUUGGAAGGUUAGGUUUUGCAGCUGCUGCUCAUAGAUGAAAAAGAAAUAGUUUGGAUUUUCUUUAGGUUAGGUUAGGAGUUGUAACUUGCACACACCACACACGUGACAUGUUUGCACUUUACAUUUAUUUAAUUUAUUUAUUUUUAGAUUUAAUUAUUUUUUCAAUUAAAAUUACAUUAAAAAUAUUUGAGAAAAAAGUUACAGGUUUGGCGGAUAUCCAUACAGGUAUCCAUCGUAUAUUUAGCUAAUACUAAACCCACCCGUAAUGUAGUGCGGGUUUUAAUUUCUAAUACUAAACCCGCCCACAACCCGCAAAAUUACCCACAGUGGGCAAGUUUUGGCGGGCGGGUUUGGACGGACUUACGGAUUUGCAAGUACCAUUACCAUCCCUAUCUUUGGUAUGUGUUUAUCUUGUUUUCGUUCUUUUAUGAUGCAAGAUUCUUGGUUACAUUAGGAAUAAGAGUGAAAUCCCAAUCUUAAAAUUUGGAGAAAUAAAAUGUAAUAUGAUUUUUUUUUGAUUUUUUUCUACUAGCAAAAAUUAUUAAUUUAUUAACCCAUCAAGCUAUUGGUUUCAUUUGUAAGCCGGUCAGUCCAUUUUUUUGCUUUCAAUUGUUAUCUUUUAAAAGAUACUAGAAAAAUCUUACUUUGAGUGCAUUUUAUCACUUCACUAAUUUUUUGGUAAUUACAAGUUAGAAAAAUAAAUUAUUUCUGACCAAAGACACCAGAGAAUGUCGAAAAGCGUUUGAUUAAUUUUUGUAUACACACACAUAAGACAAAAUUAAAUUAUUCGUCAGCGUUGAUAGUGAGUCUGUUGCCUAUGUUGCAAUUUUCAGGUAUCACUGAAAAUUUUAGACCGUCAACACCUGCAGGAAAAUUAUAUACAUAUUCUAUCAUUCAACCUCAACAAAUAUAUUCUUUUCACUGGAAUCCAACAACUGUUAAGUGUUAACCUUGUAGUCCUCAAGAGCAGAAAUUGUUGUAUUAAUUUCUUCAAGUGUCUCUCUUAAAAGAAGAGAGUAAAAUUUCAACUGAGAUCUUGCCACAUAAGACGAUCGAUUUAAUCCGACAAAAUGUGUGUGGGUUAACAAGAGCCAAUGCUGUCCUUGAUCCUUUCUGCAUCUUUCUUCCAUCAGCGGACAAUCCUUGAUCUACAGUUGCACGCUCUUGUCCAAAAAGUAUUUUAGCUUCGGACGAAUAUAAAGCCAAAGAUACACCAACGACGUGAGAUUUUGACCAACUGAAGAUAGGCAUUCCAUGUUUUGGAAAUCAUAAAUCCACAAAAGGGUUCCUAAUUCCUGUGGCGAAAUGACACCACGUCACGAAGUCCUCCGAUUGACAGCCGUUGUAGAGAUGAGAAUCUGUUCAAUCCCCCUUCCCCCCACUCCAUGGAUGACUUCCAAAUCUUCAUAUCAUGAAUAUAAAGUGACUGAAGGUUGCUGGGAAACAUACCAUCAUCUGCCUCGACUGGGAAGCGAUACCAUAUAUGCUUGCCAGACCUCCUCUGUUUAAUUGUUGAAGAUUCUGCGUGUCCUUGGGUAAGGCCUCUAGUUUAUCACACCACGUUAUCCGGAGCUUAGUCAGUUCCGCAGAAGGCAAUCAUCCUUCAGGAAAGGGUCAUUUCAAUAAAAGCACAGUACAAUUGCUGAACUAAUUUUUUGAAAACAGAGAUAUGAGAGAUUGACAAUUUACAAUUGCUUAACUGCUCAAGAAGAGAGCACGCUUGAAAUAUGAAAUAUGAAAAAGAGAGCACAAAUGACAAAUCUUAAGGAAUUAGCAGGAUUCACGUCCGACCGACUCCACGUUGCUAAAGCAAAGGAUUAAUUUUGAGAAAUUGUAAAGAAAUUAAUACAAGUGAAAUGAGAGCCUGCUCAUUUGAUUAUUGGCCAAGGGUGAUUUCAAUAACGUUUUCAAAGAAGAUAUAGAACAAAGAUCAAAACGAAAAAUAAGCAAUUUCAGUCGUUGAAAAAAAAAGAGCAAGCUUCACACAUGCAUGCAUGUGUCGGACCAACAGAACAUGGCUUGUGGUAAGGAUCAAUCAAAGAAAUAUAAAUUCACUGUUUUAUAAAGUAAGCAUCAAAAUGUUUGACAAGUUUUAGAUUUGUAGAAUAUUGGGAAAACGGACAAAUAAUCAAUGAAGACACUGAAAGUUAAGCAGAUCAAUUAAACAGAGGAAAUAACUGAUCAAUUCUUUGUGCAAUGGCCACAGCAACUGUGAGCUUAUAAGUUGCUGAUGUGUUGGGCUUAAAUGCAAGAUUCGAAGAGUUCUUGUGGCUGUGUGAAGACUGACUUCAGUUGGAGGGGUCUUAUUGCAAAUUUUAUGCUGAUGUGGCAGAGUUCGCUGAGAAUUCGUUGUGCCUUUUCCAGAAAUAUCAGAACAAAAGGCGCUGGUGAUUAGCCCCUGAUCUGAGAUCAAUAUCUUCUUCAUUUCUUGUUCAUUUUGUUGGCAAUUUGGUUCUCUGUGAUCCUUGUAAUUUUCUCUUCGUAAUCAACCUGUAUCUCGAUUGUUAUGAUCAAUAAAAGAGCAGUUUUGUACUUGAAACACUACUCUUUGUUCUAUUCUUGGAAUUGCUUUCGUGUUUGGUUGAUCUGGUUUGAUUCUUUCAAGUCCGAUUCAUCAAGUUCUUCACGAACUAACUUGUGUAGCCAUUAAAGUUUCAACAGCAACAGAUUAAAUAUAUCUACAAGACUACAUUAAUCCUAAUGGCAUGGUAGCAUCUCCAUGCAACAUUACAUUAACAUUUCAUCAUCAAUCAAUUUUGAAGAUAUGAUAUUAAAAACAUUGACUUCAUAAUUUUAUGUAAUUUCAUAUAAAAGAUGUAAUUGAUUUUGAGUUAGUUUAACAUAUAAAGAAAGAGGAAUAAGGAAUGAUAUCAAUGUGGUGUGUGAUGAGUAAUGAUAGAUAGCAAAUAUUAAUCAUCUAAUAACGAAACAUGUAUUUACAAAAAAAUAUUUGGCAAUAAAAUGAUGCUAUAAAAAUUUAAUAUUAGUUGCAAGAAAAUAAUUUGGUGAUUAAAAUUCACAGAUAUAUAUGCAAUGCUUUGAGUUUAUUUUAUCACUUCGUUAAGCAUUUUGUAACUACAUAUUAAUUAGAUCGUCCAAAGCUGUGCAUUUUUUUAAAAAAAAAAAAAAAAAAAAAAAAGAAGCACGGUCUGCUACUAAUACUGUAGCAUGUUAGCUACUAUAUAAGCUCCUGUCUAAUUACCAAAUAAAUUCCACUUUAACGAAGAAUAAAAGCUAAUUUCAUUGUUACUGCCUGUUGUGCUUUUAUUUUUUUUUCUUUUUUUCUUUUUGUUAUUGAAGUUACCUCGCAAACUGCUCGGAUGCUAAUUACAAAAUUUCCUCUUACUCUAGGAUCUCUUGAAUGGUCCUGCAAUUUGUAUUCCUUUAUGUGGGAUUGGUUUUUUCUUUGAGCAAAAUUUCAAGGAUAAGAAACCUUACCCAUCGAAAACCAACUUUGAAAUUUAUUAUUAUUCAAACUUAGAAAACUGCAAAAACAAAGCGCCUUCAUAGCACCAGUUAAGCUCUGUCUUGUUACCAUGCUAGUUCUAUUUUUACUUUAUUAAAUGUAUACAAAAUUAAAUUACCUGAGCCUCUAGUUUCACUAGUUUCCAACUUGAAAUUAAAACGCUGAAUUAAUGGUAUUGGAGUUCGUUAUUUAAUUUUUCUUGAGUUCAUGGGGAAUCAGAUGGCCAUCCAUUUUUAUGUCUAUUUUAUGUACUAUUGGCCACUAAGUAGCUUGCCCAUAUAUGCGUAUUGGGAUGUCAUAGGCCUUAAAGCUGAAAAUUAAUCCCCAAUCUAAAGUGAAAAACAGUAGCUAGAACAGAUUCUAUGUUUUGAUGUCUUUGUUUAUAAGCUCAAACAAAUUAAUAGUGUAUAGAAAAUGCAUGAUAGAACCCAAAACUCAUAUUGAUUUUUAGUUUCGAAAUUCAUUUCAGAAAAUCUGUUCCGUUCAACAGAUUUAACUAAAUUAUCAACUAAACUCUAGCCAUGUACUUGCUUAUCUAUGGGUAGAGCACUAGGUCAACAAAGGAGUCCAUCUUUAAGGCCUUGUCUAAGACUGUGGUUGCCUUUUUCAUGAGCUUCUGGCUUUCCAGCUUGCUGAGCGACGUACACAUAAAGAGGUUAUCCUUCUCUUUUUUUCUCUGUUUUCAUAUCACAGAAUCCAUUUUUGAAUAUAUGUAUUUAGGUACACACACACAUGAAUAUGCAUGUUUUUAUGAGGAUAUUCAAGUAUAUUAUUUGACAAUCACAAAAACAACGAUCUACUCCAAUAAAUCUCAUAACAAAUACAUGCUCUAUCUUUUUAGGACUAAUUCAAAGAGAAAAUACGAAGGACACAUAAUUGAAUUCUGUCCAUGAUAAAGAACUCUAAACAAAUUCAUAUACUUAUUGCAGUACCUGUUAAAAAUUCAUUUGUUUCUUCUUUUCCUUUGAUCAACAGCUAAAUACAGCCUUGAAAUUUCAUUUAGUUUUGGUUAAUUUUCUGUGGAGUUGUGUUGUGUGUAAUAGUUUUGUUUCACGAAAUCGGUAGGGGAAGAGAAUUUUUAAAAGCAUAUCAAUGUAAUGAUCAAAGAGACGAAAUCAAUACAAAUAUUGAUUGUCUCAAGUUAGAUUAUACAAAGAAGAAAUAAGCUAAUCUAGCAAUUCAAUCAUAAUAAUUUGAUUUCCAUUAUAUUAAUUAUGUGCAAUCAUGCUAUUUUAAUAAAGAACACUCGAGCAUUUAUAAAUAGUCAACUUAUGAAAUUAAUUACAAAACAAUCUUUCGCAGAGUUUGAUGAAAAGACUGUGUAUUGUGUUAUCUUGAGGUCUUAUAUCAAUUAAAGCCAGGCUGCGCUUUGGCUGACAGCGAGAUAUAUCCAAACAUAAGUGCUGCGAAUGAACUGGGAAGACGGUAGGAAGAUUAAGCUGCUGAGGAGAAGAUAUAUGCAAAAGAAAUAAAGCUAAUCUGUUUUUAUGUAACAAGCUGCUAUGUACUCUGCUUUUAUGGUCUUUCUCUUUGCGGUUGUUAGACAAACUGGAACGUAAGUUUCUAUCUUAUGUGUGUCCUAAUCCUUUUAGAUAGCUUGAGAUUGUUGAUUUAUAUAUGACGUUUGGUAUCCAAAAUUCAGAUGAUGAUAAUCUUGGCAGUACUUUUAUAAAAUUUUCUUUUGUGUUGGUGUUGACUUAAUAAAAUAUUACAAAGGUGCCUAAUAUAGUGAAAUUAACAUUGAGCUCAUGAGAUUGUCGUUAGAUAUAUUGAAAAAGAAAUUAAUGCAAGAAACUGAAAAUUAAUUGAUACUGGAUCAGGUUGGAUAGUUAGUUGUUAAUUAUUGUUGAGUGUGAACCAGAAUUCAGUGUGCAGGGCAAACAACAAUGUCGACCAUCAGACUUGGCAGAAGACGACAUGUCCAAUAAAAGCUUAUCAGGGCUGUACGACAACCUUCCCAUGUCAAUCAGAAUUCGUUAAGUAAUGCACGUGUGUAACACGUGAUCUCCUAAUAACAUAUUAACUGAAACGUCUACUUACUACUGUCGUUUUGGGAUAUAUAUGUUACGCACACGCUCAGCACAUGGGGGAUUGGUUACCAGUUAAAAGAAGCGGGAAAAUUCUGGGGUUAACUACUUAACUGUAACAAACCCAGAAUGAUUUGCAGGCUUCUGAGAUAGGUUUCUAGGAGCUUCAAAGCUUGUAUAAAAAGGGUCCUGAUGACUGAAGUUGAGAGUGGUUUUUUCCUUGUAAUCUCUGAAAAGGCUUGAGCCUUGUUUCCUGCAUUAAUAAAUAAUCAUAGCCCUGUUUCUCAAAGAGGAUGUAGGCUGUAAUGGCUGAACCUCUAUAAAUCCUUUCUGUGUUUUUUCUUUCUCUGUUGUGUGUUUCUAUUCUUGUUUUAGAUUGUAUUGAUUCCUAAUAAAACUGUUAAUCAUUCUUGAUACUGAAUUUUAUUAAAUCUCUUCUUCUCUUUUGAAUAAAAUUUCUUUAAAAUUCAAUUCAUAAAAAAGAAAAUCUCCUUAUAAUUUAAUAUGUUUCAGUUGUCUCAGUGGAAUGAUGCUAUUUGUUUCAAUCAAAGUUUUGAAGCAUCCUAAAAUUUUGAGAUCCAAAUGAAAAUAAAUUAAUUUAAUUCGUGGUGUACUCUAAAUUUUCAGCUAUAAAAAAAUAGCGAAAUUGAAGUGCACUUGGGCAAGAAGAAACAGAGACUGCGAUUAUACAAUUUCAGUGUUUGACUCUAUCGGCAAAAAAAGAAAAUAAAAAAGAACUCCCAUUGUUCCAUUGUUUUUCCCAUAAAUAAUAAUAUACAGAGAAUUUUGUUUAACGAGAGAUAUAAUAGGUAUUUAGGUGAGUUUAUAGCGUAAAUUUUAAAAUUUUAAAAUUUAAUAAUGGAUUUAAUAAGUAAUUGGGUUCAAAUAGUAUUUUAGUGGUUUUAAAUAGCCCCACCCUUUUUAUUUUAAAAAAAGAUUUAAUUACAAAAAUAUUACUUCCAAUCGACAACAUUUUAUAUUUUAUUUUAUUAAAUAUUAUUUUAUUUUUGAAUUACUAAUAAUGCACAAAACGGCAUCAUUUAUUGAUAUUUUUAAAUUGUUUAAGAUUUGUUUAAUUAGAAAAUUUCCAUUGUUGAUAUUUAAAUAAUUUUAAAAAAUAAAAUAAUAAAAUUGGUGUCGUUUAGUUUUGUUAAAUAUACUAAGGGCUCGUUUGGUAUGCCGGAUUGGAUUGGAUCAGAUUGGAUAAGAUAAAAUUGGAUUGGAUAAUAAUGGAUUAUAUAUAAUACUAUAUUGGGUUUGGUCCAAUUUUAGAUUGAACUAUAAAUAAUCAUCUCUUAUAUUAUAAUAUUAUAAUUUACAAGUUAUUAUUAUUAUUAUUAUUAAUAUAAACUAAAAUUUUGUAUUAUUAAUUAUACAAAUCAACCUCAAUGAUAUUAAUGAAAUAUAAAUCAUAAUUUAAAUAAUUUUUAUUUUUUUAAAUAUUUUUAUGAUAUUUUUAUUAUUUUUAUUCAAUAAUCUAUUAUUUUAUAAAAAUUUAUAUUUGUGAAUAUUAAUUUAAUAAUAAUUUAUAAUGUAAAUUUGAAAUUAUAAAAAUAUUUAAUAAAGCAAAUAAAUAAAAAUAAAAUUUUCAUUCAAUGUGAAAUUAAUAAUGAUUUUUAGUAUAAUUUAUUAUUAAAAUUAUUAAAAUCAAUAUUUUUUAUUACAUUUAUCACAUAUUACUAUAAUUUUAAUAUUUAUAAAUUAUUAUGUUUAAUUGAAUUAUUAAUAUAAUCUAAUACUAACUAAUCCCAUAGCCCCCUUGAAAUAAUUUCUUUUACAAAAUUGAAAUUAGCUUUGGGGCUCACGAUAAAUAAAUUCUAAUACUUUUGACAGCACUAAAUAUAGGAAUAGGAUAAAAUUUUAACAAAGAGUUUAAUCUCCACUUUUAAUCCUCCUCCAACCAAACAUGCCCUAAGCUAACGGAUCAUGGCAAAUUUGUAGUAAGUGAUGAACGAUUUGAUAAGCUCUACCCCAUCAGUUCCUUAAUUGAGAAAAUUCCCAAGCCCGUGCAGCCUCACAAUUGAUAGAGACCCGAAGCCACCAAACUCGACAAUCAUCACUCAACGUCGUUGCAGGCUACCGGUCGCUCAACAAGCACCAGUUCCUCACUCUACAGCCAUCACUCAAGCGCUGCCAUUUCCUGUUAAUUAUUCGCUCGAAUUAGGGUUCUGAUAAUUGGGGAUUUUUUUCUUAAUUGUGGAAUUAUGAAGUAAUGAUGAUGACGACGAAGAUGUGGUGGUUGACGACGGCAAAGGCAACGUUGAAUAUUGAGGCACUGGAGAAACAAGCAUUGGCUAUUAUCUUGGUCGAUUUGCCUCGAAUUGAUCACUAAAAAUGGGGAUAUCGUGGGCCGAGCUUCAACGCAGUCGCAAAUUUCAUUUGGAUAACUGAAUUUUAUUUUAUUUUUGUGUUUAAUUUGUUUAAAGUUUAAUUGUUUAGAUCUAGGCUAAAUUUUAAUGAUCAUUUUUAUGAUUAAAUGACAUGAGUAUGCUUAAGUUUUUUUCCUUCAAAUUGAUUUUCUGAUGUUACAUUUUGUUAGCAAAAAGUUAAAAAAUAGUAGAAACUGUCAGAAUUUUUGUUAUGAAGAUGUUGUUUUAGUUUGAUAUUGGGAAAAUAUCAUUAUACAUAUUGCCAUCAUAUUCAUGGGAGACCAAAAUGGGAAUGAUGGCAGGCUAUGCAUUGCUCACAACUAAUUUAAAACUCACUAUUUCUGUUUUUGGUGUUUUAGUAAUUCUGGGGGCAUUCCAACUAUAAUUAAUAAGCUAUAAACUUGUUUAGUAAUUACUAAUCAACUUGCUAGAAAGAGUCACAAACUAAUUAGCUUUCUCUUGUAAUUUUUACAGAUCAUCAGUGGAUAAGAACUACAAGGAGUUGAAGACUUAAAGAUAAGAACUACAAGGAGUUGAAGACUUUAAACCCUAAACUUCAUAUCUUGAUUUACAAGUGCAAUGGGGUUUCACCCCAAUUAUGGGCUAGAGAUGUACUCUUUCUGUUCUUGGUGCUUCCCACCCCCCCCCCCCCCCCCGCCCCCCAAAGUCAUUUUUUGUUCUCUACUCCAUUGUAAAUUUGUAUUCAAAAGUCUUUUUCUUUGUCUUUAGUUUUUAAAUUUAUGGAGAUGAUCUUAUGAGGUCUUAAAUAAAUAGUUGUAGAGCUUUACUAAAACUAUGUACAAUCUUAUUGAGAUUUGGGUGUGAUUUUGUAAGAUUGCUAAAAAAUUCAUAUUUGGUAUUUGUUUUAUUUUCCUAGUCGAAUUUCUUGCUUGUAGAAGAUAAAAGAAAAGUGCAAUUUCAUGUUGCAAUAAUUUUUUUUCCUUCCCUCUUUUUCUUCCCAUAUAGUCUGGCUCUGGAUUUGGUGCAGUUGAUGGUUUUAAUACAGUGAACCAAUUUCGUCAGAAUCAUCUUAAAGGAUUAAAGUGGCUUCCUUUUGCAACUGGGUAAGUCAAUGUUACUUCCUGAAUUCAGUUUGGAGUUCUUUCGGAAUAGAUUUCCUUCCCUUACAUUACUUAGCUUCUAGUUGCAUCUUCUUGGCCUUCUCCAGCUGACUUUCCUAUUGGCAAAUUCCUUCGCUUCUAUUGUUUUCAGGUGCCAGUGCUGGAUUUGGAGGUAUGAAUCAUGCCUUCAUUUUUACUUUUUAUGAUUAUUUUUUUAAGGUGUAUGGUACUGUAAUAUAGUUCUUUGUAUAGCUAGUACAAAAUAGUUCUUUAACUUCUUACGUUCGGCUAUAAUGGUCUUGACAUAUGAUAGGGCAGCUCUAUCACCAAUUGACGUGGAAUGAGAAAUAGGAGACAAAUGGGAUUAGAAAAAUAAGAAACAUGACAAAAAUAAAAAUCUAAUCUACUCAUAUAAGCAACUCAUCAAAUAAGUGUAUCGCAUACUUAAGUGAAUAACAAUCUGUAAUUUCCACGAAUCAAAGUAAAAUUAUAAUAUUCUUUAAAUAAGACUCAUAAGCUUGUUAGGUGUUAUAUUGAAUCAUCUAAGUUGAAUAAUCUUUUGGGUCGAAUAUUUAAUUUCUUAUUCCAUACGUUUCAGUCUCUCAAUAGUUGAAUUAGCAAUGAAAAUUUGAAAAUGGAAAAAUCCAAUGCAAUUAUUUUAGCUGCUUAUCAUAGAUAAGAAUUUCAAAUUUGACACUUUAUUGUCUGUUGUCAAAUUCAUAAAGUAUGAACCUGCAUUAGCUUAGUUCUCUAAUAUUUAUAAAUAAGUAAUACUUGAAUUAAGAUGAAAGAAAAUUGAAAAGUAGAGUUGCUUGAUUGAAUAGCGUCAUAUUUUACAUCACAGAAACUCAAUUUUCAUUGCCAUACGUAGCUCAAAAGUGCAUGAACAUUUAAAAGUCAGCUAACUUAUACUAAUUAAUUAAUACGAGUCUCAGUUCUUACUUCUUAGUACUUGGCAACAUCCAUCCAUAAGAGUGAAACUCCUAUUGAUUUCAUAUAUACAAAAUAAAUAACUUACAAAGGCAAUAUAUACAAUCACGACAAAAACACCAAUUCACUCCAAUAAACAACAUAGCAAAUACAUGGUCUAUAUUGCAAGUCUUUUUACUAUUUUAAUUAAAAGAGAAAAUACGAAGGACAUAUUAUAUAUAAUUGAAUAUUAUCCUUGAUAAUUAGACAAAAUAACACUAAUCUAGCUAACUAAUCCAGUCAUCAUAAUAAUCCGAUUUCCUUCAUUUAAUUAUGUCCAUUGAUGCUAUUUUAAUAAAGAAUACUGAACACUUAAGUAUUUAUAUGCUCAACAACUUCGGCCACGUUUGAAAAGAUCAUAUUAAUUAUUAAUAUAAAGAAAAUAACCCUACAAGGUACAUAUUACAUAUGCAUGUAGUUGCAAUAAAUACAUAAUAAUAAAGAUUGUAAAAGUUCAGGGCCAUUAAUUCAACAAUUACUAAACCAAUAUCCCAAUAAUUGUUUGAUUACUAAUCUUAGCAUUAAAAGAUCUGCAAACUUUAUUCGGCCAAAACAAAUGCUUCCUUAUUGCUUCCUUGAUCUUAUCCUGCCUGGUGAUUCCUGAAUGUCCUUCCCAUUCUGAUAUGCUGAGUUGUUUGCUGAUUAUAAAUACAAAUCACCUUAAAUUUUCUUAGUCUUGUUCUUCAUGCGAAAUUCUACGUAAUGGCUUAGUUGGUUUAAAUUCUUCUUUUUUCUUUGAAUUGUUGAUUUGUAAUGUUCUUCUCGCUCUCACAUGUGGCAUUCUGCACUCUUCCAAUGCUAUUUCUUGUUAUGGCAGCAGAAUUCUAGAUUUUCUCCCAGUUUCUUUUGUAAAGACUUCUAAAGAGGCAUCCAGAUACUGAGAUACAAUCCAAUCUAAACCCAUACAUAUAUACACCUCACCUUCCCCCAUUUCCCCAGAAAAUCAACAAACAGUUUGCUUGAAAACAAACACUCUAAAAAAACUAUCUAGCCACCCAGAUAGCCAAAUCAAGAAUUCUUGCAAUGGCAAUGUCAUUUCUUGUUAGGGCGGCAACAUUGAAGAUCAUGGCAUCACAAGUGAAUGCUCUGAUGCCGUACACAAGAUCACCUCUCUUUGACAUAAUGCUCCCUAUGACGGAAGAUCCUUUCAAGGUUCUUGAACAAAGCUCUCUAACAAUUCCUAAAGGAGGUCGAGAGCAGACUGGAAGGAGACACGAACAGCACACGUGAUCACACUCGACAUUCCAAGGAUGAAGGAAAAUGAUGUGAAGAUUGAAGUUGAAGAGAACAGGGUACUGAGAGUGAGUGGGAGAGGAAGAGUGAUGAUUAUUAUAAGGAGGGAGUUGAAGGAGAGAAAUGGCACUGAGCUGAGAGGACAAGUGGCACGUUUUGGAUGCAGUUUAGGAUGCCAAUGAGUGCUGAUUUGGAACAUGUUAAAGCUCUUUUGGAAAAUGGAGUUCUGAGGAUCACAGUACCAAAGCUUGCUGAGGAGAAGAAGAGCCGGCCUGAGGUUAUUAGCAUUAGUGGAUUCUUUUGGUGAAGAUAUUAAAGCCACCAAGGCUCAAAUGUAAUUAAUCAACGAAAGUAAGUGUUUGGCUUGGUUUUGUGGUUCUCUUUGGAUGUUCUGUUUAUGUUUUUAUGGGUUUUUGAAGAUGGCUCACAGGUAUUAGCACCAAUAAGUGCUUUUUAUAAAUCCUGGUCCUAAAUUUGUAAAAAAAAAGUUAAUGCGCUUGGUUUAUUGUUAAUUAAAAAAAAAAAAAGUCCUUUCCUUUGGCAUUUAUCAUGCAUUUGAAAAAAAAAAUUAUUCCACUGUAAUUCAUAAAGAUAUAUUUUUCCCCGGAUCCCCGGUUACAUUAAAGCGUUGAUACGAAUAUCCGUUGUGAUUAUAAAAAAGUUAAUCAAUCCGAAUAUUCAAUAAGUGGUAAAUUGGCACAAAAACAAUUAAGUCACGAACUUGCAUAUAGUGCAUUAAAUUGAAGAGCAUAAAGAAUUUUGUAAUGCAGUCCAGCAAUCAAAAACCAUUUUACAACACCAUUAAAAAAUCAUUGCAGCACUAUUGCUGAUGAGGCAGCUGGUAAUUCCUCUGGUGAAGAUAUUAAGGCCGCUGAAGCUGAAAUGUAAUUAGUGUCGUCAGAAGAUUAUGUAAUAAAGUGCUUUAGAUUAAUCUUGGUUGGAUUACUAUUCAUUAACCAUAUUUAAUUUAUGUGAUCAAUCGGUAUUUGCUAGCAUCAUUGUUAUACAACAACAUAUUAAUUAACUACUGAACUCUGCCAGCGAAUUAAUGAGCAAAUCCUCCUCAAAUUAUGCAUGUAUACGAUCAAAAUAAUUUCAAUUUCACCAUAUACGCGCGUGUGUGUAUACAUAUAUAAUACUUAAUAAUCACCAAACCAACAAUUCCCAAGUUGGAUUAUACAUAGACGAAUAAAUAAUGCUAAUCUAGCAAGUCCAAUCAUAGUAAUUUGAUUACCAAAUAUUAACCAUGUCCAAUCAUAUUCUUAAAUAAUCGCCGAACCAACAAUUUGCAAGUUAGAUUAUACAUGGAAGAAUAAAUAAUGCUAAUCUAGCAAGUCCAAUGGUAAAAAUUUGAUUUUCAUUAUAUUAACCGUGUCCAAUCAUGCUAUUUUAAUAAAGAACACUUGAAUAAUAUUUUCAUGUCCAGCAGGUAAAAUUUCAAAACAAUUUUUGCCAAAGUCCUCCUCGGCUAAAUUAAUUUAUGCAUUAAUAAAGUCCUCCUCUUCUAAAUAAUAAAAAACCUGUUACGUUAUUCUACCAUUUUUUUUUAAAAAAAAAAGCAUUCUACUAUUUAAAAAAAGAAUUCGAAAACUGGUUCUAGACAUACACCGAACCAUAUUAAUUUAAAACAGUUUUCAACUGAGAUUUGAAAUUACACACACAAACACACCGAGUCCUUUAUAUAAAGUGCUUUUAAUAAAUUAUGGUCGGUUUACUAUUAAUUAAUCAAAUUUAAUUUACUCAAAUUACUCCUGUACACGAUCAAAAUAAUAUCAAUUCUAUGAUAUAUAUAUACGUGCACAUACAUACAAAAUGUAAAUAACUUUCAAAUAUAAAAUAUUUAAAAUAGACGAAAUAACUUUCAAAUGUUUAUUGUAUUUUGAUGGGUUUUUGAGGAUGGUUGUAUGUAUUAGCAACAACAAGGUGCUUUUUAUAAAUCCGGGUCCUAAUUUUGUAAAAGAAAUUAAUACUCUCGGUUUAUUGUUAAUAAAAAAGAAAAAAGAAAAAGCAUUUUUCUGUGGCAUAUAUUAAGCAUUUUGAGAAAAAAAAAAUUACAUUCCAAUUCAUGAAAGACAUUCCUUCUGUCAUAUUGAUGUGUUAAUAGAAAGAUCUAUGUGAAUUAUAACAAUUUUGAUGAAUCUAAAUAUUUAAUAACUGAUAAAUUAUAUUUAUAAAUAUUAAUACCGGUGGCACAUAAGCACUUAAUUCAAGAACUCGCCUAUAGUGCAUUAAUUUAAAGAGUAGAAAUAUUUAAUAAAUCAUGCCCGGUUUACUAUUAAUUAAUAAAAUUUAAUUUACUCAAAUUACUCCUCUACAUGAUCAAAGUAAUUUCAAAUAUACAACACACAAAAUGUAAAUGACUUUGAAAUAUAAAAUAUUUAAAAUAAUCACCCCACUAACAAUUCACCACAAAGAUUAUAAAUAGUCGAAAUAAUGAUAAUCUAAGGGGUCCGGUCAUAAUAAUUUGAUUUUUAUUUAUAUUAAUUAUAUAAAAAAGAGUACUCGAGAUUAUAUAUAUCCAACAGCUAAAAUUUCAAAACAAUAUUUGCCAAAGUCUGAUGAAGAGAAUACAUAUAUAUAACAUGCACUCGCACACAUUCUAUUGUUUAAUUAAAAAAUUCGAAAGCCCAUUAUAUACAUGAUAAAGACUUACCGACACCGAACCAUAUUCAUUUAAAGGAAUUGUUUUCAACUGAGAUUUAAAAUUAUUUACACAAACACGCCCGAUUUUUUCUUUUUUUUAAAAAUUACUAAUAAUAAAAUAUUUCAGUCGUCCUCUGUUCGGCUGUCAAAAACCCAUUAAGAUCGAUUUGAACAGAAGGUAUAUGGGUUAACAAUCCUCCAUCCUUUCUGCACUUCUCUUCCAUCAACGGACAGCGAUAGAUACUUAAUUGCAAAAGUGAGGAAGGCAGGCCCUUCUCCGGAAAGUAUUUGAGCUUGGGACAAUCCACGAGAUUUAAGUGGGUGAGGUUUUGAAGAUCAACAAUUGAAGAAGAUAGGCGUUCCAGAUUUGGAAAAUCUACAAUCCUCAGAGAUGUUAGAGAGGCAGGAAGAGGAAGCGCGGUCCCUAAUCUUUUGUCCUCUAGUGGAAAUGACACCAUGUCGUCAUCACAUCCUUCGAUUGUAAGAUGUCGCAGAGAAGAGAAUCUAUGAAAUCCCCGACCCCGCUCAAUCAUUGACUUCCAAAUCUCCAUAUUACCCCAAAUAUGAAGUGAAUGAAGGUUGGUGGGAAGGCCAUCUUCUUCAAGGCUUGGAAGCUCACCUCCUAUUGUUAAUUGUUGAAGAGAGGUCAGAUUGUGCAAUCCCUUGGGUAAGGCCUCCAGUCUCUCACACCCAUAGAUCCUGAGCUUACUCAGUUUCGCACAAGGCAAUCCCCCUUCGGGAAAGGACACCAGAUUUUCACAUUCCCAUAUUUCGAUCUCUUGAAGCUGGCCGAGAUUAUGUAAACCACUCGGUAAAAUUUUCAGAUUUUCACACCCAGAAAUAUUGAUUGUUUUCAAGAGAUGUGUUGUUGUCCAACCUUUCUGCUAUUGACUCCAGCUUUGGACAAUACCAAACAAAAAGGGACUUAAGAGACGGAGGUAGAUUGCCAACUUCAAGGGACUCAAGCGUGGCAGGUAACUCGUUUUUUGAAAAUAUACAUGUCAGUGAUGGACAAUCCCUAAUUUCUAACUUCUCAAGAAGAGAUGAGGUGUACCUUCUAUUGCUGCUGCUGCUGCUGCUACUCUGGAUGCCCUCUUCCACUGUCAAAGUCCUUAUAUUAUCACAACUAAGGAUGUCCAACCUCUUAAGGCUCCGUGGUAGCUGGACUCCAGCAAGAUAUGUCAACGUACGACAAUGCUCAAUAUACAAGGUCUCGAGAGAUGAAUUGGUGUCGCACAUCCAUGCCUCUGGUAAUGAUUUCAGUGCGUCACAACCUUCAAUCUCAAUUAUCUUCAACUUGGAAGGCAGAGCAACCUCAGGAAAGGAAACAAGGGAACUGCACUUGUAGAUUUCUAUCUCUCUCAAGGAACUGAGGCUGAGAGAUGAUUGUGGCAGCUUCACAAGGCCUUCGCAAUAACUCAAUCUUAGAUAUUCGAGUCUGCAUGACAACUCGCAGAGCUGCUGUUGUUGGUCUUUCUCUUCCUCCGCCACCAAGGAUUGAAGUUUGGGACAGCUUGUAAUCGUCAGUCUUCUGAGAGAGCAAAUGUCUUGCAGUAAUUCGUUAUGACUCUUCCAAAUAUAUGUCUGCUCUUUCAUAUCAUUUAUCUUCAAUUCUUCCAAUUUUGGCAGUCGCGGCUUUAAUGGCCCUGCGAGAAACAGUUGAUUUGAUGUAUCUCUACAAACCACUGAAUUCUGUGAGCCGAGAUGAUCAGCUGCACUUCUCCACACAACCUUUUUACAUCCACCAAUUUCAAAUUUGCAAAGAGCUGGAAGACUUGUAACUGAAACUGACAAUUCUUCACAUCCUUUAAUAACAAGCUUCUCCAAUGCAGGAAGGUGCUCUGGAAGUGUUCCUUGCAGUUUAGAACAUCUUAAAAUGUGAAGCUCUCUCAAUUUAGGAAACCCUUCAACUCCUUGACCGGAUCCAUGAGGAAUCCAGUCUUCCCAUUCUUCCAUGUCUUCAAAACAAAGAGUCUCCAAGCAUGGAAAAGGAAUUGAAGCAACCUUCCCAUAGAACUCUGGAUCAAAUCUCCUUACGCUGCUCAUUCCACAUACUACAAGCUGCUUUAGAGAGGGUAGUUGCCCGACCGACGGCAGGGCAGUACACAUGCUACAAUAUUCAAAUUUAAGUGUUACUAAAUUUGACAAUGAGGAAUUUCCUAACCAAGUUGAAAAAUUUGUGCCUCCAUAGCCGCUGAUACAAAAUUGUUCCAGAUUUUUAUGGGGUUUUAGCAUGUCAAGCACGCCCUCUUCAGCUUCUGCCUCCCUUGAAGAUGAACCAUUAGUAUUGCGAGUCCAUCGAAGCCAUAAUUCUUUAAGAUUCUCCUUUCUAUCCAAUUGAGCGUCCUCGGCAUCAAUAAUGUGUUUUACAUUCUCCAAAUUUGAAAUGCAAAGUGUCCCCCCAAGUUGCGUCAAGGACUUUAGCUCUCGUAACGGGAACCACUGUCUUUUCCCACAACAAAAUUACACAACGUCUGAAGACAAGUCAGCCUACCAAUUCCGACUGGCAUUUCCUCCAACGAAGAUGUAUUUGAAUUAUUGAGAUGAUGCAAUUUGAUGAGGUUUCCCAUGGCUGCACACAACUUCUUCAGUCGCCAACAGCCCUCCAACAGAAGGGUGUGCAAAUUGUAAAGCUUGUUGACUGAUUCAGGCAGAGUUCUAAUCUCAGUUCCAGAUAGGUUAAGGUACCUUAAAUACCUCAAAUCACCAACUGAAUCCGGCAGCUUGGGGAUGAAAUAUCCACACAGAGAGAAGACCCUCAAUCGUUGGAGUUUGAACAACUUAGGAAGAAUGCUAAGAGCAAAGUAUCCAUGCGACCUAUUUGACCGCCUUACUGGUAGAAAAGUUCGCAAAUGCUGGAUAUUGUACAAGUCUUCAAACCUUUUACCGCCUUCAUAAUAUUCAGGAAUGUAUGACAGAUGAUGAAGAUUUAUGGAAAAACUUUGUUGCUUGUUAACCUCCGAGGUAUACUCCAUUGUGAAGUAUAUCUCCCCCGCAGCCCAUUGAGCAAGGUCAUUGACGAGGUCGUGCAUCACAAAUCGUGAUGUACCGUUGCUUGAUUGCUGGAAAAAAGAUCUUGCACGUAGCUCUUGAAAGAACCUUCGACCUAGAUCUUCACUUGGAUUCCCGCUCUCUCCGUGAUCAAGAAACCCACAGCACUCCAUAAUAAAAUUAUCUCCUCCUCUUCGAAUUCAUAAUCCUUUGGAAACAAUGAGCAGUAUGCAAAGCACUGUUUCAAAGGUGCCGAGAGAUAAUAGUAGCUCACUCUAAGCGCCGGUAUAAUGUCACAUCUCUCUUCUGGUAAAUCCCAUAUGUUGCAACUGAGCACACCUUCCCAAUCACUUCGGUCACAUUUACCACGUAAGAGUCCACCAAAGUUUUUUGCAGCUAAGGGCAAGCCGUUGCAUUUGAUCACAAUCUUCUUGCCAAUUUCCUCCAAUGACUUGUUUGAACUGAAAUCUUUUGUCCCCAAAGAGUGUUGAGCGAACACGGACAGACAAUCAUCAAAUGACAACUUUUUCAAUUCAUAAGCUGGAGCAGUUCCCAUGAUGGCUGCAACCUCUUGAUUACGAGUUGUGACAAUAAUCUUACUUCCCGGUGCGCCAGCUUCAAACGGACGGCUCAUGUCAACCCAAUCAUUGUAUUUCUCAUUCCAAACGUCGUCUAAACAAGCAAAAAUUUCUUUUGAGAUAACUUCUUCUUCAGCUCCUNAAGUUUAAUUGUUUAGAUCUAGGCUAAAUUUUAAUGAUCAUUUUUAUGAUUAAAUGACAUGAGUAUGCUUAAGUUUUUUUCCUUCAAAUUGAUUUUCUGAUGUUACAUUUUGUUAGCAAAAAGUUAAAAAAUAGUAGAAACUGUCAGAAUUUUUGUUAUGAAGAUGUUGUUUUUAGUUUGAUAUUGGGAAAAUAUCAUUAUACAUAUUGCCAUCAUAUUCAUGGGGAGACCAAAAUGGGAAUGAUGGCAGGCUAUGCAUUGCUCACAACUAAUUUAAAAACUCACUAUUUCUGUUUUUGGUGUUUUAGUAAUUCUGGGGGCAUUCCAACUAUAAUUAAUAAGCUAUAAACUUGUUUAGUAAUUACUAAUCAACUUGCUAGAAAGAGUCACAAACUAAUUAGCUUUCUCUUGUAAUUUUUACAGAUCAUCAGUGGAUAAGAACUACAAGGAGUUGAAGACUUAAAGAUAAGAACUACAAGGAGUUGAAGACUUUAAACCCUAAACUUCAUAUCUUGAUUUACAAGUGCAAUGGGGUUUCACCCCAAUUAUGGGCUAGAGAUGUACUCUUUCUGUUCUUGGUGCUUCCCACCCCCCCCCCCCCCCCCGCCCCCCCAAAGUCAUUUUUUGUUCUCUACUCCAUUGUAAAUUUGUAUUUCAAAGUCUUUUUCUUUGUCUUUAGUUUUUUAAAUUUAUGGAGAUGAUCUUAUGAGGUCUUAAAUAAAUAGUUGUAGAGCUUUACUAAAACUAUGUACAAUCUUAUUGAGAUUUGGGUGUGAUUUUGUAAGAUUGCUAAAAAAAUUCAUAUUUGGUAUUUGUUUUUAUUUUCCUAGUCGAAUUUCUUGCUUGUAGAAGAUAAAAGAAAAGUGCAAUUUCAUGUUGCAAUAAUUUUUUUUCCUUCCCUCUUUUUCUUCCCAUAUAGUCUGGCUUCUGGAUUUGGUGCAGUUGAUGGUUUUAAUACAGUGAACCAAUUUCGUCAGAAUCAUCUUAAAGGAUUAAAGUGGCUUCCUUUUGCAACUGGGUAAGUCAAUGUUACUUCCUGAAUUCAGUUUUGGAGUUCUUUCGGAAUAGAUUUCCUUCCCUUACAUUACUUAGCUUCUAGUUGCAUCUUCUUGGCCUUCUCCAGCUGACUUUCCUAUUGGCAAAUUCCUUCGCUUCUAUUGUUUUCAGGUGCCAGUGCUGGAUUUGGAGGUAUGAAUCAUGCCUUCAUUUUUACUUUUUAUGAUUAUUUUUUUAAGGUGUAUGGUACUGUAAUAUAGUUCUUUGUAUAGCUAGUACAAAAUAGUUCUUUAACUUCUUACGUUCGGCUAUAAUGGUCCUUGACAUAUGAUAGGGCAGCUCUAUCACCAAUUGACGUGGAAUGAGAAAUAGGAGACAAAUGGGAUUAGAAAAAUAAGAAACAUGACAAAAAUAAAAAUCUAAUCUACUCAUAUAAGCAACUCAUCAAAUAAGUGUAUCGCAUACUUAAGUGAAUAACAAUCUGUAAUUUCCACGAAUCAAAGUAAAAUUAUAAUAUUCUUUAAAUAAGACUCAUAAGCUUGUUAGGUGUUAUAUUGAAUCAUCUAAGUUGAAUAAUCUUUUGGGUCGAAUAUUUAAUUUCUUAUUCCAUACGUUUCAGUCUCUCAAUAGUUGAAUUAGCAAUGAAAAUUUGAAAAUGGAAAAAUCCAAUGCAAUUAUUUUAGCUGCUUAUCAUAGAUAAGAAUUUCAAAUUUGACACUUUAUUGUCUGUUGUCAAAUUCAUAAAGUAUGAACCUGCAUUAGCUUAGUUCUCUAAUAUUUAUAAAUAAGUAAUACUUGAAUUAAGAUGAAAGAAAAUUGAAAAGUAGAGUUGCUUGAUUGAAUAGCGUCAUAUUUUACAUCACAGAAACUCAAUUUUCAUUGCCAUACGUAGCUCAAAAGUGCAUGAACAUUUAAAAAGUCAGCUAACUUAUACUAAUUAAUUAAUACGAGUCUCAGUUCUUACUUCUUAGUACUUGGCAACAUCCAUCCAUAAGAGUGAAACUCCUAUUGAUUUCAUAUAUACAAAAUAAAUAACUUACAAAGGCAAUAUAUACAAUCACGACAAAAACACCAAUUCACUCCAAUAAACAACAUAGCAAAUACAUGGUCUAUAUUGCAAGUCUUUUUACUAUUUUAAUUAAAAGAGAAAAUACGAAGGACAUAUUAUAUAUAAUUGAAUAUUAUCCUUGAUAAUUAGACAAAAUAACACUAAUCUAGCUAACUAAUCCAGUCAUCAUAAUAAUCCGAUUUCCUUCAUUUAAUUAUGUCCAUUGAUGCUAUUUUAAUAAAGAAUACUGAACACUUAAGUAUUUAUAUGCUCAACAACUUCGGCCACGUUUGAAAAGAUCAUAUUAAUUAUUAAUAUAAAGAAAAUAACCCUACAAGGUACAUAUUACAUAUGCAUGUAGUUGCAAUAAAUACAUAAUAAUAAAGAUUGUAAAAGUUCAGGGCCAUUAAUUCAACAAUUACUAAACCAAUAUCCCAAUAAUUGUUUGAUUACUAAUCUUAGCAUUAAAAGAUCUGCAAACUUUAUUCGGCCAAAACAAAUGCUUCCUUAUUGCUUCCUUGAUCUUAUCCUGCCUGGUGAUUCCUGAAUGUCCUUCCCAUUCUGAUAUGCUGAGUUGUUUGCUGAUUAUAAAUACAAAUCACCUUAAAUUUUCUUAGUCUUGUUCUUCAUGCGAAAUUCUACGUAAUGGCUUAGUUGGUUUAAAUUCUUCUUUUUUCUUUGAAUUGUUGAUUUGUAAUGUUCUUCUCGCUCUCACAUGUGGCAUUCUGCACUCUUCCAAUGCUAUUUCUUGUUAUGGCAGCAGAAUUCUAGAUUUUCUCCCAGUUUCUUUUGUAAAGACUUCUAAAGAGGCAUCCAGAUACUGAGAUACAAUCCAAUCUAAACCCAUACAUAUAUACACCUCACCUUCCCCCAUUUCCCCAGAAAAUCAACAAACAGUUUGCUUGAAAACAAACACUCUAAAAAAACUAUCUAGCCACCCAGAUAGCCAAAUCAAGAAUUCUUGCAAUGGCAAUGUCAUUUCUUGUUAGGGCGGCAACAUUGAAGAUCAUGGCAUCACAAGUGAAUGCUCUGAUGCCGUACACAAGAUCACCUCUCUUUGACAUAAUGCUCCCUAUGACGGAAGAUCCUUUCAAGGUUCUUGAACAAAGCUCUCUAACAAUUCCUAAAGGAGGUCGAGAGCAGACUGGAAGGAGACACGAACAGCACACGUGAUCACACUCGACAUUCCAAGGAUGAAGGAAAAUGAUGUGAAGAUUGAAGUUGAAGAGAACAGGGUACUGAGAGUGAGUGGGAGAGGAAGAGUGAUGAUUAUUAUAAGGAGGGAGUUGAAGGAGAGAAAUGGCACUGAGCUGAGAGGACAAGUGGCACGUUUUGGAUGCAGUUUAGGAUGCCAAUGAGUGCUGAUUUGGAACAUGUUAAAGCUCUUUUGGAAAAUGGAGUUCUGAGGAUCACAGUACCAAAGCUUGCUGAGGAGAAGAAGAGCCGGCCUGAGGUUAUUAGCAUUAGUGGAUUCUUUUGGUGAAGAUAUUAAAGCCACCAAGGCUCAAAUGUAAUUAAUCAACGAAAGUAAGUGUUUGGCUUGGUUUUGUGGUUCUCUUUGGAUGUUCUGUUUAUGUUUUUAUGGGUUUUUGAAGAUGGCUCACAGGUAUUAGCACCAAUAAGUGCUUUUUAUAAAUCCUGGUCCUAAAUUUGUAAAAAAAAAGUUAAUGCGCUUGGUUUAUUGUUAAUUAAAAAAAAAAAAGUCCUUUCCUUUGGCAUUUAUCAUGCAUUUGAAAAAAAAAAUUAUUCCACUGUAAUUCAUAAAGAUAUAUUUUUCCCCGGAUCCCCGGUUACAUUAAAGCGUUGAUACGAAUAUCCGUUGUGAUUAUAAAAAAGUUAAUCAAUCCGAAUAUUCAAUAAGUGGUAAAUUGGCACAAAAACAAUUAAGUCACGAACUUGCAUAUAGUGCAUUAAAUUGAAGAGCAUAAAGAAUUUUGUAAUGCAGUCCAGCAAUCAAAAACCAUUUUACAACACCAUUAAAAAAUCAUUGCAGCACUAUUGCUGAUGAGGCAGCUGGUAAUUCCUCUGGUGAAGAUAUUAAGGCCGCUGAAGCUGAAAUGUAAUUAGUGUCGUCAGAAGAUUAUGUAAUAAAGUGCUUUAGAUUAAUCUUGGUUGGAUUACUAUUCAUUAACCAUAUUUAAUUUAUGUGAUCAAUCGGUAUUUGCUAGCAUCAUUGUUAUACAACAACAUAUUAAUUAACUACUGAACUCUGCCAGCGAAUUAAUGAGCAAAUCCUCCUCAAAUUAUGCAUGUAUACGAUCAAAAUAAUUUCAAUUUCACCAUAUACGCGCGUGUGUGUAUACAUAUAUAAUACUUAAUAAUCACCAAACCAACAAUUCCCAAGUUGGAUUAUACAUAGACGAAUAAAUAAUGCUAAUCUAGCAAGUCCAAUCAUAGUAAUUUGAUUACCAAAUAUUAACCAUGUCCAAUCAUAUUCUUAAAUAAUCGCCGAACCAACAAUUUGCAAGUUAGAUUAUACAUGGAAGAAUAAAUAAUGCUAAUCUAGCAAGUCCAAUGGUAAAAAUUUGAUUUUCAUUAUAUUAACCGUGUCCAAUCAUGCUAUUUUAAUAAAGAACACUUGAAUAAUAUUUUCAUGUCCAGCAGGUAAAAUUUCAAAACAAUUUUUGCCAAAGUCCUCCUCGGCUAAAUUAAUUUAUGCAUUAAUAAAGUCCUCCUCUUCUAAAUAAUAAAAAACCUGUUACGUUAUUCUACCAUUUUUUUUUAAAAAAAAAAAGCAUUCUACUAUUUAAAAAAAGAAUUCGAAAACUGGUUCUAGACAUACACCGAACCAUAUUAAUUUAAAACAGUUUUCAACUGAGAUUUGAAAUUACACACACAAACACACCGAGUCCUUUAUAUAAAGUGCUUUUAAUAAAUUAUGGUCGGUUUACUAUUAAUUAAUCAAAUUUAAUUUACUCAAAUUACUCCUGUACACGAUCAAAAUAAUAUCAAUUCUAUGAUAUAUAUAUACGUGCACAUACAUACAAAAUGUAAAUAACUUUCAAAUAUAAAAUAUUUAAAAUAGACGAAAUAACUUUCAAAUGUUUAUUGUAUUUUGAUGGGUUUUUGAGGAUGGUUGUAUGUAUUAGCAACAACAAGGUGCUUUUUAUAAAUCCGGGUCCUAAUUUUGUAAAAGAAAUUAAUACUCUCGGUUUAUUGUUAAUAAAAAAGAAAAAAGAAAAAGCAUUUUUCUGUGGCAUAUAUUAAGCAUUUUGAGAAAAAAAAAAUUACAUUCCAAUUCAUGAAAGACAUUCCUUCUGUCAUAUUGAUGUGUUAAUAGAAAGAUCUAUGUGAAUUAUAACAAUUUUGAUGAAUCUAAAUAUUUAAUAACUGAUAAAUUAUAUUUAUAAAUAUUAAUACCGGUGGCACAUAAGCACUUAAUUCAAGAACUCGCCUAUAGUGCAUUAAUUUAAAGAGUAGAAAUAUUUAAUAAAUCAUGCCCGGUUUACUAUUAAUUAAUAAAAUUUAAUUUACUCAAAUUACUCCUCUACAUGAUCAAAGUAAUUUCAAAUAUACAACACACAAAAUGUAAAUGACUUUGAAAUAUAAAAUAUUUAAAAUAAUCACCCCACUAACAAUUCACCACAAAGAUUAUAAAUAGUCGAAAUAAUGAUAAUCUAAGGGGUCCGGUCAUAAUAAUUUGAUUUUUAUUUAUAUUAAUUAUAUAAAAAAGAGUACUCGAGAUUAUAUAUAUCCAACAGCUAAAAUUUCAAAACAAUAUUUGCCAAAGUCUGAUGAAGAGAAUACAUAUAUAUAACAUGCACUCGCACACAUUCUAUUGUUUAAUUAAAAAAUUCGAAAGCCCAUUAUAUACAUGAUAAAGACUUACCGACACCGAACCAUAUUCAUUUAAAGGAAUUGUUUUCAACUGAGAUUUAAAAUUAUUUACACAAACACGCCCGAUUUUUUCUUUUUUUUAAAAAUUACUAAUAAUAAAAUAUUUCAGUCGUCCUCUGUUCGGCUGUCAAAAACCCAUUAAGAUCGAUUUGAACAGAAGGUAUAUGGGUUAACAAUCCUCCAUCCUUUCUGCACUUCUCUUCCAUCAACGGACAGCGAUAGAUACUUAAUUGCAAAAGUGAGGAAGGCAGGCCCUUCUCCGGAAAGUAUUUGAGCUUGGGACAAUCCACGAGAUUUAAGUGGGUGAGGUUUUGAAGAUCAACAAUUGAAGAAGAUAGGCGUUCCAGAUUUGGAAAAUCUACAAUCCUCAGAGAUGUUAGAGAGGCAGGAAGAGGAAGCGCGGUCCCUAAUCUUUUGUCCUCUAGUGGAAAUGACACCAUGUCGUCAUCACAUCCUUCGAUUGUAAGAUGUCGCAGAGAAGAGAAUCUAUGAAAUCCCCGACCCCGCUCAAUCAUUGACUUCCAAAUCUCCAUAUUACCCCAAAUAUGAAGUGAAUGAAGGUUGGUGGGAAGGCCAUCUUCUUCAAGGCUUGGAAGCUCACCUCCUAUUGUUAAUUGUUGAAGAGAGGUCAGAUUGUGCAAUCCCUUGGGUAAGGCCUCCAGUCUCUCACACCCAUAGAUCCUGAGCUUACUCAGUUUCGCACAAGGCAAUCCCCCUUCGGGAAAGGACACCAGAUUUUCACAUUCCCAUAUUUCGAUCUCUUGAAGCUGGCCGAGAUUAUGUAAACCACUCGGUAAAAUUUUCAGAUUUUCACACCCAGAAAUAUUGAUUGUUUCAAGAGAUGUGUUGUUGUCCAACCUUUCUGCUAUUGACUCCAGCUUUGGACAAUACCAAACAAAAAGGGACUUAAGAGACGGAGGUAGAUUGCCAACUUCAAGGGACUCAAGCGUGGCAGGUAACUCGUUUUUUGAAAAUAUACAUGUCAGUGAUGGACAAUCCCUAAUUUCUAACUUCUCAAGAAGAGAUGAGGUGUACCUUCUAUUGCUGCUGCUGCUGCUGCUACUCUGGAUGCCCUCUUCCACUGUCAAAGUCCUUAUAUUAUCACAACUAAGGAUGUCCAACCUCUUAAGGCUCCGUGGUAGCUGGACUCCAGCAAGAUAUGUCAACGUACGACAAUGCUCAAUAUACAAGGUCUCGAGAGAUGAAUUGGUGUCGCACAUCCAUGCCUCUGGUAAUGAUUUCAGUGCGUCACAACCUUCAAUCUCAAUUAUCUUCAACUUGGAAGGCAGAGCAACCUCAGGAAAGGAAACAAGGGAACUGCACUUGUAGAUUUCUAUCUCUCUCAAGGAACUGAGGCUGAGAGAUGAUUGUGGCAGCUUCACAAGGCCUUCGCAAUAACUCAAUCUUAGAUAUUCGAGUCUGCAUGACAACUCGCAGAGCUGCUGUUGUUGGUCUUUCUCUUCCUCCGCCACCAAGGAUUGAAGUUUGGGACAGCUUGUAAUCGUCAGUCUUCUGAGAGAGCAAAUGUCUUGCAGUAAUUCGUUAUGACUCUUCCAAAUAUAUGUCUGCUCUUUCAUAUCAUUUAUCUUCAAUUCUUCCAAUUUUGGCAGUCGCGGCUUUAAUGGCCCUGCGAGAAACAGUUGAUUUGAUGUAUCUCUACAAACCACUGAAUUCUGUGAGCCGAGAUGAUCAGCUGCACUUCUCCACACAACCUUUUUACAUCCACCAAUUUCAAAUUUGCAAAGAGCUGGAAGACUUGUAACUGAAACUGACAAUUCUUCACAUCCUUUAAUAACAAGCUUCUCCAAUGCAGGAAGGUGCUCUGGAAGUGUUCCUUGCAGUUUAGAACAUCUUAAAAUGUGAAGCUCUCUCAAUUUAGGAAACCCUUCAACUCCUUGACCGGAUCCAUGAGGAAUCCAGUCUUCCCAUUCUUCCAUGUCUUCAAAACAAAGAGUCUCCAAGCAUGGAAAAGGAAUUGAAGCAACCUUCCCAUAGAACUCUGGAUCAAAUCUCCUUACGCUGCUCAUUCCACAUACUACAAGCUGCUUUAGAGAGGGUAGUUGCCCGACCGACGGCAGGGCAGUACACAUGCUACAAUAUUCAAAUUUAAGUGUUACUAAAUUUGACAAUGAGGAAUUUCCUAACCAAGUUGAAAAAUUUGUGCCUCCAUAGCCGCUGAUACAAAAUUGUUCCAGAUUUUUAUGGGGUUUUAGCAUGUCAAGCACGCCCUCUUCAGCUUCUGCCUCCCUUGAAGAUGAACCAUUAGUAUUGCGAGUCCAUCGAAGCCAUAAUUCUUUAAGAUUCUCCUUUCUAUCCAAUUGAGCGUCCUCGGCAUCAAUAAUGUGUUUUACAUUCUCCAAAUUUGAAAUGCAAAGUGUCCCCCCAAGUUGCGUCAAGGACUUUAGCUCUCGUAACCGGGAACCACUGUCUUUUCCCACAACAAAAUUACACAACGUCUGAAGACAAGUCAGCCUACCAAUUCCGACUGGCAUUUCCUCCAACGAAGAUGUAUUUGAAUUAUUGAGAUGAUGCAAUUUGAUGAGGUUUCCCAUGGCUGCACACAACUUCUUCAGUCGCCAACAGCCCUCCAACAGAAGGGUGUGCAAAUUGUAAAGCUUGUUGACUGAUUCAGGCAGAGUUCUAAUCUCAGUUCCAGAUAGGUUAAGGUACCUUAAAUACCUCAAAUCACCAACUGAAUCCGGCAGCUUGGGGAUGAAAUAUCCACACAGAGAGAAGACCCUCAAUCGUUGGAGUUUGAACAACUUAGGAAGAAUGCUAAGAGCAAAGUAUCCAUGCGACCUAUUUGACCGCCUUACUGGUAGAAAAGUUCGCAAAUGCUGGAUAUUGUACAAGUCUUCAAACCUUUUACCGCCUUCAUAAUAUUCAGGAAUGUAUGACAGAUGAUGAAGAUUUAUGGAAAAACUUUGUUGCUUGUUAACCUCCGAGGUAUACUCCAUUGUGAAGUAUAUCUCCCCCGCAGCCCAUUGAGCAAGGUCAUUGACGAGGUCGUGCAUCACAAAUCGUGAUGUACCGUUGCUUGAUUGCUGGAAAAAAGAUCUUGCACGUAGCUCUUGAAAGAACCUUCGACCUAGAUCUUCACUUGGAUUCCCGCUCUCUCCGUGAUCCAAGAAACCCACAGCACUCCAUAAUAAAAUUAUCUCCUCCUCUUCGAAUUCAUAAUCCUUUGGAAACAAUGAGCAGUAUGCAAAGCACUGUUUCAAAGGUGCCGAGAGAUAAUAGUAGCUCACUCUAAGCGCCGGUAUAAUGUCACAUCUCUCUUCUGGUAAAUCCCAUAUGUUGCAACUGAGCACACCUUCCCAAUCACUUCGGUCACAUUUACCACGUAAGAGUCCACCAAGAGUUUUUGCAGCUAAGGGCAAGCCGUUGCAUUUGAUCACAAUCUUCUUGCCAAUUUCCUCCAAUGACUUGUUUGAACUGAAAUCUUUUGUCCCCAAAGAGUGUUGAGCGAACACGGACAGACAAUCAUCAAAUGACAACUUUUUCAAUUCAUAAGCUGGAGCAGUUCCCAUGAUGGCUGCAACCUCUUGAUUACGAGUUGUGACAAUAAUCUUACUUCCCGGUGCGCCAGCUUCAAACGGACGGCUCAUGUCAACCCAAUCAUUGUAUUUCUCAUUCCAAACGUCGUCUAAAACAAGCAAAAAUUUCUUUUGAGAUAACUUCUUCUUCAGCUCCUCUUGAAGCAAAUUUAAAUCACUGUCAUCAAUAGUCUGCUUAGUAACGGAUCUUAGAAUUGUUUUUGUUAGCCUCUUAACGUCGAAAUCGUCAGAGACACAAGUCCAUGCCUUGAGAUCAAAAUGAUCCUGCACUCGCUUAUCAUUGUAGACAAGCUGAGCAAGAGUAGUUUUGCCCAUCCCGCCCAUACCUAUAAUAGGAAUAACAGAGAAUCCACCAUCGUUGCUUAAAUCAUCCCUCAACAGCAGUUCAACAACAUCCUUCUUUUCUGUUUCCCUGCCAUAUACUUUGGCUUCAGUCACUAAAGAGGUUGUCUCUAGCCUUUGACUGGCUUUUUUGGACCCUCCGGCUGAACUUUCUUUCAAAUCUAGCAAGUUUUUCUGUGUCACAAUUUCUUGAAAUCUGCUGUUGAUCUCUUUGAUUUUGGACAUCAAGCCAUAAUCGAACUGAAUCGAUUGUGGAGUAAAAGUGGUGCAGCAAGGAGGAAUGAGCUUCCGAAACUUACUUGUUCUGGUACGACUGCUACUGGGUUGAUCAUGAGCAGCAGCUGGUUCUCCAUUUCCAAGCAGCAACAUCCUCCGGAAAGCCUCAGUUUGAAACUCAUCCAACAAGUCUUCAACAUCAUAAGCCAAGUUCUGAAGCUUGCCAAGCCACUUCUUCACAGACCGAUUAGUCGUCUUCUUCUCCUCAGCAUCAUCAAGCACCGCCUUGAUCAUCUCCAACAUAUUCUCCCACUUCAUUAGAUCGUCUUGGAUCUUCUCUUGGCGUGCAAAAAACAGAAUCCCCUCUGAAGCUAACUUAUUGACCAGCAAAUCAACGGACGCCGUAAGGAUUGCCUCUCCGAUGAUUGACAUUUUUUUUCUUUUUUUUUGGGCAAAGGAAGAAAGGAGCAGAAUUAUGGGUUAUGGAAAGCAGAAUGAGAAAAUUGAACGGGUGAGAAAAUGGAUAAUUAAGCAGAAUGAGUUUGUGAUUGUGAAGGGUCUGGCCCAGCUAGAAAUCACGCGUUUAUACUUUAUUGACCAAUGACUAAUAAUUUGGCAAUUCACCCAUCACACCACCACUUGGUAAGCAAAAUGAAAAUGCUUAGUAAUUAAUAAGUGUCAAGGGUCAAGCAAAAUACGACGUAAAAUGUGGCAAGUCUCCCCACUUGUUUUCCUUGCAGCUAAGAAAAGAAAAACACAGCCCACCACCCAUUAAUAAUUUAGCAAUUCAUCAAUCACCACCACUUGUUACGAAAUUCCUUCCGUUAGAUAUUCGUAUAGGUCAAGGAGUUAAUCCAGUGUCAAUUACUUAGAACCUUCACUUUACAAAUCUUCAACUCAUAAACCAAGAUAAAUCAAAACGUUUCUCUCUCUCUAUUUUUUUUUUUUUAAACUCCUAAAACGUUUCUUUUUAGAAAUAUUUUACUUUAUUCAUCUAAUAUGUUAUCUAACAAAUAGACACAGAUGAAAUCACUCUAAAGUGAAGAUGAAAGGGGAAAAAAAACAUUCCAACCACCAAUAAUUUAGCAAGCUAACGUUUUCAAAAUAUUGUUCUUUAUAAUUGAACAGGAAAUAAGACUAAGUUUUGGACAUUUUCAUAUUCACUUACUUUCAAAAGCAGUAUUUCGAAACAUUUUACAGAAUCAAGUAACAGUUAUAUAACGAGAAAAGUGCAAAGUUGUGUAAUUCUAAUUUUUUUUUUUAUCACAGACACUCAGAUCAUUUUUUGUUUGGGUCGCCAACUCGCCAAUGAACCUAUGAUUGAAUGAGUGUUUAGAAAGAAAAUCAAUGAAAAAUAGUUUAUUUUGGCCGUCGAAAUAUAGUAAGUGAGAAAGAUUAUUCUGUUUUUUUUUUGUUAAUUAGGUUAGUAAUUAUGAUUGAGUGACUCAGAACUAUAUUCUAGAUUGGGAAUCAAUGGUUCUCCCACACUGAGAGGCUGUAAGUUUAAGAUUGUCGUUUGCUAUUUCAUCGACAAGAGAGCACUCGAUUUUAUUAAAAGGAGAAAGUCGUAAGAUUUCCUUUAUUAGAAAAUGUAUCUGAUCAUUCCUUUUUACUUGAAAAUUUCAUAUAUAAAAACAUAUUAAUAAAUGACAUACUAUACAUAAAUUAUUAAUUCACUUGAUAGUUGAUUAUCGAAGGACAUGUGACCCAUGGGAGCAUGCAGUCAAUAAAAUAAUUCUUUUUUUUUAACAAAAAAUCGGUGAUGUUGAAAAGCAUUACUUUAUACUAUUAUUACUCUAAUUGGGUGAACAUUUCAAAAAAAGCAUUACUUUUUUUUUAUUUCCAAUCUUUACCAAAAGAAAAAUAUUUAUUGAUCCCUUUUAUCAACUUGCUUUUAUUGACUUUCUUCCUAAUAGAAGUGAAAAGAGAAACCAAUAAGUGUUACCAGAUUAAAUUCAUAAGCUUCGAAGAAGUAAAUUAGUCAAAUUAACCAAAACAUCCAUUAAGCUGGUCAGAGGAUCAGACCGCUCUCUAUCCACCCUUAUCACGGCCUGGUCCAAACUCAUUUUUCUUUGAAAAUAGACAAAUAAUAAAGCCACUACAAGUUAAGCAGAUCAAAUAAACAGAGGAAAUAGCUGAUCAAUUCUUUGUGCAAUGGCCACGGCAACAACAAAAAUAUGCCUACAUGACUACAUUAAUCCGACUGGCGUGGUACCAUCGCCAUGCAGCAUUACAGCAACAUUUGAUCAUCUAUCAAUUUUCAUGAUAUGAGAUUAGAAACAUUGAGUUUAUAAUUUUAUGUAAUUUCAUAGAAAAGAUAUAAUUGAUUUGAGUUAGUUUACCAUUUAAGGAAGGAGUAAUGGGGAAUGAUAUCGCUGUGGCAUGUGAUGAGUAAAGAUAGACAGCAAAUAUUGAUCAUGUAAUAGUGAAAUAUGUAUUUACUGAAAAAUAUUUGGCAAUAAAAUGACGCUAUAAGAAUUUAAUAUUAGUUGCAAGAAAAUAAAUUGACAAUUAAAUUAAUAGAUAUAUAUGCAAUGGUCCGAGUUUAUCUUAUCAGUUCGCUAACCAUUUUGUAACUACAUAUUAAUUAGAAGUUCAAUUAAUUUUGACCAAAGACUCCAGAGGAUGUCGAGAAGAGAUUUGAUUUUGGUAUUAAUAAAAAUAGAAAUAAAAUAAGUCAAAAACAAUUACAAGAACAACAAUAAAAGCAUAUUUUAUAAAAGCCACAAAUACGUAAUAUAAAUUUGAUUUUGAAUUACGUAAUUACUAAUUUAUAUAGUAAGAGGGUCUUAUAGAAAAAUAGGAAUUUUUUAAAAGAGAUUUGCUUAAGGAAAAAGUUUAGUUUGGUCUAGUUUGUGAAGGCUCGAGUAAUUGAAAGCAAUGCAAGUGAAAGAAACACAAACUUCUAAUUUUUACAAAGUAAUCGCUAAAAUAUUUGACGAGUUUGAGAUUUUAAAAAGGCUGAGAAAAUAGACCAAUAAUAAAGACCUACAAGUUAGCAGAACAAAUAAACUGAGGAAAACAUGGUAGAUAUUUACCAUUAUACAUUUUUUAUUUUAUUUUUUCCAAAAACGAAUGUUGCGAAUUUUUUAUGAUAAGAGAACAGAACUCAUGGUUCAGCAAUAAUCAUCAGCUCACUGGCCGUUAGUUCAGAAUGACAAUUCUUAUUAGUCAAAGAAUCAAAAUGAUUUUUAGUUGUUUAUAAGUAGAGCACUAGAUCAACAAAUAAUUGAAGACUUGCUUUUGCUAUUGAACCAUGCGAUGGCAAUUCGAAGACUACAGCUUAACUCUGCCAUUCGAAGUAAGCAACUCAGCUGCCCAAAGACUGCCAAGCCACCAAGACAAUGCCAAGAUACAACAUCAAGAAUUACAUACAGGCCGUCACAUAUUACAUCUCUCCUCUGUUUUAAGAGAGAUUUACGAACUCACGCAGUAGGAGUAAUUAAUUAAUUUAUACAGUUCAGUACUCAUUUCUCCACUAUUUCAAAUCCAAACCAUUUAUUAUGACGCAAGGUACAUGGGUUAGCAGGUGCCGAUAUUGUCCUCCAUCCUUUUGUAUACGUUUCUUCUAUCGGAACAAUUUACAAUUAAAUAAAUCAUUCAAAAUCUCCUUUAGUCGAACCCCCAUUUAUAUGGUUUAAUAAAAUAUCACAAAGUUGCCUAAUACAGAGAAAUUAACAAAUUCAGCCCAUGAGAGUGCCAUUUUAAUGCAAGAAAUUGAAAGUUAAUUAACACUGGAUUAUGUUGGAUUGUUACUUGUUAAUUACGAUGGGAAUAUAAUCUUGGUCUUUUAAUUAUCAUCUAGCUAACCCAUGCGCAAAAGCUUCAUUUGUGUCUGUCGCUAAAGAGUAAAGUUGCUUGAUUGAACGGUAUCAUAUGACAGAAACUCAAACUCUAUCAUUGUCCGAGUAUACCAUGCCACAUGUGUAGCUCAAAGGUACAAUAACAUUGAACAUUCAGCUAGCUAGCUCAUACUAAUUAAUUUAUAGGAUUGUUAGUUCUUUAUGAUUAACUUAAAGUGAAAAAAUUUGAAUAUCACGAAAACAAUAACAAUUCACUCCCAUAAACAACAAAAUAAAUGCAUAAUCUAUAUUGCAAGUCUUUUUAGGAUUUUAAUUAAAAGAGAAAGUACGAAGGACAUAUUAUAUAUAAUUGAAUGUUCUCCUUGAUAAUUAGACAAAAUAACAUCAAUCUGGCUAACUAAUCCGAUUGUUAAAGUGCAAUUUAUGCACUAGUUUUGCAUUGUUUACUUCUCUUAAUAUCGAUGUUUUGCACUUAAUAAUAAUGAUUUACUUGUGUUUUACUUUUGUAGGUGCAAUUCUAUUGAUUAGUGAUAAAAUUGAGCUACAAGAUGAUGUUUAAGGAUGAUUGUUCUCUUGGAGAAAUUAUGAGCGGCAGAAGAACUUUGUUGAUAAGGCGUGGGCGCGUGCUGUCAACUACGGACCUGCAGUUUUUAGUUUAACGUGUUUUAUAUUUUUGGUUAUUUUUGUAAUUACGAAUUUAAUAUUUCAGAUAUUAGUAUUUUAUUUUAAAUAGAACUCUAAAAGAGAAGAGAGAGAGAGUAUUUAAGGGAGGAAUCUAUUGUGAAAAGGGGGAUUUUGAAUUGGAAAAAGAAAGAAACCCUAAAUCUAAUUUUUCUCUUCUCUCUAUGAAGAACUAAACCUAUUUUUCUGGUUGAAGGAGAAUGAAGCUUUGAUUCAUCAUUACUGUGAGAUCUUUCUUAUGCUUUAAUUGUUUUAUUACUUUUUGGGUAUUUGUUUAUUCUCUGAAUUAGUUUCAUGAUUAUGUUUGUUAAUUAGGUAAUUGUCCACUAUUUAAUUAUCAACUUAAUCUAUUGUCAAUUAAAGGAUUCAUCGUAUGAAGAAUUUAAUGUUUGUGACAAAUAACAUAGCAGAGAGUUGUGUUGUGAGAAUAAACAAUCUAAUUUAAAUGAAUCAUCAUAUGUGUUGAUUAGGAUUUGGGUCUCUCUAGUUUUUCAGGCUGUCAAUUGAUUAAAUCCUAUGAUCGUAUCUAGGGUUGUCUAUUGAUUAGGGAAAUAUCCAACGGUCGUACCUUGAUUAUCAACUAGUUAAGGAGAGAUUGGCUAUUAGAGGGUCUCAAUAGCUAUAACCGGUCUAUUCAUAAGUAAUAAUAAUCUAUAUUUGAAUCAAUGAUCAGUAGUCGAACCAAGCUGAGUUAAUUCCUUCAACCAGAGCUUUCUCCAAUUUGAAUUACAACUUUAAUUUGCAUUCUUAUUAUUUUAAUUUGAUUUUUAUUAUUGUCAACAAUUCCCCCAUUUUACGUUUUACGUUUCAAAAGGAUUUAAAUAAUUACCGAUCUCUGUGGACACGACCCUGCUCAAUCACUAUACACAAUUUAUUUAGAGUAGGAAUUUAUUUUUGUUGGCUUCGACAACCAUCAAAUUUUGGCGCCGUUGCCGGGGAUUGGUGUCAUUUAUUUAAUCCUUUUUACGUUUUACUUGGUGUAUGGUUCGUUCUUCUCGUACAGGUACACUUUCGUUUGAUCCUGAAAUUGAGAAGACAGCUCGCCAGUUGAGACAGCAGACGAAGCGAGCUAAGCAACGAUCCUCGUCGCCUUUGCUUUCUGAAACAGAUACAGUGCCUGAUUUAGUUGAAUCAUCUAGCGAUUCAGAAGAACAAGUGAUGGAUAGACCUGCACCUGUAGAAAGAACUCUUAGAGAGUUAGCUGAACCAGACUUGAAUCAACAACCACUCUGCAUUCAAUAUGUAGACUUGGAGGUAAAUUUUGAAUUAAAGUCUGGUCUUAUUCAUUUAUUACCCAAGUUUCAUGGUUUUGCAGGUGAAGAUCCUCAUAAACAUCUCAAGGAAUUUCAUGUUGUAUGCUCAAGUAUGAGGCCACAAGGCGUGACUGAAGAGCAGAUUAAGCUGCGUGCUUUUCCGUUCUCUGUAGAUGGGCUAGCUAAAGAUUGGUUGUACUACUUGCCUCCUGGAUCGAUUACAACGUGGAAUGGUUUGAAGAAGCAGUUCCUUGAGAAGUACUUUCCUACUUCAAGAGCUGCCAACAUCAGAAAAGAUAUUUGUGGGAUCAGACAACUUCCUGGGGAGACUUUGUAUGAGUAAUGGGAGCGAUUCAAACAAUUGUGUGCCAGCUGUCCUCAGCAUCAGAUUUCUGAUCAACUUCUUAUUCAAUAUUUUUACGAAGGACUAUCAUUAAUGGAUAGGAGUAUGAUAGAUGCUGCUAGUGGAGGCGUGUUAGUGAACAAGACCCCUACUCAAGCAAGGGAGUUGAUAUCAAAUAUGGCUGCCAACGCACAACAAUUUGGCAGUAGGCAAGAUCUCACUUCAAGGAAGGUGAAUGAGGUAAAUAUUUCUUCUGUUGAACAACAUUUAGAUAAACUUACUUCUCUUGUGGAAAAGUUUGUUGUAGGUAAUGUGCAACAUGUGAAGACUUGUGGCAUUUAUUCCAAUAUGGGUCAUUCAACUGAUAUGUGUCCUACACUUCAAGAAGAACCCGUUGAACAAGCCAAUGUAGUUGGAGAAUUUCCAGGCAUGCCUCAGAGGAGGUAUGAUCCUUAUGCACAAACAUACAAUCCGGGAUGGAAGGAUCAUCAUAACUUCAGCUAUGGAGUUAGGCAAUCAGGAUUCUCACAACAAUAUCCACCAAGACAACCAGCACCUCCACAGUCAAACUCCAAGUCAGGUAUAUCUCUUGAAGAAAUUGUUAAAUCACUUGCGACUAACACUCAACAAUUUCAACAGGCAACUACAGCAAGCAUUCAGAACUUGGAGAACCAAAUGAGUCAAUUGGCGACUACAGUGAGCCGUCUGGAGUCUCAAGUAUUAGGGAGAUUGCCUUCACAAUCUGAGGUGAAUCCAAAGCAAAACGUUAGUGCUGUCAUCCUUAGAAAUGGGAAAGAGUUGCAAGAGUCUAGUAAGAAAGUGACAAAGCAUGUAGAAGAUGAGCUUGAGAAGAAUGAAUUGAUGCCUCAAUCUCAAGAUGCGCAACCUACCAAAGCGAAACCCCGACCUAUUGUGAUACCUCCUCCUUUUCCAAGCCGGUUUGCAAAAUCCAAGAAGGAGGAACAAGAGAAAGACAUCCUUGAGACAUUUCGCAAGGUUGAGGUAAAUAUUCCUUUAUUAGAUGCUAUAAAACAAAUACCUCGAUAUGCUAAAGUCCUUAUGGAACUGUGCACCUCUAAGAGAAAAUUAAGAGGAGAUGAAAAAGUUCACAUGGGGGAGAAUGUUUCAGCAGUUUUCCAAAAGAAACUACCUCCUAAGUGCAAGGAUCCAGGUAUGUUUACUAUCCCUUGUAAAAUUGGUAGUGUUAGAAUUGAAAAGGCUUUGUUAGAUCUAGGAGCUUCUAUUAAUGUCAUGCCUCAUUCCAUUUAUUCAUCUUUGAAUAUUGGUCCAUUAAAAGAAACUGGUGUGAUAAUUCAACUAGCUGAUAGGUCUAAUGCAUAUCCUGAUGGGGUAUUAGAAGAUGUUUUAGUACAAGUUAAUAAGUUGGUUUUUCCUGCUGAUUUUUAUGUACUUGAUAUGGAAGAUGAUAACUCCUCUAAUUCUGUCCCAAUUUUGCUAGGAAGACCUUUUCUUAAGACUGCUAGGACUAAAAUGGAUAUACAUAAAGGGACUCUCACUAUGGAGUUUGAUGGAGAGGUUAUAGAAUUCAAUAUGAAUGAUGCCAUGAAAUAUCCUAGUGAAGAACAUUCAGUAUUUUCUGUGGAUGUUAUUAACCCUAUAGUGCAGGAAGUUUUUUACAAGGAAAAAACGAAGACAUUUCAUGAUAGAAUGAUUUUGAGAAAGGAGUUCUCUAUUGGUCAAAAAGUUCUUCUUUUUCAUUCUAAGCUUAAACUUUUUCCGGGUAAAUUACGUUCUUGCUGGGUUGGACCUUUUAUUGUUACUAAUGGUUUUCCUCAUGGUGCAGUUGAGAUUCGGAGUCCGACCUCUAACAAAGUUUUUAAGGUUAACGGUCAUCGCUUAAAACCUUUUUAUGAAGGUUUUUCGGUGAAUAUUGUGGAGGAUGUGGCUCUCGAGAGUCCUAAUUAUGGAGAUUGAUGCAUAAAUGUGUCUAACCAAAGACAUAAAACAAAGGCGCUUUUUGGGAGGCAACCCAAAUGAUUUAUUUAUUUUGGUUUUUGUUAUAUCUUCUUUUAAUUUUGAUUCAGAUUUUUUUUUAAAAAAAUAAUGUGUUAGCUUAUUUUGGUCAGAAGAAAAUUUUCGAUAAGGCGUGCCCACGUCUUAACUAAUAAGUACUUCUGUAAUUUUUAAAGUAAAAUAGUUUUAAGGCAUGCCCACGUGCUUAUUGGAAAAGUACUUCUGAAAUUUUUAGUGUCUCAAAGUGAUUCAUCACUAAAAAAUAAAAAAAAUAAAAAAAAUUAAAAAAAAAAAUUAAUUUUAUUUAUUUUAUUUUUUUUAUUUCUUUUGUUCUUUCUUUUAUAUAUAUUUUUUAUUUAUUUAAAAAAAUCAUUGUUCAAAAAAAAAAAAAUUUUACUGUUCACAAAAUCCUUAAUUUUCCAGAACUUGCUUUCUUCUCCAGCCGCUCGCAGCACCAACAGCCCACAAACCAGCCGCAGCGCGCAACAUCAGUCCCAGCAGCAAGCUCCAGCAUCCCCAGCCCGCGCGCGCAACGCGAAUCAGCCCUAGCCGCCGCACGCAGCAUCGCGCACCGCAACCAGCAGCAGCGCGAAUCAACCUCAGCGCAGCGCAUCAGUCCCGCGCGCGCAGUGCAACAGAUCCGCAAAGCAGACCCGCAACGCAAAUCGGCUCUCGCGCGCAGUACAGCAGUGCGUAGAUCCAGCACCGCAACCAGCAGCACGAACCAGCUCCAGCCAAGCAGCAACGCAACGCAACCAGCCUACGCCCUGUAUUCCAGCCGGGUAAAUCGAAAUCCGUGAGUGCAAUUAUUGUAACAAUGCCAAAGAGGAAAGCAUCUACUUCCAAGUUAUCGAAAAAGACACCCGUCGCAAAGAAAUCUAAGAUUGCCGCUCCCACUACGGUUCCAUGGAACACAAUUUCAGAUUCACGCCAAGCCGUGAGACAAAGAUCGAAGCAUGGAAAAGGCAUGAGUGUUUUGCCACUUGCGGAAUCCAAUCUCGGAGGGUGCCUCGCAUUCGCGACUCAACAAGAGAAAGAGGUGUGGUCGAAUUCAAGGAGGGGAGAUUUCAGUUUACUGAACCAGGACCCACUCAACUUCCGAAGAAGAUUUAUGCUAGGAGUGGUGCUGCCUCUGAUGACGAGUUUGACGACGACACUAUUGCCCUGCCAACUAUUCCUUCUACAUCCGCACCACUUUUGAGCAUUCAGUUAGAGAAAAUGGAGCACAAGCUGAACAAGAUGGAGCAGAAUUUGGCCGCAUACUUCGAGAGUGUGAGAUUUACCCCACCAUUUCCGCCAAGCCCAUAGACGUUAUGUGGAUCAAAGCUCACAAUUCAGGGAAGUUUCUUUUUGCCUUUAAUCUUUUAUCCUUACGCUUUAAUUUUUAUGUGAGCUUUGAUUAUCUUACAUUGGGGACAAUGUAAGUUCUUGGUGUGGGGGAGGGAUUUUUACAUUAUUGAUGCCUGGAAUUAUUAUUUUCACUCUACUCAUCCUUAAAUGAUUUUGGAGUUAGUAUGCUUUAUAUAUUAUUUUUUCUUUUCUUUUCUUUCUCACUACUUUUUUUCCCAUCUAUCUCAAAUUAUUUACAUCUAUUUUUAUUCCAUCAUACUCUUUCAUCACUCACAUUUUAUCUUUCACUUUUCAUCUUUCUCACUUCUUAUCAUUUUUACCUUUUCUUUUAUAUCUCACUCAUACCUUCUUCUCAUUCUACACCACUAUUGAUGGUUGAUUCAUUUGAAGAGUGUACAUGAUUUGAUGGCAAAUUUACCAACUUUGUGAGGAUUUGAGCCUAUGAGCAACCACUUUGCUCUAAUAUUUUUGUUAUGUGAAUAUCAAUCUUAGUUUGUUUAUUCUAGAACUUGCUUUGUUAUGCAUGUUGAAGCCGCAUUACGGGAUUUUAUGCAUUAAAAUGAUAAGGGCAAACCAUUUACCAUUUUUCCAUUCUCGCAUUUUCCUUUUUCUCUACCCGAAGACCUUUAUUUGCUACCUUUGUUUGAGCCUUAACCAUUACCCAUCUAAUUCUCUCCGUCUACUUAACCAUUUUUCUUCUUUUGAGCCUCGAUUUAAGGAGAUUUUUGGACUCAUUGUGUGGAUAUAUUUUGUUGCUUUUUCUACCUUGUAUUAAAGUUUCUCAAUUAGAUCAACAAGCAUUAUGCUUGAAUUAAAUUGUGCAAGGUUCGUUUCUUUUGUUUGAUUCAGAAAAAAAAAAGAAAAAAAAAGAAAAGAAAAGGAAAAAGAAAAAAAAGAAAAAGAAUAAUCGAAAAAAAAGAGGAAGAAAAAAAAAUGUUUACAUUCUUGGUGACUUGAGUAGAAAUAAGCAUUUUGAUAUCAUAAGUUCAUUCUUCUCAUUUUGAUCUCUUUUUCUUUCGUAAACCUUUCUUUUUCAUUUCACCCAUUUAACCCCAUUACAACCCUUUUAAGACCCUUAGAUUUUUGCAUUUUAUUCAUGUUUUGUGGAUUGAGAUGUGAUAUAUGAGCAAGCUUAUGGUAAUAGCAUUCUUUGAUUUGAUUUGAGUGGAUAAAUGACACCCUAAACACUUUGAGUGCAUGGAGUGAAGUUAUUGAGAGGGCUAUUAAAUCUUGUUGCACUUGAAUUUUGAAUGGAUCUUCUUGGUGGUUGAAUGUUCUUAUUCUAUCUUAUGAAAUUCUAUGCUUUAAAAUCCUUAUCUCUCGAAUGUUGAACGACUUAAUUUCUUGAGGUAUGCUUGCUUAAAAUUGUUUUUGGAUGAGUUGAGAUGAGAAUUUAGUGGAGAUUUGAGAUUAGUCUUGAGUUAUAUGCUUGAGGACAAGCAUCAUCUUGGUGUGGGGGAAUUUGUUAAAGUGCAAUUUAUGCACUAGUUUUGCAUUGUUUACUUCUCUUAAUAUCGAUGUUUUGCACUUAAUAAUAAUGAUUUACUUGUGUUUUACUUUUGUAGGUGCAAUUCUAUUGAUUAGUGAUAAAAUUGAGCUACAAGAUGAUGUUUAAGGAUGAUUGUUCUCUUGGAGAAAUUAUGAGCGGCAGAAGAACUUUGUUGAUAAGGCGUGGGCGCGUGCUGUCAACUGCGGACCUGCAGUUUUUAGUUUAACGUGUUUUAUAUUUUUGGUUAUUUUUGUAAUUACGAAUUUAAUAUUUCAGAUAUUAGUAUUUUAUUUUAAAUAGAACUCUAAAAGAGAAGAGAGAGAGAGUAUUUAAGGGAGGAAUCUAUUGUGAAAAGGGGGAUUUUGAAUUGGAAAAAGAAAGAAACCCUAAAUCUAAUUUUUCUCUUCUCUCUAUGAAGAACUAAACCUAUUUUUCUGGUUGAAGGAGAAUGAAGCUUUGAUUCAUCACUACUGUGAGAUCUUUCUUAUGCUUUAAUUGUUUUAUUACUUUUUGGGUAUUUGUUUAUUCUCUGAAUUAGUUUCAUGAUUAUGUUUGUUAAUUAGGUAAUUGUCCACUAUUUAAUUAUCAACUUAAUCUAUUGUCAAUUAAAGGAUUCAUCGUAUGAAGAAUUUAAUGUUUGUGACAAAUAACAUAGCAGAGAGUUGUGUUGUGAGAAUAAACAAUCUAAUUUAAAUGAAUCAUCAUAUGUGUUGAUUAGGAUUUGGGUCUCUCUAGUUUUUCAGGCUGUCAAUUGAUUAAAUCCUAUGAUCGUAUCUAGGGUUGUCUAUUGAUUAGGGAAAUAUCCAACGGUCGUACCUUGAUUAUCAACUAGUUAAGGAGAGAUUGGCUAUUAGAGGGUCUCAAUAGCUAUAACCGGUCUAUUCAUAAGUAAUAAUAAUCUAUAUUUGAAUCAAUGAUCAGUAGUCGAAUCAAGCUGAGUUAAUUCCUUCAACCAGAGCUUUCUCCAAUUUGAAUUACAACUUUAAUUUGCAUUCUUAUUAUUUUAAUUUGAUUUUUAUUAUUGUCAACAAUUCCCCCAUUUUACGUUUUACGUUUCAAAAAGAUUUAAAUAAUUACCGAUCUCUGUGGACACGACCCGGUUUACGUUUGUUUAAUCUAAUGGCUAUAACAUGUGUACCGUCAAAAGCUACAGUAUCCAUCUUUGUUUGUCCUCGUGGCAUCCUUGAUCUUAUAUUAUCCCGGUGGUUCUUGAAAGUUCUUCUCAUUCCCAUGUGCUGAGUUGCUUGCUGAGAUGAUGAAUACUUGAUGGUCCUUCCUUGAGACAUCUGAUGAGAAACGAUGUAAUCAAUAUAGUUCUAUUUUGAAAAAUCAAUAUAAAUCAAUCCCCUUAGAUUCUCUCUGUCUCAUAGCACAAUGGGUGAUGAUUUGAUGAGAAAUAUUAAUAUGAAUGCGUCAGAUAGAAGCUUGGUUGCAAUCAGAUAUUAAGUAUAUUUGUCAGAAUGGAUGCAACAAAAAUUCUAUCUGAUCUGUAGUUCAUGAAAAGCGGCCGAAUGCUUCCGGCAAUUCAAGCAAAUAGAAGCUUGGUUGAUUGAUUGCUCUUCAUGUGAAAUUCUACCUAAUGGCUAUACUUUUAAUGGUUUAAAUUCUUCUUUUUUUCUUUGAAUUGUUGAUUUAUACUGUCUUGUAUGCAAAUUAAAUUCGAAAUUUCGGAUGAUGAUAAUCUUGAUUUAGAACAGAUUAGGUAACAUGUGGCAUUCUACAAUCUUGCAAUGCCAUUUCUUGUUAUGGCAGCAGCAUUUUUUUCUCAAUUGUUUGUGUGGACUAAUUUUCUGAAUUCAAAACUUGGCGUAUUAAAACGUCAUCGUUUUGUCCAUUAAGAUUUUUCAACUGUUCAUGAAGGUGUUUUUGCUAAGGACAGCCUAAGUUUUAAGUUCUGCACGUGACAAGCACGUGAGAGAAGAAUCAAGUUAGUUAUAAGUUGUUAUACACGUGGCUGGAUCUGGUGCAAUCUGGUGUUAUGAACAGCCGUUAUAUAAGCUGAGCUUUCAGGCAGUUUCAGCAAGAUGUAAAGAGCUUUCUAGAGAGAAUGAAGAGAGAGAGAAAGUAUCAUCUUAUUCCUUGUUAGUUGCUCCGUGUGAUCUCUGUAAAAUUACUUUGAAUCAUAAAUAAAACUCAUUUUGGUCGAUUCUCCCUUGGAUGUAAGUUGUGUCUCAUUGCACAGCUUAACCACGUAAACAGUGCUGGUUUCUGUGUGUGAUUUUUUGUUAAUCUUGCUUAUUUCUUGUAUCCUAAUGGCUGAAAUCUUGCUUUAAUUUCCCAAGUCAUCUAUUGAGUUCAUCGAGGUCAUUCAAUUGUUCAUAUGUAGCUAGUUUGAUCUUGAACAAGGUCUUGGGCUGUGUUUUGAUAGCUUGAUUAGCGGCUAUCUUGACAGUACAAUUGGUAUCAGUGCUAGGUCUUCAGAUCAAGAUCCAAGUAUGGCUACAUCAAAGAUUGAUCUUGAGCUUGUAGACUCAGUGAUAAGGGAAGUGGCAAAAGAAUCCACGGUUGCUGACUUAUGGGCUAAGUUGGAGAGUGUGUACAUGAGAAAAUCCCUUGCUAACAGAUUGUACUUAAAGAAGAGGAUGUUUGCCUUAAAGAUGAUUGAAGGCUCAUGUCUUGAUGAUCAUAUUGAUGGGUUCAACAAAGUGUGUGACACUUUGAAAAGCAUUGAUGCAGAAUUAAAUGAUGAAGAUAAAGCCUUGCUAUUAAUGAGCUCCCUUCCCAAAGUCCUAUGAGCAUUUUUUUGAUGCCUUGAUGUGUGCAUAUAUGCAUAUCAUAAAUUUUAUUUUAUGAUCGCGGCUAAUCCGACGACUUUCGAGUACAUUCAUUCAAAUAUUAAACGUACCAGGUCUACAGAUUUACGUUUUGCCAUUUGUGGCAGGAUAGCAAAAAUUGCAAAUGGUCAUUCCCAGCACGAACACCUAUGGCUCUUUUCCUUUAAUUUUCUUCUUUGAAUUUUCCUUUGAUUAAUCAUUAGAAAAACUGCUUUCUUUUUUUUUUCUUUUUUAAACACGUGCCGUUAACAUUUACAUGGUUAAUCUCAUCGAAAUCAAAUGGCUGUUAUUCCCAUUGCAACCAUAUAUUGUUAUAAAUUGCAUUGUUUCCUAUAACAAAUAUAAUAAAAUCUCAAUAAAUUAAUAGUUCUGGGACCAAUGAAAAAUUAGUUAAAAUUUAACGAAUAUCAAUUAGUCGAUAAGUUAAUAAAUUAUUAAUUUAUGAAAAUAUUCAUUAUUUUGGAAAAAAAAAUGAUUACGUUUAUAGUAUUGAUUUACCUUGAGUUAGAAUCUAUUUUUUUUAUUUGAAUAGUAAUUUUCUUUUAAGAAGAUUUUUUAAUAGUUAACUACUUUAUAAUAAGACUAUUGUAUGAUUUAUAUUUUUCCUUGUUAGAGAUGAUAGUUCUGCUAUGCAAGCUGUUUCGAUCAAAGGAUUAGAUGAUAUUGACAUUGAAUAAUUUUUUGUUGCAAAAUGACAACACCAAUUAGAAUUUCUUUUCGCAUUACAAAAGUAAAAAAUGAGAUCCAAUUCUAAAUUAAUUUAAAAAGAAAGCCAUAUAGACAUAUCAUAUGGAUUUUGUUUUAUACUAGGUAAUCUAUGUGGUAAUAUAUUUCCUUCAAAAUGUACUAUUUGAUUUUGAAAUUAUUUUUAAAAAAUUUAAUAUCACAAUAAUAGUCAUGAUUCCAUCAGUUUGAGGUUUUUUUCUUUUUUUUGUUUAAGAAAAAAGAUGGGAAAAUAGUCAAAUGAUGAAAACACAUGCUAAGCGGAGCCAAUAAACAGGGGAAAGUGAACUACUGUCCUUGAACACGUUCUCUAAUAAUCUCAAUAUUCUACGUACAUUUUUGUAAAUUCAUGUCGCAUACAAAAGCCUUAUGGGUUUUGUUGCAUCAAUUCUUUGGGGAUUUAUCUUGUUUUAUUAUUUUGCGACGCAAGAGUCCUCGAAGCAAUACAUUUGGAAUAAAACGAUUUAAUUUAUUUUUCGUUGUUAUUAACAAAAACUAUAUAUUAUUAAUUAAUCAACUCAUCGAGAUAUUGGUUUCAUUUGUAACAAGUAGCUAAUUGCUUAGUACAUUGUUGUACUUACUCAUUAUCAUAUCAAGAAGAAUUUGUAAAUAAGAACAUAGACGUGGUACGCUGUGAUGUGAUAAAUUUAAUUCAAAUCUAAAUUAAGAGAUGAUUCAUAUAUAUAUAGGUACAUACUGAAAAAAGAUAUUCAAACAUAAGCACUCCAUUUUAUGAUAUACCUAACGAUAAUCGGUUUAUUGUCCAUAGGAAAUGAAGUGAAUAGAAACAGAUGUAGAAAGACAAAAAGAUGAAAAAGCGCACAUGACUAUUUAUAAAAUAAUAAAUUAAAUUUAUAUCGUUUUUAAUAAGUGUGAGAUUAUUUACAUUUUUAAAUUUAUUUUGAAUGCUCUUAUUUUUUAUUACAAAACCUCAUAAUUCAAUUUACUAUUAAGAGCAAUUCAAUAUAAAUAAAUAGAACAAUAAUACCUUUGACACCCACCUAGAGCGCACACACCCAUGUAAAAUUAUUAAACCUUAAACCGAAGAACGUUCUUCCUCAACAUUAAAACUCGUGCAUUAUUUAAAAGUAUAUUUAACAAAUUUUCACAAAGAGACUCCAGCAAAAAUUUUCACAAAUUUUUACUCGGCUGUCAAGGAGAUUGCACUAAAUAAACAACAGCAGAAAAACAAAUAAAAAACUUGAUACACGAGUAGAAUAUACUCAUUAAAUUUUAAUUUUCGGCACAAUUAUGAGCUGCAUAUUUAUACACACACACAAAUAACUGUUCUGCAAAUAUGUACAAAUCAAUUUCAGCCAUCCAAAUUUUUUUCGAAUUUUAAUGAAUAUAAAUUUUAUAAGUUGGGCAACUAUGAAACAUAAAAUUAGCAAAAUGAUAUUAUUAACAAAUAAGGAGAGCAAAAGGUAAUUAUAUCUUGGUGUGCUAAAUAUUUUUAUGGGUGUAGUGAAAAAACUAAAGAUAAUGGAAGAAAUGUUAUUGAGGAGUAAGUGAAAAGUGAUUUCCUAAAAUCUAUUAACUAAUGCGCAAAAUAGAAGGGCAUUUUGAGAAAAUUUUAGAUUAAAAAUAGUCCCAUCCUUUUAAUAAUAUUCUUCAAUCAAUCUGUUUAUUUCAAAAUAAAAAUCCAUCUCAUUUUUACUUUCUAAUUAGUCAUAUUAAUGUGUUAAUAAUUACGAAGAACCAGUAUUAUUUGUAUGAUGUAGGAAGCCCUUUCGACACAAUAACCCAAAUUUCUAAGAGUAGCGGCUGGACUUGAUUGGGAACAACUUCGAUUCAGUUUAAAAGGUUAAUCUCAAAAUUUCGUGAUAUUGUGCCUAAAGAGCUUCCUGCAUCAGUAUAACAGUUUCUAAAUUAAUAUAAUUGUGUGUUCAUUUUUUAUGAUUUUCCUUUAAUUUGUUUUUUAGAAACUGUUGUUCUUCAAUAAUUAUUCUAACAAUGUUGCUUUAAAGUGAUGUUGAUACGGGAGUCGAUGAGUCUUUAUCUGAAACAAAAAUUUACAAAAAAAAAUAUUAAAUUAAAAAAAAAGUACAUCAAAUAUUGGGCUCCCCCAAGUUUUACAUUUGUCUUCCACAAUGAGACAAGCCCUUUUUUCAAGUGAAGACUUUUGAUGUACAAUUUGUAAAGGAAAUUUGCCCCAUAUAAUUUUCCUUGCUACAACUUGCAAGCUUAUGUAAAUCAUAUCAACUUAAAAGAUUCCAAGAUUUGGUAUUUUGGUGAUUUGAGUAUCCAAUGGUGAUGACACAUACGCAUGGAAGUCCCCUGAUUUGAGUUUGACUAAAAUAAUCUCAAUAAUUUAAAACAACACAUCAGGCCAAAGUCCUUAAGAGAUGAACUGGAUUUCAGUGCAUCACAUUCCGAAAUUGAUACUAACCUUAAUUGGGAAGGCAGAACAGCCUCUCUUUCCUACUGUUGCACAAAAUGGCAAGUCAAGCCAAUUCAAGGAACUUCCCUGUUUUUUACUGAAAAAUACAUAAUCUGAACAAUUUAUAAUCAAAUAAAUCAUUCAAAAUAUCCUUUAAUCGAACCCCCGUUUCCAUGGUUUAAUAAAAUAUCACAAAGGUGCCUAAUACAGUGGAAUUAACACUCAGCUCAUGGGAUUGCCAUUAUAUAUAUUGAAACAGAAAUUAAUACAAGAAACUGAAAAUUAGUUGACACUGGAUCACGUUGGAUCGUUAGUUGUUAAUUUUGAUGGAAAUAUAAUCUUGAUCUCUUACUUAUCAUCUAGCUAAUGCAUGUGCACUAGUUUUAAUUGUGUCUAUCACUGUAAAUAGUAGAGUUGCUUGAUUGAAUAGUAUCAUAUUACAUCACAGAAACUCGCUCAAUUUUCAUUGCCAUAUGUAUCUCAAAAGUGCAUGAACAUUGAACAUUCAGCUAACUUAUACCCAACAACAUCCAUCAGUCAGAGUGAAACCCCAAUUGAUUUCAUAAAUACAAAAUAAAUAACUCGCAAAGGCAAUCUUUGACAAUCACAAAAGCAACAACAAUUCACUCCAACAAACAACAUAACAAUUAUAUGGUCUAAAUUGCAGGUCUUUUUAUGAUUUUAAUUGAAAGAGAAAGCACGAGGGACAUAUUAUAUAUAAUUGAAUGUUAUGAUUGAUAAUUGGGCAAAAUAAUACUAAUCUAGCUAACUAGUCCAAUCAUCAUAAUAAUCUGAUUUUCAUUAUUUAAUUAUGUUCAAUCAUGUUAUUUUAAUAAAGAACACUGAACGCUUGAGUAUUUAUAUGUUCAACAACUUCGGCUAAAUUUGAAAAAAAAACGUAUUAAUUAUGAAUAUUAAUAAAUUACCCUACAAGCCACAUAUUGCAUACAUAUGCAGUUGCAACAAAUAUAUGUGUAAUAAAAAGAUCAUAUGUGCUUAGAAAAUGAAGCAUCAUUGAAUAAAUGAAAAAAAAAAGAAAGAAAAUUAAAAUCAGCGUCCAGCGAAAAGAAUCCAUCUUUACGUAUUGCCUCCAAUUUGGUACAUCUAUCGAACUUUAAAAAAAUUGCAGUAGAAAUUAGAGCUCAUUUUUUUAGAUAUGGCUCAUAUACAAUACAAGUGUCAAGAUGUAAUUAGAGUUUACAUAUAUACACGUGUCUAAUUCUAAUUGACAGACAAACUAAUCAUAAAUACUCAGGUGUUUCUAAAUGAUUGAAUAAUGAUAUUGUAGUGACUUCAUUGCUUUGUUCUCUGAUUAGAAAUAAAUCACUGUCCAAGAACCUUUGUCAAGAUCUGUUCAAGUUGCAAUUAAACCAACACCAAUCUGAGGCUUCAAUGCUGAUUCACACCUUAGCUCUAGGCUAAUGGAGAUUAAAACAGAAGAUUAAAUUGAACUAGAAGCAGCACACACUCACACAAAGAACAGGAUUUAACGUGGUUCGAUUGUGCAUAAAUGCACAAUCUACAUCCUUGGCAGAAGCCACAGAAAAAGCUUUAUUGAUGAUUCAAAAUGAAUUUUACAGAGCUAAUACAGAGGAGAUUACAAGGAACAAGAAGACUCUUUCUCUCUUUCUAAGAUCUCUGUGGAAAGCUCUCAAAAUCCUAUGCAAUUUUUUUCAACAACCAGCCUCUUUAUACCCCUGAUAUUUGAAACCCAGAUUGCACAGCUUUUGGACGCGUGUAUAACGGCUUCAUAACGAAUUUGAUUCCCUUCUCACAUGCGGUCUCACGUGCUUCACUUAAACUUGCUCAAAACGACUGAAAGUAGCGUCGUUUUUGCUUAGGUUUAGUGAAGAAGAUAGCAUGUGUGUUGCACGUGACUCGUAAAUGGAUUCGCUUACUCAAAACACAGCCGCUUCAGGGCUUCGAGUUUUGGAUUCAUUGCACUCUAGUCCACAGAUAUUAUUGGUAUUUAUAAAUUUCAAAGAGGUGAUAACAGAUGGUCUAUUAUAAACACUAAGAAGGGUCCCUAGCAUUGCCUGAACAACUUUACUUAUGGUUUCUCAUCAAAUAAUGUUACAAAAAAGAAAUAAAUAAGUUAGAAGAUUCACAGCAUAUUGGAGUGUAAUUUUUACUUGAGUGACAAUGAAUGAAGUUAUGUUAAUUUACAUUAAGUAGAAACCUUCCUAAAUAGGAAUAGAAAUACUCUAUUAAACAUAUCAAAUACUACCUUAAUAAAAAUUUAGUUGACAAAAAUUAAAAAAAAAAAAGCCUUGAAGGCUUGAAAUAAUUAACCCCAACUAAAUAAUUGUCUUACAUCACCGAUUUUUCCUUUUUUUUUUCAUUUUAAUAAGACAUCACCACACUCCUGACUUUAUAAAGUAAAGCAUAAAAUAUAAUGGAGACGUUUGAGUUUAAAAAAAUAAAGUUGGGAGAAUGACUUGUCAUGCUGUCUUUGAUCAUUGAGCACAUAAUUCUCUGAAAAAAAACUCAAUUGUAUUUGUGUUUGUUGUAGAUUCAUGUCAUUUACUAGUCCUUUGGGUUUUGUUGUAUCAAUUCUUUGGUAAAUGUUUAUCUCAUUUUCGUUUUUUUAUGAUGUGAGAUUCCUGGUUAUAUUAGGAAUCAGAGUGAAAUCUAAUCUUAAAAUUUGGAGAAAUAAAACGUAAUAUAAUUUUUAAAAUUUGGAGAAAUAAAAUGUAAUAUGAUUUUUUUACGAAUAAAACGAUUUAAUUUAUUUCUUUUCUACUAGUAAAAAUUAUUAAUUUAUUAACCCAUCAAGCUAUUGGUUUCAUUUGUAAGCUCGUCAGUCAGUUUUUUACUUUGAGUUGUUAUCUUUCAAAAGAUAUUAGAAAAAUCUUACUUUGAGUGUACUUUAUCACUUCACUGAUUAUAGGGUAUUUACAAGUUAGAAAAAUAAAUUAUUUCUGGCCAAAGACACUAGAAAUUAAAGUUCAUAUGACUUUGUAAUACUGUUUGGUAAGUGAGAAAAUUGCCGAGAAAAUACAGAGCAAAUAGAAUCUUUAAGAAGAUGUAAAUUUCUGUAUUUUAUUGAUCUAAAAAAUUAUACAAGCUCUUAUAUACAAUUGUAAGAUUCUACACACUCACAAUGGAAUAUCACGCUACUAGUAACUAACAACCUUUAUAACAAACUCAACUGAUUCAGGCUGACUCCAGAGAAUGUCGAAAGGCGUUUGGCUAAUUUUUGUAUACACACAUAACACAAAAUUAAAUUAUUUGGCAGCGUUGGCAGUGAGUCGUUUUUGGCCAUCCAUAAGUUCACAAAUGUGCAUGGACAUCUGUUGCCAACCCUUUUAUUAUUUUAUAUCUCCAAAACAUUAUUAGAGUCCCACAUUUAUCACACAUCAUUAAGUAGAAUGCGCUAAUUAGGAAGCCAGUUUCUUUGUUCUGUUUUCUUGCAUAUGUUGCAAUUUUCGAGUAUCACUGAAAAUUUUAGACCGUCAAAACCUGCAGGAAAAUUAUAUACAUAUUCUAUCAUUCAACCUCAACAAAUAAAUUCUUUUCACUGGAAUCCAACAAUCGUUAAGUGUUAACCUUGUAGUUCUCAAAAGCAGAAAUUGUUGUACUAAUUUUUUCAAAGUGUCUCUCUUAAAAGAACACUAAAGAUAGGAGAGAGUGAAAUUUUAACUGAGAUCUUGCCACAUAAGACGAUCGAUUUAAUCCGACAAAAUAUGCGUUAGGUUAAUAAGAGCCAAUACUGCCCUGAUCCUUUCUGCAUCUUUCUUCUAUCAGCGGACAAUCCUUGAUAUACAGUUGCAAGAGCGAGGUAGGCACGCUCUUGUCCAAAAAGUAUUUUGGCUUCGGACGAAUAUAAAGCCAAAGAUACACCAACGACGUGAGAUUUUGACCAAUUGAAGGCAGGCAUUCCAUGCUUUGGAAAUCAUAAAUCCACAAAAGGGUUCCUAACUCCUGUGGCGAAAUGACACCACGUCAUGAAGUCCUCCGAUUGACAGUCGUUGUAGAGAUGAGAAUCUGUUCAAUCCCCCUUCCCCCCACCCCAUCGAUGGCUUCCAAAUCUUCAUAUCAUGAAUAUAAAGUGACUGAAGGCCGCUGGGAAACAUACCAUCAUCUGCCUCAACUGGGAAGCAAUACCAUAUACGCUUGCCAGACCUCCUCUGUUUCAUUCUUGAAGACUGUGCAUGUCCUUGGGUAAGGCCUCUAGCUUAUCACACCACGUUAUCCGGAGCUUAGUCAGUUCCGCAGAAGGCAGUCCUCCUUCAGGAAAGGGUCAUUUCAAUAAAAGCACAGUACAAUUGCAUAACUAAUUUUUUGAAAACAGAGAUAUGAGAGAUUGACAAUUUACAAUUGCUUAACUGCUCAAGAAGAGAGCACGCUUGAAAUAUGAAAUACGAAAAAGAGAGUACAAAUGAAAAAUCUUAAGGAAUCAGCAGGAUUCAUAUCCGACCAACUCCACGCUGCUAAAGCAAAGGAUUAAUUUUUGAGAAAUUGUAAAGAAAUUAAUACAAGUGAAAUGAGAGCCUGUUCAUUUGAUUAUUGGCCAAGGGUGAUUUCAAUAACGUUUUCAAAGAAGAUAUAGAACAAAGAUCAAAACGAAAAAUAAGCAAUUUCAGUCGUUGAAAAAAAAAGAGCAAGCUUCACACAUGCAUGCAUGUGUCGGACCAACAGAACAUGGCUUGUGGUAAGGAUCAAUCAAAGAAAUAUAAAUUCACUGUUUUAUAAAGUAAGCAUCAAAUGUUUGACAAGUUUUAGAUUUGUAGAAUAUUGGGAAAACGGACAAAUAAUCAAUGAAGACACUGCAAGUUAAGCAGAUCAAUUAAGUUGCUGUGAGCUUAUAAGUUGCUGAUGUGUUGGGCUUAAAUGCAAGAUUCGAAGAGUUCUUGUGGCUGUGUGAAGACUGACUUCAGUUGGAGGGGUCUUAUUGUAAAUUUUAUGCUGAUGUGGCAGAGUUCGUUGAGAAUUCGUUAUGCCUUUUCCAGAAAUAUCAGAACAAAAGGCGCUGGUCUGGUGAUUAGCCCCUGAUCUGAGAUCAAUAUCUUCUUCAUUUCUUGUUCAUUUUGUUGGCAAUUUGGUUCUCUGUGAUCCUUGUAAUUUUCUCUUCGUAAUCAACCUGUAUCUCGAUUGUUAUGAUCAAUAAAAGAGCAGUUUUGUACUUGAAACAGUACUCUGUGUUCUAUUCUUGGAAUUGCUUUCGUGUUUGGUUGAUCUGGUUUGAUUCUUUCAAGUCCGAUUCAUCAAGUUCUUCACGAAUUAACUUGUGUAGCCAUUAAAGUUUCAACAGCAACAGAUUAAAUCUGUCCACAAGGCUACAUUAAUCCUAAUGGCGUGGUACCAUCUCCAUGCAACAUUACAUUAACAUUUCAUCAUCAAUCAAUUUUGAAGAUAUGAUAUUAAAAACAUUGACUUCAUAAUUUUAUGUAAUUUCAUGUAAAAGAUGUAAUUGAUUUUGAGUUAGUUUAACAUAUAAAGAAAGAGGAAUAAGGAAUGAUAUCAAUGUGGCGUGUGAUGAGUAAUGAUAGGUAGCAAAUAUUAAUCAUGUAAUAACGAAACAUGUAUUUACAAAAAAAAUAUUUGGCAAUAAAAUGAUGCUAUAAAAAUUUAAUAUUAGUUGCAAGAAAAUAAUUUGGUGAUUAAAAUUCACAGAUAUAUAUGCAAUGCUUUGAGUUUAUUUUAUCAAUUCGUUAAGCAUUUUGUAACUACAUAUUAAUUAGAUCGUCCAAAGCUGUGCAUUUUUAAAAAACAAAAAAGAAGCGCAGUCUGCUACUAAUACUGUAGCAUGUUAGCUAGUAUAUAAGCUCCUGUCUAAUUACCAAAUAAAUUCCACUUUAACGAAGAAUAAAAGCUAAUUUCAUUGUUACUGCCUGUUGUGCUUUUAUUUUAUUUUCUUUUUUCUUUUUGUUAUUGAAGUUACCUCACAAACUGCUCGGAUGCUAAUUACAAAAUUUCCUCUUACUCUAGGAUCUCUUGAAUGGUCCUGCAAUUUGUAUUCCUUUAUGUGGGAUUGGUUUUUUCUUUGAGCAAAAUUUCAAGGAUAAGAAACCUUACCCAUCGAAAACCAACUUUGAAAUUUAUUAUUAUUCAAACUUAGAAAACUGCAAAAACAAAGCGCCUUCAUAGCACCAGUUAAGCUGUGUCUUGCUACCAUGCUAGUUCUAUUUUUACUUUAUUAAAUGUAUACAAAAUUAAAUUACCUGAGCCUCUAGUUUCACUAGUUUCCAACUUGAAAUUAAAACGCUGAAUUAAUGGUAUUGGAGUUCGUUAUUUAAUUUUGCUUGAGUUCAUUGGGAAUCAGAUGGCCAUCCAUUUUUAUGUCUAUUUUAUGUACUAUUGGCCACUAAGUAGCUUGCCCAUAUAUGCGUAUUGGGAUGUCAUAGGCCUUAAAGCUGAAAAUUAAUCCCCAAUCUAAAGUGAAAAACAGUAGCUAGAACAGAUUCUAUGUUUUGAUGUCUUUGUUUAUAAGCUCAAACAAAUUAAUAGUGUAUAGAAAAUGCAUGAUAGAACCCAAAACUCAUAUUGAUUUUUAGUUUCGAAAUUCAUUUCAGAGAAUCUGUUCCGUUCAACAGAUUUAACUAAAUUAUCAACUAAACUCUAGCCAUGUACUUGCUUAUCUAUGGGUAGAGCACUAGGUCAACAAAGGAGUCCAUCUUUAAGGCCUUGUCUAAGACUGUGGUUGCCUUUUUCAUGAGCUUCUGGCUUUCCAGCUUGCUGAGCGACGUACACAUAAAGAGGUUAUCCUUCUCUUUUUUUCACUGUUUUCAUAUCACAGAAUCCAUUUUUGAAUAUAUGUAUUUAGGUACACACACACAUGAAUAUAUAUGCAUGUUUUUAUGAGGAUAUUCAAGUAUAUUAUUUGACAAUCACAAAAACAACGAUCCACUCCAAUAAAUCUCAUAACAAAUACAUGCUCUAUCUUUUUAGGACUAAUUCAAAGAGAAAAUACGAAGGACACAUAAUUGAAUUUUGUCCAUGAUAAAGAACUCUAAACAAAUUCAUAUACUUAUUGCAGUACCUGUUAAAAAUUCAUUUGUUUCUUCUUUUCCUUUGAUCAACAGCUAAAUACAGCCUUGAAAUUUCAUUUAGUUUUGGUUAAUUUUCUGCGGAGUUGUGUUGUGUGUAAUAGCUUUGUUUCACGAAAUCGGUAGGGGAAGAGAAUUUUAAAAACAUAUCAAUGUAAUGAUCAAAGAGACGAAAUCAAUACAAAUAUUGAUUGUCUCAAGUUAGAUUAUACAAAGAAGAAAGAAGCUAAUCUAGCAAUUCAAUCAUAAUAAUUUGAUUUCCAUUAUAUUAAUUAUGUGCAAUCAUGCUAUUUUAAGAAAGAACACUCGAGCAUUUAUAAAUAGUCAACUUAUGAAAUUAAUUACAGAACAAUCUUUCGCAGAGUUUGAUGAAAAGACUGUGUAUUGUGUUAUCUUGAGGUCUUAUAUCAAUUAAAGCCAGGCUGCGCUUUGGCUGACAGCGAGAUAUAUCCAAACAUAAGUGCUGCGAAUGAACUGGGAAGACGGUAGGAAGAUUAAGCUGCUGAGGAGAAGAUAUAUGCAAAAGAAAUAAAGCUAAUCUGUUUUUAUGUAACAAGCUAUGUACUCUGCUUUUAUGGUCUUUCUCUUUGCGGUUGUUAGACAAACUUGAACGUAAGUUUCUAUCUUAUGUGUGUCCUAAUCCUUUUAGAUAGCUUGAGAUUGUUGAUUUAUAUAUGACGUUUGGUAUCCAAAAUUCAGAUGAUGAUAAUCUUGGCAGUACUUUUAUAAAAUUUUCUUUUGUGUUGGUGUUGACUUAAUAAAAUAUUACAAAGGUGCCUAAUAUAGUGAAAUUAACAUUGAGCUCAUGAGAUUGCCGUUAGAUAUAUUGAAAAAGAAAUUAAUGCAAGAAACUGAAAAUUAAUUGAUACUGGAUCAGGUUGGAUAGUUAGUUGUUAAUUAUUGUUAAGUGUGAACCAGAAUUCAGUGUGCAGGGCAAACAACAAUGUCGACCAUCAGACUUGGCAGAAGACUACAUGUCCAAUAAAAGCUUAUCAGGGCUGUACGACAACCUUCCCAUGUCAAUCAGAAUUCGUUAAGUAAUGCACGUGUGUAACACGUGAUCUCCUAAUAACAUAUUAACUGAAACGGCAACUUACUACUGUCGUUUUGGGAUUUAUAUGUUACGCACACGCUCAGCACAUGGGGGAUUGGUUAACAGUUAAAAGAAGCGGGAAAAUUCUGGGGUUAACUACUUAACUGUAACAAACCCAGAAUGAUUUGCAGGCUUCUGAGAUAGGUUUCUAGGAGCUUCAAAGCUUGUAUAAAAAGGGUCCUGAUGACUGAAGUUGAGAGUGGUUUUUUCCUUGUAAUCUCUGAAAAGGCUUGAGCCUUGUUUCCUGCAUUAAUAAAUAAUCAUAGCCCUGUUUCUCAAAGAGGAUGUAGGCUGUAAUGGCUGAACCUCUAUAAAUCCUUUCUGUGUUUUUUCUUUCUCUGUUGUGUGUUUCUAUUCUUGUUUUAGAUUGUAUUGAUUCCUAAUAAAACUGUUAAUCAUUCUUCAUACUGAAUUUUAUUAAAUCUCUUCUUCUCUUUUGAAUAAAAUUUCUUUAAAAUUCAAUUCAUAAAAAAGAAAAUCUCCUUAUAAUUUAAUAUGUUUCAGUUGUCUCAGUGGAAUGAUGCUAUUUGUUUCAAUCAAAGUUUUGAAGCAUCCUAAAAUUUUGAGAUCCAAAUGAAAAUAAAUUAAUUUAAUUCGUGGUGUACUCUAAAUUUUCAGCUAUAAAAAAAUAGCGAAAUUGAAGUGCACUUGGGCAAGAAGAAACAGAGACUGCGAUUAUACAAUUUCAGUGUUUGACUCUAUCGGCAAAAAAAGAAAAUAAAAAAGAACUCCCAUUGUUCCAUUGUUUUUCCCAUAAAUAAUAAUAUACAGAGAAUUUUGUUUAACGAGAGAUAUAAUAGGUAUUUAGGUGAGUUUAUAGCGUAAAUUUUAAAAUUUUAAAAUUUAAUAAUGGAUUUAAUAAGUAAUUGGGUUCAAAUAGUAUUUUAGUGGUUUUAAAUAGCCCCACCCUUUUUAUUUUUAAAAAAGAUUUAAUUACAAAAAUAUUACUUCCAAUCGACAGCAUUUUAUAUUUUAUUUUAUUAAAUAUUAUUUUAUUUUUGAAUUACUAAUAAUGCACAAAACGGCAUCAUUUAUUGAUAUUUUUAAAUUGUUUAAGAUUUGUUUAAUUAGAAAAUUUCCAUUGUUGAUAUUUAAAUAAUUUUAAAAAAUAAAAUAAUAAAAUUGGUGUCGUUUAGUUUUGUUAAAUAUACUAAGGGCUCGUUUGGUAUGCCGGAUUGGAUUGGAUCAGAUUGGAUAAGAUAAAAUUGGAUUGGAUAAUAAUGGAUUAUAUAUAAUACUAUAUUGGGUUUGGUCCAAUUUUAGAUUGAACUAUAAAUAAUCAUCUCUUAUAUUAUAAUAUUAUAAUUUACAAGUUAUUAUUAUUAUUAUUAAUAAUAUAAACUAAAAUUUUGUAUUAUUAAUUAUACAAAUCAACCUCAAUGAUAUUAAUGAAAUAUAAAUCAUAAUUUAAAUAAUUUUUAUUUUUUUAAAUAUAUUUAUGAUAUUUUUAUUAUUUUUAUUCAAUAAUCUAUUAUUUUAUAAAAAUUUAUAUUUGUGAAUAUUAAUUUAAUAAUAAUUUAUAAUGUAAAUUUGAAAUUAUAAAAAUAUUUAAUAAAUAAAUAAAUAAAAAUAAAAUUUUCAUUCAAUGUGAAAUUAAUAAUGAUUUUUAGUAUAAUUUAUUAUUAAAAUUAUUAAAAUCACUAUUUUUUAUUACAUUUAUCACAUAUUACUAUAAUUUUAAUAUUUAUAAAUUAUUAUGUUUAAUUGAAUUAUUAAUAUAAUCUAAUACUAACUAAUCCCAUAGCCCCCUUGAAAUAAUUUCUUUUACAAAAUUGAAAUUAGCUUUGGGGCUCACGAUAAAUAAAUUCUAAUACUUUUGACAGAACUAAAUAUAGGAAUAGGAUAAAAUUUUAACAAAGAGUUUAAUCUCCACUUUUAAUCCUCCUCCAACCAAACAUGCCCUAAGCUAACGGAUCAUGGCAAAUUUGUAGUAAGUGAUGAACGAUUUGAUAAGCUCUACUCCAUCAGUUCCUUAAUUGAGAAAAUUCCCAAGCCCGUGCAGCCUCACAAUUGAUAGAGACCCGAAGCCACCAAACUCGACAAUCAUCACUCAACGUCGUUGCAGGCUACCGGUCGCUCAACAAGCACCAGUUCCUCACUCUACAGCCAUCACUCAAGCGCUGCCAUUUCCUGUUAAUUAUUCGCUCGAAUUAGGGUUCUGAUAUUUGGGGAUUUUUUUCUUAAUUGUGGAAUUAUGAAGUAAUGAUGAUGACGACGAAGAUGUGGUGGUUGACGACGGCAAAGGCAACGUUGAAUAUUGAGGCACUGGAGAAACAAGCAUUGGCUAUUAUCUUGGUCGAUUUGCCUCGAAUUGAUCACUAAAAAUGGGGAUAUCGUGGGCCGAGCUUCAACGCAGUCGCAAAUUUCAUUUGGAUAACUGAAUUUUAUUUUAUUUUUGUGUUUAAUUUGUUUAAAGUUUAAUUGUUUAGAUCUAGGCUAAAUUUUAAUGAUCAUUUUUAUGAUUAAAUGACAUGAGUAUGCUUAAGUUUUUUUCCUUCAAAUUGAUUUUCUGAUGUUACAUUUUGUUAGCAAAAAGUUAAAAAAUAGUAGAAACUGUCAGAAUUUUUGUUAUGAAGAUGUUGUUUUAGUUUGAUAUUGGGAAAAUAUCAUUAUACAUAUUGCCAUCAUAUUCAUGGGAGACCAAAAUGGGAAUGAUGGCAGGCUAUGCAUUGCUCACAACUAAUUUAAAACUCACUAUUUCUGUUUUUGGUGUUUUAGUAAUUCUGGGGGCAUUCCAACUAUAAUUAAUAAGCUAUAAACUUGUUUAGUAAUUACUAAUCAACUUGCUAGAAAGAGUCACAAACUAAUUAGCUUUCUCUUGUAAUUUUUACAGAUCAUCAGUGGAUAAGAACUACAAGGAGUUGAAGACUUAAAGAUAAGAACUACAAGGAGUUGAAGACUUUAAACCCUAAACUUCAUAUCUUGAUUUACAAGUGCAAUGGGGUUUCACCCCAAUUAUGGGCUAGAGAUGUACUCUUUCUGUUCUUGGUGCUUCCCAACCCCCCCCCCCCCCCCCCCGCCCCCCCAAAGUCAUUUUUUGUUCUCUACUCCAUUGUAAAUUUGUAUUCAAAAGUCUUUUUCUUUGUCUUUAGUUUUUAAAUUUAUGGAGAUGAUCUUAUGAGGUCUUAAAUAAAUAGUUGUAGAGCUUUACUAAAACUAUGUACAAUCUUAUUGAGAUUUGGGUGUGAUUUUGUAAGAUUGCUAAAAAAUUCAUAUUUGGUAUUUGUUUUAUUUUCCUAGUCGAAUUUCUUGCUUGUAGAAGAUAAAAGAAAAGUGCAAUUUCAUGUUGCAAUAAUUUUUUUUCCUUCCCUCUUUUUCUUCCCAUAUAGUCUGGCUCUGGAUUUGGUGCAGUUGAUGGUUUUAAUACAGUGAACCAAUUUCGUCAGAAUCAUCUUAAAGGAUUAAAGUGGCUUCCUUUUGCAACUGGGUAAGUCAAUGUUACUUCCUGAAUUCAGUUUGGAGUUCUUUCGGAAUAGAUUUCCUUCCCUUACAUUACUUAGCUUCUAGUUGCAUCUUCUUGGUCUUCUCCAGCUGACUUUCCUAUUGGCAAAUUCCUUCGCUUCUAUUGUUUUCAGGUGCCAGUGCUGGAUUUGGAGGUAUGAAUCAUGCCUUCAUUUUUACUUUUUAUGAUUAUUUUUUUAAGGUGUAUGGUACUGUAAUAUAGUUCUUUGUAUAGCUAGUACAAAAUAGUUCUUUAACUUCUUACGUUCGGCUAUAAUGGUCUUGACAUAUGAUAGGGCAGCUCUAUCACCAAUUGACGUGGAAUGAGAAAUAGGAGACAAAUGGGAUUAGAAAAAUAAGAAACGUGACAAAAAUAAAAAUCUAAUCUACUCAUAUAAGCAACUCAUCAAAUAAGUGUAUCACAUACUUAAGUGAAUAACAAUCUGUAAUUUCCACGAAUCAAAGUAAAAUUAUAAUAUUCUUUAAAUAAGACUCAUAAGCUUGUUAGGUGUUAUAUUGAAUCAUCUAAGUUGAAUAAUCUUUUGGGUCGAAUAUUUAAUUUCUUAUUCCAUACGUUUCAGUCUCUCAAUAGUUGAAUUAGCAAUGAAAAUUUGAAAAUGGAAAAAUCCAAUGCAAUUAUUUUAGCUGCUUAUCAUAGAUAAGAAUUUCAAAUUUGACACUUUAUUGUCUGUUGUCAAAUUCAUAAAGUAUGAACCUGCAUUAGCUUAGUUCUCUAAUAUUUAUAAAUAAGUAAUACUUGAAUUAAGAUGAAAGAAAAUUGAAAAGUAGAGUUGCUUGAUUGAAUAGCGUCAUAUUUUACAUCACAGAAACUCAAUUUUCAUUGCCAUACGUAGCUCAAAAGUGCAUGAACAUUUAAAAUUCAGCUAACUUAUACUAAUUAAUUAAUACGAGUCUCAGUUCUUACUUCUUAGUACUUGGCAACAUCCAUCCAUAAGAGUGAAACUCCUAUUGAUUUCAUAUAUACAAAAUAAAUAACUUACAAAGGCAAUAUAUACAAUCACGACAAAAACACCAAUUCACUCCAAUAAACAACAUAGCAAAUAUAUGGUCUAUAUUGCAAGUCUUUUUACUAUUUUAAUUAAAAGAGAAAAUACGAAGGACAUAUUAUAUAUAAUUGAAUAUUAUCCUUGAUAAUUAGACAAAAUAACACUAAUCUAGCUAACUAAUCCAGUCAUCAUAAUAAUCCGAUUUCCUUUAUUUAAUUAUGUCCAUUGAUGCUAUUUUAAUAAAGAAUACUGAACACUUAAGUAUUUAUAUGCUCAACAACUUCGGCCACGUUUGAAAAGAUCAUAUUAAUUAUUAAUAUAAAGAAAAUAACCCUACAAGGUACAUAUUACAUAUGCAUGUAGUUGCAAUAAAUACAUAAUAAUAAAGAUUGUAAAAGUUCAGGGCCAUUAAUUCAACAAUUACUAAACCAAUAUCCCAAUAAUUGUUUGAUUACUAAUCUUAGCAUUAAAAGAUCUGCAAACUUUAUUCGGCCAAAACAAAUGCUUCCUUAUUGCUUCCUUGAUCUUAUCCUGCCUGGUGAUUCCUGAAUGUCCUUCCCAUUCUGAUAUGCUGAGUUGUUUGCUGAUUAUAAAUACAAAUCACCUUAAAUUUUCUUAGUCUUGUUCUUCAUGCGAAAUUCUACUUAAUGGCUUAGUUGGUUUAAAUUCUUCUUUUUUCUUUGAAUUGUUGAUUUGUAAUGUUCUUCUCGCUCUCACAUGUGGCAUUCUGCACUCUUCCAAUGCUAUUUCUUGUUAUGGCAGCAGAAUUCUAGAUUUUCUCCCAGUUUCUUUUGUAAAGACUUCUAAAGAAGCAUCCAGAUACUGAGAUACAAUCCAAUCUAAACCCAUACAUAUAUACACCUCACCUUCCCCCAUUUCCCCAGAAAAUCAACAAACAGUUUGCUUGAAAACAAACACUCUAAAAAAACUAUCUAGCCACCCAGAUAGCCAAAUCAAGAAUUCUUGCAAUGGCAAUGUCAUUUCUUGUUAGGGCGGCAACAUUGAAGAUCAUGGCAUCACAAGUGAAUGCUCUGAUGCCGUACACAAGAUCACCUCUCUUUGACAUAAUGCUCCCUAUGACAGAAGAUCCUUUCAAGGUUCUUGAACAAAAGCUCUCUAACAAUUCCUAAAGGAGGUCAUCAUCAAACUCUGGCCCUGGCGAGAGCAGACUGGAAGGAGACACGAACAGCACACGUGAUCACACUCGACAUUCCAAGGAUGAAGGAAAAUGAUGUGAAGAUUGAAGUUGAAGAGAACAGGGUACUGAGAGUGAGUGGGAGAGGAAGAGUGAUGAUUAUUAUAAGGAGGGAGUUGAAGGAGAGAAAUGGCACUGAGCUGAGAGGACAAGUGGCACGUUUUGGAUGCAGUUUAGGAUGCCAAUGAGUGCUGAUUUGGAACAUGUUAAAGCUCUUUUGGAAAAUGGAGUUCUGAGGAUCACAGUACCAAAGCUUGCUGAGGAGAAGAAGAGCCGGCCUAAGGUUAUUAGCAUUAGUGGAUUCUUUUGGUGAAGAUAUUAAAGCCACCAAGGCUCAAAUGUAAUUAAUCAACGAAAGUAAGUGUUUGGCUUGGUUUUGUGGUUCUCUUUGGAUGUUUUGUUUAUGUUUUUAUGGGUUUUUGACGAUGGCUCACAGGUAUUAGCACCAAUAAGUGCUUUUUAUAAAUCCUGGUCCUAGAUUUGUAAAAAAAAGUUAAUGCGCUUGGUUUAUUGUUAAUUAAAAAAAAAAAGUCCUUUCCUUUGGCAUUUAUCAUGCAUUUGAAAAAAAAAUUAUUCCACUGUAAUUCAUAAAGAUAUAUUUUUCCCCGGUUCCCCGGUUACAUUAAAGUGUUGAUACGAAUAUCCGUUGUGAUUAUAAAAAAUUUAAUCAAUCCGAAUAUUCAAUAAGUGGUAAAUGGCACAAAAACAAUUAAGUCACGAACUUGCAUAUAGUGCAUUAAAUUGAAGAGCAUAAAGAAUUUUGUAAUGCAGUCCAGCAAUCAAAAACCAUUUUACAACACCAUUAAAAAAUCAUUGCAGCACUAUUGCUGAUGAGGCAGCUGGUAAUUCCUCUGGUGAAGAUAUUAAGGCCGCUGAAGCUGAAAUGUAAUUAGUGUCGUCAGAAGAUUAUGUAAUAAAGUGCUUUAGAUUAAUCUUGGUUGGAUUACUAUUCAUUAACCAUAUUUAAUUUAUGUGAUCAAUCGGUAUUUGCUAGCAUCAUUGUUAUACAACAACAUAUUAAUUAACUACUGAACUCUGCCAGCGAAUUAAUGAGCAAAUCCUCCUCAAAUUAUGCAUGUAUACGAUCAAAAUAAUUUCAAUUUCACCAUAUACGCGCGUGUGUAUACAUAUAUAAUACUUAAUAAUCACCAAACCAACAAUUCCCAAGUUAGAUUAUACAUAGACGAAUAAAUAAUGCUAAUCUAGCAAGUCCAAUCAUAGUAAUUUGAUUACCAAAUAUUAACCAUGUCCAAUCAUAUUCUUAAAUAAUCGCCGAACUAACAAUUUGCAAGUUAGAUUAUACAUGGAAGAAUAAAUAAUGCUAAUCUAGCAAGUCCAAUGGUAAAAAUUUGAUUUUCAUUAUAUUAACCGUGUCCAAUCAUGCUAUUUUAAUAAAGAACACUUGAAUAAUAUUUUCAUGUCCAGCAGGUAAAAUUUCAAAACAAUUUUUGCCAAAGUCCUCCUCGGCUAAAUUAAUUUAUGCAUUAAUAAAGUCCUCCUCUUCUAAAUAAUACAAAACCUGUUACGUUAUUCUACCAUUUUUUUUUUUUAAAAAAGCAUUCUACUAUUUAAUAAAAGAAUUCGAAAACUGGUUCUAGACAUACACCGAACCAUAUUAAUUUAAAACAGUUUUCAACUGAGAUUUGAAAUUACACACACAAACACACCGAGUCCUUUAUAUAAAGUGCUUUUAAUAAAUUAUGGUCGGUUUACUAUUAAUUAAUCAAAUUUAAUUUACUCAAAUUACUCUUGUACACGAUCAAAAUAAUAUCAAUUCUAUGAUAUAUAUAUACGUGCACAUACAUACAAAAUGUAAAUAACUUUCAAAUAUAAAAUAUUUAAAAUAGACGAAAUAACUUUCAAAUGUUUAUUGUAUUUUGAUGGGUUUUUGAGGAUGGUUGUAUGUAUUAGCAACAACAAGGUGCUUUUUAUAAAUCCGGGUCCUAAUUUUGUAAAAGAAAUUAAUACUCUCGGUUUAUUGUUAAUAAAAAAGAAAAAAGAAAAAGCAUUUUUCUGUGGCAUAUAUUAAGCAUUUUAAGAAAAAAAAAUUACAUUCCAAUUCAUGAAAGACAUUCCUUCUGUCAUAUUGAUGUGUUAAUAGAAAGAUCUAUGUGAAUUAUAACAAUUUUGAUGAAUCUAAAUAUUUAAUAACUGAUAAAUUAUAUUUAUAAAUAUUAAUACCGGUGGCACAUAAGCACUUAAUUCAAGAACUCGCCUAUAGUGCAUUAAUUUAAAGAGUAGAAAUAUUUAAUAAAUCAUGCCUGGUUUACUAUUAAUUAAUAAAAUUUAAUUUACUCAAAUUACUCCUCUACAUGAUCAAAGUAAUUUCAAAUAUACAACACACAAAAUGUAAAUGACUUUGAAAUAUAAAAUAUUUAAAAUAAUCACCCCACUAACAAUUCACCACAAAGAUUAUAAAUAGUCGAAAUAAUGAUAAUCUAAGGGGUCCGGUCAUAAUAAUUUGAUUUUUAUUUAUAUUAAUUAUAUAAAAAAGAGUACUCGAGAUUAUAUAUAUCCAACAGCUAAAAUUUCAAAACAAUAUUUGCCAAAGUCUGAUGAAGAGAAUACAUAUAUAUAACAUGCACUCGCACACAUUCUAUUGUUUAAUUAAAAAAUUCGAAAGCCCAUUAUAUACAUGAUAAAGACUUACCGACACCGAACCAUAUUCAUUUAAAGGAAUUGUUUUCAACUGAGAUUUGAAAUUAUUUACACAAACACACCCGAUUUUUUCUUUUUUAAAAAAAUUACUAAUAAUAAACUAUUUCAGUCGUCCUCUGUUCGGCUGUCAAAAACCCAUUUAAGAUCGAUUUGAACAGAAGGUAUAUGGGUUAACAAUCCUCCAUCCUUUUUGCACUUCUCUUCCAUCAACGGACAGCGAUAGAUACUUAAUUGCAAAAGUGAGGAAGGCAGGCCCUUCUCCGGAAAGUAUUUGAGCUUGGGACAAUCCACGAGAUUUAAGUGGGUGAGGUUUUGAAGAUCAACAAUUGAAGAAGAUAGGCGUUCCAGAUUUGGAAAAUCUACAAUCCUCAGAGAUGUUAGAGAGGCAGGAAGAGGAAGCGCGGUCCCUAAUCUUUUGUCCUCUAGUGGAAAUGACACCAUGUCGUCAUCACAUCCUUCGAUUGUAAGAUGUCGCAGAGAAGAGAAUCUAUGAAAUCCCCGACCCCGCUCAAUCAUUGACUUCCAAAUCUCCAUAUUACCCCAAAUAUGAAGUGAAUGAAGGUUGGUGGGAAGGCCAUCUUCUUCAAGGCUUGGAAGCUCACCUCCUAUUGUUAAUUGUUGAAGAGAGGUCAGAUUGUGCAAUCCCUUGGGUAAGGCCUCCAGUCUCUCACACCCAUAGAUCCUGAGCUUACUCAGUUUCGCACAAGGCAAUCCCCCUUCGGGAAAGGACACCAGAUUUUCACAUUCCCAUAUUUCGAUCUCUUGAAGCUGGCCGAGAUUAUGUAAACCACUCGGUAAAAUUUUCAGAUUUUCACACCCAGAAAUAUUGAUUGUUUCAAGAGAUGUGUUGUUGUCCAACCUUUCUGCUAUUGACUCCAGCUUUGGACAAUACCAAACAAAAAGGGACUUAAGAGACGGAGGUAGACUGCCAACUUCAAGGGACUCAAGCGUGGCAGGUAACUCGUUUUUUGAAAAUAUACAUGUCAGUGAUGGACAAUCCCUAAUUUCUAACUUCUCAAGAAGAGAUGAGGUGUACCUUCUAUUGCUGCUGCUGCUGCUGCUACUCUGGAUGCCCUCUUCCACUGUCAAAGUCCUUAUAUUAUCACAACUAAGGAUGUCCAACCUCUUAAGGCUCCGUGGUAGCUGGACUCCAGCAAGAUAUGUCAACGUACGACAAUGCUCAAUAUACAAGGUCUCGAGAGAUGAAUUGGUGUCGCACAUCCAUGCCUCUGGUAAUGAUUUCAGUGUGUCACAACCUUCAAUCUCAAUUAUCUUCAACUUGGAAGGCAGAGCAACCUCAGGAAAGGAAACAAGGGAACUGCACUUGUAGAUUUCUAUCUCUCUCAAGGAACUGAGGCUGAGAGAUGAUUGUGGCAGCUUCACAAGGCCUUCGCAAUAACUCAAUCUUAGAUAUUCGAGUCUGCAUGACAACUCGCAGAGCUGCUGUUGUUGGUCUUUCUCUUCCUCCGCCACCAAGGAUUGAAGUUUGGGACAGCUUGUAAUCGUCAGUCUUCUGAGAGAGCAAAUGUCUUGCAGUAAUUCGUUAUGACUCUUCCAAAUAUAUGUCUGCUCUUUCAUAUCAUUUAUCUUCAAUUCUUCCAAUUUUGGCAGUCGCGGCUUUAAUGGCCCUGCGAGAAACAGUUGAUUUGAUGUAUCUCUACAAACCACUGAAUUCUGUGAGCCGAGAUGAUCAGCUGCACUUCUCCACACAACCUUUUUACAUCCACCAAUUUCAAAUUUGCAAAGAGCUGGAAGACUUGUAACUGAAACUGACAAUUCUUCACAUCCUUUAAUAACAAGCUUCUCCAAUGCAGGAAGGUGCUCUGGAAGUGUUCCUUGCAGUUUAGAACAUCUUAAAAUGUGAAGCUCUCUCAAUUUAGGAAACCCUUCAACUCCUUGACCGGAUCCAUGAGGAAUCCAGUCUUCCCAUUCUUCCAUGUCUUCAAAACAAAGAGUCUCCAAGCAUGGAAAAGGAAUUGAAGCAACCUUCCCAUAGAACUCUGGAUCAAAUCUCCUUACGCUGCUCAUUCCACAUACUACAAGAUGCUUUAGAGAGGGUAGUUGCCCGACCGACGGCAGGGCAGUACACAUGCUACAAUAUUCAAAUUUAAGUGUUACUAAAUUUGACAAUGAGGAAUUUCCUAACCAAGUUGAAAAAUUUGUGCCUCCAUAGCCGCUGAUACAAAAUUGUUCCAGAUUUUUAUGGGGUUUUAGCAUGUCAAGCACGCCCUCUUCAGCUUCUGCCUCCCUUGAAGAUGAACCAUUAGUAUUGCGAGUCCAUCGAAGCCAUAAUUCUUUAAGAUUCUCCUUUCUAUCCAAUUGAGCGUCCUCGGCAUCAAUAAUGUGUUUUACAUUCUCCAAAUUUGAAAUGCAAAGUGUCCCCCCAAGUUGCGUCAAGGACUUUAGCUCUCGUAACCGGGAACCACUGUCUUUUCCCACAACAAAAUUACACAACGUCUGAAGACAAGUCAGCCUACCAAUUCCGACUGGCAUUUCCUCCAACGAAGAUGUAUUUGAAUUAUUGAGAUGAUGCAAUUUGAUGAGGUUUCCCAUGGCUGCACACAACUUCUUUAGUCGCCAACAGCCCUCCAACAGAAGGGUGUGCAAAUUGUAAAGCUUGUUGACUGAUUCAGGCAGAGUUCUAAUCUCAGUUCCAGAUAGGUUAAGGUACCUUAAAUACCUCAAAUCACCAACUGAAUCCGGCAGCUUGGGGAUGAAAUAUCCACACAGAGAGAAGACCCUCAAUCGUUGGAGUUUGAACAACUUAGGAAGAAUGCUAAGAGCAAAGUAUCCACGCGACCUAUUUGACCGCCUUACUGGUAGAAAAGUUCGCAAAUGCUGGAUAUUGUACAAGUCUUCAAACCUUUUACCGCCUUCAUAAUAUUCAGGAAUGUAUGACAGAUGACGAAGAUUUCUGGAAAAACUUUGUUGCUUGUUAACCUCCGAGGCACACUCCAUUGUGAAGUAUAUCUUGCCCGCAGCCCAUUGAGCAAGGUCAUUGACGAGGUCGUGCAUCACAAAUCGUGAUAUACCGUUGCUUGAUUGCUGGAAAAAAGAUCUUGCACGUAGCUCUUGAAAGAACCUUCGACCUAGAUCUUCACUUGGAUUCCCGCUCUCUCCGUGAUCCAAGAAACCCACAGCACUCCAUAAUAAAAUUAUCUCCUCCUCUUCGAAUUCAUAAUCCUUUGGAAACAAUGAGCAGUAUGCAAAGCACUGUUUCAAAGGUGCCGAGAGAUAAUAGUAGCUCACUCUAAGCGCCGGUAUAAUGUCACAUCUCUCUUCUGGUAAAUCCCAUAUGUUGCAACUGAGCACACCUUCCCAAUCACUUCGGUCACAUUUACCACGUAAAAGUCCACCAAGUGUUUUCGCAGCUAAGGGCAAGCCGUUGCAUUUGAUCACUAUCUUCUUGCCAAUUUCCUCCAAUGACUUGUUUGAACUGAAAUCUCUUGUCCCCAAAGAGUGUUGAGCGAACACGGACAGACAAUCAUCAAAUGACAACUUUUUCAAUUCAUAAGCUGGAGCAGUUCCCAUGAUGGCUGCAACCUCUUGAUUACGAGUUGUGACAAUAAUCUUACUUCCCGGUGCGCCAGCUUCAAACGGACGGCUCAUGUCAACCCAAUCAUUGUAUUUCUCAUUCCAAACGUCGUCUAAAACAAGCAAAAAUUUCUUUUGAGAUAACUUCUUCUUCAGCUCCUCUUGAAGCAAAUUUAAAUCACUGUCAUCAAUAGUCUGCUUAGUAACGGAUCUUAGAAUUGUUUUUGUUAGCCUCUUAACGUCGAAAUCGUCAGAGACACAAGUCCAUGCCUUGAGAUCAAAAUGAUCCUGCACUCGCUUAUCAUUGUAGACAAGCUGAGCAAGAGUAGUUUUGCCCAUCCCGCCCAUACCUAUAAUAGGAAUAACAGAGAAUCCACCAUCGUUGCUUAAAUCAUCCCUCAACAGCAGUUCAACAACAUCCUUCUUUUCUGUUUCCCUGCCAUAUACUUUGGCUUCAGUCACUAAAGAGGUUGUCUCUAGCCUUUGACUGGCUUUUUUGGACCCUCCAGCUGAACUUUCUUUCAAAUCUAGCAAGUUUUUCUGUGUCACAAUUUCUUGAAAUCUGCUGUUGAUCUCUUUAAUUUUGGACAUCAAGCCAUAAUCGAACUGAAUCGAUUGUGGAGUAAAAGUGGUGCAGCAAGCAGGAAUGAGCUUCCGAAACUUACUUGUUCUUGUACGACUGCUACUGGGUUGAUCAUGAGCAGCAGCUGGUUCUCCAUUUCCAAGCAGCAACAUCCUCCGGAAAGCCUCAGUUUGAAACUCAUCCAACAAGUCUUCAACAUCAUAAGCCAAGUUCUGAAGCUUGCCAAGCCACUUCUUCACAGACCGAUUAGUCGUCUUCUUCUCCUCAGCAUCAUCAAGCACCGCCUUGAUCAUCUCCAACAUAUUCUCCCACUUCAUUAGAUCGUCUUGGAUCUUCUCUUGGCGUGCAAAAAACAGAAUCCCCUCUGAAGCUAACUUAUUGACCAGCAAAUCAACGGACGCCGUAAGGAUUGCCUCUCCGAUGAUCGACAUUUUUUUUCUUUUUUGGGGGCAAAGGAAGAAAGGAGCAGAAUUAUGGGUUAUGGAAAGCAGAAUGAGAAAAUUGAACGGGUGAGAAAAUGGAUAAUUAAGCAGAAUGAGUUUGUGAUUGUGAAGGGUCUGGCCCAGCUAGAAAUCACGCGUUUACACUUUAUUGACCAAUGACUAAUAAUUUGGCAAUUCACCCAUCACACCACCACUUGGUGAGCAAAAUGAAAAUGCUUAGUAAUUAAGUGUCAAGGGUCACGCAAAAUACGACGUAAAACGUGGCAAGUCUCCCCACUUGUUGUUCCUUGCAGCUAAGAAAAGAAAAAACAGAGCCGUAAUUAAUGACAGAAUUUUAAAAAUAAUAAUAAGAGAAAAACCUACACAUUUUCGACUUAGAGUGGAACCGUAAUUAAUGCUAAAAUUUACUCAGCUAACUUUUUCAAAAUAUUGUUCUUUAUAAUUUUCAAAAUCCUAAUUAAGGUUCAUCUCAAAUGUUUGAAGAGUCUAUCAAUUCUUCUAAGUUAAGAAUAUCAAAAUUUUUACUUUUUCUUCAAACGUUGAAUAAUGAAAAAAAAAAUGUUGAAUAUGGAGGAAAAUAGAAUGCAUCCAUAUUUGCUGUAGAAGUCUUCUACUUAUACAAACAAGUUAGAAUAAACGAUUCUAAUCUCUCUUUUUAUUCCUGUACAUUUUUUUUAAUCUCAAUGCGAAUCGUAUCAUAAUGUUAUAUUCCUAUUGUAAAACGAAAUUUUAGAUAAAACAAAUUCGACUCAUUUGUUAAAAGUAUAUAUUUAGUAGGUUAAUAACAUAUCUAAUAAAACGUGAUUACUACACUAAAUGAAAUAAAUGACAGUACUACCACCCAUUAAUAAUUUAGCAAGUUUCCCAUGCUCGUGUUUCCGGAAACAUUAAUCAAUUAGUGAAGCAAACAUGUAAUGAUUUGUAAAGAUCCCUAGCAUCACAUUAUUGGGAGGUAUUGCGCUUAGUAUUGACAAUUUUUGUAAGAUGAAUUUGUAAGACUUAUUAAUUUCGAUGAAAAUGUAUCGUUAUUAAGCUAUUAUUUAAUUCAUUAAGUUAACUUGAGGUAUUAAUAUUCACUAAUUGUGGUGCUGAUUAAUUUACUUAACUUGUCAUUAUUUGUAAUUAAGAAUGAGGUUCAAUCAAUUUAUUGGGGAAAAAAAACAAAGAUAGUGUUUUUUUUUAGAUUUUAAUUUUUAGGAUUUGAUUUCUCUCUCUUUCGCUUUUUGAUGUUGCUAAAGAGGCAAUAAAAAACUUGUUGAAUGUCAUCAAAUACUUGUAUCUCAUCUCACAAAUUGGCAAUAUUUGUUUGGUAUUUCAUCUUAACGGGACGCCGUAAGGAUUGCCUCUCCGAUGAUUGACAUUUUUGUUUCUUUUUUCCCGCACAGAAAGAAACAGAAUUUUUAGUUUUAAAGCAAAAUGAGAAAAUUGAGCAGUAAGUGUGAAGGGUCAAGCAAAAUGCAUGUAUCAAGUCUUCCGCUUGUUUAUUCCAGUAAAGUGAAAAUAAAAACAGAGCCCACCACCCGUUGAUAAUUGGAAAAUGAUAAAUGAACGAAAGCGCGACGAAGGAACGACAUAAAACGCGUUCCCUCAUCAAAAUUUUCUUUUGUGGGACUUAUUAUAAAUAAUAAAAUAUUUUUUAUGUGACUGACUAUAAAUAGUAAAAUAAGGAAGGAAAAGAACAUAUAGACUCCCAACGUUUGGAUAAGGGACACAAAAUCCCUUAAUGUUUCAAAAAAAUAUUUAGACCCCCAUUUGUUAAUAGAAACCAUUUCUUUUAACAAAAAUUAUAAUUUUAAGGUGCAAUUACCAUUAUACCCUUAUAGCAUACUAAAAAAUAAUUGUUCAUUGUGCAAUUUAUCCCUAUAUUAUUAAUAAAAUUACGAAUAUACCUUCAUUACCCAAUUUUUCCAUUUAAUUUUUUGUCAAAUUUUCUCUUCAAACUAAAUAAAUUUAAUCCAUUGCUCAAGAAUAAAAAUAAAUAAAAUUACUUAUUAAUGUCAUAAGAAUAACAAUUUUCCAUAUGUCAAUCAUUUAAACUUGUAUAAUCCACAAAAUAAAAAAAAAUUGGUUACAACAAUAAUUACAAAAUCUUAAUUGUACUAAAUAACAUAUCCAAUAGACAUAAAAACCAUCAAUCUAGUAAACAUAACAAAAAAUCCUUGUAUUAUAAUAUUGUAUCAAAUUAGUAUUGGUAAACAUUACAACAUAAUAUUUUUUGAAAAAAAAAAACAUAAUUUGUUCACAAAUAAAAUAAAAAAAACAUAACCACUCCCUCGUCAUCCCAAUUUAAUCCCAUUUCAUCAUCAACAGUUGUUAUGUCUUCAUUGUCAUCAUUUGACCAAUAUGCUUCAUCAUCUUCUUGUUCAAAAAAAUAAAGUGAGUUAGUAUUCAGGUUUUGGGACGACUAAUCAACCUCAGCUUGAAAUGAUUCUUGUUGGGCUGUCUUUGUAGUAUUAUAUGAAAGCAUGCCAUUAUUUGUUACCAUCUGCAAACCAGUACAUUCUUUUCAUUAAUAAAUUAAGCACAAAAUUCACAUGCUCCAGGACCAUUAAAAAAAAUGCAUAAUAUCUCACCUAGGUAGAAUUCUAACCCAACUGGUUAGAUAUAACAAAAUAAAAUUGAUUCAUUUAUUCCAUGCACAUCUAAAAUUGAUAAAGCAAAGAAAUAACAAAAGUAAUUACCAAGAAAUCUCCAAUAAACCGGACAAAUUAAGAACUAUAUUCAUCAAACAACCAUAAACCAAAAAAAAAUUCUCGUAAUCAUUUACUUAUAUUCUCUCACAUACAUCACAUAUGCAUCAAACAUGCUAGAGAAUUGAACCACUUUAAUCUAUUAGAAUUUUUUUCUCAAAUCUCAAAAGCAUAAAUUUUCAAUGAUAAUGAAAAGAAAUAAAGUUAAUUUAGUAAAACAAAUGAAAAUUAAAGAGAGAAAAAUAGGUUUUAAGAGAAUUGAAACUUGGAUUCCACAAGCAAGAGCAGCAACCAAACAUGAGCACGAGCAGCAGCCAAAUAAAGGCAGUUCCAGCAGCCAAACGCGAGCAGGUCCAGCAACUUUCUCGAUCGCGAGCAGUUCUUGCAACCAGACGUGAUCUCGAUCGAUGGACGAGCAAAAGUUCUAGCAGCUUCCUCGAUCAGGACCAGUUUCGGCAACCAGACGCGGUCUCGAUCGACGCACGAGCAGAAGUUCCAGCAGCUUCCUCGAUCGCGAGCAGUUCCGGCAACCAGACGUUUUCUCGAUCGACACACGAAUAGAAGUUCCUGCAGCUUCCAACAGCGCGAGCGGUUCCAGCAACUUCCGGCAGCCCCAGCAGUUUUCGGCAAACCGUGAGUGUGCGUGUGUUAAAGGAUUUGUCUGGAAGUAGUGUGUGUGUGUGGUUUGUUUGUGUGUGUCAUGUGUGCGUGGAUUUUUAGUCAAUUCAUUUGUUAUUAAUCUACAAUUAUGAUAUUAACCUUGUAAUGAUUUAACGAAAAAGUUUCGGUUAACCAAUGAGGGUUUGAAUUUUUUUUUUGAAACAUUAGGAAGUUUUGUGUCUCUUAUCUAAACGUUGGGGGUCUCUAUGUCCUUUUCCCAAUAAAAAAUGAAAAAAAGAUACUGAAAACGAACGAAAGUGCGACGAAGGGACGACAAAAAGCGCGUUCCCUAAUCCAAUAUUUCUUUUAUGGGACCGAUAACAAAUAAUAAAAUAUUCUUUUGUGGGACCGAUAAUAAAUAAUAAAAUAUUCUUUUGUGGGACCGACUAAAAAUAGUGUCAAAUCAAUUGUAUUUGAGUUGGAAUCUCUGUUUGGUUACUGAGAAAUAGAGAGAAAGUUGCUGAAUAUUCUGAAUCUUAUUCAAUUAAUAAAACGUGAUAGAUCUUACUGACUUUAUAUAUUUACAUGAUCAUUAGUAAAAGCUUUAACUAACUAAUUUGCAUUACAUUGAAAACAACCAAUCAAAUCAGUAAGAGACUAGCUAAUACUAACUAACUUUUGCACACGUUAACACUCAUUGUUGCUUAACAGAAUCAGCUGACUCAGCAUUGUUGACGUGGCAUUGCUGAUGUAUCUUAACUGCUGGCUUCCUCUCUCUUUUCAAUUCAGCACAAUGAGCUUUCUUCACAGCCCCUCUCAAACUCAAGGGGCAUAAAUGCACAUUGAGUUUGGUUCUCAGAUAAAUGAAUUGAGGAGAGUUUAAGGACUUAGUCAUUAUGUUUGCUAUCUGCUCUGCACUAGGAACAUAGAGUAUCUUAAGAUUGUUGUGAAAAUUUUAUUGAACUCGCAAGCGCACGAAUCUAUUGUAGAAUAGACUAAUGGUGACGAGUGUCGAUCCCACGAGGAGGUGGAUUUUAAUUAUAUGUAGAAUUAAUUUUGUAUGAGGUGGUUGGAUUUUAUGGUGAAAGUGACUUAGAUUAUCCUAAAAUUGGAAUUGAAAUGGCGAGAAUAAAUUGAAGAGAAAUCUAUUGAAAUGACGUACUUAGGUAUCUGGAUCCGUAUCAACAUGCAUCAUGGGCUAAAUAAUCCUUAUUAAUGCCAAUUAAAUCAUGAGGGGGGAAUCCACACCUCAUGAACCACGCUCUAAUCAAUAUGGUGCUAAGCGCUUAUCGUGCCAAAUAAUAAUAAUAGUGUACUAUAGAGCCCGUGAAACCAGGGCGGUACUAGACAAGAAUAUUAUUAUUUAUCGACGAGAAGUCAAAACAUCCUAAAAAACUAGAGGGGAAGAGAAAAUAAAUUUACCAAAUAAAGCCCAUGACACAUGUUGAGACUUCACCUUCAACCCAAGCUUGAAAGAAAAUUAGCUAUUCAUAAUUGAACUAGGGGUAAAAUAGAAAUUUAUUAAAAUAUGUAGAAAAUACAAGAUAGAGAAAGAAUUAUAGAAAAUGGAGUCCAAAAAUAGAUUCAGAGGUAACAAAUUAGGGGGGAGAGGUCCCCUUUUUAUAGAUACAUUGAGUAAAUCAUGGCCAUCGGAUUUAAAAUAGUUUUGAUGCUCAGGAUUACGCCACGUCAUCAGUCAACAGUACGCGUGAACAGUACGCGGAUUGACCAUGCGGUUUGACCACGCGGUUUGAACAGUGACAUUGUUUGAACAGUAACGCGGUUUGGUUGAAAAUAAUCUCAUUUGUUGCAUGUACCAUACGCGGGUUUUUGGUCCACUAAUAUGCUUCCACGUCACCAUCAACAGUGCAUAAGAAUUUUAGUCCAAUAGGAUCAUGACACCUCAUCAGUCUAUGCCACAUCAUCCGUCAAUGUCACGUCAUCGAUCCGUCUAUGUGAACAGUGUCGUGCACAGUAACGUAGACAGUACCGUACAUGUGAACAAUACCAUUUUUCCUUUUAUGCUCCUCCUAAGGUUUUCGACCAUCCUGAGUUCAAAAGUGAGGUCCGUUUUACCGUUUGAUCUCUCGUUUAUUGUGAAAUGACUAUGAUGCCCCUAAAAUACAUAAAAUACUUAAUUAAAAUAAAACACACAUAAUUAAAUUACAAGAAGCUUAAAUACAUAAAAAUAAGGGUUGUUAGUAAGACUUGAAAUAUAAAACGAUGAUUUUCUCCUUUAUAAAUAUACAUUUUCUAACAUUCAACAAAGAUCUCUAGCUAGAACUUUAUCCCUGAUAAAAUGUAGAUCGAUCUCUAUGUGCUUUGUUCUUGAAUGAAACAUUGGAUUAUGAACAAGUUCUUUAGCACUCACAUUAUCACACUAUAUAAUUGGUUUCUCCACACAACAAAGAUUAAUCUCAACAAAUAAAGACUUUUAACCAUGUUAUCUCUGAGACAACAGCUGCAAGAGCUCUGUAUUCACUCUCUGCAGAAGAUUUAGUAACUACUAAUUGCUUAUUUGAAGACCAUGAGAUUAAGUUGUUUCCCAGAUACACACAAUAGGCACCAGUAGAUCUUCUAUCAUCAAGGUCACUCCCCCAAUCUGCAUCUAUAAAUGCUGUAAUUUUUAGCUCACCUUCUUUAACAAAUUUCAGCCCAUAGUCUUGUGUUUCCUUCAAAUACUUUAGCACUCGUUUGCAUGCCAUAAGAUGUUGAAGUGUUGGUGAAGAUACAUACUGACUUAGCUUAUGAACAGAGUAGGUUAUCUCAAGUCUUGUCAAAACUAAAUACUGAAGACCUCCUACUAUGCUUUUGUAAUGAGAAGGAUCUUCUAUGUAGUAACCCAUUUCUCCAUCAACAUUCUUCUGUAAUCUGUAAUCUUUAUUGCUGCUCAUUGGUGUAUCUGUUCCUUUGCAUUCAAGCAUAUCAACUUUAGUCAAUAAGUCUCUAAUAUACUUCUUUUAAGACUGAUACACACUAUCUAGAUCAUACAAAAUUUCUAUUCCAAGAAAAUAAGACAGCUUUCCCAUAUCCUUUAAUGCAAAUGCAGAACUGAGCAGCUUGAUAAAAUUUUCCAACUCAUCACAAUUUGAUCCUGUAAUCAGUAUGUCAUCUACAUAUAUCAGGAUUAAAAUGAUUGAUCUUUUAUUCCUCUUCAAGAAUAAAGAUAAGUCAGACUUGGAGUUCUCAAACCCCCAUUGAAUAAGACUAUUUUUCAACUUGUCAAACCAUGCUCGUAGAUCUUGUUUCAAACCAUAGAGUGCCUUGUGAAGUUUGCACACAAACUCAGGUCUUUUUGAAUUAAUAAACCCUUCUGGUUGACUCAUAUAUACCUCCUCAGUUAGAUCUCCAUUUAAGAAUGCAUUAUUCACAUCAACCUAUCUUAUCUACCAUUGAUUCAUCACUGCUAGGCUCAAGACCACUCUAACUGUUGCUGCUUUCACCACUGGACUAAAUGUCUCAAAGUAGUUAACUCCCUCUAUUUGCUGGAAUCCUUUAGCAACUAACCUUGCCUUAUAUUUUGCAACACUUCCAUCAGUGUUUGAUUUUACUCGAAACACCCAUUUGUUGCCAACCAGCUUGUGGUUUUAUGUUCUUGGCACAAGUGUCCGGGUACCAUUUGAUAUUAGUGCAUCAUAAUCAGCUUUCAUUGCCUGAAACCAUCUCUCAUCAUUGAGAGCCUCCUAAACAGUGUCUGGUUCUUUAUGUAACAAUACUGCUAUAUAUACCUUUGGCUUAAAGAUACCUGCUUUCCCUCUAGUAAUCAUGCGAUGUUGGUUUAGAGAUGGUGAGGUUACCACUGUUUGGUUAAGAUGGGAAGUAUUAUUUUGUUGGUUUUGUGAAAUUUCAUCUGAAGGUUGAUUAAAUGUUGUAUCAAGUACAGAAGGUAACAUUGUAUGUGCAGAUGGAUUAUUUGUAUCUGUGUUUGAGGGUUGCUGGUCUGAGCCAUUUGCCUGUGUUGAGACUACUGUUGAAGGGAAAAUAUUGCCACUGGAGUAUGCUUGAGAGAAAGAUUCAUUGCUGCUGACUGAAAAAUUUGAUAUGACAUGAAAUGUUGAUAAUUGAAAAACUUGUAUAGGAGUGAUUGUGCAAUAUGUAUCAGACUGGGACUUGUUUGAAAAAUGAAAGCUAGGAUAUGAAGAAAAUGGAUAUGAGUGUUCAUCAAAGACAACAUGCCUAGUUAUAUAUAUAUGACCAGAGGGAUGAAAAUACUUGUAGCCUUUAUGAGAUGGACUAUAACCAAGAAAGAUGCACUUAGUUGUGUGAUAGUCAAACUUAUGCUUAUUAUAAUCUCUCAAAUAUGGAUAACAAGCACAUCCAAAGCAUUUCAGCAUGUUAUAAUUAGCCUUAUGUUUGUAAUGUUUUUCAUAUGGAGUAGACAUCUUAAGUGUAGAAGUAGGGAGUCUAUUAAUGUGAUAGAUUGAGGUAUGAAAAGCAUCCCACCAGAAUUGAAAAGGAAGUUUGGCUUGAGCUAGAAGUCCUAAUUCUACAAUCUGCCUUUGUUUUCUUUCAACAAGUCCAUUUUAAUGGUGAGUGUAAGGGAAAUAGUGCCUAAAAAGAAUGCCACACUCAUUUAGGAAGGAAGUAAAUGGUAUGUAUUCACCCCCACAGUCAGAUUGUAGACCUUUGAUAGUAGUUUGAAAUUGUUUUUCAACUUGAAGUUUAAACAGUUUGAACACUUCUAGAGCUUCUGAUUUAAGUUUCAAAGGAUAAAUCCAGGUGUAUCUAGUGUGAUCAUCCACAAAGCUAAUGUAAUACCUAUAACCAUCUCUAGAUUAUGUUGGUGAAGGACCCCAUAGAUCAGUAUGAACAAGUCUAAAGCUGAUGUGGAUUUGAUAUCAGUAAUUGGAAAAUGAAGUCUAUGAAAUUUGCCCAACUGACAUGCUUCACAGAAAUGCUUUGUUGCUUGAUUAAAAAUAUUUGUAGAGCACAAAUUGGGAUGCACAAUCUUAAGUAACUGAACCAGGCUUUGAGUAUUAGGGUGGCCAAACCUUUUGUGAAGUAAAGACAUUUUAUUGAAUGAAUCAAUGCUAUAAGUAUUCUUAUUUGACUGAAAACAUUUUCCAGAACAAAAACUAUUGACUGUAGUGUUAAGAUAACACUGAGAUAAUAUAGAGACAGGUGUAUUUAUUGAACAUUGAGAUAGAAAAGAGGUAUAUAUAGAUUGUGAUGAUGAAUUCAACUGCAAUUUGUAUAAACCUUUCUCAGCAAUACCCCGUAGUAGAAUUUUCCCCUUCAGUAUAUCCUUCACAAAACAAACAGAUUCAAGGAAUUCAACAAAUAAGUCAUUAUCAGUGGUAAGUUUUGAAACACUUAGUAGAUUCUAUGUAAUAGAUGGAAUAAGCAGUAUAUCCUUAAGUGCAAUGCAUGUAUUGGCAUAUUGUAUUUUAGAGCUUUGAAUUGUAAGAGUGGUGUUACCAACAUGUGUGAUUGACAUACCUUUACCAUCACCAAUGAUAAGCUUGUCAUUACCUCUGAACUCAUUACUGACAUGCAUAUUUGCCAUGCUAUUUGUUAGAUGGUAUGUAGUUCCGCUGCCAAGAUACCAUCCUUCAUCUAUUGGUCCUUCAAAAUUAGCAACAUAAGCAGCUCCAGUUCCAUUCACAUGCAAGCUCAUUGAAUCAGAUAUGUAUGAAGAACAUGAUGGAUUAUACAUGGGAGGUAUUCCUGAAUAAGCAGCUGCAGUAGGCCAUAAAUCUUCAGUGGGUGCAUUAAAGUAUGUCAUAUAGGCUGAUAUCUGAUUUCUUCCUCUUUUCAUGUGUUGGGGCAUAUAGUUUUCUUCAAAUCUAUGCCAACAUUCUGCUGCUGUGUGUCCAGAUUUAAAGCAUAUUUGACAUACAACACCUUGCUCAUCAUUACUAUCCGAAUUUGACAAACCAGAGUUAGCACUAUAUUGUCCUCUCAUGAAUUGUGCCUGCUUAUUAUUGUUUCCAACCAUUUGACCUCUACCAAGAUUGUUACCAAAAUUUCCAGAUCCAAAUGGAAAACCUCUUGGAUGAGAAUUGAUAAAUUGUCCUCUUCCAGCAAGAAAAUUAUUCCUUCCAAAUUGAUUUCCACCAUGAAAUCCUCCAUUAUAUCCACCUCUUCGAGCAUUACCUCUUGCUUGAGCAUAAUAAGCAUUCAUCAUACCAUAGCUAUUAUUAUUAUGGGAAACAUUAGCAAGAUUUGCAUUGAAUAUCUAUUUUUCAUUUAGACUCUGUUCCAAUCUUGUUUCAUGUGUGAGCAGCAAUGCAUAUGCAUCAUCAAAAUCUAGUUUGCUAGCAGUAAUGAAAGUUGCUAAAUCUAGAUAGCCUAGUUCAAGACCAUUAAGGAUUUGUUGUAGCAAAUCUUUGUUAGAAACUAGAUUACCAGCACAAGCUAAUUUAUCUGCUAUUUGUUUCAUUUUCAAACAAUAAUCUUCUAUAUUUAGUGAAUUUUUUCUCAAAACACUCAUUUCAUAUUUGAGUUGAAGAACUCUAGCUUAAGAUUUUGCACCAAACUUUUCUCCAAUGUUUUCCACACAUCAUAUGAACUAUUACAAGAAUGAACAUGACUGAGAAUACCUUUAGUGAUCGAGCUUAAUAGCCAGCUUAGUAAUGUCUGAUCAUGUGAUCUCCAGAUCGUAUAUUCUGGAUUUUCAACUUGUUGAGUAACUCUUUCCAUUGCUUCAGCAUAGCUUCUAGAAGUAAGAAACUAAGUAAGUGCUACUUUUUCUCCAUUGAUAUAGCCUUCAAGCCUGUUUACUCUUAUCAAAGUUAAUACUUGAUUUCGCUAGAGCAUGUAAUUGGAUCUAUCCAAUUUGAUUAGUGUAAUGAAUGAAAAGGUAGUUUGUAUUGAUUGAUUCAUGUUUGUUGUGUUUAAAUUGCUUGAGCUUGCCAUAUUCGUGGCUCUGAUACCAUGUCAAAUCAAUUGUAUUUGAGUUGGAAUCUCUGUUUGGUUACUGAGAAACAGAGUGAAAGUUGCUGAAUAUUCUGAAUCUUAUUCAAUUAAUAAAACGUGAUAGAUCUUAUAGACUUUAUAUAUUUACAUGAUCAUUAGUAAAAGCUUUAACUAACCAAUUUGCAUUACAUUGAAAACAGCCAAUUAAAUCAGUAAGAGACUAGCUAAUACUAACUAACUUUUGCACACGUUAACUCUGAUUGCUGCUUAACAAAAUCAGCUGACUCAGCAUUGUUGAUGUGGCAUUGCUGAUGUAUCUUAACUGCUGGCUUCCUCUCUCUUUUUAAUUCAGCACGAUGAGCUUUCUUCACAAAUAGUAAAAUAAAAAAUGAAAAAAAGGAUAGUGUGCAAUUUUUCUUUUAAUAAUUUGGCAAUUCACCAAUCACCGGUCACCACCACUUGUUACCAGAUUCAAUGAAUGUAAAAACGCACCUCGACAUUUGUAGGGUCAAGCAACAUUAAUCCAGUUGUUCGGGUAAAUGCUAAAUAAAGUGGAAAAUGGGAUGUAUCUACUACGAACCUUCCCUUUACAAAUCUUCAAACUCAUAAGCCAGAGGCAGCCCCCACCACCAUCAAUAAUUCAGCAAGUUUCACAUGCUUGUGCUUGUCUGCUUGACGAACCGGAAAUGGGUGGACCAGGCACCAUUGAAUAAUUGGAAAAAAAAUGAAAAAUAAAAAUCCGUGUCUAACAAAAAGAAUGCAUCUUCAUGUGUUGCUUCCUAUUCAGUACCUCUAGUCAUCUACCUAGCAUUUAAAAAAAUGGAAGUAGUAAUUAAAUCUGACUUUUUUAGAUAUGGCUCAUAUAUAUUACAAGUAUCAAGAUUUAAUUAGAGUACACGUAUUUACAAUGUGUCUAGUUUUAAUUGAGAGAUAAACCAAUCAUUAAUAAUGAGGUUUUUCUAAAUGAUUGAAUAAUGAUAUUAAUUAUUGAUAUUUACAAAAUUUCUAAGAAGUGAUAACUAACACGUUGGGGAUAUGUAUUUGUGCGGAAUGGUAAAUAUAAAGAAUAGCAAUAAAAAUGGUGGAACUUUAAUUGUAUAAAAUUAAUAUGUAAUUCAAGGUACGAUACAAAUAUCACUUUUCUUAAGACAUUAUUUACCCCUAGCAAUUGAGUGAUGCACAUGAGUUAAGCAAAUAUGCCUUUAGGAUAUAAUGAAACAUUUAUUUAUUUGCUUCCGUUGUGCAUCAACGAAAGUAAACCUGAAUACUCUUGAAUAUUGCAAGUCUGCUAGGAAUCAAUAUGUUGAUUCUGUUAAAAAACAAUGUAUUGGAUAUUUGAUGCAUAAAAAAUAUAUGUUAUUUGAUGAAAUUCAUUUUAGGAAAUAGGGGUAAGAAAAGAGUGGUGAAGGAUUAUCUUAUUCAUAUCUAAACUUCUAAAUAAUGGAUUUAUUUAUUAUGGUGACAUAAUAAUAAUUGUAAAUUAAAAAUAAAUUUACUAUUAAAAAAAUAAAAUUUAUUAAUAAAAAUAAGGGUUAUAUAUCUUUUUUAAAAUGUUAAGAAGUUUUAUAUCUCUUUUUUGGAUUAAAUUUUCUAUUUCCUAUUAAGCAAAACCCACGUCAAAAGUGAAAAGGAAAAACAGAGCCCACAGAAUAGAGCCCAUUACAAAUAUAAAAUCGGAGGAGCUCAUGAUCAUGCCUUUUGCUUUACAUACUAAAUUAAAUAAAAGCCAAACCAGAAUCUUGCCUUUCCUUAACAUGAUUAAUUAGGCCCUGCAUCAGAGAGAACAUGAAAGCAAUGAACCAUUUUGUUAAUCUUAAAUGUCAGGAAUAUAAUUAGCUUGGAAUAAAGUUGCAUUCUUCUCCUCUGACUGUCUCUUCAGGUUCAUUUUAAAAGUUUGAAGAGAGUUUCAAUUCUUCUACACUUUAGAAUAUCAAUGUUCUUGCUUUCUUCAAAUGUUGAAUAAAGAGAAAAAAAAAUUGUUGAAUGUAGAAGGAAAAUAGAAUGCAUCCACCUUCGCUUUGGAAGUCUUCUACUUAUAAAAGCAAGCUAAAUUAAAAGAUUUUAAUCUCUCUUUUUAUUAUUAUAAGUGCACUGCAUUUUUUUUAAAUAAUCACCUAUACAAAUUUGUAAUGUAAUGAAAUAUUCAUAUUCCUGUAGUGUCGAAAUGAGAUAAAAUGAAAUUUUAAAUAACACAAUUUCGACUCGUUUGUUAAAGGUAUAUACUUAAUAAGCUAAUAACAUAAUUAACAGAACCCUAUUAUUACACUAAAUGAAAUAAAAGACGGUAGCCACCAAUAAUUACACUAGCAAGCUUCGCAUGCUCGUGUUUAAGGAACUGGACAUUGGUGAAUUAAUCACGGAUAAGAAACAAUUUCAAAAAACAAAAUGGAUACUAUACAUUUUCUUUUUUUAAAUUGUACAGAAAAUGGGACUAAUUUUCAAAUAUUUUCAAAUUCACUUAUUAACAAAAGCUAUACAAAAUGAUUUCCUUUUUAUUUUGAAAUAUUAUACGGAAUCAAAUAACAGUGAUUGAGAGAGUGUAAAGUGGUAAUUCUCCGAUUGUAUUUUCUCUCUUUUUUAAAAGGAGAUGGUGGGGUUUGGUUGUUUACAAAACUAUUGGUGUGAGGGUCUAUUUGUUUUUGUUUUCACUUUAUUAAUUAAUUACGAAGCAAACAUGUAAUCAUUUGUAAAGGGGCCACUAGCAUCGGAUCAUGUAAGAUGAAUUCGUAGGACUUAUUAAUUUUGAUGAAAAUGUAGCAUUAUUAAGUUAUUAAUUCAUUAACUUGAGGUACUAAUAUUUACUAAUUGUGGUGAUUAAUUUAUUUAACUUUGUCAUAAUUUUCAAUUGAGAAUGAAGUUCAAUCAAUGUAUAAAAAAAUAAUUUUUUUAGAUUUUUAAUUCCUAUGAUUUAAUUUCUCUCUGUUUCGAUUAUUGACGUGUUAAAAGCUUGCAGAAUAUCAUGAAAUGCUUGUAUCUCACCUCACAAAUUGGCAAAUAUCGGAAGGCUUCCAUGACGAAUUGAAAUUAAAAACAACCACCAUCGAAAUUUAAUUUUAAGAAUCUUUUUUACUUGAAAUUUUUGAAAAAAAAUUAACCAGAUUAAAUUAGAGAUAUCAACCUUAACUUAGUGUUGUGCACCACAUUGGCCACUUCUAAUUGUGAAAAGAAAUAGAACUUUUGUAUCGAUGAAACUUAUUUUAUUAGUAUUAUUCAUCAUAUGGUUAAUGGCUUAGCCGAAGGAGAAGGGGUCAGCCAAAAUAAAUAAAGUACCUUCUCAUGCAUUAACCUUUAUUAACUGUUGUAGUUAAAAUAAUUUUAAAACAAGUUAAAACAGUUCCAAUUCAAAAUCAGUAGGCUGCGAUUGGGUUGUUACACAUAUUUCUAAAUUUCAGUCUAAUUUAAUUGUGUAUGGACAAAUUAACUUUUAUCACUUCUUUUAUAUUAAUACUCAUAAAUUUCAAUCUAACUUAACAAAAAUAAUGUUCAAAUUGUCACAAAAUGUUCUUUUCUUAAAAAAGAAAAGAAAAUCAUAUAUAUAGUAGUUAAUUUUUCUUCUUCUUUACUUCAGGAUCCAACUCCGUACUCCACUUUUUUGUUGUUAUUGUACCUAGCCGUUAGAUUUUAAUUACGUUGUUUUAACGGUUUGGAUUUGUAAAUGAAUAACGACGUAGUGUUUGACUACCAUCUGAACCCACUGCAUCUAAUUGGUUUUGUGAUUUUUUGCUUUCUUCAAUAAAAAAACAGUUUAUUUUUGGUCGUCGAAACAUGGUAAGUGAGAAAGAUUAUUCUGUUUUUUUUUUUGUUAAUUAGGUUAGCAUUUAUGAUUGAGUGACUCAGAACUAUAUUUUAGAUUGAGAAUCAAUGGUUAAGAUUGUCGUUUGCUAUUUUAUCGACAAGAGAGCACUCGAUUUUAUUAAAAGGAGAAAGUCAUAAGAUUUCCUUUAUGAGAAAAUGUAUCUGAUCAUUCCUUUUUACUGGAAAAAUUAAUAUACAAAAACUUACUAAUAAAUGACAUAAUAUACAUAAAUUAUUAAUUCAUUUGAUAGUUGAUUAUCGAAUGACAUUUGAUCCAUGGGAGCAUGCAGUCUAUAAAAUAAUUCUUCUUUUUUUUUUUUUAAACAAAAAAUCGGUGAUGUUGAAAAGCAUUUCUGUAUAUUAUUAUUACUCUAAUUGGAGUGAACAUUUCAUAAAAAGAAUGCCGUAUGAAACUAAAUUAUUAAUUCGUUUGAUAGUUGGUUAUUGAAUGACAUGUGACCCACAGUAAAUAGUUAAAUUUGGCGGCAACAAUAAUUACAAGACGAACUUAAAGCAGCGCAUAGGUUUUUCUUAAAAAUACAUAAACAAUUCGAUAUUUGAAAUUCUAAUAUCUCAAUAAUAUUGAGGGUCCUUCUAUCUUACAUGCAUGUAAGAUACAUUCCUCUCACAUGAAUAGUGUGUGGGUCCCACAUAUGCACUAUUCAUGUGAGGGGGAUGUAUCUUACAUGCAUGUAAGAUAGGGUUUGCCUAAUAUUGAUCAUGAUUCAGUUACCAAUUAGAUCCACUUACAAUUUCUUUUUUUCUUUUUUUUGAUUUCCAAUCUUUACCAAAAGAAAAUAUUUAGUGACCCCUUUUAUCAACUUGGUUUUAUUGACUUUCUUCCAAUCAUAGAAGUGAAAAGAGAAACAGAGGCCAGCACCAAUAAGUGUUACCAGAUUCUGUAAAGACAAAAUCAGUGCCCAGCAAAAAGAAGCUAUGUUUUCGUUAUAUGCUGCUUCCUAUUUAGUACAUGCAUAUAAAGAUAUACACGUGCACAUGCAGCACAUCUAUUUAAAAUUUAAAAAACGGAAUUAGAAAUACAGGAUUUAUGGUAGAAAUACAACAGGAAUAAGAGUGAAAUUCCAAUUUUAAAAUUUGGGAAAAAUGAAAUACGAUAUUUUUUUAUGAAUAAAAUAAUUUAAUUUUUUUUAAUUCUACCAGCAAAAACCAUUAACUUAUCAAGUUUUUGGUUUCAUUUACAGUUGACAGUCGGUUUCUUAGUUUCAUUCCUUAAUUCUACAAGAAAAAAACAGAAUACUUGACAUUUUUUAUUUGACAAUUUUUAAGAAAUGUCAAACAUAUAUGACAUUUUGUGAAAAACUGAGUAAUUGUGAAAUAUAAAUGACAAUUUAUUUAAACGUCAAAUAAUUGUGACGUUUUAUCAAAUAAAUGAUAAAUAUAUUACAUUUUUAUUGAAUAAUUAUCAUUUACCUUUUCCUUUUAUUGACUUGAGAAAAAACAAAAAACAAAAAAAUUGACUAUACUGCUUUUGUUUUCGUUCAUAGAACAGAUUUUAGUUUCUUUUGAGAAAAUUCAAACUCAUUCCCAUUACUUUCUUUUCAAAAAUCACCUCUCAAUUUUUCAUCAAUCACUCAAUUCCGAAUUUCAUCUCCAUUCUCUUUCGAAGAAGAAUGCACGAAGAAUUUUAGCUUGCUUUCGCUGCUUCUCGAAUAUUGGGUAUUGUUUCCUUUAGUUUAGAUAAUUUUUUUUUUAUAUCUCUCUUUCUAGUUUGAUAAUUUAGGGUUAUACUUGAAUUAAUUGUAUUUUUAAUCAACCAAGGUUGGUUUAAUUGAUUCCAAGUCUCAAUUUCCUGUUCAACAAACAAGGAACGCACAAAUAAUUUUCAUUUUCAUACUCAACUUUGAAAGAAUCAAUUUAUUUUAUCUUUGGUUAGCACACUUCUGUUCAAUUUUUGUUUAUUUAACUUAAGAUAUCUUUUUCUUUCUUUUCUUCAAGCAGAUUAUAGAUUAUAUUGAGAACAGAGCUUUCUCCUUAAUUCCGCCAAGAGCAACGUUGAUUUCAGGUGAUAAUUGAAUGUGUAAUAUUUUCAAUUGAAAUUAAUUGAGUCUCGUAAUAAUAAUAGGGAUUUGAGAUUUACAUCCUGUUGAAAUAAUUUCAGAGUGUUCUGCUAUUUGAAUGCGCAUUAAUUGUUUGAUUAAAUGUCUCUUUAAAAGAUUAUUUUUGUUUUUAGCAAACAUCUUAAUGCACUUUGCAAAUUGAAUCCAACAAGGGAAAAUUAUAGAACUGCAACAGUUUUCAAAUUGAUUGCAUAUUAGAAGUAAUGUUAAUUUAUGCUGCAACAGUUCAAUGGGCUGGGCACAAGUUUAGGACUUUAGUUGCUCAAUUAAUGAAUCCACCACUCAUCAGACUUGGAACUUAUAGCUAUUGAAUCAAUAAAAAUAGUUGAUGGAAUCAAUGCCGAAAGCUUCAUUUGAUAUUUAUUUAUAACAUCUGUUAGAUUCUGCACAAUCACAAAUAUAUAGUAGCAGAAACUAUGUUAGAGACACUGUAGUUGCUUAAUUAGUGAAAUUGUGAUCUCAUUGCCCCCUUGUUUUGGUUGAUUCUAUAAUUUUAUUAGUUGUUCUUGUGGUUGUAAACAAUAUCAAUUUCUAAUAUUAAUAAAACUGAAUGAAUAAAAUGCGAUGCAUUUGCCGGAAAGUUAAUAGUUUAAAUAUGGAUAAAUCUUGGAUGUUGAUGGAUAGAAGGUCUAUAGAAUAUGAGAACGCGGUAAAUGAGUUUCUCAAGUUUGCAGUACUUCAUGCUAGUCAUCCUGAGCUUUUGAGAUGUCCAUGCCAAGCAUGUCUUAGUUUAUAGGCUCAAACAAUUAAGAGUAUAGAAAAUGCAUGAUAGAACACAGAACUCAUAUUUUAGCAACAAUCCUCAGCUCAUUGGCCCUUAGUUCGGAAUGACAAUUCUUAUUAGCCAAAGAUUCAAAAUGAUUUUUAGUUGUUUAUAAGUAGAACACUAGAUCAACAAAUAAUUGAAGACCUGCAGCUUGGCUAUUGAACUAUACGAUGAUGCCAAUUCGAAGACUACAACUUGGCUCUGCCAUUCGAAGUAAGCAACGCAGCUGCCCAAAGUCUGCCAAGCCAUCAAGACUCCAAGUAUACUUCAAAGCUACAUCAAGACAAUACUAAGAUACAACAUCAAUAAUAAUAACAUCAAGAAAUGCAUGGAGGCCAUUACAUGUUACACCCACCCCAAUAAGAAAAAUACAGUCCUAAACAUUUACAAACCCGUGCAGUCGGAAUACUAAUUAAUUUAUACAGUUCAAUACUCGUUCCUCUGUUUCAAAUCCAAAUCCACUGGUCUACUAUUCAUUAUGACAAUGCAUAUGCCGAUAUUGUCUUCCAUCCUUUUUGUACCUUUCAAUUUAGUGAGGUUUUGACAGGGGUUCCAGAUUUGGUAAAUCAACAAUCACCAGAUAUGUAGAGCGGCCGGAAGAGGAAGCAUGGUUCCUAAUCCUAAUCUUGAUUUAGAGCAGAUUAGGUAACAUGUGGCAUUCUACAUUCUUGCAAUGCCAUUUCUUGUUAUGGCAGCGGCAUUCUUGGUCAUGGCAUCACAAGCAAAUGCUUUGAUUUGAAGACUUGCUUGGCUAUGAGAAAUAAGGAGAGCAAAGGUAAUUAAUCUUGGUGUGAUCAACAUUUUUAUGGGGGUACCAAGAAAAAUAAAGAUAAUAUAAGGAAUGUUGUUGAGGAGUAUUUUUAUAUUUACAAAAGUGUUCAAAGUAAAAAUUGAUUUCUUAAAACCCAUUAGCUAGCGCACAUAAUAAUGGGGAGAAAAUUUUAGACUACGAAUGGUCCCACCCAUUUAAUAAUAUUCUUCAACCAAUUAUGUUUACUUCAAAAAAAAAAAAAACCAUCUCUUUAUUACUUUCUAACUAUUCAUAUUAAUGUGUUAAUAAUUAUGAAGAACUGGUGUAAUUUAUAUGAUGUAGGAAGCACUUUAGGCAAAAUCAUUUGAAUCUCAAAAUUUCGUGAUAUUGUGCCAAAUAUCCAAAACAGAGCUCCCUGCAUUUCAUUGCGCUAGCUAAUUUCUUGUACCAAAAUUAGGAAUUACUGAAGAGUAGAGUUACGUGACUGAAUAGUAUCAUAUCACAGAAACUCAAAACUCAAUUUCAUUGCGCGAGCAUACCACGCCAUAUGUAGCUCAAAAGUGCAAUAACAUUGAACAUUCAGCUGGCUAGCUUAUAUUAAUUAAUUAAUACUACUACUAGUUCUUUAUGAUUAAUUAAAAGAUGAAAUAUUUGACAAUCACGAAACAUUAUUCCAUCACUAAAGAGUAGAGCUUCCUACAUUGUUACCCAAGCUCUUUUGUAUCUCCCAAACAUUAUUAGAGUCCCACAUUUGUGGCACAUCAUUAAGUAAAAUGUGCCAAUCAGGUGAUUGUUUUUCAUUAUUGCGGCUACUUGACACAAUUAUGUUAUUGCAAGACGAGCUUUCUAUUUUGUCUGGUUUAAGCCAUAAGAUGGGUUUCAAGAUUCAUUCUGAUUGGUUAUCUGUUAGCUUUUCGUUUUAAGAACUUAUUUACGAAAGCCAAAUUCUUCUUUCUAGGUUUAUUCAUAUUCAGAAGUUGCUUUUGUCAUAUCAGAAGAAGAGGCUGCUAAGACUGUUGAAGUACUAGAAGUGACUACUGCGCUGAUUGGUCAAAACUACUAUGGCUGCCUUUUUCAUGAGCUUCUAAUAUCCAAUGUUGAUUAUCUCUUCCAUUUGAGCAUGAGAGUAAUCAGAUAGUUGAUAUUUAUGUUACAAAAGUUGGAAGCGACUUAAGCAAUUCAGUAUCAUGCGAGGACUAUAAUAAUAACCCCGAUUCUUUUGCCUCUUGGAUUUUUUUGUUAAUUCACUUGCUGUAUGCUUAUCCGACCUCUGAUUUUUUCUUAAUAUUUCUUUGUAGUUCACUUCACAGCACUUAUAGCCGCUGCAUUGGCAUUUUCUGCUAUUUGUUAUUGGUCAUUGAAGCAACUUAGCUUACGAAGUUUCUUUUUGAUAAAUGUUUUUCAGAGGGUUGUGAGAGGCCAAAUCAAUUGAGAUGACCGGGUUUUCUAGAUCAGCCAUCUUUGUCGUCAACAGUGCUAAACUGUCAAUUACUGAGACACCAAACUCUAACCUGAUUCAUAUGGAUGUAGACUAAAGCUUCUUGCCGAUACCAUCCCCAGUCAAAGCUGCUAUCUUUGAAAGUUUCGCAAGACAAAACAAUGUUGGUUUCCCAGUCGAUACAAAUACAGAUUUCAUAUAUGCAGAUUGCUCUCAAUCUCUGUUUAAUUAGCUAGUCCUCUGCUGUAUCCUAGAAGGUGGAACAAUACAUUAUGCUUCCCAGCAGGCUCCAAUGGGAUCUAUAUAUGUUUCUGCUGCCAAAUUUUUUAAAGCGAUCAUUGUGACUAUCCCUGGGCAGUCUGAAGUGGGCUUUGAUACUUGUGACAAUACUCGAUCGAGGCUGUAAAGAAGCCGUGGGUGUACAUUUCUGGUCCAACAAUCAAUCUAACUGGCUUACUUUACAGCAACAAAGAGAUAGAGAAUAUAUUAACUGCUUGUGCAGAAUAUGGAGCAAGAGCUUAUUUAGUGUCGUGUCAAAAUAAAUAUAACAAAGUUUUAGCUGAAUAUAAAUUGUUAAUUACAGGCAGAGCAAGUUGAGUUUAAAAAAUGCGAAGCACCCAGUCCCAAAACAGAGAAGCUUGACGUUGGCCGGCAGGAUUAAUAUAUAUAUAUAUUUUUAACAACAAUCAAAGCCAGUUGGGAAUUUAUUAAGAGGUUAAUUAGUUGAAGUAUAAAAAAGGAAUUAGCAGGAUUCACGCUCGACCAAAUCCACAUGGCCAAAGCAAAGGAUUAAGGUUGAGAGAUUAUAAUGAAAUAUAAGUAAUGAAAUAUAAGUAAGCGUCGCACAUGCAUGCGUCUGACUGACAGAACAAAUGAAGGAAACAUAAACUUAUCAUUUUUAAGAUGUAAGCAUCAAAACAUUUGACAAGUUUGAGGUUCGUGAGAUAUUGGGAAAAUAUACAAAUAAUAAUGCCACUACAAGUUAAGCAGAGCAAAUAAACAGAGGAAAUAACUGAUCAAUUUAGUUCUUUGUGCAAUGGCCACAGCAACAGAGAAAAUAUGCCUACACGACUACAUUAAUCCUACUGGCGUGGUACUAUCACCAUGCAAAUUAACAUUAACAUUUCAUCAUCAAUCAGUUCUGAUGACAUGAUAUCAAAAACAUUGAUUUCAUAAUUUUAUGUAAUUUCAUAUAAAAGAUAUAUAUAGUUUAUUUGAGUUAGUUUAACAUAUGAAGAAAGAGUAAUGGGGAAUGAUAUCACUGUAGCGUGUGAUGAGUAAUGAUAGACACCAAAUAUGGAUCAUGUAAUAAUGAAAUAUAUAUUUACUGAAAAAUAUUUGGCAAUAAAAUGAUGCUUUAAAAAUUUAAUAUUGUUUGCUAGAAAAUAAUUUGACAAUUAAAAGUAAAGGAUGUAUAUGCAAAGCUUUGACCUUAUUUUAUCACUUCACUAACCAUUUUGUAAGUACAUCUUAAAUUGAAGUUCAAUUAAUGCUGACGAAAGACUCCAGAGAAUGUCGAGAAGAGAUUUGAUUUUUGUAUACCAAAAAAUUACAGAUGAGAUAAGUUAAAAUCAAUUACAAGAACAACAAAAAGAAUAUAUUUUAUAAAAGCCACAAAUACAUAUAAUAUAUAAUCAGUUUCGAAUUAAGUAAUUAUUAACUUAUAUAGUGAGAAAGUGUUAUAGGAAAGUUGGAAUUUUUUAAAAGAGAUUUGCAAAGGAAAAAGUUUAGUUUAGUUUAGUUUGUGAAGGCUCAAGUAAUUCAAAGCAAUUAGCAAUGCAAUUGAAGGAAAUAUAAACUUCUAAUUUUUACAAAGUAAUCGCUAAAAUAUUUGACAAGUUUGAGAUUUUCAAAAAGCUGAAAAAAAUAGACAAAUAAUGGAGACCCUACAGAUUGGUAGCGCAAAUAAACGGAGGAAAAUAGGGCAAACAUUUAUUUUUUCCAAAAAGAAUAAAAGCACGUGUCUAAUUACCAAAUAACUUCCACUAAAAAAGAAUAAAUGCUAAUAUCAUUGUUAGCCCAUGUUGUGCAUUUUUUCAUUUAUUUAUUUAUUUAUUUGCUUUUACUUAUUGAAGUUACUUUGCAAACUGCUCCAAGCAAACUACAAAAUUUCUUCUCACUCUAGGAUCUUCGCAAUGGUCCUGCAAUUUGCUUUCCUUUCUAUUAGGUUAGCUGUUUAUUCAAAAGAAAAAAAAUUGGGGAAAUGGAAACCUCACCCUCUAAAUACAGAUUUUGAAUUUUAUUAUUAUUAUACAAAAUUAGAUAACUAUGCAAAUAAUGGGCGGUUAUAACCAGUGAAACUGUGUCUAGCUACGAUGCAGGUUUAAUUUUCACUUGAUUAAAUAUAAACAAAACUAAAUCACCUGAGCCUCUGGUUUCACUAUUUUUCAACUUGAAAUUAAAACGCAAAAAUUGAUGGUAUUGGAGUUCAUUGUUUAGUUUUGCUGUAGGUCAUGAGGAAUCAAAUAGCCAUCCAUUUUUAUGUCUAUUUUAUGUACUAUUGGUCACUGAGUAUUGGGAUGUCAUAGGCCCGAAAAGAUAAAGCUGAAAAUCAAUCCCCUAUCUAAAGUGGAAAACAGUAGCUAGAACAGAAUCUAUGGUUUGAUGUCUUAGUGUAUAGGCUUAAACAAUUAAUAGUAUAGAAAAUGCAUGAUAGAACUCAUAUUUUAGCAAUAAUCCUCACCUCACUGGCCGUUAGUUCAGAAUGACAAUUCUUAUUAGUCAAAGAAUCAAGAUGAUUUUUAGUUGUAUAUGAAUAGCGCAGUAGAUCAACAAAUAAUUGAAGACUUGCUUUUGCUAUUGAACCACGCGAUGGCAAUUCGAAGACUACAGCUUAGCUCUGCCAUUCGAAGUAAGCAACUCAGCUGCCCAAAGACUGCCAAGCCAUCAAGACAAUACCAAGAUACAACAUCAAGAAUUACAUACGGGCCGUCACAUAUUACAUUUCUGCUCUGUUUUAAGAGAGAUUUACGAGCCCAUGCAGUAGAAGUAAUUAAUUAAUUUAUACAGUUCAGUACUCAUUCCUCCUCUGUUUCAAAUCCAAAUCCACUGCUCUGCCAUUUAUUAUGACGCAGGGUAUAUGGGUUAGCAAGUGUCGAUAUUGUCCUUCAUCCUUUGUGUACCUUUCUUCUAACAAGGGACAGCACGAGAUCUCUAAUAACAAAAGAGAGGCAGGCAGGCCGUUCGCUGGAAAGUACUUGAGCUUGGGACAAUUACAGAGUUUCAAUGAAAUGAGGUUUUGAUGAUCAACAAUUGAAGAAGACAGGCGUUCCAAAUUUGGUAAAUCAACAAUCACCAAAUAUGCUAGAGUGGCAGGAAGAGGAAGCGUGGCUCCUAAUCCUACUCUUGAUUUAGUAUUGCGUAUGUAACAUGUGGCAUUCUACAUUCUUGCAAUGCCAUUUCUUGUUAUGGCAGCAGCGUUCUUUCACCAUGGCAUCGCAAGCAAAUAUUUGACUUGAAGACUUGCUUUGCCAAGAAAAAUAAGGAGAGCAAAGGUAAUUGAUUUUGGUGUGAUGAAUAUUUUUAUGGGUGUACUAAGAAAAAUAAAGAUAAUAGAAGUAAUGUUAUCGAGGAGUAUUUUGAUAUUUACAAAAGUGUUCAAAGAAAAAAGUGAUUUUUUGAAAUCUAUUUGCUGGUGAACAUAAUAAAAUGGCAUUCUGACUUCUGAGUAAAUUUAAAACUACAAAUAGUCUUACUCUUUUAAUAAUAUUCUUCAAUUAAUUCUGUUUCUUUCACAAUAAAAAAUCCAUCUCUUUAUUACUUUCUAACUAGUCAUACUAAUGUGUUAAUAAUGAAGAACCAGCGUAAUUUAUAUGAUAUAAGAAGCCCUUUAGCACAUUAACCCGAAUUUAGCUAAUGCAUGUGCCUAAUAUAGCGAAAUCAACAUUCGGCUCAUUAGAAUGCCAUUAUAUAUACUGAAAAAGAAAUUAAUACAAAAAAAAACUGAAUAUUAAUUGACACUGGAUCAUGUUGGAUUGUUAGUUGUUAAUUAUGAUGGGAAUACAAUUUUCAUCUUUUGAUAAUCCGCUAACUAAUGCAUGUGCACUUUCAUUUGUGUCUAUAUAUACAAAAACUUGUAUCCGAUGGUUUACAUAUGUAUGAAGAUAAUGUAAUAAAGUGCUUUUGAUAAAUUCCCCUGGUCUGUUUACUUCACUAAUUCAUUAAUGUGCAAGUCCUCUAUAGAGCUGUGUUGUGCGUACAAGUUUUGCUACAUGAAAUCCUUAGGUGAGGAGAAUUUUUAAAAGCAUACAUCAAAGUAAUGAUUAAAGGGACAAAAUCAACAUAAAUAUUGAUUAUCUUGAGUUAGAUUACACAAAGAUGAUAAUGUAGUAAAUUUAUCAUAAUACACUACUAAAAAAUGCAUUUUAAUGACACAAAUUUUAUGACAUACAUCUUUAUGUCAUGAAAAUACUUGCAUGAUGUAUAAUGCUUCUGUGAUUAUUUGAUGAUAAAUUCAUAAUUGAUGCAGAUACAAAAUGAAGUGAUGAUAGGUAAAUAUCAUGUGAUUUUUUUUAUGGGUAAGAAUAUUUGAACCCACCAAAUUACUCUUUAAACUUACUUUUUUAUUGAUAAUUUUAUUACAAAAUUACCGAUAAUUUGAAUUACUAUUACAGACAAACAAUAAUUAUAUAAAAUUAUUUUACUUUUACUCAUUGUUUAAACCUACCGCAAAACUCAAUCAAAGGAUGCUUAUUUUCUUCUUCUGCACAAGUGUAGCAAAGUUUUUAAUAAGUUCCUCCUUCAUCCACAGUUGAGAACUUUCUAACUUUUGUUUCUUGUUCUAGUAAUUUGGAUAUGCUGUGUUAGAUACUGAAUUUAUUAAAUUUCUUCUUCUCUUUUGAAUAAAAUCUCUUUAAAAUUCAAUUCAUAAAAAAAAAAUUAAUCUCCUUAUAAUUUAAUAUGUUUCGGCUGUCUUAGUGGAAUGAUGCAAUUUGUUUCAAUCAAAGUUUUGAAGCAUCCUAAAUUAUAUAUUUUUUUGUUUAAUUUGUUUAGAGUUCAAUUGUUUAGAUCUAGGCUAAUUUUUAUUGAUAAUAUUUAUGAUUAAAUUAUAUGAGUAUGCUUAAAUUUUUUUUUUCCUUCAAAUUUAUUUUCUGAUGUUGCAUUUGGUUAGCAAAAAGAUAAAAAUAGUAGAAAAUGUCCGAAUUAUUGUUAUGAAAAUGUUGUUUUAGUCUGAUAUUGGGAAAAUAUCCUUAUACAUAUCGGCAUGAUAUUCAUGGGAGACCAAAUUGAGAAUGAUGGCAGACUAUGCAUUGCUCACAACUAAUUUAAAACUCACUAUUUCUAUUGUUUGUGUUUUAGUAACUUUGGGGGAAUUCCAACUAUAGUUAAUAAGCUAUAAACUUGUUUAGGAUUACUAAUCAACUUGCUAGAAAGAGUUGCAAACUAAUUAGCUUUCUCUUAUAACUUUUACAGAUCAUCUGUGGAGGAGAACUGCAAGGAGUUGAAGACUCUAGACCCUAAACUUCAUAUCUUGAUUUAUAAGUGCAAUGGCCAUAAGUCCGAAUUAUGGGCUGGAGAUGGUAUAUGUAAUCUUUCUGCUCUUGGUGUUUUUUUUUUUUUUUUUUUCCCUCUAGUUAUUUUUUGCUCUCUACUCCAUUGUAUAUUUGUAUUCAAAAGUAUUUUUUCUUUGUUUUAAGCUUUCAAAUUUAUGGAGAUGAUCUUAUUAGGUGUUAAAAAAAUAGUUGUAGAGCUUUACUAAAACUAUGUAAACUCUUAUUGAGAUUUGGGUUUGAUUUUGUAAGAUUGCUAAAAAUUUCAUAUUUUAUACUUGUUUUAUACUUUUCUAGUCGAAUUUCUUGCUUGUGGAAGAUAAAAUAAAAGUCCAAUUCAUGUUGUAAAAAUUUUUUUUCCUCCCUUUUUUCUUCCCUUAUAAUCUGGAUCUGGUUUUGGUGCAGUUUAUGGUUUCAAUGCAGGGAACCAAUUUCAUCAGAAUCAUCUUAAAGGAUCAAAGUGGCUUCCUUUUGUAACUGGGUAAGUCAAUGCUACUUCCUGAAUUCGAUUUGGAGUUCUUUCGGAAUAGAUUUCCUUCCCUUACAUCACUUGGCUUCUAGUUGCAUCUUCUUGGCUUUCUCCAACGGACUUUUUUAUUGGCAAAUUCGUUUGUUUCUAUUGUUUUCAAGUGCUAGUGCUGGAUUUGGAGGUAUGAAUGGUGCCUUCAUUUUUAUUUUUUUAAUUUUCUUUUGGGUGUAUAGUACUGUAAUAUACUUCUUUGUAUAGCUAGUACAAAAUAGUUCUUUAAUUUUAUUUGUCAUGAUUUAUUUCUAUUGCCUGGUGAUGACACCCAUCACGACUUAGUAGUCGUGAAUAAAUCGAAAAUCAAAUUGCACUGGUUUUUACCGGUUAUCAACAAUUGUGAUGUUUUGAGAUUAUAACAUACUUGACAACGCCGACUAGCGUUCUCUCCUAUGUGAAUUGGGACAAAAAUUAUUUUCCCAAUCACGCUUUCGUUUGAACAAUUCCACUUCAGAUAUAUAAAAUAAUGAUGAAAUUGUGUUUUAAAAUUAGUUACGAGUAAUUGGUUCAAUAUUAAUACAAAACUAUUUUAAGUAACACGUGGCAUAUUCUAAUUCCAGUGAGCUUCUAACUCAGAUUCCCAAAUCAAAAGAAACGUUUCAAUUUUCUCCAGAACGUUCUGCAAAACAUUUCUUCGAGUCUCUACGUUGUGCUAGAAUUUUCUCUCAGUUUCUUUUCCAUAGACUUCUAAAAAAUUGUCCAGAUACCGAGAUAUAAUCCAAUCUAAGUGUACAUAUUGUAAGAAAAACGAUACACAGUGAGAUAACAAUUUAAAUAGUAGCUAAUUUAAACAACAAUGUAAACUAGCAAUGGGAAACAACAAAUGAAGAACUGAAGAGAAAGGAGACCAAAACAGAAAUAUAAACCCGAGGCCUGCGGACAGUUUCCUUAAACAUAUUUACCCCCUCUUGGAGUGCUUUAGGUCAGCUGGUAUCUGUUUCCCAGGAUACAACAGGCACGAAUUUUCGGCUAAGCACAGGCUAGAAAUUCUGGCGAACCACAACAACGAGCUCGAUCAGAGAAAACAGACGACGAAGAUGGAGGAAGGAAAAUAAGUGUGCUGGUUUUUUCAGUGUGCAAAAAAACAGAAGAGGAGAUGCCUUUUUAUAGUCAUAUGAGGAUGUAACAGCUACUUUGUAUUGAAUUUCUGAAUUCAAUAUAUUUUAUUUAAUUGUUAUAACAGCCAAAUCAAUUCAAUGAAUUGAUUUCAAAAUUGAAUUAAAAAAAACGUGAAUUAUAUAACAGCUAAAAAUAAUUGUUGAAGCUGUUACAAAUCCUUUGAAUUCAAACGUGAAACUGUUACAAUAAAAAAAAUUCAAAAGGAAAUUAAAAACGUGCCAAGCUUGCAUGGAUGAUUUUGGGCUGACAUUCGCGUACGCAGACGAGUUCAACCAAAUCGGUCAUGGAUUUGCACCCCCCUGCACACGCGCACGUGGAGAGAGCCUCUAUCCUUAUAAUUCUUGAACAAGCAUGGUUAAGUGUUUAUAUAUAAACACUAAUCCCUAGGCUUCUUUUUCCCAUGUGGGAUAAGCCUAAUUUCUUUUCAAAUUUCCAACUUCAAAGGUGAACUUUGAGAGACAAUUUCUCAUUCACCCAAGCACCAUUUUGAGAAAAUAAGAUUAUACUUUUGAAGUAUCAAAGGAGUAGAAUCCGAACCUCACAAGAUUUUCCACUUUCGUUAAGUGGGACCCACUCAAAAUAUGCCCUCAAAAUAGCAUCUAUAUAUGCUAUUUUUUCAACAAUCCCCCACAUGAAUGAAAAUUGGCAGUAAAACAAAAAACCGCUAUAUUUUUUUUACAUCAAAACCAGUUUUGACCUUAAUGAUUGAGUUUAUUGGAUUGAUACCUAGCACAUGAUAGGUUGGUGUUAUCCUUUUAACCUUCCCUUGUAAUAGUAUAAUUACUUUACUGGCUGAUCAGUAGACGCGAUGUCUUUGAACUGUGCGGCCGUUAGUGUAAACGAUCAUAUACUACACAUAGGUAUUUCUCCUAACACUGUUGAGUUCUCAUGGUUAUGUUCGUUUUGGCCUUGAACAUCUACCUGGUUCUGCAAGAGUUUCUAAGAGCUAAACCCAUCAUAGCUCCCUUUGAAGCGGCCCCACUUCUCUCUCACAUAGGUGAUAUCUUAAUUAAGAGUAACCCGCAUUACUCCGCUCGAAUUUUCCGACGCAUAAGAAUCAUUAAGAGCCUAGCUCAACCUUAUUCCCCACGAGCAUCAUUGUUUCAUAAUAGGAAUGGUCAAUGAGGUAAUCUUCUCAAGAGAAUAAACCCCACAAUAAUCCAACUUUAGUCUUUAACAAAUAGGUUGUUCAAUUGAACCUAGAUCUUGGGAUCUCCAGUCUACUAGGUUGGGUUUUCCUUCGUUAUUGACUAAUCAAUCUAUGAGUUUUAAUCCCAUUCCCCUCGAUGAUUUUUCUACUAGCUCUCUAUUUAACCCUUUGGUUAGCGGAUCCGCAAUGUUAUCCUUUGACCUCACAUAGUCAAUAGAAAUAACUCCAGUAGAAAUAAGUUGUCUAAUGGUAUUAUGUCUAUGACGUAUGUGUCUACACUUACCAUUAUACAUAUUGCUUUGUGCCCUACCGAUAGCUGAUUGACUAUCACAAUGUAUACAAAUCGAAGGCACAUGCUUUGGCCACUUUGGAAUACCUUUUAAAAAAUUGCGUAGCCAUUCUGCUUCUUCACCACAUUUAUCUAAUGCAAUGAAUUCAGAUUCCAUUGUAGAUCUAGCAAUUACUGUCUGUUUAGAAGAUCUCCAUGAUACAGCUACACCUGCUAGUGUAAAUACAUAGCCGCUAGUAGAUUUUGAAUCUUUUACAUCUGAUAUCCAGUUAGCAUCACUAAAUCCUUCUAAUACUUCUGGAUACCUAGUAUAGUGCAGUCCAUAAUUACGAGUGUAUCGAAGAUACCUAAGUACUCUUACGAUAGCUUUCCAGUGAUCAGUUCCUGGAUUACUCGUAUAUCUACUAAGUUUACUUACCGUAUAGACUAGAUCUGGUCUGGUACAACUUGUUAAGUACAUCGGACUGUCUAUUAUUCUAGCAUAUUCUACUUGAGAAAAACCCUCUUCUCUAUUUUUCGAUAGAUGGAUACUAGUAUCUAAUGGAGUUUUAGACAUAAUAUUAUCAUUUUUAUUAAAUUUUCCAAGAAUUUUAUCUACAUAAUGAUUUUGACUUAGAAUAAGUCCAUUAGAAGCCCUUCAGAUUUUAAUUUCCAAAAUGACAUUUGCAAGACUCAUGUCUUUCAUGUCAAACUUAGACUUCAACAUAUUCUUGGUAGAUUUAAUCAUGUCAUCAUCACUUCCAACAAUGAGCAUGUCAUCAACAUAUAAACAUAAAAUGACAUAGCCAUUUUCCGUUUCUUUGACAUAAACACAUUUGUCACACUCGUUGAUUUUAAAACCACUUGUGAUCAUCGUAUGAUCAAAUUUCUCAUGCCACUGUUUCGGUGCUUGCUGCAAGCCAUAUAAUGACUUUACCAAUUUACAAACUUUCUUUUCUUGUCCUGGAGCUAUAAAACCUUCAGGUUGCUCCAUAUAGAUUUCUUCAUCUAAAUCUCCAUUUAGAAAAGCCGUCUUUACAUCUAUUUGAUGUAUCUCGAGAUUGCGCAAAGCUGCAAUUGCUAUUAUCAUCCGUAUGGAAUUUAUUCUCAUAACAGGAGAAUAAGUAUCAAAGUAAUCAAGGCCUUCUCGUUGCCUAUUACCUUUAAUUACAAGCCUAUCCUUGUAUUUAUUGAUUUAUCCAUCAGCUUUCAUUUUCCUUUUGAAAAUUCACUUAUACCCCAAAGGUUUACAUUCUGGAGGAAGAUCUGCUAGCUCCCAAGUAUGAUUUUGUAAAAUGGAUUCAACUUCACUGUUAAUGGCUUCUUUCCAUAAAGUGCCUUCAGCUGAAGUUACAACCUCUUUGAAGCUUUGAGGUUCACUUUCUAGCAAAUACGUCAGAAAGUCUAGACCAAAAGACUUUUCUAUCCUAGCUCUUUUGCUACGUCUAACCUCAAUUUCUUGUUCUUGAUCUUCUUCUUCUUCUUCUUCUGGUGCUUCAUCAUUUUCUUCAUUUCCAAGUGUUGUUUCAUGAAAUUGUCGCAAUUCUCUCGAUUCCACUCUAGAAUUGCAAGGAAACACAUGUUCGAAUGAUGCAUUUCUUGAUUCUAUUAUCAUAUUUUUGUGGACAUCUGGAACUUUAGACUCAUGUAACAAAAAUCGAUAAGCACUACUGUUUUGUACAUAACCAAUGAAAAUGCAGUCAACAGUUUUUGGUCCUAUUUUUACUUUUUUAUUGAAAGAACCACUACUUUAGUAAGACACCCCCACACUCGUAAGAAUUUAUAUGAAGGUGAUCUAUUUUUCUAUAGCUCAUACAGGGUUUUAUCUUCUUGCUUUCGGGGUAUCUUAUUUAAUAAAUAAUUAGCUGACAAAACAGCUUCUCCCCACAUAUUCUGGGGUAACCCAGAACUUAUCAACAUUGCAUUCAUCAUUUCCUUUAAAGUUCGAUUCUUUCGUUCUGCAAUCCCAUUAGAUUGAGGUGAAUAUGGAGUCGUGACUUGAUGUAUGAUUCCAUUUUGUUCACAUAGUGACAUAAACAUAACAACAUACUCACCACCACGGUCACUCCUUAAUUCUUUGAUUUUUCUAUUAAGUUGAUUCUCAACUUCAUUUUUGUCGAGAAUAAACUUUUUCAAAGCUUUAUCUUUACUUUUCAAUAAAUAUACAUAGCAAUAUUUUGUGCAAUCAUCUAUAAAGGUAAUAAAAUAUUUAUUAUCACCUCUUGUUUGAAUGGAUUUAAAGUGACAAAUAUCAAUAUGUAUUAAAUCAAGUGGUUCGGUGUUUCUGUUAAUUAUUUGGAAAGAUGACCUAGUUAGUUUUGCCUCAACACAAGUUUCACACUUAUGUUUCAAAUCAAUUUGGAAAUUGGGAAUAUGCUUCAUGUUAAUUAAUUUACGCAAAGAAUUAAAAUUAACAUGUCCUAAUCUACCAUGCCAAAGAUUAGAAGACUCAAGCAAAUAAGCAGAAGAAGUAGCUUUAUUAUUAAUUAUUGGUUUCAGAGUCAUUACAUUGAGCUUAAAUAGCCCAUCAUUAACAUAACUCUUUCCCACAUACAUCCCAUUUUUAGACAAAACUACCCUAUCUGACUCAAACACCAUUUGGAAGCCAUGUUUGUUCAACAGCGAUCCAGACACCAAGUUCUUCUGAAUUUCUGGCACAUAAAACACAUUGUUCAGAGUCAGUUCUUUCCCAGACGUCAUCUUCAAAAUCACCUUCCCUUGACCCUCAAUCUCAGACGUAGCCGAAUUCCCCAUGAAUAGCUUCUCUCCAUUGCUAACUGCUUCAAGUGAAGUGAACAAUCCUUUGUCCGAGCAAACAUGUCUGGUUGCUCCCGUAUCAAUCCAUCAUUCUCUCGGAUUAUAGCCAACCAGAUUCACUUCUGAAACCACUGUAGAGAGGUUUAUGUCUGAAACAUGUUGAGUGAUGUUUUCCAUCACAUUCUCCUCUCGCUUCUUUUUAGGCAACCUGCAAUCUGAAGCAUUGUGACCCAUCUUAUCACAAUUAAAACAUUUUCCUUGAAACUUUGUUUACUUCUUGGAAAUUCCUCCUUUCGGACCCAAUUUUUUAUUUUUAUUUUUAGGUCCAUGUUCGACAAAAUUUGCCUUUGCCAUAGAAAUAACUCCUUUUCUUUUUGCAUUUCUGUUAUCUCCCUCAAUUCUGAACUUAACAACCAGCCCUUCAAUAUUCAUCUCCUUUCAUUUGUGCUUCAAAUAGCUCUUGAAAUCUUUCUAAGCAGGAGGCAAUUUUUCAAUAAUUGCGGCAACUUGAAAAGUUUCACUUAGAUGCAUCCUUUCUGCAAGGAUUUCAGAUAAUAUAAUUUGAAGCUCGUGUACUUGACUUAUUAUAGUUUUAGAAUCCACCAUUUUAUAAUCUAGGAAGCGACCAACAACAAACUUUUUGGUUCCCGCAUCCUCGGUUUUAUAUUUCCGGUCAAAGGAUACCCAUAACUCCUUGGCUGUUUUCUUUCCUAUGUAUACAUUAUACAAGGAAUCACUAAGGCCAUUCAUUACAUAAUUUUUACAUAAAAAAUCUUAAUGAUGCCAUGCAUCAAUUGCACUUGCAACUUGAAUAUCCGUUUCACCCUCUUUAGGUUUAGGAGCAUUCUCGAUCAAGAAACUUGCAAGGUUCAGCAUGGUCAAGUAAAAGAAUAUCUUUUGCUGCCAACGUUUGAAAUUCUGGCCAUUGAAUUUUUCAGGCCCUUCCGCAUGAUUGAUAGGAAUUGCCACAGAGGCUGGUUCCUUUACAACAGUUGGUGCAGCAACAGAAGAUGAAACUGGGACAUACGGAAUAUCAUCAACGGUUUCAGUUGCCAUCUCAAUGAUAAUUGAUUCUGUUUUAAGAUUGUAAAAAAAAUGAUACACAGUGAGAUAAUAAUUUAAAUAGUAGCUAAUUUAAACAACAAUGUAAACUAGCAAUGGGAAACAACAAAUGAAGAACAGAAGAGAAAGGAAACCGAAACAGAAACAUAAACCCGAGCCUUGCAGACAGUUUCCUUAAAACAGAUUUACCACUCUUGGAGUGCUUUAGGUCAGCUGGUAUCUGUUUCCCAGAAUACAACGGGCACGAAUUUCCGGCUAAGCACAGGCUGAAAAUUCCGGCGAACCACAACAGCGAGCUCAAUCAGAGAAAACAGACGAUGAAGAUAGAGGAAGGAAAACAAGUGUGCUGGUUUUUUCAGUGUGCAAAAAACAGAAGAGGAGGUGCCUUUUUAUAGUCAUAUGAGGAUGUAACAGCUGCUUUGUAUUAGAUUUCCGAAUUCAAUAUGUUUUACUUAAUUGUUAUAACAACCAAAUCAAUUCAUUGAAUUGAUUUUAAAAUUGAAUUAAAAAAACAUGAAUUAUAUAACAGCUAAAAAUAAUUGUUGAAGCUGUUACAAAUCCUUUGAAUUCAAAACGUGAAUCUAUUACAAUAAAAAAAUUCAAAAGGAAAUUAAAAACGUGCCAAGCUUGCAUGGAUGAUUUUGGGCUGACAUUCGCGUACGCAGACGAGUUCAACCAAAUCGGUCUUGGACUUGCACCCCCCCUGCACACGCACGUGUGGAGAGAGCCUCUAUCCUUAUAAUUCUUGAACAAGCAUGGUUAAGUGUUUAUAUAUAAAUACUAAUCCCUAGGCCUCAUUUCCUUUCAAAUUUCCAACUUCAAAGGUGAACUUUGAGAGACAAUUUCUCAUUCACCCAAGCACCAUUUUGAGAAAAUAAGAUUAUACUUUUGAAGUAUCAAUGGAGUAGAAUCCGAACCUCACAAGAUUUUCCACUUUCGUUAAGUGGGACCCACUCAAAAUAUGCCCUCAAAAUAGCAUAUAUACAUGCUAUUUUCCACUUUCGUUAAGUGGGACCCACUCAAAAUGUGCCCUCAAAAUAGCAUAUAUACAUGCUAUUUUUUCAACACAUAUCUCUAUGUCACCUCCCUCCAUUUCACCAGAAAAUCAACAAACACUUAGCUUCAAAACAAACACUCUAAAAAAGCUAGCUAGUUGAUGGCAAAAUCAAGAAUUCUUGCAAUGGCAAUGUUGUUUCUUGUUAUGGCAGCAACAUUGAUGAACAUGGCAUCAAAGCAAAUGCUCUGAUGCUGUACACACGAUCACCUUUCUUUGACGUAAUGUUCCCAAUGACGGAAGAUCCUUUCAGGGUUCUUGGACAAACCCUGUUAACAAUCCCAAAAGGAGCUGAACAUCAUCAAACUCUAGCACUGGCGAGAGCAAACUGAAAUGAGACACCAACAUCACACGUGAUCACACUCGACAUUCCAAGGAUGAAGAAAGACGAUGCGAAGAUAGCAGUUGAAGAGAACAGGGUACUGAGAGUGAGUGGGGAGAGGAAGAGCGAUGAUUAUUAUAAGGAGGAAGUUGAAGGAGAUAAAUGGCACAGAGCUGAGAGACCAUUUGGCAAGGUUUGGAGGCAGUUCAGGAUGCCUAUGAGUGCUGACUUGGAUCAUGUUAAGGCUCAUUUGGAAAAUGGUGUUCUAAGGAUCACAGUGCCAAAACUUGUUGAGGAGAAGAAGAGGCAGCCUAAGGUUAUUAACAUUGAUGAAGAGCCUGGUAAUUCUUCUGAUGAAGAUGUUAAGGCCGCCAAGGCUCAAAUGUAAUUGAUUAAAGAAAGAAGUGUUUGAUUUGCUUGAUGUGCUAUUUGUUUUGUGAUCUUUUCUUGGUUUUGUUGUGGGAUGUUUUUCUUUGGAUGUUCUGUUUAUUGUAUUUUGAUGGAUUUUUAAAGAUGGCUUUUAUGUAUUAACAACAAAAGUGUUUUUUAUAAAUCCGGGUCCUAAAUUUGUAAAAGAAAUUAAUAAUACUCUUGGUUUAUUGUUAAUAAAAAUAAAAAAGAAGAAUCUUUUUCUUUAGCAUAUAUUAUGCAUUUUAAGGAAAAAAAAAUUAUCACAUUCUAAUACAUAAAGAUAUUCCUCUUCUGUCAUAUUAAUGUGUUAAUACGAAGGUCUAUUGGAAUUAUAAUAGUUUAGAUGAAUCCAAAAUAUUCAAUAAUUGAUAAAUAGUAUAUUGACACACAGAAAAUGUGCGUGUGUAUGUAUAUAAAUGAGGUUUCAACAGCUGAGAAAGAGAUAGCCAUUAUACAUUACACAUUUGCACUCAAUAAGAAAUCAAUUCAUUAAUAUAGCCAUUAAUACGCCUGGUUUAUUGUUAAUGAAAAUUAAAAAAGAAAAAAAGUCUUUUCUUUGGCCUUUAUUAUGCAUUUUAAGAGGAAAAAAAAUUUAUCCCACUCCAAUUCAUGAAGAUAUUCUCUUUUCUGUCAUAUUGAUGUGUUAAUAUGAAGAUCCAUUGCAGUUGGUGAAUUCAAAUAUUCAGUAACUGAUGAAAUUGUAUUUAUAAAUUCAUACUAAUAGCAAUUGAAGAUUAUAAUUAAUUUUGUAAUAUGGUCUAGCCCUCCUGUGUUUAAUUAGCACUCAAAAACCACUUUACAAUAGGGCAUUAAAAGAACAUUAUAACGUCAUUGCUGAUGAGUUCUGGCGAAGACAUUAAGUUAAGGCCACAAAAAUCGAAAUGCACGUAGCUUCGUUUGUUUUUUAUUUUUGAUUCUCUUUGGGGGCAAAUGCUUGGCUUCGUUUGCUUUUUCGUUUUUGAUAUUUUAUUGGGCUUUAUUGUGUGGCAUCUUCUUGUUUUCUUUUGAUUUUCUGUUUUGGUUGUUAUGGGAUUUGAUGACGACGUACAUGUACGAAGAUUAUAUAAUAAAAUGUUUUUGAUAAAUUAUGGUCGGUUUAGAAUUAAUUAACUAAAUUUAAUUUACUUGAUCAAUUGAUAUUUGUAAGCAUUGUUGUUAUACAAACACAACAAAAGAAGAACAUUAAUGUACUAAUUAAUUACUAAUAAGAACAUUAAUAACUUUUGCCGAAGAAGAGAAAUAUUACACAUAUGUAACCGUGCAGCAUAUGUAACCGUGCAGCUAAAUAAAAGAAACUGAAGUUUAUUUCAACAGCUAAAGAAUGAGAUACGCAUAAGAAAUUAAUCCAUUAAUUAAUUAAUUAAUUCAUAGUCCCCCGCUGCUAAAAUAAAGCGAGCGUCUUACUCUACCUAACAUUUUUCCUUUUAUUAAUUUAAAAUAGUUUUCAACUGAGAUUUGAAUUUUAAAAUUACACGCUUGAUUUAGAAGAAAAAAAAGUCAAAUAUAUGUAACCGUACCGCGGAAAAGACAAAUAUAAGAAACUGAAGUUUCAACAGCUGAGAAUGAGAAUUUAAUUCAUUAAUUAAUUAAUAGAGUCCUCCUUUGCUAAAUAAUGCGAACCCAUUGUUCUUUUUAUUUCCAAAACCCAUUAAUCACCAACACAUAAUACACGCCCAAUUUAAAAAAAAAAACUAAUAAUAAAAUAUUUCAGUCUUCCUUUGUUGAGUCGUCAUUAAAAACCCAUUUACCAGCUAUUCGAGCAUAAGGUAUAUGGGUUAACAAGUCCCAAUAUUGUCCUCCGUCCUUUCUGCACUUCUCUUCUAUCAACGGACAGCGAUAGAUUCUUAAUUGCAAAAGUGAGGAAGGCAGGCCCUUCUCCGGAAAGUAUUUGAGCUUGGGACAAUCAUAGAGUGUCAAUUUAGUGAGGUUUUGAAGAUCAACAAUUGAAGAAGAUAGGCUUUCCAGAUUUGGAAAAAAGGCAAUGCUCAGAGAUGUUAGAGAGGCAGGAAGAGGAAGCGUGGUCCCCAGUCUUCUGUCCUCUGGCUCUGGUGGAAAUGACACCAUGUCGUCAUCGCAUCCUCUGAUUAAAAGAUAUCGCAGAGAGGAGAAUCUGUGAAAUCCCCGGCCCCGCUCAAUCAUUGACUUCCAAAUCCCCAUAUUACCCUCAAUCCUCAGUGAAUGAAGGUUGGUGGGAAGGCCAUCUUCUUCAAGGCUUGGAAGCUCACCUCCUAUUAUUGUUAAUUGUUGAAGAGAGGUCAGAUUGUGCAAUCCCUUGGGUAAGGCCUCUAGUCUCUUACAAUCAUAUAUCUCCAGCCUCCUGAGUUUCGCACAAGGCAAUCCCCCUUCGGGAAAGGACUCCAGAUUUCCACAACCCCCAAUACCAAUCUGUUGAAGCUGGCACAGAUUAUGUAAACCACUCGAUAAAAUUUUCAGAUUUUCACA